rnacentral:lncRNA from 1 species
ACUUUUGAGAUAGAAACCCAGAAUGGCUUCCACAAGCUCCUUCAGAGCCUCUUCUUCUUCUUCUACUCCUUCCAUCCCUCAAACAAGUACUUAUGAUGUUUUCUUGAGUUUUAGAGGCGAAGACACCCGCUAUAAUUUCACUGAUCACCUCUACAAAGCUUUGGUUAACAGAGGCAUUCGCACCUUCAGAGACGAUAAACUCAGGAGAGGAGAAGCGAUCGCUCCAGAACUCUUGAAAGCCAUCGAAGAAUCAAGGUCUUCCGUAAUUGUUUUCUCUGAAAACUAUGCUGGUUCGAGAUGGUGUUUGGAUGAGUUGGUAAAGAUCAUGGAGUGCCACAAAGAUCUGGGACAUGUUUUCCCAAUUUUCUAUCAUGUGGAUCCAUCCCAUGUACGAAACCAAGAAGGAAGUUUUGGAAAGGCCUUUGCCGGUUAUGAAGAAAACUGGAAGGACAAGAUACCAAGGUGGAGGACGGCCUUGACGGAAGCAGCCAAUCUUUCUGGAUGGCAUAUACUAGAUGGGUAACUAUAAUUUCCUUUCAACUAUUUGUAAGUAUAGGAAUGAGUAGUUUUGCAUUUAUAGAGUGAUGAUAAGCUCAAAUUUUUUAUUUGGAGGUCUACUACUUAAGCACAAAUUUCUCCUCAAAAUGCUUUUAGUUGAAGUCUUUUAUGUGUAAAUGUGUUUAAUAUUCUUUUAUAGGAAAUGUUUUCACUAUAAGUGUUUUCUAGAAAAUCAGCUAUCUUUUCCACGAAUUUAUUUUUUCUAACCUUUUUAUAAGUGUUUUUUUCCUUUUUCUUUACUUUUUAUAAAAAGAAUAGUAGAAUAACAAUUAUAUUGAGUUAGAAUUCAUGAUAAAUGGUAGAAUGAACUUAUUAAAACCCAAUUAAUGAGUUUUACUAUUUUAGGUCAAUUUAUGAGAAUCUAUAUCUAAACUAAUUUAAUCAAAAUUUAUUACUAAUUUUUCAAUUGUCAAGAUUCAAUCCACAUUAAUGUUACAAAAAUUAAUCAAUUUAUUUGAAAUUUUGUUUGAAUAAUUAUAUAACAGGUAACAAUAAAAUUAAUGACUAUUACUAUCUGUUGAAGAGCUUCAAAAUUUUCAAUUAACCAAUCUCUUGUGUAUUCAUAGAACAACUUAAUCAAAUUAUGUAACAAGUAACAAUAACAAAAUUAUUUGACCAAAUAGUUUGAUUAAUUAUGUGACAAUUACUAAUAACAAAAUUAUGUGACGUAAAUUAUUUAGUAGGAAUUCAACUUCCCUGAGAGUUUGUGUGUGUGUAUAUAUAUAGACAAUAAAGAACAAUGGUUAGGCACUUAAUUUUCUUACAGAUGAUGCUGAAGAAAUCAACUCAAAAUAAAGAUAAAUGAAUAACUUUUUUGCAAGCCUUUAAUUUUUUUUUUUUAUUAUACAAAUCAAUAAUAAGGAGAUGAUCUUGCAGGAUAGAUAAGUUUUGAAGCUUGAGGAAUUGAAAAUGGGGUCUUUAAACUAAAAACUUCUUAUAUUAAGAGGUUGAGUACUAUAUCUACAACGAGGCUUCAGGCAUUACAAGAUAUAAAACGAAUGUCAAAGAAUAAAAUAUUUGCUCCUGCAAGGUUUCUAAUUGCCAUGGGCUGUUAAAGCGUUUUGGAAAUGUGCAUAAAUGAUAAUGCCACACAAGGAGCACAACUAACAAAAUUCAAAAUUUAUGUUUUAUUUUUUAUUCUCAUGAAUACUUGAUACAAAGAAAAAUGUCCUAAAAAUGUAAAUGAACUAAUAUCUUUGAUAGGUAUUGUUCUACUUUAAUUUAUUUCUCGUAAAUUUGUCAAACUUAAUGUGUUUUAUUUACCAUUGUGGCUUAUUGCUUAAAAUGUUGUACUCUUAUAAUUGGCAGGUACGAGUCCAAUCAAGUUAAAGAAAUAACUGCUAGCAUAUACCGUCGAUUGAAAUGUAAGAGGCUUGAUGCUGGUGACAAUUUAGUUGGUAUGGAUUCCCAUGUAAAAGAGAUGAUUUUGCGGUUGCAUAUGGAAUCAAGUGAUGUUCGUAUUGUUGGGAUAUAUGGAGUUGGUGGGAUAGGUAAGACUGCCAUUGCAAAGGUUAUAUAUAAUAAACUUUCUUGCGAAUUUGAAUGGACGAGUGUGGACCCCGCAUUUCGAUUGCUCGAUGUGUUUCCCACUCGAUGGCGAGCUCGAUUUUUAUUUGAAAUAUUGAUUUUUAUUGAUUAUUUGAAAAUGACUUGGAGUCGCCACUUAUUUUUGUUUUAUUUUUUAAAGGGUAAACAAAAUAAGAAAGAAAAACCCUAAGUGUGACUCCUUAUUUUGGAAAAGGCGGUCUGUGAAAAACCGGAUCGGGUUCGGGGGUCAGGUUACUUAUCGGGAAGGUACGGUACGGACCGUAGCACCCCUCUAAGUCCCUAAUGUCGGGUCUCUACUAAUAGAAUGAAGAUGAUGUGACAGUCAACAAGAAAAUCGAUGAAUACUCAAAUCGAUCAUGCACAAUAUGAGAAGCAAAGCAUGUAUAAAGAAUGAGCAAAAUAUGAAUAGAUGCGUACCUGGGCGGUAAUCACGAAUGCGCUAUCAUGAAACAUGGUUAGUGAACAAUGAACAUAUAUAAUAAAGCGCAUAUCAAGGAAUAAAGUAAAUCAAUCACAUGUGGCCAAUGAAGCAAACAAUCAGUUAAUCAAUCUUGAAAUCUCAUAUGUAGGCCCCCACCAAAGCCCAUUUAUUUUGCAUGAACCAAAUCUGUAAAUUCCAUCACUAAGAAUUACAAAAUUUGAUUUUUGCUUAUUUUAAAACAUUUAAAAAAAAAAAAAACAAAGAAAAUGAAAAAGGAUUGCCAAAGAGAAAAUGGCAACCAAUGUUAUUGGAAAAACGGAAUUUUUGAUGAAGGAACAUAUAGAGUUGCGAUUAUUUAAAAAGAUUAAAAUCCGAAAAAAUUAUUUGAAUGAAGGGAUUUGGAAAAUUAUUUUCAAAACUAGGGAUGGUGACAUGAGAGAAGUAAAAGGAGAUGUCAUGUGGCCACUAAGAUUUGCAUGGUGAACAGGGCCAUGCAAAGAAAAUCCCUUUCUUAGCCCAUUUGAAAAAAACAGGUCAAUUUCUGAAUCUGUGGCUUCUCAGCAAUCCUUGACCUGGGCAGGUAUGUCAAGACCAUGAACGUACCUCUCCCCUAUAUUUUGCCCCAGCAACCAAAGCACCCAUAUCCAAUGCCAUAGGUCUCACUUCAGCGAGAUUACUAGGAACGCCCCCCUCUUACAAUUUUCUGAGCUAAUCUUUCAACAACAGCAGUCUUACCCACACCUGGUUCUUCAAUAAGAACAGGGUCGUUCUUAGUUUCCCUUGGAAGAAUCCUGAUGACCCUCCAAAUCUCUUCGUCUCGGCUAAUGACAGGAUCAAGCUUUCCAGUUUACUCAACAAGGCCACACCCAUAAGUCUUCAAUGCUUGGAAUGCAGUGUUCCCAAAAGCACUUUCCUCUCCGGACAUUGGCGUCUUGUGAAGCUACUGGCACAAUGCCAUUUUGAAGGAUCACAACAACACUACGAUACACUGGUCCAUAAUCUAACCUCCUUAUUGUAGUGGCUGUUCAAACGGGAUCACUAAACAUGACUGGCGCAUUCUUGUCAUUCAACUAAAACGGUUCAUACUCCCCACAGUAAUUAUCAUAUCCAAAACCUGGACUUUUAUAUCCAGAAGCAACACUUGGAGAUUGGCCCAUGGGUCCUGAAACACCAGCAUCGACCAGAGCAUCCUGAGGACCUGUAGCUCCAUAGGUUGCAUUUGAAACGAAGUCUGCAGCACCAUAUCCAGAAGGAGUUUGGUUGUUCCCAUAAACAUGAUGUGGCGACAAUUUCUGCUGCUCAUCCGAUAUAUAGCUACUGCCGGCAGAGAACCUCGAGGUUCCAGUACUAUUAUGUAAAGAUAAACCAGCCAAGAAGAGACCCAGCGCCCAAGGUACAUCUUUUCCCGUGACCUUUCUUUAGAACCAUUUCCACGUAAACAUCUUGACUAUGUUUUAAGCUUCCAUCAGGUAAGUGUAGCUGAGGUGAUCUUGAAUCUUUUGAAGGCUAGGUACAACACGUCAUGUCUUGGAGGUGUAUGGAUCAAAGGUAUCGUGACUUUGCAUCUUCAAACCAGAGGAUGAUCCCUUAGGUUGACAGUAAACCCCUGUAUUCGUGCCGAUCACCUUCAGGUAAAAGCUUCCUUUGGCGUCAACAGUGGUCAAGGCCACGACCAUGGCAGAUUCGGUGAUGAUGCCCAUCGACGGUGCUACGCAAGGCAUUGAGAGAUAGACAUUGCGGCUGAAUUUAGUACCCAGCUGGACUGAGUCGACAGUGAAGUGGUGAUGGUGGAGGCGUUUCGCCGCCGGCGGCUUGCCGCCGGCGUCGUUCGAGGGCAGCUUUGCUUGUUACAGUCCAUUGGAGAUUCAAAAGUUAAACACCAUGCACAAACAGGUAGGCAACAAAAAUACACCCGCAUAUGAUUCACGCACUAUCCGAGACUGUAUAGGUGCCACGGCCUGACGUUCUUUUCGUGCUCUUUGAAUAAAUCAUAUGAUGCACAAUCCAAUGCAUGAGAAAACCGGUGCAUGCAUGAGGGUUGGUGUCAUGUGGAGUAAAGAGAGAAACUAUAAUAAUGAGAUGGAAAUAUUAGAAAAUGGGUAUGAAGAAUGAGUGAGUCAAAUGGGUUGUAUAGUGGUAUGAAGAUGAGCUUGGAGCAUGAAGAUAAAGGUUAAGAGAUGGGUGCAAUAGGUAGCAGAAACUGGUGAGAGAAAAGGGGUAUGUAUAGGGGCAUGGUGGGUAUGGGCAUGAAAUGUACGUUGAAGGAUAGCCCUAAGUGCAUGCAUGAUAAGAGACAAAUGAUAUGGGAGGAUAUUUGAACUCUGUACAUGUGGAUAUCAUGCAUUUCAUCCCCUUAAAGUUGCACCGAAAUUCCUUACUCAUCAUCCCAUUGAUAUAAGCAAAACAGAGUCCAAUGAAAACACUGCUUCCUAAAGAAAAAUGGUGCCUAGCACCAGAACCUGAAAGCAGACCUCUCAAAUCGCAAGCAGCUCCAUCCGCAGCAUCUCAGAAUAUCGAGCAGGGCUCAGAUUGUUUGUAUACCUAAACUCAUCCUCACAAAAGAGAGUUGAUAUCUGAGGCCAAUGGAUCCACUCAAAGUACAGAUCUUCCAAGCUUUCUGGUAAACAAAGACCAUGACCAAUUGGAAUGAGCUCCAGCUGACCAUACGUCUCAAUUCCAUCAAAUUUUCUGACCAGAAAGUUUCCUGUUUGAUGAAUUCUAUAGCUUCAGGACUUUCCUUUGAAAAGGAUGCGGCACUGUCACCAUUCACAAACUGAGAAAGCAAGCUUUGGAAGGAGUAAUGAUGUUGGAUAUCAAAAGGAGUAGAUGUUAAAUGGAGGGUACAAAACUGAUGAAGCAGACAUGAUGCUUUUUCGAAACCUUCUACAGACUGCAUCUUAAAAAAAACACUGUGAUAUUCCGGGGCAUAGUUACUUAGCAUCUUUCAUUCCAUUCAUCAACGGUCAUUUUACCUCAAUCUCCACUGAUUCAUGUUUCAUCUCUGUUCAUCUUCAAAUCUUAUUCAGUCUUUUCCCUCUGGAAGCAAUUCUAUAAUGCAAACACCAACACCCCACGUUCUGCUCAUUUCAUUGACAUUCCCCCGUGAGCUUCCAUUCACUAUUAGCAAAUAGCCAUCCUAUACCACGAUGAUUCCAUCAACACUGUUGGCUACUCAGAGGCCAUCAAAUGAACCCGAAACUGGAGAUUCUCAAUCAGUAAGGGCACACUGAGAUAGAAUAGACCUGAGUUGACCCACUGACAACUCUUAUAUGGCUUCCUCAGGCAGAGAUGAGAAAUCAGAUGUGUGCCAUGGAUGAAUACCAAGAACAGAGAAAGAUAGCCAAGACAGAGUACAAUGGAUAGGAACCAAAUGAAUCCAUACAAGCCCCCUUUCCCAUAACCAUCAAUGAGCCCAGAUGUAAAAAUGGAUUAAAGCAAAUUUCAAACAAGUUUUUAAACAAAGAAAACAGAGGUGGGAAUACUGAUAUCUCAUAAGAGAUCUCAAAAUAGGGGAUACGAAACAAGUUAGAGAUCAAGCAGCAUGUGAGAACAAGCAAGUACAAAUUCCAUGAGAAAAAAAUAAAUAAAUAAAUAAAUAAAUAAAAAGAAUAAACGAGAAGCAUACCACCAAUCACCUUCAAACACUAAAGCAGAGUUUCAUGAUGCCUAAAAAAAAAUUGAGACGGCCAGAACAUGGAAGAACUAACCCAUAGAAAUAAUACCUGAACCUUCUUCUUUUCAGUUUGCCCUUCUUCUCUCCAAAACGGCCAGGUCCCCUCCACUGCAGCUGCCUCACCUCUCUAAAAAAUAUCUCCUCACUGCAACCGGAAUCCCCCCAUCUCCUAAAAUCUCUCCUCCACGACCCCAAAAAUCCUCUCUGAAAAGCCCCACCACUCUGCCUGUAGGAGACGCUCCUCUAACCGUCUGCAGCUUUUUUUUUUUUUUUUUUUGCAGAUUCUUUGGACACGUGUCGACCUCUGGUUGGCCAUCAAAAACACCACUCUGGUGCCCCAACAGCCAACCAUGCAUGGACAAGUGGCUCCUUGAGAUCGUGACACUUGGCAAAAUCAAGCUGCAGAAAAUGAGCCCCAAAUGGGGGUCAGGGGAGUCAAAAUAUAAAUGGUGUUGCUCGUAGAGCAGGUAUGAUAAAGGACAUUCUCUUAUCUAAAAGAGUUUUUAUGGUUCUUGAUGAUGUUGAUGAUCCAAGUCAAUUAGAAUAUUUACUUGGACAUCGUGAAUGGCUUGGAGAAGGAAGUAGAGUCAUCGUAACUACUAGAAAUAAACAUGUGUUAGCUGUACAAGAAGUGGAUGACUUAUAUGAGGUUAAGGGAUUGAAUUUUGAAGAAGCUUGUGAACUUUUCAGUUUGUAUGCCUUUAAACAAAAUCUUCCCAAAUCAGAUUAUAGAAACCUCUCACAUCGUGUUGUAGGCUAUUGUCAAGGGCUUCCAUUAGCUCUAAAAGUUCUAGGUUCUCUCUUAUUCAAGAAGACAAUACCUCAGUGGGAAAGUGAAUUGCGUAAAUUGGAUAGAGAACCUGAAGCGGGAAUUCACAAGGUGCUUAGACGAAGCUAUGAUGGAUUAGAUCGUACAGAACAAAAUAUAUUUCUUGAUGUUGCAUGUUUUUUUAAAGGUGAAGAUAGAGAUUUUGUGUCAAGAAUAUUAGAUGCUUGUGAUUUCCCUGCAGAAAUUGGAAUAAAAAAUCUAAAUGACAAGUGUCUUAUAACUCUCCCAUACAACCGUAUAGCUAUGCAUGAUUUGAUACAACAUAUGGGUUGUGAAAUUGUUCGUGAAAAAUUUCCUGAUGAGCCAAACCAAUGGAGCAGAUUGUGGGAUCCCCAUGAUAUUCAACAGGCACUUAGAACAUCUAAGGUAAGAGCCAAGUGCAUAAAUUCACAUAAACUUCAAUAAUAUCAUUCUUGUAUAAGAACUUACAUAUCCAUAUAAGUUGAGUUAGUUUGUAUUUAUGUUUACCUUAUCCUUGUUAUUUUUCAGGAAAUACCAAAAGCUCAAACAAUAUCCUUGGACUUGUCUAAGUUAAAAAGAGUAUGCUUCGAUUCAAAUGUUUUUGCAAAGAUGACUAGUCUUCGAUUGCUCAAAGUUCAUUCAGGUGUCUAUUAUCAUCAUUUUGAAGGUAUUCACGAGAAGGAUUAUUAUGCUAUAAUAAAAAAUACUUCUAAAAUGCGACUUGACAUGAAAUUCGAAUUUCCUUAUGAGUUAAGGUAUCUUUAUUGGGAUGGAUAUCCUUUAGAUUUUUUACCAUCAAACUUUGAUGGAGAGAAGCUUGUUGAACUUCACUUGAAGUGUAGCAACAUAAAACAGUUGUGGCAAGGGCAUAAGGUAUUAUUAUCAUUUAAUAAUGACUUCUUUAUCUUUGUAUUGAUUUUGAAAUUUAUGAUUGUUAUGUCUUUAUUGAAACCAAUUUUCGUUUGGCACAGGAUCUUGAAAGGUUAAAGGUCAUUGAUCUAAGUUGCUCAAGGAAUCUCAUUCAAAUGUCAGAAUUCUCAAGCAUGCCAAAUUUGGAGAGACUAAUUCUUGAAGGUUGUGUAAGCUUGAUCGAUAUUCACCCAUCUGUUGGAAAUAUGAAGAAGCUUACUACCUUAAGUUUGAGAUUCUGUGAUCAGCUUAAGAAUCUGCCAGAUAGCAUUGGAUACUUGGAGUCUCUCGAGUCUCUUGAUCUCUCUGAUUGCUCAAAGUUUGUGAAAUUUCCGGAGAAGGGAGGGAACAUGAAAAGUUUAAUGAAGCUUGAUUUAAGAUUUACUGCUAUUAAGGAUCUGCCUGAUAGCAUUGGAGACUUGGAAUCUCUUGAGUCUCUUAAUCUCUCAUUUUGCUCAAAGUUUGAGAAAUUUCCGGAGAAGGGAGGGAACAUGAAAAGUUUAAGGCACCUUUGUUUAAGAAAUACUGCUAUUAAGGAUCUGCCUGAUAGCAUUGGAGACUUGGAAUCUCUUAUGUUUCUUAAUCUCUCUGGUUGCUCAAAGUUUGAGAAAUUUCCGGAGAAGGGAGGGAACAUGAAAAGUUUAAUGGAGCUUGAUUUAAGAUAUACUGCUAUUAAGGAUCUGCCUGAUAGCAUUGGAGACUUGGAAUCUCUUAGGCUUCUUGAUCUCUCUGGUUGCUCAAAGUUUGAGAAAUUUCCGGAGAAGGGAGGGAACAUGAAAAGUUUAGUGGAGCUUGAUUUAAAAAAUACUGCUAUUAAGGAUCUGCCUGAUAGCAUUGGAGACUUGGAAUCUCUUGAGUCUCUUGAUCUCUCUGAUUGCUCAAAGUUUGAGAAAUUUCCGGAGAAGGGAGGGAACAUGAAAAGCUUAAAGUGGCUUUAUUUAACAAAUACUGCUAUUAAGGAUCUGCCUGAUAGCAUUGGAGACUUGGAAUCUCUUUUGUCUCUUCAUCUCUCUGAUUGCUCAAAGUUUGAGAAAUUUCCGGAGAAGGGAGGGAACAUGAAAAGUUUAAUGAAGCUUGAUUUAAGAUAUACUGCUAUUAAGGAUCUGCCUGAUAGCAUUGGAGACUUGGAAUCUCUUAGGCUUCUUGAUCUCUCUGAUUGCUCAAAGUUUGAGAAAUUUCCGGAGAAGGGAGGGAACAUGAAAAGCUUAAAGAAGCUUUUUUUAAGAAAUACUGCUAUUAAGGAUCUGCCUGAUAGCAUUGGAGACUUGGAAUCUCUUGAGUCUCUUGAUCUCUCUGAUUGCUCAAAGUUUGAGAAAUUUCCGGAGAAGGGAGGGAACAUGAAAAGUUUAAUGGACCUUGAUUUAACAAAUACUGCUAUUAAGGAUCUGCCUGAUAGCAUUGGAGACUUGGAAUCUCUUAAGUUUCUUGUUCUCUCUGAUUGCUCAAAGUUUGAGAAAUUUCCAGAGAAGGGAGGGAACAUGAAAAGUUUAAUUCAUCUUGAUUUAAAAAAUACUGCUAUUAAGGAUCUUCCCACCAACAUUUCUAGGUUGAAAAAUCUUGAAAGACUUAUGCUCGGUGGCUGCUCAGACCUGUGGGAAGGAUUAAUAAGCAAUCAGCUUUGCAAUCUGCAAAAACUUAAUAUCAGUCAAUGCAAAAUGGCUGGACAAAUUCUGGUGCUUCCUUCAAGUCUACAAGAAAUAGACGCAUACCCUUGCACAAGCAAGGAAGAUUUAUCAGGUCUGCUCUGGCUUUGCCACCUCAACUGGUUGAAAUCCACAACGGAGGUAAUUUAAUAUAUAUAUAUAUAUAUAUAUAUAUAUAUAUAUAUAUAUAUUUUAAUUAUGCCACUUAAACCUUUUUUUAUUUUAUUUGAAGUCAAUAUUUACAUAAUAAUUUGUGCAGGAGUUGAAAUGCUGGAAACUCGGUGCUGUUAUUCCUGAAAGUAAUGGAAUUCCAGAGUGGAUAAGGUAUCAGAACAUGGGAAGUGAAGUAACAACAGAGCUUCCAACGAAUUGGUAUGAAGAUCCUGACUUCCUAGGAUUUGUUGUAUCAUGUGUUUAUCGGCAUAUUCCUACAUCUGAUUUUGAUGAACCUUAUCUUUUUCUCGAGUGUGAAUUGAAUUUACAUGGCAAUGGAUUUGAAUUCAAGGAUGAAUGCUGUCAUGGAUACUCGUGUGAUUUUAAAGAUUUGAUGGUAUGGGUUUGGUGCUAUCCUAAGAUUGCUAUUCCGAAAGAGCAUCACCAUAAAUACACACAUAUUAAUGCUUCAUUUGAGAGUUAUUUGAUAAACAUAAAAAAAUGCGGCAUCAAUCUUAUAUUUGCGGGAGAUCAACAAAAUCAUAUGCCCAUGUUGGAGCAUCCUCAGAAUUCUGGUGACAAUGGAUCAGCAUUACAAGAUACCGAUGGUAAUGUUCAUGGGGCUAAUCAAGAUGAUGAACACUACCAUAUUCCCAUCGUGUUAGAUCUUCUUGGGAAUUUUGGUGACAUUGGAUCAGUAAUACUUGAAGGCACUGAUGGAAACCGUAAGAGAAGACGUGAUGAUUCCUUACCCGAUGUAGUGGAGGAGCCACAUUAUAAAAGAUUGGGAGCACCCAACACCCAUCUCUCGCUUUGAACUCCAUCAGUAAGUGCAUUAUCAACCCUUUUUCAUGUAUUCUAACUUCUCUCCUUUUUAAAUUAUUUUUAAAGUUAAUAAACUAUUUUUGUAUAUUUCUUUAAACUCAUUUCACUUAUUUUUCUCCAUUAUAUAAAAAUUAAAUAAUUUAAAAAUGUAUACAUCUCUAAUCAAUUUUAAAUAUAUUUUAUUUUCUUUCAUAUUUUCUAUAGAAAAACCAAGCAUAAAAAAUAAUUUUUCUCAGUGUUUUUUUUAUUUCCUAAGUACUCUCUAAGAUUCAAACAUAGUUUAUAGUGAUUGAUAUCAUAACUAUGCAUGUACCACGUUUUAUAGAAUUUCUUCAUUUUCAAAAAAUAUGAAAAAUAACUUCAACUAACUUUGAAAGUCAUCAUUAGUUUAAAAACAUGUAUAGUUUUUUUUAUUUUUUUAUUUUUUUUUAUUUUUUGUACAUAUAUAGCAUAGAUAUGGUAGAGUGAAUUGCUUUUCUUUUCUUUUUUUUCAUUAUUUAUUUAUUUAAUUAGUUAUAUAAAAACCUCUACAAAGUGAUUAUGAAGCUCUAGGGAUUCUUCAUUACCUUAUUAGAGAUAGCAUUAAUUAAUUAUUUGUUUAAUUAAUUUUUUUUAUACUUGUUUUUAAGAUAAAAUUUGAAUAAGUUAUCAAAAUUAGUUAGAGAAGAUCAUGUACACAAAUUAGAAGUUAAAUUUGAAUGUAUUAUGAGGUAGAUAUAUGUAAAAACUUAUAGUGUGUUUGGUAGUAAUUCUGGAAAAUGUUUUUAGUAUUUUUAACAUUUGAAUGAUAAAAUUUUUCAAACGUUAAAAAAGUUAGAAGUGCUUUCUAAAAUCACUGUCAAACAGGAUCUAACGUACUCUUAAUAUUUUUAAUAUUUGAAAAUUUUUAUCAUUCAAUUGUUAGAAAUAUUAUAAAUGCUUUCUAGAAUCACUUUCAAACACACUCUUACUUGAUGGCAGUAAAUAAUGAAACUCCCAUAUAUUGAUUUUAAUAGUUUUAAGAGUCAAAUUGUUUAUAGUUUUUGUAUUGAAGAAUUAAAUUUCUUUAAGUAUGCUAAAACAUUUUUAAACAUGCAUACUUAUUGUCUAUUUCUUGAGAUGGAAGUCUUGGAUUAAUCUUAUAUUUACUUAUGUGAAAUUUGUGAUAUGCUCGUGAAGUUUACUUAACAAAUGAUCAUACUAAUCUUAAGUGAAAUUUGUGAUAGUACCGAUCAGAACGAAAUCACAUGUGGUAGCUGCAGGUGGACUUCAUGUUUUUUCCUAACAACUGAUUGGUAAGUCAUUUUGUUCAUUUAUCCUUUUAGUACGUGUAGAAAAUUGAUUAAAGCCUCUUCAACUUCUUUACUAUUUUCUCUUUCCCUUGAUCCCUGUUUUGUGCGAUUAUGUUUGGUUUUUGGAAAACUUAAAGGAAAAUAUAAGGAAAAGAAAAUAGAGAAAAAAAAUUAAAAGGAAAUAAAAAGUGAAAAAGAAUAAAAACAAGAUUUAAAGUCAAUCAAUUAUUUUCAUAUGUUUCUUCAAUCUUAUUUCAAUUAUUUUGCUUCAUUAUAUAAAAAUUAAAUAAUUUUAAAAUGUAUAUAGUUCAAACAUAAGUUUUAAAAUGUAUAACUAAUUUUAAUUAUAUUUAAUUUUUCCAUAUUUUUUACAAUGAAACCAAACAUUUAUCAUUUUUCUUGACAUUUUUUUAUUGUUUCCUUGGUACUCACUAAAGUCAAACAUAAGUUUAAACCCACUAGAGUGAUCCAAUUGGUGAAGGCAAAUAUUGAGAAGUGUGGUCCCACUAAGUGACACAUGGUCCUGAGUUUGAAUCCUACCACUAAUGAUACUUUGAAUUUAUCUAGUGCUAGUUAUUGUGACGCGAUUAACACUUUGAGGUUUGGUUCCCCAUAGAGUCCUAUAGGCUUAGCCAAGGAAGGUUUUUCAAUUAUUAAAAAAUAAAAUAAAACAUAAGUUUAAUGUUUUAGGAGGUAAAAAAAAAAAGUGGUAGCGCAAUUGACAAUUAACUAGGAUAUAUAUUUUUUCUCAUGUGCUUGGUAUAAGGCACUAAGUAUCAUUAUAUUAAAUCCUCCAUCUACCGCAUGAUAGUUAGUUAUAAAUUCCUUACUAUUAUUAUAGGUAAACAAUAAUUUAUAUAUGUUUAAAUUAAUUCUUAAGUUAAUGGUUAAUAUCUAUUAAUUAUGUUUUUAGUUCCUUUGAUGAUUAUGUUAUAUUUGAACAUUUUAGGGGUAUGAUUUUAGCUUCAUUAGCAUGAAGUGUAUCUAAUGAUAUGUGAUUCCCUAUCACUAUGUUUGAUUUCAAGAAAGUAUAAGGAAAGAAAAAUCCUCAUGAAAAUUAUUUUCUCAUGAAAAAAUCCAAGUACGAAGGAACAUGAAAAUGAAUUUUGGAAAUCAGACACAACCUUGUGAAAUAUACUUGUGUUAAUAAUUACAGUGUGUUUGUUGUACUAUGUUAAUGACAUUGAAAUGUUGUGUUUUAUUCUUUAGCUUUAGGUGGAAACAAGGACAAUGAGGAGAAGUUAAUCUCAAGAUGCAAAUGAGAUUCCAAAUGUUGCUAAGGUGGUCUACUCUUGCACAUGAUUAGUCUCUUACAAUCAUGACCAUCAAGAAAGAUGGUACAAUUUGUGUAUUGAAAGUGUGAAUUAGGAAUGUUAAAAAAUGAAAACUUGAAUUGAUAUAUGUUUUUGCCCAUAAGAUGUGUGGUUAUGGUCAAUUCUUGUGGGUAUGUAAUUGACCUUGAUGUUGCAUAUGAAGCAUGUCACCCUCUCUGUAUCUUCAAGUUAGUGGUUGGAGCUUCUAUAGAUGGUGGAAGACAAGUGUCACCAAUUUAAGUAUUUCUUAAGCUCUCAUGUGGCACUUAGACAAUUCAAGUCUAUUGAAGUUGUUGCUAAGUCUUUCAUGUUGUGACAAAGGUUUUUCACAUUUCACACAUUAUAAUCAUCACAUUUUAACUCAAGUUUUUAAAAGUAUUAAAUUAAUACCAUUCCCUAAUCUUACUCGGCUUGGUUUGUCAACUUCGGUGGUUUAUUACUUUUUAGAGCCAACUUUCAACUUAAUCAAUCCAACGUAAUUGUUAUUGAUUCAUGGUUAAUAAUUCUCGAUCUAAUGUUAUGAUUGUUUUUUAAAAAAUUUGAGGAAAAUAAAAUAAAGAGAAAAAGUACAAGGAAAGGAAAUGUGGAGAAACAUAAAAGAAUUAUAUUUAAAAUUAAUAAAUUAUUUUUAUUUGUUAUUUCAAACCUAUUUUACACACAAAAUUAUAAUAAUAUUUAAUUUUUUCUCUAUUUUCCAUGAGAUACCAAAUAUAAAACAAAUAUUUUUUUUAACAUUUUUUUUAAUGCUUUUUGGAAACUAAACAUAACUUAAUACUUGUCUUUGUGUUUCAAGAUACCAAUAAUACUUCUUGAUAAAAUCAUAUCUAUUAAUGUGGCAUGUAUACAUGUGUGGGAUAUUCAUGGUUCAAUACUAUCACUAUCUUACAAUUGUGGAUUCUAAUUGAAUUUUAUGAAUUAAUGAUAUGAUCUUUCUUCAAACAAAAUGUCUUUGUGAGUUGAAUUAUUUCAAUUGGUCAAACCUCUAUAUUCCAAAUAUUUCUACUUUGAUUAAUCAAGGUCUUUGUGAGUUGACUUUAAUUUGCUUUUAAAUAUCAUCUAUUAAAGUAUUUUAGAUGCUUCUUUGUUUUGUGUAGUAUUGUAAUAGAUUAUGAGAUAAUUGUAGACCAAAUGAUAUACAAAUUAUCUCCUUUAUAGAUGUUUUUUCACUUGCUUUAAAGCUAAGAUUUUGUAAACUAGCUUUUGUCUUUUCUUAGCUUUAAUUUUUUUACUCUAAAACACCCAAAUAAAGUCAUUUAGUUUUGUAUGUGCUAUUUUCUUUAAAAGAGAAACUAAAAAGGGAUGCAUCCUAGUAUAUAGUUGAAGCAGAGAAGGAUUUUAUUCUAAAAUUAAUAUAAAAAAUAUACUUUGAUAAUAUAAUUUUAAACCUCUUUUAGAUGGUGUUUGGUAAACCAACUUAAUAAUUUAAUAUAACAUAAUAACUUAAUUUGUUAUUAAAUAGAUUAAUUAUUUUUGGUAAAAUAAUUUAAUAUUAUAAUAUAAACAUAGUAUUAAGUCAAAAUAGUUAACUUAAGGGUAUUUGGCAAAUCAACUUAAUGACUUAAUAUGAUUUAAUAAUUUAAUUUAAGUCAUUAAAGAGAUUAAACAUGUUUGAUAAAAUAACUUAAUAUUACGACUUAAAGUUAUUUUUAACUUCAAGUAAUAAGUCAAAAGGGUUAAUUUCAUUGAGACCCCUUGAGGUUUGAUAUAAAUAUACUCAAUUACUGUUGUUUUCAAAUUUCAUCAAUUAGCACCCUUAUGAAUUUAUUUUGUUUAAAAAAUUUAUUUUUUUAAGAGAUUUCAAGUAAAAAUAUUUUUGAUAGGAGUGUUUAAUAAUUCACUAAAAACUAAAUUUUAUUUGUUAAAAAAUAAAAUUUAUAUACAUAAUACAUUUAUAGGGAUGUUAAUUGAUGAAAUUGAAAUUUGAAACUUAUGAUGACUUAAUGUAUUUACACUAAACAUGAAGAGUCUCAAUAAAAUUAACUUUAAGUUAAAAUAGUUAACUUAUUCUUAAUCUCAAAUCUUUUUUACCUUAUUUGUCUACAUUUAUUACUUAUUUUUUAUGAUUGUACUUGUAUCUUUAAUACUUUAAAUAUGAAUAUUUAACAAAUAAAUUUAUUAUUUAGGAUUAGUGAAAAUAUAAUUAUUAGUUAAAAUUAAUAAGGAUGAAUAUGUCAAUUUGACAAUUUAAAAUAAAAGUUUUAAGUUUACAGUUUAAGAACCAUUUAACUUAAAAUCAAUUUAAAUCAUUAAGUAAUAAGUAAUAAGUAAUAAGUUUUACCAAAUGCCCACUUAAAUAUAGCUUUUAAAUGAAUUAUUUAAUCAAAAGACAAAUAUAAAAAAAUAAAAAAUAAAAUAAAAAGGAACACACUAAACAGGCAUCAUAAAAUCUUUCACAUGAUUUCUUUACUUUUUUAUUCACCUUCUUAGAAGACGAUUUUAAUAUUUCCUAAGAAAAUUAUGAAAACACAAAAUUGGUGUUUCCAGAUUUUCUAUUUUUAUAAAACUCUAUUUUCUGAAAUAUUGAUUUAUGUUUUCUUUACAAAUGAAAACAAUUUAAACAAAAAAGUGAUUUAUAGUUUCCAUUUUUAAAAUUGAUUUUCACUUCUUUUGACUUAAGGCAUUUUCAAGAUAAGAAAAAAAAAGGAAUAAAAGCUAUUUUUAGAGAAUAAAAAUAAAUGAAAAACAUUUUCCAACCGAAACCCAUUGUUAAUGUUUUCAUCUCAUUGUGCCUUUUUCUAAUCUCCAUCCCGCACUUUGAUGGGCUAAACUCGAAAAUGGAAAGUUAUAUCUUGGCACUUGCUUUAAUUUACAUUUGUUAAAUUGGUUUUGACAUACAUUUUUCAUAAUAAAUGCAAAACAAUAGCCUGAGUUACAAACAUGAUUUCCAUGGUUUUUUAGGUCUCUAAUCACAUAAAGUAUUGAUUCCCAAAUUAAUGAUGCUCUAAAUUUAGUGCAUAGGGCAUUCAGACUCUCAGUUCCAUCAACAUCCAUUUUCAUUUUCUCACCUGCCAAAACCUUAUUGUACAAAUUUCCAUUCAACCUUCAGAUCCAUCCCAUGUUCCAUUUUCAAUCCUAGCCACAUUGUUACCAUAGGGCAAGUUGCUAGUACCAAAUAUUUAAGACAAGUAUACAUACAAUGCAAAUCAGUCCAUUACCCUAAAAGAAAAGGAAAAAGAAAAAGAACUUGUGUCACAGAAAGGAAUAAUCUAUUGGGUCAGUGGCUUGUAUCCAAAGUGAUACCAAACUGUGCUGACAAGGAGCCUUUGUAAGAAUCUGAUACAGCUCCUGCUGUUUCUGAAAGGUUGCUCUUCAUCUCUGAAAUUUUUGAUACCAUGGGCUCUUUGUAUUUCGAAACUGAGUCAACCAAAGCAUAGAGUUCCCAAGCACAUAUCUGAAUUUCAUCCUCAUUUUGCUUGAUUGCUUCCUGCAACUUCAAUUUGGACAUCUUCAUGACGACAUCAAAGUCUAGUCAGAAUCCCUUGAAUUUUUCGAUAAUAUUCACAUUAAUCAAGAACAAUUAUAAAGCCAGGUAGAAAUUUUUAGCUCUGAAAAGGGAAACCAACUUAUGUUAAAAUAAGUUUCUUUCAGGUUUACGAGAUCCACCCUGGCAAUAUUGAUAUCCUUAACUAACUAUUUAAGAGAAGAAAAACAAAAUUAUACCUCCAGAACAUCUGCCACUUCUCUUUCCACAAUAUCUACAUUAUGGGUUUCUAUCUCAACAUCCUCCACCAACUUCUUAGCUUCCAUUGCACAUCUGGAGGUGUAGUUUUGCGUUUCCUUCUUCAAAAAAUUUAAUUGAGCUUCCACCUGACAAAUUGAUCAUUCAUCCAUGGUUAACCUCAUACAACAAUAGCCUAAAAAGAAUUCAUUCUGAUGCCUUGUCAAAAAUCAACCAGAAGAUAAAUAUCCAUGAACGAAAAACAAUUAGAUUAAACAAUGUGUAACCCAAUAAUUUAUGUUGCAAAAUCAAGUUAAACAUCAGAUCCAUCAGAAACAACGAGAUGCAUGAUACUAUUCGAUAGCUUAUUAAUAAAAUCACAUUAUUAGGAAGACACUACUCAAUAGCUCGACACUAAUAAUGGAGUUCUUUAAUAAUGGAAUAACCUUACAUGGCAUAGUUAUGCAAGCAUUGUUUAAGCUAAUGUCAAAUAUAGUCAAAGCCUUGACAAUAAUUUCCAAUCAGCAAGUUGGAAAAUUACUUGCUAAAAAAUAUACUUGGAAAAGGAAUCAAAUGUAGUCAAUCCUUUGUAGGGACUAAUUAUCAUCCAAAAAUAAUUUUUCUUAAGUGUUUUAUAAGCCAUCAAAGCUACUUUGAAAAUUUGGGGCCUGACAAUCUAUGUGCAAUAACAAUUGACAUCUCCAACAGAUUAUUUUUUCUUUUUUAAUCCAAAACAAAUCAUUCAUUGAUAUGAAUUUAAUUACAAACCAAGGAUGAGAAACCCUUUCAAAAUAUAAAGGAUGAUUAAAAAUUGAGGAAAAAUCUAACAAAAGUAGCAAGAUAGCUAUACUAAUCAAGGACGAUACAAGAACUUGAAUAUAGCGACAAUGUACACUUGAAGGGGGUAAAACAUACCUUACAGAAGAGUCCAUUUGCAUGGCUCCACAUUUAGCCAAUCAAUCUGCAACCUGAUUCACUAAAUGAGGGGACCAAUAGAAGGAACAACCCAAGCUACUAGCUAGAUCCAGGGUUUUAGGGAGCUACAUGUCAUACAUCCCAAGACAUGUGAUGGGGGAAAGCCUUUCAAAGUAUAUUCAAAAAGGAAAGGAAGGCACAAAUAAACUUUAAGUGGGAUUAGUAUUAGUUAGAAUAAAAUUAGAAUUAGUAUUUAUUGGAAUCAAAUUAGGAAUAGCUAAAUAAUUUAGAGGAGACUUAGAGUCAUAAUAGGUUAUAUUAGAAUCCUAGUAGGCUUUGAAUUUCUUAGAGAAGCCUAUAAAUAAAGCUAAUUGAUGUAAAUCAAAGUAAUGGAUCGAUAAUUAAUAAUAUAACGUUUCCUUGCAUACUUUGCAAUUUUGAAUGGUAAGACUCUUGAUUUUCUUCUAGGUGAGACUCUUAGAAGGCCUUAGUGAGACUCAAAGCUUUCUAGCUCUUCUUCUCCGUAUCUUCUUUCUCAAUGUUUUUUCAUUUUAUUUUUCUUUACCAUAAACUUUAUCCUUUAUUCCUCACCUUAAAUGGUUAAACCCUAAAAAAUAAAAACCGUAGCCCACUUAUUUGAUUGUAGGCAACCAUCAUAGGGUUGUCUUACGUCAAUAUGUCCAACAAUUUAAUCAUCCCUUUUAAUCCAAUUUGAAAAUAGCACCUAUUCUUAACUGAAUUAUACUAAAGCAUAUUUGGGUCACUUUUCUAAAGCACAUGUCUGGUUUCCAAAAGUGGACACAAUUCUAGAAUUAUGCAAUUGGAGUAUGUGCAUCUAGGGCAUCCUGAAGAUAUGUGCAUUCUGAAAAUGAACACGUAUUCCUAUUUCUUCUCCCUCUUCUCCCUCUUCCCUAUAUUUAUUAUUUAUCAUAUCUUUACAUCACCUAGGUACCAUAUCAAAACCAUACAACAAGCUGGCCCUUGAUCAGCAUCCAUCUGACCCUGAUCAAUGGACUUCAGAAACAAUGGCAUGCACCCUACAUUUAACUUCCAAGUCCUCUGGACCAAUUUGACAUAACUAUGGUAGCACACUUUUUGGGUCACCCUUUGUAUUAGUUCAAAGGAACAUUACAACCUGAGCUGUCCAUUGAUGCCAAAAAGCUGUAAUGUGGGUAAUACAUGCUUUGCUCAUAUACAAUAAUUGUUUUUAGCAAUGGAUACAAAAUGGAUGUCUAUCUAAGGCAUCCAAAAGCUAAGAUUUUAUCUACAACCAGAAGAGUACAACCCCUAAAGUUGAAUGGAUACAAAAUGCCCAUGAUUGUCCCUUAAUAAUAACCCCUAACCCACAACCGGCUCCGAUUUCCCAAAAAGCAACCUUCCCAGGAAGUGUUUCUAGGAGGAAUAACAAACUUAUCUCUCAACUUAUCCCCUUCAUCACCCACAUAGUUUUAAAAGGUGCAAGGCGCACCUAAGAUGCAAAGUUUCCUAUAGCUUAAGCACAAGGCGCAACACAAGGUGUGCGUCUAAGUGAAGUGAAAUGUGACCUAGAAUACACAUCAAUUUUAUAAAAUAUGAUUCAAAAUCUAAUCUGAUCAAUAAAAAAUUUAAAAUUCGAAACAUUUAAAAGAAGCAUUCAAUAAAAAAGUAAUGAAAUUAUAUACAUUUCAGUAUAUAAUUAGAAAUUUAAAAAAUAAAAGUGUUUACAAAGGAAGAGUAAAGCUGACAAGGCACACUUUUUCAAUAAGGCACAUAUCUUGGCAAGCAAGCGCUAUAACUUGGGAGUGGUGGCGCCUUGAGCCUAGGCGCACUUAAAGCACGCCUUUUAAAACUAUGAUCACCCAUUAGACAGAUGGUUAGACCAGGCAGCUCUUGCUUUUUUUUUUUGAUAGGUAGACCAAGCAGCUCUUGCUAUUAAAUUUUGAGUGACAACUGCUUGUGUAACUGACACCAUUUGCCCUUUGUACCAAAUUUUAGAUUGACCAUCGGGUGGUACUAUACUCCUUUCCAAUUAUUUUCCCUCCCAUAUUUCAUUUGAGUCAUUCUGGAAUUUAGCAAUAUUCUAUCCCAAUGGAAUUUCUAGGAACAACAUUUUUCUGUCAAAAUUUGAAUACAUCCAAAUUAUCACCUUUUUGAAUUCUAAUUGUAGUCCAAUCAAUUUAACCGCAGUAAUUGAUUUUCCAAGAAAUUUUCUUAUGUGCAUUCAACUACUAGCAAUUCAAGAAAACAUUUUUUUUUUUUUGGAUAGGUAAAUCACAAUUAAAAAAACAAAUUAAACGAAGGGGCAAGCAAGAUUAAAAAACAAUUGUCUUUUAGAUUGCAAAGAAAAUACCAAAGAAGCUUACGGUUACAACUUUAGUUUUCCUGGAGUGGCAUCCAUGCAAUAUAAUGACCAUGCAAUUGUAUAUGCUACUGCUGGUACUUUAGAAAUGGUAUUGCUAACAAAGUCAGACCACUAGGUAAAGAAGACCUGCUUUGAUUUGUUAUAUAGAUAGAUGGAUACAAAGAGAGAGAGACAGAGAGAGAGAGAGCGAGAGAGAGUUUGGCCUUUUCUGAGAGCAGCAAAAAGAGGUUGAGUUAAUUUGUACUUCAGUUAAUUGCAUAUUCAAUAGGGGAUCAUUGGCUCCAACUAUGUGCCCACCCCCUCCAUCUGUAUCCUUAUGUAUGUGUCUGAGAAUUUUAUGGGUCUGUCAUUCUUUCCAAAAUUUUUAUGUGCUGAGGAGUUCUUCUUUCUUGUAACAUGAUCAAUCUUGUUAUUUGUACCAAAGAUAUUCAGGAAUGUCUUUGAGAAUUUUAUGAGUAGAGGAUUCAUCAUCCUCUCCAAAAUUUUUGUCUUCUGGAGUUAAUCUGUAUCUAACAUCACCAAUACUUUUACCCUUCUUUAAAAUUUUUAGGAAAACAAAGUGAAAAUCUGGCUGCUCCGGUUGACACCCUAAAAGCAUAUAAAAAAGGCAUAGUUUUUUAUUCUUCGUGAGAGGUAUAUAAAUGCAUAGCUGCUGAACAAGAAAAAUGAGUUCUAAUUCACUUACUUCAUCACAACUAGUUUGAAGUGCAGCAAGACGAUUUUUUUUUGCUUCAAUUUUAGCAGCAUUUUCAACUGAUUGUUCCUGAAGAGAAAUCAACUCUUCCAACUUUAGCAUAGAGCAUUUUAUUUAUGUCAUCAGCAAAGGAGUCAAGUGCAGGCUUAAGCGUUGAUUUGUAAUCAAUUCCCAAAACCUCAGCAGGCAAAGACCCUUUGGCAUUCAAAACAUACUGCAAACCAUUUCCUAACUUUAACCUGGAAACCAUCCAAGAGAAAAUACUUCAAUCACACAAUAGAUUGUAGUUUAAUAGGUUGAAAGAGUUGCAUGAGGUGGCAUGCUAAUUUUUCAAUUCAAAGAUGCUCCUGAAAAUUAAGUAUUUAGUGUUGUCUCUUCAUGGCUAUUAGUUUACUUCAAAAAGUUAAAUAGAACAUGGUCCCAAGGGAAACAAUAGGCUCCUAAGGCAGGGCUCAGGAGGCAAAGGGUUGGGUGGGAAUGGGAAGGUUCCAAGUUGAAAUUCAUCUACCGAGAGAGAGAGAGAGAGAGAGAGAGAGAGAGGGGAGGGGGGAAGAGGGGAGGCUACCUCAAAAAAAGAGGUUGCCAAGGGCAACUGUAUCACCUAUCUCUUUCUAAAUAAAUUAUUAGAAAACUUGUGAGGAUGGAAGUGUUAAAUGGAGGUUUUUUUUUUUAAAGCCAAAUCGAGAAUGAACAUUAACUAACCUUAAAAACCUUUUUAUUUUUCUUACUUUGACAAAGCUCCAGAAUGGUUAGCAGUUUGAGAGUAACACUUAGCUCAAAAGGUUAAAGAAGAUGAACAAACAUGAAAUCAUAAACCAAUACAAAAGAUGUAAUGCACCCAAAAGAUAAAUGCACGUAAGGCAAAUUACAACUCAGAAACUACCCAUUGUUGGUGUUGAAUCACAACCCAAGUAAACAAAUGAAGUUUGAGUUGGCUACGUGGAAAUAAUGCAUGUGACUCAAGAAGACAUAAGCCAUUGAAUGAUUCAGCAACUACAUUCACCUGGUCUGAAUUUUUGUCGACUGAAAUUUUAUUUUUUUGUUAGGUAAAUUUUUUUGUCCCUAUUGGGAUUUGAACCUGAAACUUCCACAAACCCUCCCAAACCUUUACCUCUUGAGCCAGGCCUCAAGGGCAUGUUCACCGGAAUAAUUUAAGCAGAGAACAGCAGCUGGAUCCUUCUUAGGAAUCAUCAACUAGUCAUGCUGUAACUACAGAGCCAGAUCCUAUGUUCUCACUGAAGUUAUACUAAAAUGUUGUAUAUGUUAAUGUAUUUGCUAAGAACAGGAAAAUAUUUCAUAUCACCCAUAAAUGACAAAAAAAAUCUUGUAAUCUAAUUCAUGGAGGUAGAUAACCUAAUGUUGAUAAGAAUCACAGUAGACUUCAAUGGAAUAGAGAAAAUUAAUUCCAAGCAACACCAAACCUAAGAAAGAACACGAUUCUACCAUGUUCAUUAAUUAUCAGAAAGCAUACUGAAGAUUACUAGAAAGACUUUAGAGUAUGCAACUUAAGAAAUUAAGAAAAUCCUAGUGGAGUGGAUUAUAGAGGUACCAAAGCCAAACAAAGAGGAUAAGGAAAAGAAAACCUCCAGAGAGCCUGGUUGCAUUCAAUUGAAAGAGCUUCAAGCUCCUUAAACUUGUGCCCAAUUGUCGUGUCAACAUCCCAAGACUUCUCCUCCCAACCAUUCCUUGCAACCUCAGCCUCCGUGAUAUCUCUCUCAACUGCCUGCAACUCCCUCUUCAUCCUCUCUGCAUCUCUUGCAUUAAACGUCUGCAACUCAACCCUCUUCUUCAGCUCUUCAUUCUCCUCGCAAAUUCUAUUAUUCUCUUCAACCUUCACCCCCAACUCCUUCUCCUUCUCAUCCAAAAUCUUCUCCACAGAUGCAAUCCUUCCUGAAAAUUCUGCAAUUAUUGCAUGAAAUUUCUUCACAUCCUCCUCCAACACCCCCCUCUCCUUCUCCACAACCUCCUUAGCCGAAGGCCCCGACCUCAAUUCCUCCAACCUCCCCUCCCUCUCUGCCACCUCCUUCUCCAAUGCCUUCACACCUUUCGCCACUGCGUCCCUCUCCCUUUCCAACUUCCCCAUAAACUCCCUACCCACCGCCUCCAUCCCAUCAUCAUCCCCGCGAAUAUAAUGCAAGUAACUAUCCAAUGCAUACACAAAAGUAUUGUCAAAAUACUCCAAAUUCGACACAAGAUGGUCAUUAUACAAUGCGAUUUGAGCCAACCAAUGCAUUACGCCUAAAAGGGAAGGCCAAACAGGCGGGGUUCCGGGGGCUUUGAGAGCGGACUUGUUGAGCUUGAUCGGGCAAUUGAGAUGCUUGAGGAGGAUAGGAAGAUCGUCUUCAAGUUUGGUUGUGGGGAAAUCGNNNNNNNNNNNNNNNNNNNNNNNNNNNNNNNNNNNNNNNNNNNNNNNNNNNNNNNNNNNNNNNNNNNNNNNNNNNNNNNNNNNNNNNNNNNNNNNNNNNNUGAGGGGGAGAGGAGAGGAAUGGGAGGCGAGAAAGGAGUUGAUGGUGCGGAUGGCGGAGAGUUGGUAGGACCGGUUGGUGAGGGCAUCGCCGGCGGAGGAGCGGUUGAUUCCAAGGGAGGAAGGGUGGCUGCUGGCGAAACUAGCGUCAGAGUUGCGGCUGAAUUGGCGGUGGUGGUCGACGGAGGGAGGUGGUGGCGGCGGUGGGUGGAUAGAGUCCUUCGGACGGCGGCGGCCGGUGGCUUUCAUCCCCGGCUGUGAUGGGCGUCUCUCUCUCUUCUGAGUUCUUGUGAAUUCUGAAUCUCUCUUUCCCGCCUAUGGGCUACUGGGAAAAUGACACUGCUUUUUAAAUUUUAUUUUUGAAAACAUUUUUUUUAAAUGAAUUAUUUUUAAAAAUAUUAAGAUAUUAUUUCGUAUUUUAAUAAUAUAAAAUAUUUUCACCGAAAGGAAAAAACAAAUCAAAUUACCGAAAAAACACUGUUGACUGAUCAAGGACGGGCGGGCAGCAAAGUAUUGAUGAACUUCAACAGGUUAGAAGGAUGAAAGGUGCUGAUUGUGUAUUAGUUCAAUUCUUCUUUAAAUCUAUUUUCCAUACAUCUUGAUUAACCUCUAAGUAAUUGCAUACUCAGAUUAUGCAGUCAAAAGCAAUUUCAUAUUGAUCCAGCCUGCAUACGUGAGGUUCAGGAGAUCUCUCUUUCAAGUCAGUUCCAACAUAAGCACAUUGUUCAAUAUUAUGGCACAUUCAAGGUAUUUUUCAAAUUUUUCUUGUUGGAUUGGCUUCUUGUUAUGUACCACUCUUGGAAUCAGGGCUACCGUUUGCAAAUUUGCAUUUUUUGNNNNNNNNNNNNNNNNNNNNNNNNNNNNNNNNNNNNNNNNNNNNNNNNNNNNNNNNNNNNNNNNNNNNNNNNNNNNNNNNNNNNNNNNNNNNNNNNNNNNUUUGGGAGAAUAAUAUCGAUAUAUAUAUAUAUAAAAAACCCUACAUAAUGCUGCAUGCAAGACACAAAUUUAGGAACUUGAUCUGGGUCUUGUAGAGUUGUUGCAUGAGUCCUCUGGCAUCUUUGUACCUCAGAGGACUUAACUCGCUGCUAGUGCUGGGUUGGGCCUAAUUUAUAGGGAAGAAACAUUGGUGGAGGCAGUUGAUAAAGCCCAGAGUUGACGGCUGUUAACACUGGUGAAGAGGACGGGAAAAUUUUUAGCUUUGAAGAGUUACCUCAUUCUCUUAACUACAUCUGUGCUCAAGUGGCAGAUUACUAGUCCUAAUAUUCCUCAGAAUGCUCCUGGCUUUAGGAAGAAGACAUGAAUUAUGGCAUCAAUUUGGGCAUACGUCCCUCCUCUGCAGUAAAUCUAGAGUGCCAACUAAAACUUGGGACUGAUAAUUUGUUGCUCUCACUUGGGAACCCCCAUGCAGUAACAUUAGUUAGGUCUUUUCCUCAUAGAAUAACCAUGAAAGUCUUUGUGCUUAUUAGUAUAAUGGCUACUCUAGUGAAGGCCCAAUGUUCAAGAGGACUUAGAAAGGAUCUUAAUGUUAUGGGAUUCAAAAUCCUUAGAAGGCAUGAAUCUUUGGUGGUAUCUGUCUUAAGUUCAAUUAAAAUUCGAUUGAAACUUAUCUGGAAGAUCCGUAGGUGUUUGAGGUUUUGGACCAAAUCAAUUGCAGCUUAGGGAGAAGCUGAGUAACUGCUCAGGGUAGCUUUUGAUUUGGUGCACUGAGGAGAGUUCAAUGUUAUUGGGUCUUUUAGGGAAAAGCUAUUUUGUCUAGAAUUCCCAGUAGCGUGAAUGACACUGAUGAGCUAAUCAAAAGUUGUGGCUUAGUUGAUUCAUCUCUUAGAGUGAGGCCUUUCCAUGGUCAAACAAGCAAGAAACCCCAGUUUGAAGAGGUUUGGUAGGUUCUUGAUCUCAACAGAGUGCAACAUCAUUCAAGAAUCUUACCUAGGCUAGUAUUUGAUUAUGGUUCCAUGAUAUGGAGGUUAACUAAUUAGAUGAUUCUCACCCUCUUUUCUUUUGAAAAUAUGUGGUUGCUGCACCCAAAAUUUGGUGAUAUUAUUAUGGAUGUUGCAUGAGAUUCAGGUCUCAGUAUGGGAAUGAUAGAUUUAUUGUGUAGCCUUAAGUCAAUCAAAGCUUUCUUUGAAAUAUUGAAGAAAGAAACUUUUGAUAUUUCUGGCAAGAGGAACACUGUGAUAAUCACACUUGAAGGAAUGGGUCAUAUGAUGGAAGAACUUUGAUAUCUUAGAAUGAAAAGGAAAAUAAGGUUGGAGGAAUUAUGGGAGGGAAGAGCUAGAGACAAGAGUCUAGGUUGAAAUGGGUCAGGGAGGGUAAUUGCUACUCAAAAUUGUUUCACUGGGUGGAUAAAUUAUGGCAGGUAGAAGAAGCUAGAAAGGAAUGCCUGGGUAUUUGAAGAUAGGAAGAGUUAGUCUACUGAAUUUCAGGAGAAUUACUAUGGAUAUUAGUUACCAAGAAUUUAUCAGAAUUCCCUUCAACAUCAGUUACGUUCCCAAUUGGAAUAGUAGUGAGCUGCUUUGACAGUUGGUGUUUUGAAGCUUAAUUUUGCUGAUGUUCCUUGGAAAUUGGGAUUGGAUGGCUAUUGGCAAUCUAAUAUAGGAUCACAGGCAAGUUUAUUCAAGGUUCUCAAAGAAAGCUGGUUUUGGGCUGACUAUUGAAGCAAAAAUUUCUUGCUCUAAUGGUGGAGGUGGAUUAACUAAUAGUUUUAUCUUGGGUGGCUAGUAGUCGGAGAGUGUUGUGCGAGAUACAAUCAUUGGGUGCUGAGGAUCAUGCAAUUUGAUAGUUGUGUUCUCUUUUCCCUGGAAGCCUAGAUCCUUGAAUUAGAAAGGCUAUUAGUUGGCCAAAAAUGGAUCCUGUUCUUGGUUGGUUUAACUGGGGAUAUCAUGCCCCGUGUUUUGGUGGUUAAUUUCCUUAAGGUUGGGCAGCGAAAGGCUCUCUGGUGUGCGGACUUCUGUAUUUGUCUUUUUAUAAGCCUGUGCAAUUUUUUUGAUGGAUUUGUUUUGCUUGUUCCUUUUUACAAAUUCUUUGUAUAUUUUCUUAAUUUCUUCAUAACUAAAAAUAAACAGUACUAAAGCUCUGUUUAGAUUGACUUUUUGGAAGCAAAAAGAUCCUUUUUAAGUCUAAUAAGAUCUUCAAUAUGUGUUUUUGGCUUCACUGAAGUACUUCUAACCUUAAAAGGAGUUCAACACAUACGUAUGGGCAAGCUGUUUUUCAGUUUAUGUGGGAAAUUGUUUUAUGUUUAGUGAAAUCACACCAAUGCCAAGAUUGCCCCUUUAAAAUAAUGGUUUUAGCUUUAGCUUCAGUUCCUCACCAAAGUUAAAGGCAAAAUAAUAUCCUCAAACAAGACCUAAAUCUGAGGCCACAGCAGCACUGUUGCAAUCUUCAUGAGGUUGACUGAGUACAUGUCUCUGUUAGAGAGUUAAUAGGGAUUCUGAGUCUAUGUUGAGUAACCAAGGUUUUGCUUUUAGAGUUGUUAUUAUUUUCAAUCAUAUUUUUGGAUGUUAAUCACAAAAUUUUAUUUCAGAGGCUAUAGAAGGAUUGCCCUGACUGGAUGACUCUUAAAGUGGCAUGUUCUGUUUUAGCUGCUUGAUGAGAACUAAACCUUAGACUAAAAUUCAUGAGGGGGUCUCUUGAGCUUCCCAUCUGUUAUUUUUCAAGUUCACUUUUUCCUCUAAAGAACCUUUUUUUAAUCUCUCAUCUACUUAUCGUAUCAGCUAUUUUAUCAUGGUAUUUGGCCUUAUUGUUGUUUCAAGCUAUGUUCUUGCCUUGUAGGUCUGCUUCUGAAUGCAUGUUUCUAAACAUUCAUGCAUCAUAUGCAUCUUUUAUUUCCCUCGCAGGCUGUCUAAUUGACAGUCUAAAUACUCAGUAGUUACAUUUUUCUGUUCUUUGGGGUGAAUUAGUAUUUUUCAUGUUUUUGUUGUUGUCUGUUCCUUUAUGAUCUGGUUCUGGUACUGCAUCAAGAGGAUUGGAGUUCAUGUCAUAUUUUUUUUCUUGCUUACUCACAAAAUGUCUUGCCAUUCCAGGACAAGACCAAACUUUAUAUCUUUCUUGAGCUUGCAACUGGAGGUUCACUUUUAAAUCUCUAUCAAAAGCAUAAACUGUCAGACUCCCAAGCCUCUAAAUACACAAGGCAGAUUGUGAAAGGUUUGAAAUAUCUACAUGAGCAUAAUGUAGUUCACAGGUGAUUCAAAUGAUCUUACUACUACAUUUUUUGGUUAUAUUGCUUGUGCUUUAUUUGUUUAUACCUUGCUCUAUCCACAUGCCAUUACUGCUUGAAACAUGUGCUGAUUAUUUCAAUUAUCUGCCUUUGCUACCAAGAGAAUUGCAUAUGCAUAAACUAAAUGGCCUUCUUACUCAGGGAAAAUUGGUUCACUCUGUUGAGAAAGUUCUUCAGUUUUUAUUUUAUUAUUUUAUUUUUGUUUUUAUCUUCUUGAAACCUUCAAUAUUAUUUGGAUUGCACCGGUUAGCCCACUUACUGAAUUCUGUGAUUACAGACUGCUUGGUGAAGUGAAAAGUUCAACACUCCCACCUGCCCUCUUCCAGGAAAAGAAAAAUGGAAAAACCAAAAACAAAAAGAAGAGUCAGGAGCAUGGAUGUUAAACAUGGUCAUUGUCUGAUAACUAAGAUGAAACUACCCAAAGCCUUGGUAUAGAUAUAGAUAUCCCCAAUUUUCUGUGUACCUUACAUUGUGUCUUCACAUGUGGGGUUUACGUUGUUUGUUUUGAGAUUAUUGUGUAUCUUAAUAGUUUAAUCCUUUCAUAAAACUCCAUGUAAGUUAUGAUAUGAGGUGUGGUCCAUUUCCAUUUGACUUCAUGCAAUUAGCUGUAUUAUAUAUCACUUUGUAUAUUCUGCCUCAGUGCUUGAUCUUGCUAUAAUAUAAUUUUUUUUUUCUUUUUUCUUUUUUCUUUUUUCUUUUUUAAUUUGUAAGUCAAAAUUUUCUUUAAAAGCAACAUAUAAGAAAACAUACAUAAUAAUGAUUCAACUUUCUCUCUCUCUCUGAUUCACUUGAUUUGAGUGUCUCUUCAGGAGAGUUUUUGGGUCAUGAUUACAGAAUGGAAACCUGAAAAUUGAAAGAAUCCUAAUGCAAAAGCCAUUUACAAUGCUACAAACUCUCUCUCUCUCUCUCUCUCUCUCUCUCUCUCUCAUAUGAUUGAGAUGGUAAAUGGCAUAACUAGCAAGGCUAGAACCAUGGAGGGAUGUGAUCAUGGGACUCAGAAGUACCACCAGUAGGUCAUAAGGGAAAUUAGGCUUAUUGAUUUGGUCAUGCGCAACAAAGGCCAAUAAUUGCAUUGUUAAGAAGAGAUGGGUGGACAUUGGGAAUCAAUUGAGGUUACUUCAGGAAAUUAGACAUUUGGAAUGACAGUUGAAGCCACAAUGUUGUACAUUUACUUACACAUAAAUUGUUUCUGUUGUAAGACUAAUAGGUUCUGUAUCAUCUUCGAGGGAUAUCUGGUGGAUGUAAAUGGAACCGUGAAACUUGUGGAUUUUGGAUUGGCAAAGGUUAGUUUCUAUUUACUAGAGUUAUCUCUCUAUUGUUUCAAAAUGCUAGACUUCUAAAUAUUAUAUUUCUGGUUGUAUAUCUUUUCAGUUUUGCAAAUUGAACGACAUAAAAUCUUUUAAAGGGACUGCAUUCCGGAUGGCCCCUGAGGUAUCUUCCUCUCUUUCAUUCCUUCAUUUCUUAAACAAAUCAUGUUUGGUUUUGAAUUGAGAACUAUAUUUUAUGGAACUGUACUCGGUAGAAUCUUCUUAUACCAUGAAGAAGCAUGCAUGCUUAAAAUGUAGGCUCUGAAACCCUUGCCUUUUAGCAGGUGGUUGCGUCAGAAAAGGAAAUGACAUGAUUGAAUUGGGUUAUUGAAUAGCUCGAUUAUUGGACUGGAGCUAUCCCAACUAACAAAUUGAUAAGUUGUUGUUUUCCCAAAUUGUUGCUCUUUCUAAGAUUUUAUCCUACAAGGCAUUUAGUCCAUGCCAUGUCUUAUUACCAAUGCAUUUUGAUUUAGCAUCAGUCAUUAGUAUCUUUCUGUACAACUGCCAAUAUACUGACACUAAUAGAUGCAUGGAACCACUGAGUGCUCAAUUGAUGAGGAUUUUCCAUUCAAAUCUGAGAAUUUAGGCAUCAAGCUACCUUUUUCCAUUAACUCUCUCUACUUCUAAGGGUGGUUAAACCCUUGCUUCAUUAUUUGGUAACAAAAAUUAGUACAUCACCAGAAGAUUGGUAGGGGGAUCCUACAGUUAGGGAUGCAAUGAAGUGGAUUGGAACUGAGUGACCCAUCCUUCUUCCUGAGAACCCGAUUUAGUACAUUUCAUUCCAAAGCUGCUCCAUUGGGACAAAUUCUUUAACUUUCUGGACUGCAGGUUUGUGAAGAGAUGUUAAAGCCCUGGCUAAAAAUGAAAUAGUGGUGUCUGUUUUAUAAAACAAAAUAUGGUCACCAGCAAUCUACAUUUUAGCUCGAUAUUGCCCUUCUGAAAUAAAUUUCUGACUCUUUGCCCCUGAGAAUGAAUUGUGGUUUUGCAACCGCCCAGAUCUGUGGAUUUGAAUCAGUUUUUACUUUGAAAUCAUGCUCAAACACCCUCGUCUUACAACUGUGUUUAUUUAUAAAUCCUGCACCAGUUGGGAGUAGAACUCUUAAAUCCCUGUUCUAAAUCAUGUCCAAACAUGUUAUAAGUCUUUGUGUUAACCAUAUUUGAAAGUUUUUUACCAAGGACAUUUGUCAUUAUAUUAUGUGGCACUGGCACAGGAUGCUCCAAGCAUUAUGGUUUCUUAUAAGUGUUGAUUUUACAAAUAAUUUGUGCCACUGUAGGUCAUUAAUGAGGACAAACAAGAGAACGAUGGUUAUGGGUUUGCAGCUGAUAUAUGGAGCCUCGGGUGCACUGUAUUAGAGAUGUUAACUCGGCAACAUCCAUAUCCCAAAUUGGAGCCGGUAUGUAUAAGCUUCAAUGGAAACAAAUAAUCAUUCCAACAUUACAUUCUUAUAAUGCAUCCAAACAUAAGAAUUAGAAUCACCAAAUCUAUUUCUAUUCAAGAAGAUAUAGGAAUGAAAACAAAGUUUUUAUUCUUAUUCCUCAUUCCCAUAUACUAAACAUGGCUUGAGGGCAAUGGACUGAUUUCAAUGGUAUGUAUACUUGUCUUAAAUAUUUGGUAUUAGCAACUUGCCCUAUGGUAAAAGUGUGGUUUGGGUUGAGAAUGGUAUAAAGAUGAGCCUAGGGUUGUCAAUGGAGCCUGCAAAUAGCUGUUGGAUUUGAAGGUUGAAUAGGAAUUUGCACAAGAAGGUUUUGGGAGGUGAGAAAAUGAAAAUGGAUGUUGGUGGAACUGAGAGUAUGAAUGUCUUAUGUACUAAAUUUAGUAACACUCUUUCAAAAUAUACAAUAUAAAAUUAAGAAAAUAAAAUUUAAUUCAAUAUCUGUAAAACAGUAUUGGGAGACCGCAUAUUGGACGUUGUUUUCAUAAUCUUGUGUUUGUCCUAAGUCUUAACUCUUAAUAGGAAAAAACAUGUUUUUGAUGGAGUAUAUUCCCUGCAAUGAGGUGUACUUGUCCUUAACCUCCUUUCAAAGUCGAAUCAAAAAACAAUGUUAGGAAUCAAAAUCGAAUCAAAAAGAGGGAAGUGAGGGUUUAGAUAUUAUCUUGUCCGAGACCAUCCAACCUUGAUUAUAUAUAAAAUUAAUUUUAAAAAAUAAUUUUAUUGAUUUUUUUCUAUUAUCAUUUUUAACACAUAAAAUAUUAAAAAAUUAUUUUUUAAAUAAAAUAAGUUAUAGAAACUAUAAUAUUUUACUUAUUUAUAAAAUAUAUUUAUUUUUAAUAUAAUUUAAAAAUUCUAAAAUUAUUAAUUUUUUUUAAAUAAAGAAAAUACAAUGAGUAUGGUGGCCAUGAAAAUUACUUUGUAUAAAUGUGAUAGGAUUGAUAUGGGUAACUCAUCGUCAACCCAACUAAUCAUCAUCCUUACAAUUAAAAUUUUACGUAAAGGAAGGGUACAAUUGGUAUUUUUAUUUAUUAUAAAGAAAGUAACUGAAAUGGCUUUUGAAACCCGAUGAUAUCCAAUUGGAGAUAAAUUCCCAACUUCAAAAUUAGUAAAGUUAAUUUUUUUUUCUUGAACAAAUUUAGGAACUUUAUGAAUGUCACGUUGUUGCAAGUGUUUAUACUAUAAAAAUAUUCUUAAAUAAUUUUAUUGGUAAACAUUUUUAGGAAUAAUUAAAUUAUUUUUAAUAAAAAAUCUUGAAGUAAUAACAUAAUACAUCGAAUAUUAAUUUUUUAAAUAUAUUUAUGUAAAUUAUAUAUACUUAUUUCCAUCCAUUGAAGAAAUUCCAAUGUUAGUGGAUGGGUGAAAAAAAUAUGAACAAUAAAAAAAGAAAAAAAGUUGAUAAUAACAAUUGCAUAACUAAAAAAGUAUUUGCAAUUUAGAAUCAAUCAUUUGAUGGUUAAUUUUUGAAAGAUAUUAGAAAGAUUAGUUUUGAAGAUUAUUGUGACUUAUUUUUCAAUUAUAUUUGUAGGUAUUCUACUUCGUAGUUUCCUUUUAAAAAAUGAUAAUAAUAAUAAUAAUUUUCUCUUAUUUUAAUAUCUUUGGUACAAAACAAUAAUUUGAUUUUUCUCUUAUUUUUAUUUCUUUGAUACAAAACAAUAUUAUAGUUUAUAUUUGGACCACCAAAAUGCAAUAUGAUUUAGAAAAAGGUAAAAAGUUUUUUUUAUAAAUUAAAUUUGUAUUAUAUUUAUCAACAUUGUAAGUUCUAAAUUUGUUAUACUUCAAAUAUUUUUCUUAAAAAUGUAAUAUAUUGAUCAUAAGAAAUCAAGAUUAAAAAACCUGAGAAAUCAAAUAUUUUUCUUAAAUAUUUGUUGGUGACAAAAAAAAACAAAAGAAAUUAAAAAUUAAUAAUAGAAAAAUGUGUUUUGUAUUAUUUUAUAUGAAAUAACUACCAUUCAUUAGCGCUAGUUCCAUUAAAUGCUUUAUUAUCACACACUUAAAAGAUGUUUAAAAUCACAUUAUUAAAAUAUAUAUUUUAUAUUAAUUUGAGACUAAAAUCCAUCUUUAUUUCAAGUACCUACAAACUAGGAUCCAUUUUUUUAAAAAUAAUUUUUAUUUAUUUAUUUUUAUUUUCUCUUUUAAAGAAAAUGAUGUAAACAAAACUAAAUGUUCAUAUCUUGAGGUUAUGUUUGAUAUGUGGGAAUGAAGAGUGAUAAUAGAUAUCUUAUUCAUUUUCACAUUUAUUUUUAUAUUUAGAUAACUCAAGUUACUUAUAAAUGAUAUUUCAAUUUAUCCUAUGAGGUAUUUUGAUUCUAUAAAACAAUUUGUUUUUAAAGAUAUUUUUCAAAAAUUUAAAAAUCUAAACCUUUUACUGAUAAGUUGUUUUUAAAAAUAUUUUAUUUUGAUUUUAUAAGAAACGAAUUGUAAAUUCAAGUUAUAUAAUAUAAACUAAAUUUAAUUUGUGCCUUAUUAAAAAUAAAAAAUAAUUUGUAUUUAUAAAUAAAUUAAAAAUAAAUAUUUUAAAUAAAAUAUUAAUAGUAAUAUUAUAAUAAAAUCAUAAAUUAUAUUUUUUUAAAUAUUAUAAAAAUAUGAUAACGUAAUUGAUUUAUUUUGUUAAUAAUAAUAAUAAUAAUAAUAAUAAUAAUAAUUCAAAAUUAAUAAUUGCUAAUACUAAUUUAUUUUAAAUGAAUUUAAAAUUAAAUAAAGUUUAAUUUUUUAAGUAUAAAUGAGUCAAAUUUUUCAUUACAUACAUACAUUUAAUACUCAAACAUGGUAUUCUUAAAUUUUUUAUUUAAUUUAUAAUUAAUAAAUCAGUUUUUUGAAUUUCAAAUUAUUAUUAAAAAUUAAAAUAUUUAUUAAAAAAUUCAAAAUAUUAAUUAUUUCCAUUAUUUUUUAUAGUCCUUAUAUAUAUUUUUUGAGUUUCAAAUUUUCUUUUAAAAAAUUAUUAAACUUAUUAAUAAAUUUAAUACAAAGUCUUCCUUAAUUUGAAUUUCUAGUAAAAAAAAAUGGUUUUCUAUUUUGCUUUGUUUAUAGAGCACGAUAAUCAAAUAGUGGUACAAUUUUUUUUAAAAACAAAUUUGUUUGUAAAUCAUAUGUGCAAAUAGUUUUUAUUAUUUAGCAAAAACGUUAUAGACCCUCUAUUUUGGCCCUAACACACACACACACACACACACACACACACACAUAUAUAUCUAUAUAUAUAUAUAUAUAUAUAUAUAUAUAUAUAUAUAUAUAUAUAUAUAUAUAUAUAUAUAUAUAUAUAUAUAUAUAUAUAUUUAUUAUUUUUUCUCUCACCCCACUAUUUUUUUAGCAUGUAUUUAGAUCCAUUUUUGCUCAGUUUUUCAUCAUCCCGGUCCAUGUUUCACAUUAUUGAUUUUUGAGCUAUAUUUUGGAGACCAUUUAAAGGGUUAUUUCAGGUCCUAGCAUGAUUACCGGACGCCCAUUAGGAUUAGUUUUUUUUUAGGGUUUGCUUUUGGAAUUUUAGAGCCUUUGAGUAGUUGGGUUGGGAUGAGGACACGUGUACUCAUUCUAGCCUUCCUUUGUCUCUUUUAAAGGCCUUUUUGGCCUUUAGUGAAGGGUUUUUUUUUUUUUUUUUUUCAGUCUUUUGGCUCAAGUUUUCUUGGAGGGGGUUUGCUAGCCACCUUUUAAGGGUAGUGGAGAUGCUCUCUAUAGCUAAGGAAAAGGGACAGAGAAUUGAUUUUUAUAGCGAGAAUGAGACAGAGAGCAAGGGGUUUAGGGGAGUUUUUGGGAAAAGUAGCAGACGAAGAAAAGUUGUGGGCGAGGCAUUGUGGUGGUGAGUGGGCUGCAGAGUAAGACGUUGCAGGGGGGGCACCAUCUAUUAUGAUGGGGAGUCUUAGAAAAGAGGGACAUGAGCUACAGGCCAUCUCGGGGAGGCAUUAUUCUUCUUUAUUCUUGGUGAGAGUAAGAGAGGAGACGUUAGAGAGAGUAAAAUAUCUUUCUUUUGGUGGUUUUUGGUUUUGAGUAGAGGAGAAGAAUAGCAUUAAGAGAAGGGAAGCAGAUGGGACCCUUCCAGGAAUGGAUAUUUUGAGUUCCCUAUUCAUCUUCAUUUAUCAUAAUUGUUAGGGUGAAUUCACAAUAUUUCAACACACACCAGGAUUUUUCUACCAUUUCUUUGUGUAAAAUUAAAUAGGUAAUAGCAACUAGCAGUAAUAAAUAAAUAAACUUAUGCAAUAGAAAAAUAAACCAGACACCAAAAUUUUUAUAUGGAAAACCCCUCAAUGCGAAGGAAAAAACCAUGGGACCUAGUCUAGUUCAAACUCCACUAUCAACAAUAUUGGGUUACACCUGUCUUCUCUAGAAUAAUCUCUAGAGGCUACUAAAUACAUCAAGAGCAUAUAUAGCCUUGGAUUAUAUAAUCUUUCUUGGUAAAAAAACAAGGAAAAAUGGAGAAAGAACACCCAAAAACACGUUGUUACUGUUCAUGGGCAAUAACACCAGUUCCCGAGCUCAAAAUCUGAUCUCCACCUUUUAGAUUGUAGCUACUCGAGUUUUGAACCUCUCCUCCAAAUUUCAACUCGAUCGAACCAUAGAUGAAGCGGGAUUGGCUCUUUGAUGAAAUCUGGGCAAUGAGAUGUGUUUUUUUUUUUCUUUCUCUCUUCUCUCUGUUUUUUCCUUUUUUUUUUUCUUUUUUUUUUUUAAUCUCUUCUAUUUUUGUUUAUUUAUUUAUUUUAUUGUAACUGACUUAGGCCCCAAGAAUAUGGGGCUCACUCCCUCACAUACGAAGGAGCCUAACAAAUCUCCAAUUGGAUUCUAAUUGAUUAAUUAACCUAAUAGGGUGUACUAAUUAAUCAAUUAGCUUAAUCCAAAGACCUUGUUCACUUACCCCUGUGCAACCUUAUGUUAUUACCAAAAUGCCCUUAUACAUAAAGUGAACCUAAAACCAAUCUGAUCCUCAUAACCUAUGCCAACAAGGUAUAUGAGCUCAAACCGGGGACCAUAACUCCAGUAUUUUAUGUAAAUAACAACAAGACACUGUAUACUCGGGUCCGUGACUUGUUAUCCAUUGUGUUCAGUCUCCCUAUGAACUAAUGUCCAUAGUUUAACAAGGUAAAAAUUGUCAAUAUUUUAAGACUACCUUUAUUAUCAUUGAGUUAUAGAUCCUUCUAUUAUGUGUUCAACUAAAAUGUCUUAGCUCUCAAAGAGCCUAUGUCAAGUUCCACUUAAGGAACUACUAUAACCAUAGUUUCCAUUAACACACCUCCUUAGAACCACCCAAGGGGACACAUUGUCUCCAUCCUAUGAGAUAUCAUGGUGCUUCUAUUAAGAAUACCUAUUGCUACCAACUUCCAUCAAUAGUGACCCAAUCCAUAAGGAAUAUAUGAUCAACUUACAAUCUCACCCAUAGGUCAAAACCAUUGCUAACUUUGGCUUAAGCUUCAAUAUUCUCUUAAGGUUGAGAGACAACACAAUGAAGUAGCUUGGUAAGGUCACGAAUACUUGAUAGCCUUAAGUCAUGACUCACCAUAAGUCCUGUCCAAUAUGUAACCAUACACACCAGUGUACUCACCAUGGAAAACUCAUCUCGAUAUUCAAGACCAGUUAUCCCUCCAAUUAGAAGGUGGUGGUGCACUAUAGCCUCUAAUAAGUUGUCUAAACCCACGAACCGACUUUGAACAAGUCAUCUAUUUGCAAGGAACCCAUGACUUGGAUUUUCCCUAUAACUCAUAAAUGCACUCAUGUCACACACACUACAAAAGAUGUAAACAAGAAUACUCAUAAAGUGUAAUGCAUGGAAUACAGAUAGAUAAAAGUGAAAUUGGAAUACCAUUAAAUAAAUAAGGAAUUCCAAAUCUAUUACAUCAUGUCAUGCUUUUAAGAGUUCCAUCCUAACACAACCUUCACAUUUCAUGGACAGUACAAAGCGAGAAUUUGUUUAGGUUGAUAACAAUUUUCAGAGUGCCUUGUCUUUGAGUUUAAAACCUUUUCCUAUAUUCAAUGAUUCUAAUGUGAGCUCUAGCUUCCUUGGUCUUUAGUAGUCAGGCAUGCAAUUUUCAUUGGAAAGUAAGUGGAAGAGGUGUCUUGCAAAGUCUAGUAAUGUGUACAUUCAAGCUGAGAAGGCAUGAGGUACUCCCUCGAUGACUAUUAGGUUGUAAAAAAACAGUACUUGGCUUGUCCAUGUGAUUUGCACUCUUGAGAGAUAUGUGAUUGGAUUAUCCUAGAGCCCAAUGGAAGAAAAUGGGAAAUCAUGUUGCCAUGAGCAACUGCAGAGGGAAUGAAAGUGAGAGAUUAUGCUUAGUGUGGUCCUGAUCCCACAUCUAUUGUAGUUAUGACAGAGGAUGGCAUUACAACUACUGGUCAUAUUAUUAUAGGAGCAUUGCCAAUCGUUGUACAUAUGACUAGGAAAUCCAACCUGUGACACAAUAAGUUCAAUUGUGGUUGGAAAUUUAUAUAGAAUAGUAGCUAUAUUUCUCAUCCAAGGAGUUGUUCCAUUUGCGAUGAUGAUAAAUGGGAAGUUAUAUGUGAGUGCCCUCUGCCUAUAGAAAAUGAUAAUAAGAAAGACUAUCCAUGUUCUUUUUUGUCCAUUCCAUCAAAUUUGACAUGUGAUUUCAAACACAAAAAGAUCUUCCAAUAAAUGGAAUGAAGAAUAGUUACCUGCUAUGCUCAUUUGGGAAAAAGACUCCAAAUUUGGAAUUAGAAAUGAAAAGUUGCAAUGGUUUCUUGGUGCUGUGAAAGCACAUCCUAAUGAGUUGAAGCUUGUGGGGGUCAUUACCAUUUGGGGUCUGCCAUUACUAAGGUGGGCAUUUUCAGGGAUGUUGUAGUUCUAUUUGGGUUAUGUCCACAUGGUUGAAUUUGAAAGCCAUAGAGUUGGGGCUUGAUCUUCUUGGAUCACAAGCUCCUGAAAGAGAUUCAAACCUUUUUUUUCCAAAAUCAAGAAAAUUUAUUAAGAAGCAGUUUGGAAUGUACUUUUUUCCUUCUUUGCCAAAUGGCAGUAAACUAUUUAAUAAAAAUUAAUUAAAUUUUUAUAUUAAAAACUUUAGUUAAAAUUAAUUAGAAAAUGUGGUAAGAUAAAAUGAAGUAAAACGAACUUUAAAGGAUCUUUUAGACAUUUUAUUUAAUUCUUUUAACUAUGACAUCAUUAAUCAACCAUGAAAAUCUUUCAAGAUUUGAUAACAUCAUUCAAGCGAUUGUUAUGCUCCAUUAUGGUCAGGUGGUGUUAAUGUAAUUUAAAAAAUUUAAGGGUGGUUAAGUGCAAUUGUCAAAUAGCUGAGGGGGUUAUGCUAGGGUACCGAAAAUCACUUUUCAGUACCAUACCCACUUUUUCUGGCUAAUAGGAUUAAGACAUAUGGCAUGCAAAAUAAAAAAAUUUAAAGAAAACCAAUUCUUCAGGUUACCCAAUCGGUUGCCAUGGGAAUUAAUCCCAUGCAACACACAUUUUUAUACUUAUUACAAUAACCAAUUAUAUUUCAAUGACCAAUUAUAAAAUCAUGUUUAAUGUAAUUAUUUCGUUUGGAGAAUUUCUUUUAUGAAACAGAAAAAUAAAGAAAAUUUUGGAAAAAGAUAAACAAUAUAAUUUGGUAAUAUAAUUUAUAAAUUAAGGAAAAGUAAAUUUAAUUUAUUUUAACAUUAAAUAAUUUGUUGAUAAAAUUUGAUGAAUAUUUGAAGUGUGAAAAACAAUAUAAUUGGUUUAUGAAGUGAAAAAAUGGGAAGAAAUAGAAAGAAAUUUUAUAAAAUAUAUAUUAACUUAAAAUUUAAUUAGUUGUGUACUAAUUAUUAAUUGAGAAUAUAUGACUAAAUUAUUUCUUAGCGUUUAAAUUGAAUUACACAACAAAAUUGGUUGAAAUAUUGAAAAUAUGAAAAAGGUAUAAUUACUAACAAUAUGGAAAUCCAAACCCCUCGCCGAUUUUUUUUGUAAAUUUCCAUUCUGAAUUUUUCAAGGAUCCAUUUAACACCCUCAAAAUGGACUGAACUUAUCUAAACAAAAUCUAAGUCAUAUGAAAUCCCAAUUAAAAAAAAUAAAUCAAAGAAAUGGAUAGUAGGGAGGGCACGAAGAAUGUGAGAUUCCCUCACUAAUUUGUUAGUAUUUACUGAUUUUGAUUUUUUCGAACAUCAUUUAAAUACCUACUAAGUGUAAUGAAAAAAAUUCAAAAAAUGUAUAAGCCAUACGAAGUCCCCAAACAUAUUUAACAUAUCAUAUAAUCGGAGAAUAGAGAGGGCUCCUCAUAUUCCUCAUACCCUUGCUAAUUUUUUAGUAUUUUUGGAUUUUUAUUCUUUCGAAAAUCAUUAGACUACUUCCUAAGUGUAAUGAACCUAUUUAAACAACAUCCAAGCCAUAUGAAGUCGCCAAAAUUUUUAAAAAGUUCAAAGAAGUGAAGAAAUGGGAGGGUACGAAGAAUGUAAGGACUCAUCACAUUCUUCGUACCCUUCCUAAUUUUUUAGCAUUUUUGGAUUUGGAUUUUUUCGAAAAUCAUUUGAAAACCUCCUAAGUGUAAUGAACCUAUUUAAAUUAUAUCUAAACCAUAUGAAGUACCCAAAAUUUUUAAAAAAUUCAAAGAAGUGUAGAAAUGGAAGAGUACGAAGAAUGUGAGGAUUCCUCACAUUCUUCGUGCCCUUCCUAAUUUUUCAGUAUUUAUGGAUUUGGAUUUUUUUGGAGAUCAUUUCACCAUCUUCUAAGUGUAAUGAACCUAUUUAAACAAUAUCCAAGCCAUAUGAAGUCCCUAAAAUUUUUAAAAAGUUCAAAGAAGUGAAUAACUGAGAGAGUACGAAGAAUGUGAGGAUUCCUCACAUUCUUCGUACCCUUCCUAAUUUUUUAGUAUUUUUUUAUUUGGAUUUUUUCGAAGAUUAUUUGACCACCUUCUAAGUGUAAUGAACCUAUGUAAAUGAUAUCCAAGCCAUAUAAAGUCCCUAAAAUUUUUAAAAAGUUCAAAGAAGGGAAAAAAUGGGUGGGUACGAAGAAUGUGAGGAAUCCUCACACUCUUCCCACCCUUCCUAAUUUUUUAGUAUUUUUGGACUUGGAUUUUUUUAGAGAUCAUUUGACCACCUCGUAAGUGUAAUGAACCUAUUUAAACAAUAUUCGAGACAUAUGAAGCCCAAAAAAUUUUAAAACGUUCAAAGAAGUGAAGAAAUGGGAGGAUACGAAGAAUGUGAGGAUUCCUCACAUUCUUCGUACCCUUCCUAAUUUUUUAGUAUUUUUGGAUUUAGAUUUUUUCGAAGAUCAUUUGACAACUUCAUAAGUGUAAUGAACCUAUUUAAACAAUAUCCAAGCCAUAUGAUGUCCCCAAAAUUUUAAAAAAGUUCAAAGAAGUGAAGAAAUGGGAGGGUACGAAGAAUGUGAGGAAUCCUCACAUUCUUCGUACACUUCCUAAGUUUUUAGUAUUUUGGGAUUUGAGUUUUUUUGGAGAUCAUUUGACCACCUCCUAAGUGUAAUGAACCUAUUUAAACAAUAUCCAAGCCAUAUGAAGUCCCUAAUUUUUUUAAAAGUUCAAAAAAGUGAAGAAAUGAGAGAGUACGAAGAAUGUGAGGAUUCCUCACAUUCUUUGUACCCUUCCUAAUUUUUAGUAUUUUGGGAUUUGGAUUUUUUCGGAGAUUAUUUGACCACCUCCUAAGUGUAAUGAACCUAUUUAAACAAUAUCCAAGCCAUAUGAAGUCCCCAAAAUUUUUAAAAAGUUCAAAGAAGUGAAGAAAUGGGUGGGUACGAAGAAUGUGAGGAUUCCUGACAUUCUUCGUACCCUUCCCAUUUUUUUAGUAUUUUUUUGGAUAUCAGUUGACCACCUCCUAAGUGUAAUGAACCUAGUUAGACAACAUCCAAGCCAUAUGAUGUCCCUAAUUUUUUUAAAAAAAGUUUAAAGAAGUUAAGAAAUGGGAGGGUACAAAGAAUGUGAGGAUUCCUCACAUUCUUCGUUUCCUAAUUUUUUUAGUAUUUUUUUAUUUGGAUUUUUUUGAAGAUCAUUUAACCACCUCCUAAGUUUAAUGAACCUAUUUAAACAAUAUCCAAGUCAUAUGAGGUCCUCAAAAUUUUUAUAAAGUUCAAAGAAGUGAAGAAAUGGGUGGGUAUGAAGAAUGUGAGGAAUCCUCACAUUCUUCGUACCCUUCCUAACUUUUUGAAAUUUUUGGAUUUGGUUUUUUUUCAGAGAUCAUUUGACCACCUUCUAUGUGUAAUGAACCUAUUUAAAAAAUAUCCAAGCCAUAUGAAGUCCCUAAAGUUUUUAAAAAGUUCAAAGAAGUGAAGAAAUUGGAGGGUACGAAGAAUGUGAGGAUUCUUCACAUUCUUCGUACUUUUCCUAAUUUUUUAGUAUUUUUGGAUUUGGAUUUGUGGAUCCUACAUAUAAUCUUUACUUGGGACAUUUUAUAUUUCUCGUAGUGUAUAAUUGGAUUUUCAAAAUAGGGUAGCUAGGAAAAAUAAUAAAAGAAAAAUAAAACAGUUAAAAUCAUUAGAAAUAAUUUGGGCCCAUUGAAAAGAAAUGUGACUUAUGAAAAGCUUGAUAUGAAUGUUUAAUAUCGUCUACAACUUAUCCAAUGGAUAAAUUUGCAAAGAAGGUCCAACCACUUGCCCAUAUAGUCGUCUUCAUCAUCAUGGGCAUGAACAACAUUAUCAUCAAUAUUCUUUGUUAUUGACCUGAUUGGAGUAUGGUCGCAACCUGUACUUAAUGUUUUGUCACUACCUCUCUAUGCAUUAACAUUAGCAUCUUCAAGUACUGAUUUGUUGUCACAGCUUCUCUGCACAUUCAUGUACUGUGUCAUUGUUGCAUGAUUGUGCUUGACUCCUACAUAUUCAAGUAAUAUAUUUUAUUACGACUAUCUAUAUGAACAAAGUAAAUUAUUUAAAGUUUUUUUAGUUAAUUUAUCAUGUUAUUUUCAAGAAUAAAUGGAAAUUACUUUUAGCAUCUCAAUCACAAGUUUGGUCAUUAGGAAAAAAUUUAACUCUUCGAUAAAAUGCCAUGGUCUAAUUCAAUGCAGAAGACAAAUUUCCCCAUCUACAAAUGAGGUUUAUUACAUAAACAAUGGCCUACCUCAAGGCUCUAACAAAAGAGUAAAAUGUCUAAUCAAACCACGAUGUCAAAAUAGGGAUUGUCGAAUCGAAUAAUAUACAUUUUCAAUUAUAAGAUUCAUAUCAUUUACCCCAAAAAAAAAUUAUUCCCUAAACAUAUAUAACCUGAUAGAGUUCGCCACCAGGUCAGUCUAGUGUCAUUGCAUUCACCAUCAUACUUGAUCUUUUUGCUAGAGGAUUAUCCCUACCUUGUGUACUACUAUAUUAGAACUUCCAUGUUUGGAGGACAACAAUUCAACCUUAAGGCCUUCAAUUCCAGCUUUAUUAUCUAUGCACCUACUCAUAAUAGAUAUAACUGCUACCACCCAACUAAAUGUUGGUUUAUAUGGAUGUUGGAUUAGCAAAAUGAUGUCUCUUUAAAGUAAGAGCAAUUAGAUGUAGCAAAAGACCAAAUUGAGUAUCAAUACAACAAUCUAUGUUGGAAGCCAAUCACAUUACAACUUCUAAAAGUAAAGAUUAAUCAGUCAACUGGUUACAUGUAACCGGUUGACUAAUUAUCUCUAUCGGUAGAUACUACCAAAGUGUUGAUGCAACACCCAAAUGGGCAAUGGCUACCGGUAGCAAAAAAAAUGGAACCGGUUUAUUUGAUGAUCGACCGAAAUUGGACUUUCCUUUUGUUUUCAUUUAGGUAUGUGAUCUGGCGAUCAUACAGUUAUGCAUAAAUAUUAAAUACUAAAAAGCAAGAACUUGAACAAUAUCACCUUUCAUCAGGAUAGAAGGUUAAUUACCUUAUGAAAACUUAUCAAAAGAGAAUAGUUUAGCAUAACAAUUCAAAAUUUAUGACAACAAUCAUCUCUUCCUACCAAGAUCACCUAGCUAUUGUACAUGGCCAUUAUUUUAGACCUCCUUGUCCUACAUGCAUCAUCCAUUGCUGUUGUGACUAUACUUCCACCAACAUUUAGUUCUUGUACCAUUAAUAUAACACAUUUACACAUUCUUCUUUAUUGUGCAAGAAAAUUACAUGAAAGCCACAACCUUAGUCCAUAGUCACUAGUAGACCAAAAAUUUUAUAUUUAAAAUAAGCUUGUUUUCAGAUUGUAGCCAUCAUUCAGGAUAUGCAAGCAUAAAUAAAAUGGAGUAAAGAACUACUUUCACCACUUCAAUCACAAGUUUCGCCAUUAGUAAAAAAAUUUUAACUUUUCUAGAAAAUGGGAUGAUCCAAUUCAAUCCUAUUGCCACUUUACCCUAUUGAAACCUGAAAAAAAAUGCACAUCAAGGAAGUUAACGCUUCUAGAAAAGAAGAAUAUCAUAUUACUAUACUUUGUGCAUUUUGAGGUAGCUGGAUCAAAAAACUUGUAUAGGUCAAAAGAAACAAGUGUAUCAUUAAAAAAGAUUGUCAUUCUAAUUCCAAGUUGAUAAUCCUAUUGAGUACAACUGGAAGUUUAGUAUCCUUUAAAACCUACUAGACCAUUUAUUGGGUCUUACAAUUAGCCUACAUAACAGGCCAUACUAGAGUUCCAAUAUUUAAAUGGUCUUCUCUACAACCUAGCUCAUAACUUUUAUUUACUAGGUUUGAAAAGUUUCUUGAUUGUGGACUACCAAAGAAAGAAAAAUCCCUCAAUUGUGAGCAUCACAGGAUCCUCCAAUUGAAUUUGCAGAUAGGGAAAGAUUUAUGGCUAAACCCAGAUGUUGCUUGACGAAGUAGGAGGAUGUCUUAACAACAAUGGUAAGAGCAUGGUGGAGUAUGAUUGAUGCCUAGACUAGGUUUCUUUGGGAAGACCCUUCUUAGUAGCCUCAACUGCUGCUUUCUUUGCUUUGAUAUCAGCAACAAUGGCAUCGAUCUCAGCUUCUGCAAACUUAAAGAGUAGCAUUCUUCUGUAGAAGCCAGAUUCCAUUAGAGUGUCAUUGCAUUCUAUUUCAUUUCUCAACAAAUGACCAUAAAGAACUUCUCAACUAGUCAACUAAUCUAGCAAAUGCACAUCAAGUUCAAUAUAGGGUAACAAUUACAUCUUAUUAUACUUUGCAGCUGGCAACACUAUUCAUCAUGUAACCAGUUUCUUGUUUGCUAGGCAGCAUAGCAUUUAGGAGGGAAUGAGGGUUCCAAUCUUGAGUAGGGAAUUUGGACUUUGUAAUUAUAUCAUACUAAAUAGAUGAUUCCUAAAAAUCAAAACUCAAACUUCUCUAUAACUGAUGCUUUAAGUAAAGCAGUGAGAAACAAUGUCAUUGUUAGUAUGGUAAGUAAAUAUUGUUAUGAAAUGCAGUAAGAAAUUUCAACUUAGAGUAAAUUGAUAAAUAAAAUGUAGUAAUUUUUUGUUGUAUUACUAUUACCUAAUACAAGAAUCAAAUUCUUUGGUAGUUAUUAUGAAAAGUCAAAUUAGAAAGCCAAAGAAGCACUAGGCAGGUAAUGGAAGUUGCGAUUAUAAUAAGUGAAUCAUCAGAACUACCCAGUCCUUGCUUCAGUGCAUCUGGUCCAAAAACAGAGGCUAGUAUCAUGCUAUUCUUAUAUGUAGCUUUCAUUUUUCAUUUUUGAGUUAUAGACUUCUUUAAGGGAAGAGCUCUAAGUUAAAAUUUUAGCAUAGGACCUUAAUUGCCUGUUAUUAGGGCUUUAACUAGAGUGGAUCAUGUAGGAUGCAAUUGAGAUUGUAGGAAAAUUUAUAAAAGAGAUUAUAGGAAUAUUUUGAUUUUUUUCUUUUUUUUUCUUCAUAUUGUUAUAAGCUUAUAAAUAUCCUUGUAACCUCAUUCAAAACGUCAUGAACAUGAGAUUAAUUCUCUUGCCUUCAAUAUGGUAUCAAAGAAUGGUUGCCCUACAGCUGCCAUCUUUCCAUCCUAAUUAUGCCAGCAUCUUAUUCCCAUCUAUCAGUCCUUAACCCUCAACCCUCAUAUUUAAGUCAUUAGUCCUCCUUCAUACCUAGCUAUUCACUAUCAUCUUAAAGUCUACUUAUGCUGAUGUUAUUUUUCACGGCUUUUUUUUUUCAUCUCUUGGAUGUCUAUUCAUCUUCUUGAUCUCUUGUUAGGAUCUUGAAACUUAUUUCUUUCUCAGACAUCAUGUGUGACAACAUUCCAACUAAAGACAUACUCUUCUAUGGCUUUAUGACUCAUUCAAAUAAAAUGGAUCUAAUUAUCUUCCAUGGUUUUCUUCAAGGCAUGUGGUAGGAUUUCUUGUAUUUGGUAACAUAAAUCUACAUAUGCAAAGUUGAUAGAAACUUGGGAAGUAAGGGAUGCACUAGUCAUGAUUUGUGUUUGGAACAACAUAGAACUAGAGGUAUUGUGUCUCUUAUCUCAUUUUUAGUAAGGAUAUUUGUAAUUGGCAGAGAUGUGUUAUUUUUCCACAAAUAUCUUGCUUACCCAAAAAGGCAUCAGUCUAACAAUAUUACAUUAUUACUUGGAAUUAAAGGACAUGUAGGAAGAGUUGAAUGUCUAUCCCCCUUUGACUUUAGAUCUAGAGAUUCAAAAGCACCACUAAGAAUAAUUUUGCUUGGCCAAAUUCAUCUUUGGUAUUUGGCCAGAGGUUGAACUCACAUAUUACAACAAGUCAUGGAUGAAGGUAAUCAGAUGACAACUUACAAAAGUAAAGCUUAACCGGUUGACCGGUAAUAUGCUACCAGUUUACUAAUUAUCUCUACCGGUAGACACUACCAAUGUGUUGAAGUAGCACACAAAUGGGCAGUGGCUACCGAUAGCAAAAAAAAAAAAAAAAAUUGCAACCGGUUAAUUUGAUGGUCGACCGGAAUUGGACUUUCAUUUUGCUUCCAUUAAGCUGAUGAAAAAAAGACCAAAUUGAGUAGCAAUAAGCAUGUAUCUUCAUUUAUUUUAAUAAGAAGAUAAGCAUAAUACAUUUAAAAAGGUGUUUAACAUAGAUAGGGCCCACAUCUCAUGUACACACAAUAUAUACAAGCAAUGACUAGAAAACACACUACCUCACAACUAUGCUUACCAAUCCCCAUACCAUCCACAAAAUCCAAGAAGGACAACAAAUGAAGCCCCAUGCCCCACAUAAUCACACAUAACUUCAAUCCCCAUACCAGACACUUGAGCUUAUAUGAGGAAAAUUUCUGAUGGGAAAGGUGUGCAAUGAUAUGCUCUUUCAAAUGACUUGCAUUGGAAAUUAAGGAAUACAUAGUUCACAAACAACUCCCAAGUGUCAAAAUUCAAGCAAGCAUGAAGCUUGGGAAGAAAUAAUAAUGCGUUGAUAAUUCAAAUUACUGCAAAACUAACAACUAGUCAUCAAAAAGCAACACAUGCCUUAGGACGCCGUAUUCUGUCUUUGAAUACUUGCCGACACACUUCAAUGAUAAAUUUGCCUUUGUAGAAAAUUCAGCCUAAAGUGGCACCUUAUCUUUGUGUUUCAGACAAACAAGAAAGAAUUUAGAACUUGAAAUUUUCUUAGUAAAUCCCAGACCAUAAUAACCUUGACACUCCCACUAAUGGAAUCAUCAGGUACACAAACUAAAUGUGCAUCUAAUAUUCCAUUAUAUUAAUCCUUGUCACUACAAUGAGUUUAAAGUGUACGCUAAGCUUUUUAAAUAAUGGUACUGCCUGCUUGGAAUUAGACAUAUAGUAACAAUAGUUCAUUUGUAAGUAAUAAGCAUAUUGAUGGUGAAAACACACUUUUUCUACCAUUACCUUCCAAAGAUGAAAAUAAUAAGAAUACAAAAGCAGAAGUGGAUGGCAAUUUAGCAGGAGGCCCCAUUUGGUUAUUCCUCUCCUCAUGAGUGGUAACUCCACUAUGAGAUUUAUUUUAGUACAACCCUAUGGCAAUACGUAUUACGUAAUAGUUUUUCUUAACCAUACACAAUUUGGUAUGACUAAUUUUUUUUCCCCAUAGGUUGGCAUGGGCUCAUUUUCACUAAACACUAUGAUUUGAAGAUCACAUUUUUUCACACUGUUAAUUAGGUUCUGCUCAAAUAACACAGUUUUUGAAAUAUCAUUUGAAGCUGAAUUCUCCUAGCAUGUUCAUAAUCAGUUUACAUGUUCAUUUGAAUGAACUCAAUAUAUGAAAUGUAGGUGAUGCGAUCGGUGAUGGAGAAUACAAUCAAGCAGGAGUUUGAAGUGAAAGAUGAGGAUGUCGUCAAUGACGAUGCAUAUACUGGUGGCAACGAUUUGAAAGAGAAGGUGUUGAAGGGUAUUUCAGUUGAAGAAGUAUACAAAUUGCAAUUCGAUUGCGUAGAUGAGAUUGAAACAUUUUACAACAUGUUAGCCAAAGUAACCGGAUUUAGUAUUCGAAAAGAUGAUUUGAAGUGAGAUAAGAAUGAAGAUAUAAUAUCUCGAAAGUGGGUGUGUUCUAAAGAAAGACAUUGAGCGACAAAGUUUAUUGAAAAUGACAAGCGACAGUGUGAGCCACGAUCGUUGACUAGAGUUGGAGGUGAAGCUGCCUUUCGUUUAGGCUUGAAUAGAAAAGAUGGAAAGUGGAUUGUAAAGGAAUUUAUAAGAGAACAUAAUCAUACUUUGGUUGAUGCUAUCAGCACACAAUUCCUUCGGUCUUAUCAGAUAGUAAGUAAUCCAAAUAAGGCAUAAGUUGAUGUUUUGCAUAAAGUAGGUGUUAAAACCAAACAAAUUAUGGACUAUAUGGUCAAACAAUCAGGAGGACAUCAACAUGUUGGUUUCACAAAAAAAAAUAUAUACAAUUACAUUGAUGCAAUGCAUAGAAUUGAAAUUAAAGACGGUGAUGCGGAAGCUGCAUUGGCUUACUUGUGUGGAAAGAUAGAAAUGGAUUCUUCAUUUUUUUACAAAUUCAACUUCGAUGAAGAAAGUUGACUAGCAAACUUGUUUUGGGCUGAUUCAACUGCUCGAAUGGAUUAUCCAUGUUUUGGAGAUGUCCUAGCAUUUGAUACAACCUAUAGGACAAAUGCCUAUAAAAAGCCUCUAGUAGUGUUGGUUGGUGUUAAUUAUCACCACCAAACUAUGGUAUUUGGUUGUGCGUUAUUGAUGGAUGAAAGUAUUGGUACAUAUGAAUGGGUGUUGGAGACAUUUCUUAUUGCAAUGAUGAAUAAGAAACCCAUAUCCGUAGUAACUGAUGGGGAUAAAGCUAUGCGUAAGGCAAUUAAAAGAGUCCUACUCGAUGCGUGUCAUCGUAUGUGUUCAUGGAAUUUGCAACGAAAUGCAUUCUCAAAUGUGCAUAUUAAGGACUUCACAAGCAUCUUUGCAAGGUGCAUGUUCAUGCAUGGGAAUUCGAAAGAAUUCAAAAAGGUUUGACAUGAAAUAGUUUAAAAGUUGGGUCUUAAUGAGAAUCGUUGGGUAACCAAGAUUUAUGGGAAACAUAAAAGAUGGGCUGAGGCGUAUUUAUGUGGAAAUUUCUUUGGAGGGAUGAGAAACGCAUAAAGGUGUGAGAGUAUGAAUGCAUAUCUAAAUAGAUUCUUAAAAAUCAGUUUGUGACUGUAUGAGUUUGUACAACAAUUUGAUAGGGCGAUAAUGAGAAUACGACAAAGCGAGGCAAAGGCAGAGUUCGAGUCGAACAAUUCUUCACCUGUGCUUUCAACCAAACUAUCCAUACUAGAAAAUCAUGUUGCGACGGUAUACACGAAAUAAUCAUUUCUUAAAUUUCGUGAGAAGAUGAAGAAUGCAGAGUUAUUCUUUGUGGUAGGCCUUGUAAGUGAUGAUUCAAUGCGGACAUAUGCAUUAUCUAAGUUUAGACACCCGAACUUAAAAUAGGAAGUCCAAUUUUGCCUGAAUAUUGUAACAUUAAAAUGCUCAUGCAUAAUGUUUGAGUCAAUUGGCAUCCCUUGUUGCCACAUGGUUGUUGUUAUGAAGGUGGAGCAUUUGGAAGAGAUUCCUCUUUCAUUUAUUUUGAAGAGGUGGACAAAGUUAGCAAAGGUGCAUACAAGAUCAGCACCGGUGAAUGAGACGGAUAAUGACAUGGAUCAGUUUGUACCAUAUGGGUCAUUGAAUUCGAUGUGCAACAAGCUCUCCUACUAUGCGUCAAAUACGUCAUCUUCUUUUCUAGAAGCGAAAAGUGAAAUAGAAAAUUUGACGGUGAGAAUGGAGGAACUUUCUAACAGUAAUUUGAAAGGGAAGAAAGUAGCAACAGAUGGAGCCACAAGUCCUAACCAAGUUCGUGAUCCAAAUAUUGUGAAGACUAAAGGAAAUCCAGGCAAAGUUGCAAUUAAUUUUCAAAAGGGAAGAUAGUGUAGUCGUUGUAAAAGAGUGGGUCACACAAUUCGAAAGUGUCCAGAAGCUAGAAUCCCUCAUACCGGUAAUAAACGUGAUAUGGUAUAUUAGAUUGAAUAAGAAAUUGUCGCUAAGAUGAAGUUUUUUACCUGUACUUACAUAAAUAACUAAUAUAAUUGUUUUCAUUGCAUUAUGAGUAUGUAGCAGGAAAGUAAUUUGUCUUCCCAAUGUGACAUUCGUAUGGAAAUGAUGCCUUCAACAAAUUAAUCAGUUGACAUGUUUGCAACCUUACCUGUAUGUACAAUAGGCUUGUUAUAUAACAACACAAACUUUGAUAACAUCUAAUUGAACAAUAAUUGACAACACUUAAUCAUUGCAAAAUGCAGGGAAUGCUAGGGGAGCAUUUGUCAAAUGACCGAUCUGACAUGUAUUUAGAUUUUGGUGUACUUAGCAAUGUAAGCUCGAGAAUAAAAAACACUUUUGACAUGAAUUUUCCCUAUGCAUUAUUUAAUGAUUUGGUUGAAGUAAUUGGAAUGGAAUUGGAUGGCUCAAUUUUAAUAAUGGAAUGUGCAUGUGCAAAUAGCAGGAUUUCAGCAAUAUGAACAAACUAUGACAAUACCAUGUCAAGGUGGGGAUCUAAGCAAAUAUCCAAAAGAAAAGGAUAUGCAACCUUUUUUUAUUCCUUAACGGAGUAAACAAUGGCAGGUAUUAAAUCAGUAUUUAUAUUAGUUUACGUUAUCGCUUUGGCUAAUAUAUACUUUUAAAUUAACUAUUUAAUGAAAAGUCUGAAUUCCGAUCAAGAGUCAAGUUGAUUGAUAGAAUGCAAUAUCCUUGAUAUUUACAAUUUAAUUGAUAACAAGUGAUAAAUGAUUGGUAAGCUGAUUCAUUUAUAUCACAUCCAAAAAAUAGUUACGCAUGCGGAUAUAAUUAAAUUCAAAUGUGGUUAAAGUUUGACAAUUAGGUGGUUAUGAGUUAACUAUAGGAAAGUAAUCGAUAUGAUGUAAUUCAUAUGAAAUGGUAAAUGUUGUGAUAUAACUCAAAAUGGGUAAAUCAUAGUUUGGUAGUUUGGAAUUGCAUUUUCCAUCACUUCCAAACCUUUUAAUUAAACUUAAUGGCUUAGUCACCAAUGUUUACUGAGUGAAAAGUUUUCAGUACCACCUAUAGCCAUUUAUCGAACGGUAGUUAUACUUAGAAAUUGCAUGAUAGCAUUCAAUAAGUCAACCGGUUAAUAUUUGGCUUCAACCAGUUGAGAAAUCUUCUCUGCUGGUAGACUCCAUUCCUCAACCGGUUCACAUUGGUGAAAAAAUUCCUCAACCGAUUGAGAAAUUUCUUCUGCCACUCACUUCAACUCCUCAACCAAUACAUAUUGCAUCAAACUUUUGUUGAACCGGUUGUUAAAAUUCCUCAACCGGUUCGGACAAAUCCUCAGCUGGUUGACAUUGCAUCCAUAUAGUCAUUAUCCGAUUGAGGAUUGUUCUCAAUCGGUUGCCAUAAUUCUAUGGCCGAUAGACAUUGAACUAAGCUGAACCGGUCAACCGGUUCUUACUGGCUUUACGUCAUUUCUUAACCGGCCUCCAUUGCCUUUACAAGUCGUAGCUAUAAUUCAUACCUACUAAAAAUAUUAGUCGCCUAACCUAUACUCCUACCGGUACUAACUAUAUAAUUUUGAGCAUAGAUAAAUGAAUAUAUAUAUAUAUAAGGAAAAAUCUAAAUACCUAAAAGAUCGUAGAAAAUCAAACAUGUCGAAAAUGAAUGAUGCCUAUAUAUUACAAUUUCAUUUUGCCUACCAUAUUGAAAGAAGAAUAUAACAUAUUCAAAUUAAACAAACUUGGUCAUGAACAAUGUAUGGUCAUGCAAGGUCACAACUUCCCAAUAAACAUGAAGAUAUGUGGAGAUGGAAAUAAUAAAUAUUAGAAAAACAACAAAUAUCAUAAUAAUAACUUUUUCAUUGCUCGUGUAGACUUCUUUGUACAAACAAUAACCACAAUGGUUUUUUUUUUUUUUUUUUUUGUUUCUCUCGUGUAAAACUAAAUCACUUGCUAUUUCCCAACGUAUUUUAAUAGAAUUACAUAAGUCAGAGCCCGUCAUCGAAUCACCAUUUUUGAAUAUCUGUAUAUGUUUAAUGAAGGAGCCUAAUCAAUGGAGAAUUGAAAGACAUCUUUCCCUAUGUCAUACAGUUUGAAGAACAUUUGACAAAAUUCAACCUAAUUUAUUUUGAAAGUGUUAAUAAAUAUAGAAGAGAAAAACAAAACAAAGUAAAAGGAAAACAAAAAGCUAAAAGCAUACCACUAUUUUGACACUCUUAAACCGGAACUCGUCCCGACUCUUUUUUAUUGUAAUGAAUCCAAAAUUUGGAUAUGAGAGUUUUUAAAGUCAAUGACGCACAAAUACCAAUGAUCGAGGCAAUUGUCAUGCAUUGGAAUAAAUAGUUGUAAAGUUAGAAAAACAAUAUAUAUGAGUUGGGCCACAAAAUAUCUACUAUAUUAUAGGUGAAAACAAUAUCUACUCUAAAUUUGAUAUAUGCAAUUAAACAUUACUAACCUUCUCGCAAUCAUCCAAUUCGCUAAUGUACUUACUCAUGAUGAAUGUUUUUCUAUCAAAAAAAAGAUGAAGACUCCUGCACAAAAUCAUUUGCUAAUAAUAAAACAUAAUACGAAUAUUAGUAGAUUGUACUUAAUAUGUAAGUAAACAACAAGAGAAAUAUGAGCUUACUGAAAAAUGUCGUGGGAAUAUACUUCGUAUGCUUAUGAAUUGCCUCUUAAAAUAAUUUAGCUUUGAGGCUUCUAGAUUUAUUACCUGUUGUUAAACAAUAACUUCAAUAAAUUUAUUUAAUUAAUAUAACAUGCAUUUGAUAUAAAUGAAGUAGGUACUUACAACAUCCAUCAAAUUUUGUUUAGGAUGUAAGCACUCAAAAUGUCCACGAACUCCAUGAACUCCAUGUUCAUGAUCAAAGUUAACAAGAAGCCCACUAAAAUAAUAAUAUAUUAAAGCAUUCUUGACUAAAUUGGAACCAUAUGAAGACUAAAAUUGUAACAACACAUCUAUGAAUGUUCUAGACACUACAAACCUUUUUGACAAUGCUUUAUUGAAAACAUAAUCAACAACAACAGAUUGAAGUACAUUGAAUGAUUGAGCAUCCACCACGUCUUCACGAAUGGACAUGGGGAUUAACUAAAUAAAAAAAACAAGACAUAAUUAUUAGCUAUAUAUGUUGAGUAUCAAAAAUAAGAAUAUGAUAUUAAACUAUGUGUAUUAUACCUUUAAUGCUUGACAUUUUCCAUUUUCCUUAAAUUAUGUACAAACAGGGAGACCUUGAAUUUACUUGGUUUCCUCUUCCUUGAUGUACGUGUUUUCAUGACUUGAUCGGGAUAACCACAUAGUGCUUGUAAUGGUUCCUAAUAUGGAAAAUGUCAUUAAUAUACAUCUAUUUACUAUGUAAUGGUUUAAGUAGUUGUAAAUAAAAUAUUUUUUUUCUUUUAUAUGAUACAUACCUUUCCAUAAUCUCUUCUACUGCUUUUGAUUGGAAUUGAUAAAAUAUCUACAUUUUUGUUCGGAAUGAUAUUUACUUCAAUUGAUGUAGCACAUGCAUCUUCAUUAUUUCCAUUCAAGUCCUUAGUGCAUAACUUCUCAAUUGACAAAGUGUGAACAUAAUGUUCAUUUCCUUUCUUAUUGUUCUUAUCUUCCAAACUUCUCUCGCAUGAGAGAAUAUCAUUCUUUGUUCCCUCCUUGUGCAUUCUCAAAGGUUUUUCGCUUAACCUAAGGAAGAGACCUUUCAAUGUAGUAUAUUUUUCCUCAAAUUCAGUCAAAACUUUUUCAUAACUACCAUUACUUGCACCAUGACACAAAUCAAUUAGAUGUGUCUUUAAUUGUUGAAAGGUUUUAUCCAUCUCCAUUAAGCUCCCACCAUCAACCUAGUGAUAUUUAGGAACUUGAUUAAUAAUAUCACAAUACAAGGGUUCACUAUUAAUAUUGAUACUCACGAUGAAUAUUGUAAAACUUGUUUAAUAACAUCUUUUUUUGCAUUGAUUUCAAAUUUCUCAUCAUUCUCAUUCUCCCCCUCCAUUGUCAUCGCACUUCUAUCAACACAAUCCCUUAUCUCAUUUUGUAUCACCCAUAUUUUGACCUACAAUAUAUUCAUCAAAAUAUAACACAUCAGAUUAAAAAUCAUUAAAAACUUAAACCAAUAUUAAACAACUUUCAAAACUAUAACUUACAUUGUCAUCUGCAUAUCCACCUAGUUUUUUCAAUCUUCGUUUCAUGUCCAGUGCUUCAUCAUCUCCCCAAGCAGUAAUCCAAGGACAAAGUCGAGUAUAUAAUGGUAGAAAUUUCUCUUCGAACGAUAUAUGCUCGUGGUAGAAUAAUUGCGCUUAUUUGACAUAGAUAUAUAGUUAGUUAACAAAUUUUAUUAUAACAAAUUCGAAAUUCACUAUGAUGUAAAUUAAUUACAAGGACAUUACCAUUAAAAAUAAUAAGCAACUGCAAACCCGACUUUGUUGUUUCCUCUUAAACUCUUCAAUCCCGUGUACAAGAUAAGACAACACAAAUUCAGCCCAAUUCAUCUUCUUUAUUAAAUUGAUGUCUUCCACAAGAUGUAAGAAAGAACGUUUCACAAAUAGCUUCAUUAUUGGGCACAAUAAUGCACCCAACACAAAUAAUACAAAACGAACUUUGAAAUCGUUUCCACCUUCUUUAUCCUCCCUAAUUUGAUUUUCUAACAUCACUAAUGGCAAUCGCUCCUUUUAAUCAUAAUAUUUUUUUUAUAUAUAAAUCAUUCUUAUGGCUAACAUCUUUGUUCAUGCCAAUCUUCAACCCUCUUGCCCUCAAUCCCAUAAUAAAUUCAACAUCAAUGGAGGAUAAUUUGAUACAAGUAUUAUUCAACUCUAACAUGUAAGUGUUCGGGUUGAAACUAUUUAUCAACCAAACACAUAACCCAUGAUCAAUUUUCUUACAUCGAAGUUGCAAGAGGCUACCAAAUCCUAUUUCUUCUAUGGCUGCUCUUUGCUUUGGUUCUAAUUCUUCAAUAAUUUUAAUCACUCGCUUGGGUGAGCAUCGAGUCUAAAGAUAUAACUGAAAAGAUACACAAACAUCAAACAUGUUUACAUUAAUAUAAUUUCCAACAAAUACAUAAAUAAUGAAAUUAAAUAUUCAUUACAAAAAAUUACAUUUGGAACCACACCCUUUUAAAGUGAAUAUUGUUUUGAACUUUCUUUGGACUUUGCCAUGAAAUCUUCUUUUUCUACUUUUGAAAGUGCAUUCCACUUCUUGCCCAAUUUUUUCCUCAACUACAUUAAUUGGUCACAUACUUUAAAUUCUAAUUUUAAAAUGUAAUUAUAUUAGACACAACAAUAUUACUCCUUACAUCAUCAUUUAUCUUCACUUCUUUAUCAGGCUCUUUGAUCAUGGUCAAUUGAUUGUUACUACAAAACAAUUUCAAACAAAUUUAACUAUAACAACCACAAAAAAAAUACAUUAAAAAACAUAUUCUUUUACAUAUUUCUAUUUUCCCUUACUAGUAAUGUAUCCAAGCUCUAAUAGGCCUAUUUGGAUUUCUAACAACUUCAACACCAUCGCAUUCGCUCCUAAAAAUUAAAUCAAAUCAUUUAAGUCAAUUUUUAUAAUAUGAUUUUAGAUAUAAUAAAUCAAACAUACUUUCACCACCAGUACAAAAUCCUCCCUAAAUCUCUAUACAUUUUAAAUGGUCACAAAAUUAGCAUAUAAAUUAUUUUCAAUCUCCAAUUAUGGAUCUAACCACACUAUUUUUCAUUAAUGUGAUCAAUCCAUAAAUCUAACAAAAAACAUGAAAUAUAAUGGAUACAAUAUUAUAAAACACAUUAUCAAUACUCACAUUUUUUUCCUUAAUAUAGAACUCGACAAAUAAUUACAAUACAACCGCCUUUUGAUUAACAAAAAAUUGUGUCCUUUUUAGCUUUCUUUCUCUUAGUACUACACAUCUUCUUCUUCUUCUUCUUCUUCCAGCUAUGUCUUCAAUUCGGGUCUUCAAACCACAAAAUUUAGAACCCGAAAACACCCCUUACACCUCUUAAACAAAAUAUAAAAUAUGAAGAAAAUACAAGGGUUAUGGAGAUGAGAGGGAUGAGCGGGAAUAUCGCACUCUUUACUUCAAAACUCGAAAAAACCCCAAAUAUGAAAAUUAAAUAGGGACAUAAACAGAAGGAGGAUACGAAGAAAACUUGGAAAGAUGCCACCCAAAACGACUACAAUAUCUCACCCGAAAACACCCAACAACAUGAAAACAUCCAACAAUACACGAAGACAACUGAAAGCACCCAAAAAUAAUAGCCGAUGGAGAUGAGUGGAAAACACAAGUACCCGGAGAAGACUCGAGUAUGGAGAAGAGAGGAAAAUAUGGGGAAACUCGGCAAAAGAGGGAGAAAACAGCAACCCGGCCCGACUGUGGAGGAUGAGUGGAGAAGAUACCAAAUUAUGGGGGGAAAAUGGGAAAAAGAGGAGAGAACAAGAGGGAGAAUAGCUGCCCGGUUCAGUAAUGGAGGAUGACUGGAGAAGAGAGCAAAUUAAGCGGGGAAAAAAAGGGAAAUGGGUGAGAGAAUAGAAUGGGGAAAAACAGCUACAUGGCCAGCUAUGGAGGAUGAUGAGUGGAGAUGAGAGCACGGGGACACAAACGGGGGAAAACAGGAAAUGGAUAAGAGAAUAGGAUAGGGAACAAUAGCUACACUAGCCGACUAUGAAGGAUGAUGAGUGGAGAUGAGAGCACGGGGACACAACUGACUAUGGAGGAGAAGAUGGCUGGCUAUAGAGGAGAAGACGGUCAGUUAUAGAGAAGAAAAGAGGGGAAAUAUGGGAAAAAUGGUUGACAGAGGGAAAGAACAGGAGGGAAGAGAGGGGAAAAACAGGAAAAGAGGCUCAGAGAAGGAGAGGACAUAAGGGGGAGGUACUCGAUUAUUAUUAUUUUUUUUCAUUUUUUCUUUUUCUUUUGGAUGGCUAAGAUUUAAUCUCUUUCAUCCAACGCCUAAAAAAAAUGAGGCAUGCUACCUUCCCCAACACCAUAGAAUUUUCCUUGAUAAAAAGAGUCCCAUAUUUUAAAUCUAACCCAUCAUUUUUUUUCCUAAGAAAUUACUAAUUUUUAUAAAUAAAAAAAAUGUACUUGCUUUUUAAAAAAAAAAAACUUCCAUCAAAAUAAUAUAAAUAUCAGAGGAUAUUUAUAUCAAAAAUAAUUUUUUUAAUUAAAAACUUAUAUUUUCUAUUUUUAAAAUUUUAUAUCGAUUAAUUAAAACAAGUUAAAUAAAUUUAAAAUAAUAUAUAAAAAUAUUUUAUUAACUUUAAAUUUAUUUUUUAUUUUUUUUCUUUGUAUUUUUUUGUACAUUUCCUUUCAAAUUUUUCCAAAAAGGAAACAUUACUAAAAGAUCAUGUCAAGUACAAGAACUAAUCCUUUGAUAUGGAUGAAUUAAAAUAUAUUUUGUUUAUACUUUUAUUUUAUUUUAUAAAGGAAUUAAUAAUCAAAGGUUUAAUUUAAAAUAAAUAUUUUAUUUUAAAAAAUUUAAUUUUAUCAUAGAAAAGAUUUAACAAUAAAAAGUUCAUAAUUUAUAAAUCACUAAUCCUAUUUUGUCAUAAGUGAUUAGUUAGGUUUCUAAUGUUAAAUGAAUUCAAUAGUUUUUAGUUGGUUUUAAAUUUUAGAUGGUUCGAAAGUUAUAUUAUCAAUAUCACUUAAAAAUGAAAUCCUCUGUUUUUCUUUUCAUUUUUCAAUGAUUAGUUAUUUUGUCAAAUUCUCGCUUAGUUUCAAUUUUCAAAUAGUUUUGUUUAAUGUUUAAUAUAAACAACUUUAACACUUUGCAACAUUCUAAUGUCAAAAAAAAAAAACACUUAAUGAGAUUAAUCUUUAAUAGGUUUAUAAUUAAAUUUAAAUUUAUUCAAAUAUAAAAAAAUGGUGAUGUGGGGGCUUUCCCCAUAUAGCCACGUGGCAGGCCACUCUUGGUCUACGUGGCAUUCUUCUAUCUCUAUCCAGAUGAUCAUCAUCAAACCAGAGUCUCCUAUUCGACCAACGGGUAUCAGAGACUAGUCACAUUGUGCUCCUCUAAACUACACGAUGCAUUCCAGGUAGAUAUCUUGGCCCACUCCUGCAAGCAAUCAUUCCCCCAAGCCAUGAGUACAUUUGACGGGAUGUAACCCUGCCUUCACAAUUGAGUUGCUAUACGCUAUGCCAUACUUUCUACAGAGUAAGGUGACAAGUGAACCAUCAUGUCAUCCCCACUAGCAGCCCCUGUUAGCCGCCUAAAUGGUGAUGAUUGCCCUGCCACGAACUGUGCUGCCAUCAUGACUGCGAAAGUUAAGAUGUCACCUCAGCGCAGAUGUGACCCCAUCCCAGACACUAUAAAAACCCUCACACAACCAAAAUCCAAGAACGUAAUACAAGAAGCCCGAUAUAGCUCUAGAGAAUAAGCGAUUUCUCGAGCUAGUUUUAACUAAUUGACUUGGGCUUCGAAGGGUGUGUCCGGACAACUUGUCCGAACAUCUUUUUACAGGAAAGAAAAGAGAAGUCAAUCUUCACCGACUGUAUUCAGUCCUUUCUUGCUAUAACGGGGAGAAGCAUCAUCCCCAAUUGAUUCAGCAUUAACAUCGGCAUCAUUUGUGGGAAGGAAACAAGAAUGUCAACACCCUCAAGAAGUCGAUCGUUUGCCAUGGGCGACGAAGGUUACUUUGACUAGCGUGAGAGUAUGGAAAGAUGCUAACGAGAAAGCGAGCGACAAGUGCAAGCCCUGCUCCAAGAAACAAGAAGACUCAGAGAGGAGAAUGAGGUGUUGCGAAUUCAAGCAUCUUUGUCAGGCCCCUCUCGUAGCCAGCAACCAAGGAGUUAGUGAACGAACUCCAGGAAAAAUGAGGAAGCAACAUACCCUAGAAACACAGAGUCCCCCUUUGAUGAGCAUGGUAUACGACCUGAUGAAGGACCCCUAUCGGCCUAUCACGCGCCAUAGGACGAAAACUCUGAUUCCACUCGUGUCUCAUCUAAAAGGAGAUGCGAUAGGAAAUCCUAACUAUUAGAUGCAAUGCACGCAAGGUUAGGGCCACAGGUGCCCGGUAUGGAGAAACCACGUAUAGCCACGACCCAGGAGGUAUACCCUGCCCCAUUUGCUGCACCCGCUAUACUGAACUGGCCUCCAUACCCAACACUACAACAAUUGGAAGAGGAUAUGGUAAGUAGAGUUCCCCUCGGCUCUGCCAGCAGGCGACUAGACAACAUGCUCUCCAUGCCUUUUAGCUCUCGCAUUAUCAAUUACGAACCCCUGAGAGAGUUCAUCGAGCCAAAAUUCUCUACGUAUGACAAAUUCAUUGAUCCAUUUGAUCACAUCAUGCACUACAGAUAGCUCAUGACCCUUGACAUAGGGAAUGACGCACUGUUGUUUCUAGCUAGCUUCCAAGGUUAGGCCCUCUCGUGGUUCCACCACCUCCCAAUGAAUUCCGUCGACAACUUUCGGGACCUAUCGAAGGCCUUCGUGGGACAAUAUCUAUGUUCAACACAACACAAACAAAACAUCAGCACCCUGUAAAACAUAAAGAUGUAGGAGAAUGAGUCGCUGAGGGAGUUCGUAAAGUGGUUCGGGCAAGCUGUACUCUAGGUAGAGUCUUACAGCAUAGACAUUAUUAUCCAAAUCUUUAAAAUGAGUAUCUGUCCGGGCACACCUUUCUUCAAAUCUCUCACCAAAAAGCCCUAUGUAACUAUGGACGAUCUAUUCAGAUGGGCAAACAAAUAUUCCAUGCUUGAGGACAAUGUCCGUGCAGCCACCCAGUAGAUCCUGGUCACCAGUCGACCUGCCAAAAAUGUUGAGGCUAGGAAUUCCAAAACCGCAAGCCAACGAAGGCAAUCAAAUAAGAGGUAGGACAGACAACGCCAACCAAACUAGCCCAACUUCAUCCCACUCAAUGUUUCAUACGAGAAGCUCCUCCCCAUGAUCCGCAAGUUAUCCGACUUCAAGUGGCCAGAGCCCCUAAAAAUGGAUUCAACUAAGAGAGACCGCAACAGAAAAUGUGCCUAUCACAAAGAGCACGAACACACUACGGAGCAAUGUAGUAGUCUCCAUUAUUUGGUGGAGAAUCUAGUAAGAUCCGAAUGCUUGAGACAAUACGUUCACUCAGAAGGUAAAAAUGGGGUGACAUCCCGAAGUCCAACCACCACGACCCCCGCAGCUUCUAUAGCUCCUAGGGUCGUGAUCAACUAUAUUCACGGCGGACCUAUCAACGAGGAAUACAACUCUAAACAAAAGAGAUGGAUGCUACUUCAAGCCAUCUUCGUGCGAGAGCAAGUUAGCUCCAUCAAGCCCAGAUUAAUCAGCAGGAGCAUGCGCUCAAUAGAUAGGGAAAUCACUUUUCCCCUAGUAGACUCCAACCGAAUAUUACAAUCGCAUCGGGACGCCCUUAUCCUAUCAUUGGGAAUCAGUGACUUUGAUGUAAGGUGGAUCUUAGUCGACCUAGGUAGCUCAGCCGACCUCUUACAGGUAUCUAUAAUUAAACAUAUGGGGCUUUCACCAUCGAAUCUGGAAAAUCCUGGACGGAUAUUGUUAGGAUUCUAAGGAGCUUCAACAAUGUCUCUGGGCGACAUUGUGCUGCCCGUCCAGACCGGCCCCAUUGCCCUGAAUAUGCAGUUCUCAAUAGUAGAAGACCUAUCUCCAUUCAAUGCCAUAUUGGGGCGCACCUGGCUGUAGAGCAUGAAAAUCAUUCCUUCUACUUAUCAUCAGAUGGUGAGUUAUCGCAUCGAAGACGGACAGAUUAAUCUCUAUGGAAGCCAACUAGCAGCUCGAUAGUGCUACCAAGUGGCAUAGAAAACCGGAUCUAGUAGUGAUAAUGAGCCACCUCCAAAACUAUGAGCGCAAUCUUUUAAUAGCAAUUACAAUAUCCGACGAAGAAAGAUCCCCUGGUGGCCGACCCCUUGCAGACUAUUAAGAUCUCGAAGAAGGAUGAUCAUUUUACCUACGCAAGCUCCCUCUUAGAGUUGAACGAGGCGCGAAGCCUUGAAGGAGUACUUCACCGGAACAAAGAUGUCUUCGUCUGGACACACUCUAACAUGCUCAGGAUUCACCCAUCAAUUGCCUCCCACCAACUUAACAUUCUUCCAUUCUCAAGACCUAUCCGCCAGAAGGUCCAACAAUUCUAUUUGGAUAGGCAAAAAAUCAUUCAGAAUGAGAUAAACAAGUUAUUGAUAGCCGAAUUUAUCAAAGAGGUUAAGUAUCCUGACUAGUUGGAAAACGUGGUUGUAGUCCUGAAAACAUUGGGGAAAUGGCAAGUCUACGUUGAUUACACUAACCUCAAUGAUGCCUACCCUAAGGACAACUUUCCCCUCCCCCGAAUAGACCAAAUAGUGGACUCCACCACUGAAACACAGAAUGCUCUCCUUCCUACAUGCCUUUUUCGAGUAUCAUCAGAUCCCUAUGUAUCCACCAGAUGAAGAAAAAAUUGCCUUCAUAACACCACAUGGGCUCUAUUACUACAAAGUCAUGUCGUUUGGACUCAAAAAAGCUGGAGCCACUUAUCAAAGGCUGAUGACUAAAAUUUUCAAACCUCUAAUCGGACGCACAAUAGAGGUAUACAUUGAUGACAUUGUAGUGAAAAGCAGGACCAAGGGUGAACAUGACCAACACCUAGAAGAAGUCUUUCACUUGUUGAGAGAAUACAACAUGAAGCUCAAUCCGUCCAAUUGCGCCUUUGGAGUGAGUGCGGAAAAAUUCUUGGGGUUCAUGGUCACUCAAAGGAGCAUAGAGGCCAAUCCAAAUCAAAUCAAAUCAAAGUUGUCAUAGAGACAUCCGCCCCAUGCAACAAAAAGGAAUUGUAAUGCCUCACUGGCAAACUCACUGCACUAGGGUGCUUCAUAACCCAGUUUACAAACAAACUAAGGCAUUUUUUCCUUGCAUUAAAAAGAGCCAGCGCGACAUGAUGGAAGGAAGACUUUCAGUUUGCAUUUGAAGAAAUCAAGUUUUAUCUCACACAAUCGCCCAUUCUGACCAGCCCUCAACUCAGUGAACAUUUGUACGUGUACUUAGCAAUCUCCAACUGUGUGGUUAGCACUGUUUUGUUUUGCUGCAUAUCGGACAAAAAGCAAAAGCAUGUCUACUACAUCAGCAAAGCAAUGUUCGAUGCGAAAACCAGGUACUCAAAGAUGGAGCAGAUAGCUUUGGCCUUGAGAAGCGCUGAGUAGAAACUUUACCCCUAUUUCCAGGCUCAUCAAAUUAUCGUGCUCACCAGCCAACCUCUCAGAAGUAUUUUGCACAAAUCUGAUCUAUUAGGAAGAAGGCUGAAGUGGGUCAUAUAAUUGAGGGAGUACGGGAUCAAAUAUUAGCCUAAGUUAUCCAUAAAAUGAAAAGUCAUGGUUGACUUUAUAGUUAAGAUCCCCCAACAACCCUCUCAACUCAAAGAACCUGGUAGAGAGGGAUGAUGGAUUCUCUUCGUCGACAGAGCCUCCUGGACCUCGGGAUCUAGAAUAGGCCCCCUCCUACGAUCACCAAUUGGAGAACAGCUAGAACAGGCCAUCCGACUUGGGUUCCCAGCAUCCAACAGUGAAACCGAGUACGAGGCCAUCCUAUCCAAACUAAACUUUGCACUUGCUCUCUCAGCUUCUAAGAUCGAAAUCUGCAGUGACUCUCAACUCAUUGUUGGGCAUAUUCAAGGGGAGUACAAAGCUAAAGAUGGAUGUAUGACUCAGUACUUGAUUAAAGUAAGAGGUGCCCUGAAUCAAAUGAAUGAAUGGGCUAUCAAAAGGAUUCCUCACAUAUAAAAUGUACAAGUCAAUGCCUUGGUUGGAAUAGGUACUACACUCCUCGUGAAGGAGGCAAUAUUAUUACCCGUCCAUUUCCAAAUCGUUUCCUUAAUUGUAGUCAUACCUGUCUGCAACGCUAAAGAGGUAGGUGCGGAGUGGGCACAUGAAAUUGAAAAUUACCUCCGGACAGGUGACCUGCCCGAAGAGAACAAACAUGCGCAUAGGGUCCGGGUGCAGGCUACCCGCUUCACCUUAAAUGGGGAUUAUCUCUACAGGCGAUCCUUUGGAGGUUCAUACCUCAGGUGCUUAAAUAGAACGGAAGCUCAGUAUGUAUUAGCAGAGCUACAUGAAGAAAUAUGUGGCAAUCACUCAGGAGGACGAACCCUGGUGCACCUUACCCACUCGCAAGGAUACUAUUGACCCACCAUGAAACAGGAUGCGAAAAAUUAUGUCAAGAAGUGUGACCGGUGUCAAAGGCACGCACCCAUUCCUCACAUAUCAUCUGAAGUUCUCAACCUAGUUACAAGCCCUUGGCCAUUCGCAUAAUGGGGGAUGGACAUAGUAGGACCCUUACCCGUCACAGCCACUCAUAAGAAAUUCUUGCUUGUGGCCACUGACUACUUUAGCAAGUGGGUAGAGGCAGAAGCUUAUGCCAACAUCAAAGAUAAGGACGUCUCUAAGUUUGUUGGGAAAAACAUCAUCUGUCAGUUCGGAAUUCCGCAAACAAAUUAUAGCUGAUAACGAACCACAGUUUGACAGUGUUGAGUUCAGGACCUUUUGUUCAGAGCUAAAAAUAAAAAAUCUAUACUCCACACCACGAUAUCCUCAGAGCAAUGGAUAAGCGGAAGCAACAAACAAGACCCUGCUCUCCGUACUAAAGAAAAUGCUAGAAAAAGCCAAAUGGAAGUGGGUAAAAGAACUACCCGGCGUCCUGUGGGCUUAUCGAACAACACUUGGAUGACCAAUCGGAAACACUCCCUUCGCUCUUGCCUACGGGAUGGACGUAGUUAUCCCAACAGAGAUAGGCAUGCCCACAACCUGAACUGUUGUACAAGACCAAAGGGACAAAUGUCAAGAACUUGAGAGACACUUGGAUUGGGCAAACGAGGUGAGGGGGAGUGCAGCCAUCCGGAUGGCCUCCGAUCAACAAAGAGCUACUGCCUACUACAACCGGAAAGCCCAACCCCAUGCCUUUAAGGUUGGAACCUUAGUCUUCAAAAAGCUCCAAGCUAAUUGGGAGGGGCCUUAUAUUGUCUUGAAGGCUGGAGAAUCUAGGGUUUACCAUCUACAAAAGCUGGAUGGAAUGCCCCUGCUCCACUUAUGGAAUGUAUCUAAUCUAAGGCAAUACUAUCAGUAAAGUAAAAAAAGAAAAAGUGCACAAGAAAGAUAGUGAAAUAUUGCAUUCGCAUUCGUAAGUGAGAAAUUGUUCUUUACAAGUGUUGGCCAGACAAAUCACGGCGAAAUACAAAUGACUUAAUAAUAAAUAAAAAAUGUUUUAUGGCUCGACCGAAGAGUCGGCCAUAGGAAGAAUCUCAUCUCUUCAAGAAGAAUCGUCGGGUACCUCCCCCUUGUCGUCUGAAGGAAAGGAAUGAGUAUCUUAUGUGAUGUCGUUCUUCUUCAUACAACAUCGAUAGCCAUAGAAGAACAUUUCGUCCACUUGCUUUUGAUACUCCUCCUCCAACUCCUUCUUUUGAUCUGUGAAUCCGGCCCAGAGUUCCUCCAACUUUUUCUUCAGUUGGGCAUUCUCCUGCUCGACCUCUUUGCACUUGGCCUUAGUGGCCUUGCCCUCCUCUCUCAACCGGUCAGCCUCAGCAUGGACCGACUCCUUCUCCACCUCCACCAAUUUCAAAGCCUCGACUCCCUCUACAAUAGCCUUCUAUGCAGCGGCAAGGUCGCUCUCCACCUGUUCCAGCUUAAUGCAGAGCUCUUCACCGCCGCCCACGCGAUGGGUGAUGAAAGCCCUCAAAGCCUCAACAACCUCCAAUAGCUCAAAAAGUAGAGCGCGUUGUCGCAUCAGGUUGCGAACUCUGACCACCACCUAAAGGCGAUAACAAAAAUAGAGUAAGCUCGGGAUUAAAGUUCACAUUAUAGCAUAAGAAGGAAGGCAUAGUAGCUUACCACUUUUGCAGUCUCUUGAGUCAUGCAAUCCUGCAAUAGUUGAAUACGGGAGACCGUAGAGUUAGGCGUUCCAAGUGGAAGUUGGGUUGUGAUAGAGAUGAGGAGGUCGCCGCCUAAGCUCACCAAAACUCGGUUAGUGAAAGGAAAAAAGUCUAACAUCUUUGUCGAAUGCAACUCAACAUCAGUGAAGCAAGGCACUCGCCUCAGCAUCUCUAUCAUUUCCUCCUAGCUCGGAAGAGGAACGGAAGUAAGGGCAUCCUUCUAGUCUAAGUAUUCCUCGAUAGGAACCGGACCGUCAGAUGCCCCAUCUUGAACAGGGCAAGUCUCAUUCCUAGUAAGAGACGAGGCAACCAACGCGUUGUUGGACCCUGUAGCAUCUGGAUGGGGCAUUGGCGUCUGGGGAGCAUCUAUGAUAGGCUCUUCGUGAACCUCCUCUGGAUAGGAUCUUUUGGCAGGAGAAGAAACCACCUCAAUAGGAUCAGAUAGUCGUUUGCAUUGUCUCUCCCUAAAGCCCGACCCUCAAGUUGGACGUCGUAUCUUCCUCCACCUCCGGUUUGUAUAUGAUGACGAGUAUCACAGGCUCGAAUUUGGAACUUUGAGGAUCCAAGUCACUCCGUUCAAACCUUGGAAGGUCCAAGUCACCUUCUGAAUCCGGAACAAAGCUAUUUGUUUAUAGAGGUACAGAAAAAGUAGAAGCGGAAAAAGAUUCAGAUACCGAGGCUAGUACCUGAACCACCUUAGUGGAAGACUUCUUCUUCUUAAUUGGAUGGCGGACUACGAAAGAUAAAACAUGGCGUUUCUCACUGCAACCCUUCCUCAACUUUCCCUCUUGUCUUUUCUUCUCCCUCUGAUCAAGGUGCUCCUGGUGAGCUCUAGCGUUCGCCUCAUGUGCUUCUUUGUAGAAGGAGAGAUCCUUCAAAACAUGAUGUUUCCCGAGCACUAUGACCUUUGGGAGCCGCCUAGGGAUAAUGGGGAGAAUGUAAGGCUGGGACUCAUGGAUAACCGCAACCAAAUUCCAGGCAAUCAAAAGCGUCUGGUGGUUCUUUUUGUCGAAAGUGAUCACGAACAGCUUGUUCAGUAGGUCGAACGAAGCUUUCUCCACCCACUCGACCAGUCGACCUCUUCUGUCCUUAUCUGCAUCAAUCAAAAUGGACAGUGUUAGCACUAAAGUGAUAUCAGUUCAACAAAUAAAGACAAUUGAAGAAUCGCUUAAAGCCAUCCCUACCAGGAAUUUUAAGUGAUUCGUCCCAUUAUAGUCGUGCCAUUUGAUUCUGGUCCAGAUGGGUGUUAUCAACAAAAUUUAUAAAACCUAAAUCACCUUACACUAGGGUAGCAUAGCUAACAUAGUAUAGUGGCUCUAUGAUCGUCCACAGGGAUGGGUUUUCAUCAUACAGUUGACUUAAAUGAAGGAAAUAAAAUAGUGUUUUUUCUUAUGAAAAAUUAGCUUUUAAAGAAAAUGAAUUGUGGUUGCAAAGAUUGAUUUUAAGUUAAGCAAAAACAAUAAGUGAAGUUAACUAUAAAGAAAAGAUCUCUUAGAGCUUUAGGUCACUAGGAUUGGGUUUCUUAUACAAAUGGGGAGAUUCCAGAUCUUCUUCUCGCGUUGGGGAUAAUAAUAUAAAGGAUGGUUAUCUCCCGAACCGAUUUUGUAUUUAGCAAUUAAGAUUUGAUCCCAAGGGUUCAUGAAAAAUAAUAGUUGUUUUCCAUUAAUGGCUUCAAACACUAAAGACUCUCACCUUGAACCACCUUCCAAUGGCUUGUAAAUGAUAACUAAUAGACAUCCAUGGAUCUAACAGUAAGCAUCCAUAGAAUCCAAAAAGCUUACCAAGUAUUGGCCAUUCAAGGUGUUUUUAAGGGAUUUAAAGCUAAACCUUAAAAUAAAAACCAUUAAUGGUUAACAACUACUUUCAUUUAAAGCAAGGACAACUCCCAUCUUUGCAUUCGGGUCCUUCACCUAGCUUCCAUCACUCCAAGAAACGUAAAACCUAGCCACUCAUCCCAUGAGAAAUCAUCCUUAAAGGUUGUUUGGCUAGGAAGAAGAGUGAAAACAAAAUGAGAAGGAAAGGCAAAGCAAAAGCUUUGUAUGUUUCUUACUCCUCGAAAUUUACAAGUUUUCAAUGAAAUACAUACAUAUAUAUUUCCCUCUCUCUCUCCCCUCUUAUAUAUAUGCUACCUAAAAGAUAUAUAAAAAGAUAUAAAAGAAAAUAUCUAGGUUGGUUAUAAGGAGAAAUUAGGAAAUUACACAAAAUAUUUGAAGAUGAAAAUCGAACAGAGUCGGUGCACAGGAAGAUUUCGCAUACCAUGCAAAAUUUGGCAUGGUGUGCGAAAUCCUUUGGCUACCUCAAGUGGUUUCGCAUGGUGUGCGAAAUUUCGCACAGCCAUGCAAAAAUGUUGUUUGUUGGAUUUCUUCCUCAGGUUUUCUUCCUUGCAUCUCUGAUUGGCUUGGCAAAGGGCUAUGAAGUGCUCUAAAGCUUGGAUUAUUCAUGUAUUUGAGCUUUAACUUGCAUUGCCAUGGAUUUCACAAAAUUCUCCCUCAUUCUUGGCUUGGUUCAAUAAUCAAAUAGCUACCAAAAACAUUAAAACUGUCAAAAAUUGAUUAGUAACCCUUGCUAGGUUCCUUAAUGUGCCAAUUGAGUUAAAAGGUAUUAACUACUACUCAAAAGUAUUUAAAAUAGUUAGUUUCAAGCUAUAAAAGAGUACUUUUUGAGUAGUAAUCAUUAAGCGAAAAGUUUGGAUGGAAAUCCCUUUCCGAAUGCUCGACUAGGCCAUCCCACGGGCCCCAAACCAGGAUAUGCCUUUGGCUCUACCCUUAUUCAAGUUCGGGAGGUCGGUCACCAAUUGGAGAGAUGGGAUAUGAGCAAACAGGUUGAAGAUAUCUUUUUUGCUCUUCUUGAUGGUAUAGAUAAAGAGGACCUCUAAUAGGGAGAAGUCCAGACAGAAUAACAUGUCUAGGAUAAUGCAUCCCAUCAGCACUCGGACAAUGUUGGGAUGGAUAAAAACGUGAGGAAUUUGGAUGCAGUGUAAAAAUUGUUUGAAAAUAAACAGGAGAGAGAAAUAGAGUCCUGCGUUAAACUACUCCUUGAUGAAGAAAAUAACAUCUCGAGCUUCCUUCUCAGUAGAUGUCAGAUCUUCAUCCACCAAGUGAACGGAGAUGUCACUCAGAAUACAGAAGUGCUCUGAAACUCCCAUUCAAAAAUAAGCUCGGUAGGCUUUUCCGAUUAGGGGCGUCCGAAGCUUGCACCUGUCCGGCCACCCUUCAUAACAACAUUGGUCGAGGCAAUGUCCUUUUUCACUGGCAUACUAGAAGCGAUGGGCCAAGUUAGACCUGCACGAUACAAUGUCGAAUGUUAAAAAAUAGCCACCCGACCUUACCACCAAAAGGCAGUGCCCCUAAAACACACAACAAGCGAUUAUACCAGACUUAGGGUCUGCCCUAUUCAAGGCAUCCGACCGACCCUACCUAUCAGCGAAAAUCCUAACUAUGGAUUUUUUUUCUCUAUGACACCUCAAACAAAGGAAAAACAUACUGCAAACAAACUCUGAAAAAACCCCAACAAAGCAACAAACAUGGCAAACUCUAACCCUAAUAGGGGUUAGCAGGUCAUGCCAUUAACGAGACCUGAUGGCCCAGAAAGACCACAAAUCUAUUUUUACAAGCCUUGAAGCAACCACUUCGCAGUCGACCAAGACCCCCAAACUCCAAAAUAAUCCCCAAACAGCAACAAAUGAAGCUAUCAAGAAAAAUGGAAAAUCGGGGAGUAGUAGAGAAGAAAAACGAGCAUACCAGGAAAAUGUCUUCAACAAAGUGUCGAAGUCGAUCUGUAAAAGGCAAGAAAGAUUAGUCAGAAAGUUCGCUGAAGAAGGAGAAAUGCAGCACAACAAGCCAAAAGGACAAUGACUAUUUGAAUAUGGGAAGUGCGAAACGAAAGAAAAUAGACUGAAAGGACAAAAGUGAAACGACUAGAAAAUGUACUUCUUAGGGAUUAAUUCCCUAUUUAUAAGGAUAGACGCCCUAGAAAUUCCAAAUGACAAGACGCUUAGAAGUGCAUUCUCCAAAGCGACGCGUCGUUUGAUGACAACCUCGAUAACAACGCCUCUCCUUAACACCCUCAGAUGCCACGUGUCCUAAGGUUACUAAAAGGGUUUGAAAAAUGUUUUAACCUGCCAUUUCUGUCCAGACGAAAUACUCGAGUUAAAAUGAGGGAUUGUGGGGGCUUCCCCCAUAUAGCCAUGUGGCAGGCCACUCUUGGUCCACGUGGCAUCCUUCUAUUUCUGUCCGAAUGAUCAUCAUCAAACCGGAGUAUCCUAUCCAGCCAGUAGGUAUCAGAGACCUGUCACAUCGUGAUCCUCUAAAUUGCACAAUGCAUUUUGGGUAGAUAUCCUGGCCCACUCCUACAGGCAAUCAUUCCCCCAAGCCAUCAAUAUGUUUGACGGGACGUCACUUUGCCUUCGCAGGCGAGCUACUACAUGUUGCACCAUACUUUCUGCAAAGUGAGGUGACAAGCAAACCAUCAUGUCAUCCCCACUGGUAGCCCCAAUCAGCCACCUAAAUGGUGAUGAUUGCCCUACCAUGAACUGUGCUACCAUCAUGACUGUGAAAGUCAAGAUGCCACCUCAGCGCAGACGUGACCCCGUCGCAAACACUAUAAAAACCCUCAUACAACCAAAAUCCAGGUACGCAAUACAAGAAGCUUGAUAUAGCUCCAAAGAAUGAGCGAUUUCUCGAGCUGGUUUUAACCAAUUGACUUGGGCUUCGAAGGGUGUGUCCGAACAACUUGUUUGGACAUCUUUUUGCAGGAAAGAAAAGAGAAGUCGGUCCUCACCUACUGUAUUCAGUCAUUUCCUACUAUAACAAGGAGAAACAUCAUCUCCAGUUGAUUUAGCAUCAACAGGUGAGAGUUAAACAUGUAAUUUAUAAGUAUCCACCUCAUUCUCAUUAAUAGACACAAAAAAUAUUAACAUUUCAGCUAUGUUCAAUUCCCAAAAAAAUUGAGGGACAAUAUAAAAGAAAGAAAAUAAAAAAGAAAAAUAGAAAGAAAAAAAAAGUAAAAAAUAAAUAAAAAAUAAAUUUAAAGUUAAUAAAUUAUUUUUAUAUGUUAUUUCAAACUCAUUUCACAUAUUUUUCUUAUUUUAUAUGAAUAUUAAAUAAUUUAAAAAUAUAUACAAUUUUCAUUUAUUUUUUAUUUGAUUUUGUAUUUUUCAUAAUGAGAUUAAAAAUGAGAAAAUAACUUUUUUAAUAUACAUAUUUUUAAUACUUUUUGAAAUCAAACAUAGAAUAAAACAUUUGAACAUGAAAACCACUAAAUUCAAUAUACACUCAACAUUUGUCAAAAUGGAAAAGAUUAACGCUUACUGAGUGAUGGCUUUGUACACUCUUCCAAAACUAUCACUUCUAGAAACCUAACAUUUUCCCAAGAACUGUCAUGGAUCUUCAAUUUCCCAUUGUCAAGGGUUUUAGUAAUAGCCCAAUGCUCUAGUUUUGAAUUUCCACCCAUUCGUUUAGCAACGAUCGGCAUGAUAUUAAAUAAUCAUCAUUAUAAUUAUGUGAAGGUAUAUUUGCAUAAUCAUCAUCAACGUUGAAAUGCAUGCAUAGUACCUGAAAAAUUAUAAAGAUCCAUUAGAACCAAAAAUAAAAAAUAAAAAAUCUAAGCCCAGAGAAGGAUAACAAGGAGUUUUGAAUAUUGAGAAGACUGUUGACACAAUGGAUUAUCUUGAACCUAUAGAGUAACUACAAUACUUUGGAUGUAAACAAUUAUGUUGAACCAUAUCAAAAUUUGCUAUUUACAUCUUCUCUAUACUUUAUCUCUUCUAACAUUUUAUAUUAUUUAGUAUUUAUUUUAGUAUCUAUUACUUGCAUAUUUGUAAAAUUUCUAAAAAUAGACUAUUACUAAUUCACUCCCUUUUUAGGUGAUUACCUAAGUUUUUUAUAGUAAACUUCAGAAUAUUCACUUUCAAAGAUUGUCAUGAGCUCCCCUAAAACAUUAUGUAUUGUAAAUUUAAGAAGUAAAAAUAAAUAAAUAAAUUAAACAAUUGUUGUGAUUUUAAUACUUACUCAUUUCCUAGAACCUUAACUUUUUCCAAAGUGUCAUAGAUCUUCGAUUUCUCAUUUCCAUGGGUGGUAGAAAUAGCCCCAGGCUCUAGCUUUGAAUUUCAACCCACUUGUAAAGGCAACCUUUGUCUAGCAAUGACCCGUAUGAUGUGGAUAAUCAUCAUUAUCAUGGAAAAACAUACGUAAACACCUUCAAGAUUAUAAAAAUCCAUUAAAACUUGAGAAAUAUAGGUAUAAAGAAGGAUAAGAAAAAUCUUGAUUGAGAAGAAUGGUGAUAUAGUAGAUCAUCUUAAAACCUACGAAGGAGCUCCAAGGCAUAGUGUGCUGAACCGCAUUAAAAAUUGUUAUUUGCAUAUUCUCUACCUUUUAUCCAUUUACUUUAAGUAUUUUAUAAUAUCUAGUAUUUAUUUUGAUAACAACUAACCAACACAUUUGUAAAAAUUCUAAAAAUAGACCAUCAAUAAUUCACCUUUUUGGCUGAUUACGUAUGGUUUCCAUGAUAGACUUCACAAUAUUCACUUUCUAAGAUCAUAGUGAGCUCCCUCUUUUAACGGGAUGGGGUAAGGUUUAUGAACUAAAGCUAUGAAUAAAUAAAAUUGCAAGGAUAAUUGCUCACAGUUUUAAAUUGCAGAAUCCAUUUCUUAGAGUUUUUCGAAAACACUUCUAGUAUAAAAAACAUUUUUGAUAUAAAAAAAUAGAUAUUUAACAAAAGUUUCAAACACUUUUAAAAAGUCACAAAAACCAUUUCUAGUGUUUUUUUCGAGAAAUAUUUGAUAGAUGAUUAUCCUAAAAUAUCUUAGAGAGAAAGUAAUUCAAAUGAAAAUAUGUUCAAACUUAGGUGGUGUUUUAUUGAUUUAUUUUUACUUAAUUCUAAAUAGAAAUUAAAACUAAAUAGUCAUUAAAUAGUGUUAAGUAUGAAGUUAUUUGCUUUUAUAAUAUUUUAUUUCUAUUAAGCAAUAAAAAAUAAAGAAAUUUUUUUAUUUCUAUUAAAUAUUAAAAUAUAAAGAAAAACCAACAUAUUAUUUUUUGCAUUUAGAAAAAGUUAAAUAUUUUGCUUUUUUCUAUUCAACAAAAAAAAAUAUAAAAAGCCAUAAAAAAGUAGAAAAACAAAUAAUUUAAAGUCUGAAAGUAAAUUACUUUAAGCAAAAAAUUUAAGAAAACAAACACCCUUUAAGUAUCCACCUCAUUCUCGUUAAUAGAAACAAGAAACAUGAUACGAAGAGUGCAUUUGAUAAUAUUUCUAUUCCAAAUGUUUGUGUAAAAUUAUUUUUUAAAUGAUCACCUAUUAAGUGCUUCUUCAAAAAUUAAUAUUACAAGUAAUUUUUCAAUUUUUUAAAAUGUGUUUUUCUAAAUUUUACCAAAUCUCGUAUUUUUCUUCUACUCAUAAUUCAAUACCCAUUCAACAUAAUAAGAGGAGAGAUUGACGGGUGAUGGAUUUGUACACUAUCCCAAAACUCCCAAGUCCUAGAAGCUCAACCGUUUCCCAGAAGUUAUAAAUCUUGAAUUUCUCAUUCUCAUAGAUUUUAGCAAACGCACUAGGAUCUAGCAUUGAAUUUCCACCUGAAUACAUGCUGGUAGGCAUGGUAACAUACAAUGAUUUAUCCUGUAAGAAGAUCUACCAAGAACUAGACUAUUGUGAAACAAACUUUUGAACAGUUACUAGGGGGAGAAUAACACUUACUGGGUGAUGACUUCGUGCAUUCUACCAAAACUCCCACUUCCUAGAAGCUCAACCUUCGGCCAAGAACUAUCCAUGGAUCCUCAAAUUCCCAUUCCCAUGGGUUGCAGCAGUAGCCAUGGGCUGUAGCUUUGAAUUUCCACCCACUGGUUUGAAAGCCAACUUCUCUUUAGUGACGGCCCACAUCAUAGGGCUAACCAUUUCCAUGGAUGAGAGGACCGAAGCUUAUACCACUUCAAUCAUUACUUCGAUCGAAGAAAGAGGCAUGAUCAGGAUAAUCAGAUGCGUCAACGAUGCGACCAAACUGAGAGAUUUUCUCACCAUUAUCGCUUCCCUCAAAGAAAGCCACAUGAUUUUGGCCCAACCAAGAGAUGCUUUGGUUGAUGAUAGCAAAAGCUCCUGCUUCAAACCAUCAAUAAUAUAUCAAUGGCCCGCCGGAUCUACCCUCUUCCCAUGAAUUAUUUAUUUACUUGAGGAAUGAGUCAAGCUUAUAAAUUAUUUAUAGGUUAAUUUCAUUCACCACCCCUAAGGUUUUGAUUAAAUACAUCUAACUCUCACAGGUUUGAAAUUUUAUCAAAUACCUCAUCUAUCCUUUUCAUUUUUUAUUUUCACUCAGUCUCCCUUCUUACUCAAAAUAAGUGAAGUAUAUGAUGAAAUUUCAAACUUCUCAGUAUUAGAUAUACUUAGCCAAAAACUCAAGGAAGGUGAAUGAAAUUAACCCAUUAUUUAUUUGGUUGGCAGAGUAGUAAAUGAAGGUUCUUAUCAUGCUUGAAGUCAGACAUAGAUCCGAAACUUCAAUUUUGAGAAACACUUUAAAAAAAAAAAUGAUAAAGUAUUAAUUUUUUUUAUAAAGCCUUUGAUAGAUUAUUAGUUUAAAGAUUUUUUUAGAGGAGAUAGCAACACUCUGAAACUCUCACUAUUACUCCACUCAAGAUCAUCAUUCAUUUAUAAAAAAAUGUCACCUUAUAUUUGUUUCUAAAUCUUUAAUUUAAUAAAUAAGAUUAAAUAUAUUGUGUUUAAUUCUUUCUACUUUAAAAAUAAAAAAUAAAAUUAUAAAAAUGGAUCUAAUUUCACUUAACUUUUUUAUUUUCAUUUAUGUUAUUCAUGGCCUCCCAAGAACCUCUGCAGAAAGAGUUCAAAUCAGAAUCAAAGAAAAAUACAAUGGAGUAGUAUCGUAUGACUUUCUAACCUACGAAGAACUAAUAAACUUCGUAAACCAAGAAGUUUAUCUCUUUGCCCGCUUAUCAAAGUUAAUGUUAAGAUCAAGAAAGAUCUUAGAACCUCAAAGAAAGAAUUAGGAUCUUUUUGUGCGGGUAUGAGAAGAUUCUUCCACCCUCUAUUAAAAAAGAAAAUAUUAUAGGUCAAAACAUAGAAAACCAAAAUCAAACUGAAAAUACUCAAAAUAUAGAGGAAAAGAAAAACAAGAUUAUCAAAGAUCAAAAUCUAAAGAACAUUCAAAGAAAAUAUACAAAAGGGAAAUAAAAUUUUUCAAAUGUGGUAAAAAGGGACACGUAGCCCCAAACUAUAAAAUCAAAGAAAUUAUAAAAGACAUAGACAUACGAAGCCUUCUCAAGGAAUAGAUGACUAAUCUAAUCAAAUCAAAAUCUUCUAACUAAAUGUCCUCAAAGACAACAAGUAGUGAGGAACAACUCCUUCUAAUCGAAGAAGACUCUUUUGAAACCUUUGAUGACCUUUCCUUAAAUCCUCUUGCAACUGUGUAGAAAAUUGCCUUUGUAAUAUCAAAACUAUUAAUGUCCUAACAAGUGAACAAAACCUCUUAAUAAAAAUGAUAGAUAAAAUUCCAGACCCUCAAAUCCAACAUGAAUAUAUCAAAAAAUAUUUAGAAUUUCAAAAACAAGAAAGAGAGACUAGGGAAGCAAAUACAAAUCAAUAUAGUCUAAAACCUAUUUUGGAUCAACCUCUAAACCAAAAACAACAAAUAUUCAAGAUCUUCAAAAUGAAAUAAGUCAAAUUAAGCUUCAAAUUAGAGACUUAAUAAUUCAAAAUGAAGGAUUAGACAUUAGGCUUCAAAAAUUAGAAAAUCAUCUAAUAACCUUUAAACAGGAAAAUAAGUUAAAAACAGUAGGAUAUCAACCUGAAACCCUUACACAUAGAUUAUAAAAUUUCAAAUGUAUACAUAUGCAAUCAAAAUGUUUGUUAUAAAACCUCCUUCCUUCUAGUAAAAAAUAUGCAACAAGAAGUAAUAUUGGGAACACCUUUCUUAACUCUACUUUAUCCAUUUAAAGUAGAUAAAGAAGGAAUAAAAACAAUUAUAAAGGGCAAACGAUUUGUUUUGAGUUUGCUAGUCCUAUCAAACACAAAGAACUUAGCCUUCUCCACAAUGAUGGAAUGAAGCAACUGAAUUUAAUUCAAAAGAAAAAAAAACAUAUCAAAUUCCUAAGUAAAGAAAUUCAUUAUCAAAGAAUAGAAGAAAACCUCCUUCAAAGACAGAUCCAAGAUAUAAUAAAUAAAGUCAAAAACCAAAUUGAAACAUAACUAUGCUCUUCAGUUCCUAAUGCUUUUUGGGACACAAAGAAACAUGAAGUUUCUUUGCCUUAUAUAGAAGGAUUUAAUGAAAAUCAAAUUCCUACUAAGGCAAGGCCCAUUCAAAUGAAUGAACAUAUGUUAGAAUAUUAUAAGAAAGAAAUUUAAGAUCUCUUGGACAAUAACCUAAUAUGAAAAAGCCACUCACCUUGGAUUUGUGCGGCAUUUUAUGUUAAAAAGCCUUCAGAGAUUGAAAGAGGUGUUCCAAGACUUGUAAUCGAUUACAAGCCCUUAAAUAAGGUCCUCAAAUGUAUUGGGUAUCCAAUACCUAAUAAACGAGAUCUUAUUGGACGUCUUCAUAAUGCUUUGAUCUUUUCAAAAUUUGACAUGAAGUCUGGAUUUUGGCAAAUUCAACUUCAUGAAAAAGACAAAUACAAAAUUGCAUUCACAGUUCCAUUCGGGCACUAUGAAUGGAAUGUGAUGCCAUUCGUUUUGAAGAGUGCUCCUUCAGAAUUUCAAAAUAUAAUGAAUGGCAACUUCAAUCCCCAUACUAACUUCUCUAUAGUAUACAUUGAUGAUGUACUUAUAUUUUUUUAAUUCCAUUGAGCAUUAGUUUAAACAUCUAAACAUCUUUCAAAAUAUUGUUAAAGAAAAUGGUUUAGUGGUUUUAGCCCCUAAGAUUAAACUAUUUCAAACCAAGAUUAAGUUCUUAGGAUUCGAAAUAUACCAAAGGAAAGUCAAACCUAUUCAAAGAUCUAUAGAGUUUGCUAGCAAGUUUCUUGAUGAAAUCAAAGAAAAAACCCAACUUUAAAGGUUUUUAGGAAGUCUGAAUUAUGUGUUGGACUUCUACCCAAAUCUUAAAACCUUAAUCAAACCCUUCUAUCAUAGGCUUAGACAAAAUCCCAAGCCCUAGACUCAAGAACACACAUAUAUAAUCAAAAUUGUCAAACAAUAGUUUAAAAGUCUUCCUUGCUUAGAAAUCCUUAAUCUUUUAGUAUUUCCUAUUAUAGAAACAAAUGUCUCUAAUAUAUGGUGAUUACUACUCAAAAAGUGUUAUUUUAUAGCUUGUAAUUAACUCUUUUAAACACUUUUGAGUAGUAGUUAUUACCUUUUAACUCAAUUGGCAUGUUAAGGACCCUUGCAAUCGUUUCUAAUCAAAUUGUGUUAAGUUUUGGUGUUUUUCAUAGCUUUUUGAUCACUAAAGCAAUCCAAGAAUGAGGGAGAUCUUUGUAUAGUUCAUGGAAAAGCAAUUUGAAGCUCAAAUUCAUGAAAAAAACUAAGCUUUGGAGCUUCAUAACCCUUUGCCAAAGCCAAACGAGGAUACAAGGAAGAAAAUCACAGAAGAAAUCAACCAUCCAGCAAUUUCGCAAGUUGUGGAAUCCAACUUGCAAAAUUUUCUCAACUUGGAAAUAGGAAGAGCAAAGAAAUCGCUGCAAGAUAGAGAACUAAUUAGUUGCAGGACAAUUUCGCAACUUGUGAAACCACAAUUUCAACUUGCAAAAUGGACAAUUUCAACUUGCAAAAUUUUCGCAAGUUGCGUUUGAACUUGCGAAAUCCACCUGUAAUCUGAGAUAUUUGCGCUCCUACUCCGUUUGAUGUUUAUCUUCAGAUAUUUGUGUGUAAAUCCCUAUUUUCUCCUUGUAACCCACCAAUGACAAGUUUUUUUAUUGGAAAAUUAGCAGAAGGGAUGAAUAGCCUCUCUAUAUAAUAUCUAUUGUAAUGUUCUUUUAAAAAGAUCUCUAGGGAGUUUUUCUCGAAGACGAACUUUGUAUAGUUUUUCAGAAAGUAAUACACAGAGCUUUGCUCUAUCUUACCUUCUCAUUUUGUUUUCUCUUUUAUUUUUAUUUCUAGCAAAUCAAACUCUGAGGAUGUUUUCCUAGAGGAUGAGUGGCUAGGCUUUUUGUUUCUUGGAGUGAAGAAAGCUAGGUAAGGUUCCGAAUACAAAAGUGGAAGUUUCGUUGUUUCAAUUUUUAAUGAAGAGAAAGUGUGACCCGUUAAUGGUUUUUAUCUUUUUAAUUAACUUAAAAUCCCUUAAAAUCACCUGGGCCAACACUUGGUAAGGCAAGUGGACUCCGUCCGUUGAGAUCCACUAAUUUAUCUCUUGCGAGCCUCUGAAGGUGGUUUAAAGGUAGGAUUAUCUAGAAUAGCCAACACUUGGUAAGCUUUUGAACUCCUAGGAGACAUCCAUUAGUUAUCUCUUGCGAGCUUUUGACGGGUAAUCCAAGGUUAAGGAUCACCUUGAAUGGCCAAUACUAGGUGAGAGGUAUGAACCAUUGCAAGACGAUUCAGUGACAGGGAUUUAGUGUUUGAAACCAUUAAGGGGAAGCAUUUGUACCACACCGGUUCAGGAAAUAACUAUAUGUUAAAUCUCCAAUGCGAGGAAAAGAUCCAAGUGACCGGAAUCUCCCUUUUUGUAUAAGGAACCUGAGCCUAGUGAUCUAAAACUCCAAGAAGCACUUUUCUUUGUAAGUAAUUUUAGUUACUUUAUUUUUUGUUUCACUUAAAACCAACCUUUUCACACAUACUUAUGUUUUCUUUUAAAGUUAACCUUGAAAAGAAAAAACACCAAUUUAGUUUUUGAACUAAUAUCAGUUGUAAUUUGAAAACCCAUCUCUGUGGACGAUCCUAAAGCCACUUUGCUAUGCUAGCUAAUGCUACCCUAGUAUAUGGUGAAAUAGGUUUAUAAAUUUUGUUAAUUACUCCCGUUUGAGGACUGAAAUCAAAGCACACCAGUUGGUUAAACACCAAUCAACAGGGCAUACACCAGCUGGGCACGAAUCAAAUGGUGCCGUUAUCGGGGAUGGUGCCAACUUUACAGUGAUAUAACCUUUUCCAAAACACUUGUGAUCUUCAUGACAAGUUUGAUGACUUUUCUCUUCUUUUACUAACUCUUUUUAAUUGUUUUUUUUACUUGUUCAUAUUUUAGCCUAUCUUUUAAUUUAGUUUUUAGUUAAUCUUAGUUUUUUUUUUGUAGUAUUGUUUUCUUUUGUUUUCUUUGUUUUUGUUACAGUUGUUACUAGUUGUGUAUGCCAUAUUGGAUACGAGACAGUGGAGGAAGACAUGUGAAAAUUGAAACACCUCACAAAACAGGGUUGGAAUUGUGCUUGAACAUCAUGGAAGCUACACCUGAAGAUCAGCAUAGUCACCAUGGUCAGCAGGACAAUCCUAAUGCAUUCAGAUCAAUGAGGAACCGCAUGCAUCCACCUCGUAUGAGUGCACCAUCAUGCAUAGUGCCUCCUAUAGAGCAGCUAGUAAUCAGACUACAUAUUGUGCCACUUCUACCUACUUUCCAUGGGAUGGAAAGUGAGAAUCCCUAUGCGCAUAUUAAAGAAUUUGAAGACAUUUGUAAUACAUUCCAAGAGGGAGAAGCUUCAAUCGACUUGAUGAGGCUAAAACUAUUUCCUUUCACUCUAAAGGAUAAGGCCAAAAUUUGGCUUAAUUCUUUAAGGCCAAGGAGUAUCUGAAAUUGGACUGAUUUGCAAGCUGAAUUUCUCAAGAAAUUUUUCCCUACUCAUAGGACCAAUGGCUUGAAAAGGUAAAUUUCAAACUUCUCAAUUAAAGAGAAUGAGAAAUUCUAUGAGUGUUGGGAGAGAUACAUGGAAGCUAUCAAUGCUUGUCCUCACCAUGGCUUUGAUACAUGGAUAUUGGUGAGCUACUUUUAUGACAGUAUGUCUUCCUCAAUGAAACAACUCCUAGAGACUAUGUGCGAAGGAGAUUUCAUGAGUAAGAAUCUGGAGGAAGCCAUGGAUUUCUUGAAUUAUGUUGUUGUCAAGAUGAUGGGAUGAACCAAACAGGGGAGAAGUGGGAAGAAUGAAGUUUCAACCAAAUGCUCUUAAUGCUAAGGUUGGGAUGUAUACCUUGAACGAAGAUAUUGACAUGAAAGCAAAAGUUGAGCUAUGACAAGAAGAUUGGAGGAGCUAGAACUGAAAAAGAUACAUGAAGUGCAAGCCAUUUCUGAAACACCAGUGCAAGUUAUGCCCUGUUCCAUUUGUCAAUCUUAUGAGCACUUGGUGGAGGAGUGUCCUACAAUUCCAGCUGUUAGAGAAAUGUUUGGAGAUCAAGUAAAUGUUAUUGGACAAUUCAAGCUCAAUAACAAUGCUUCAUAUGGAAAUACCUACAAUUCAAAUUGGAGGAAUCAUCCAAAUUUCUCCUGGAAACCAAGAGCACUUCAGUACAUGCAACCAGACCAAGCAUCUCAACAAACUUCAAAUCUUGAGCAAGCAAUAGUGAAUCUAAGCAAGGUCGUGGGAGAUUUUGUUGGAGACCAGAAAUCCAUCAACGAUCAACUCAGUUAAAGAAUCGAUAGUGUAGAGAAUACGGUGAAUAAAAGGAUGGAUGGAAUGCAAAAUGAUCUAUCUCAGAAGAUAGAUAAUCUCCAAUACUCAAUCUCAAGGCUCACCAACCUUAACACAGUGCAAAAGAAAGGAAGGUUUCCUUCUCAACCUCACCAAAACCCCAAGGGUAUCCAUGAAGUGAAGGCUCAUGAGGGAAAAUCUUCAUAGGUGGGGGACAUCAAAGCCAUGAUCACUCUGAGGAGUGGUAAAGAGGUUGGGCUGCCAACACCUAAGCUACAUGAUGAAAUAGAGAGUGAAAAAGAGACAGAGAAGAUGGAGGAAAUCAAAGGAAAGAAGAAAGGGAGCAGUGGAAGGAAAGAGGACCAUGAUUCAACAGUGAAUGAAGAUCCGGAAAAGAUAGUUAUCAAUGAAGAUGUGAUGAAGAAACACAUGCCUCCACAUUUUCCUCAAGCUUUGCAUGGGAAAAAGGGAAUCAACAAUGCAUCAGAAAUUCUUGAAGUAUUGAGGCAAGUGAAGGUCAACAUCCCAUUGCUAGACAUGAUCAAACAAUUGUCGACUUAUGCAAAAUUCCUGAAGGACUUGUGCACUAUAAAAAAAGGGUUGAAUGUGAAUAAGAAAGCCUUCUUGACUGAGCAAGUAAGUGUCAUCAUACAGUGCAAGUCUCCAGUGAAGUAUAAAGAUCUGGGUUGUCCUACCAUCUCAGUGAUGAUUGGAGGGAAGUUAGUGGAGAAAGCUUUGUUGAACUUGGGGGCAAGUGUGAAUUUGCUACCAUACUCUGUCUACAAGCUAUUGGGACUUGGUGAAUUGAAGCCAACAUCAAUCACUCUAUCUCUAGUAGAUAGAUCAGUGAAGAUUCCAAGAGGGAUGAUUGAAGAUGUCUUAGUUCAAGUUGACAAUUUCUACUAUCCAGUGGAUUUUGUUGUUCUUGAUACGGACCCAAUUGUCAAAUGAACUAAUUAUGUUCCUAUCAUACUUGGAAGACCAUUCCUACCUACAUCAAAUGCAAUCAUCAAUUGUAGGAAUGGACUCAUGCAACUCAUGUUUGGCAACAUGACAUUAGAGCUCAAUAUCUUCUAUAUGUGCAAGAAGCCAAUCAAUCCGGAAGAAGAAGAAGGUCCAGAAGAGGUGUGCAUCAUUAACACUUUAGUGGAGGAGCAUUGUAAUAAAAAAAAUACAAGAGGAGUUGAAUGAAAGUCUUGGGGAUCUUGAUGAAGGGUUACCUGAACCCUCAUAUUUGCUUGCUACUCUACCACCUUAGAGGAGGAUAGAAUAAAUUCUACAUUUGUUCAAUGAGGAAGAGACACAAGAAGCUGUUAAAUAGGAGGCCUCAAAGUUUAUUCUGAAGCCACUACCCACGGAGUUGAAGUAUGCAUACCUAGAAGAGAAUAAGAAGUGCCCCGUUGUUAUAUCUUCAUCUCUUACCACUCUUCAGGAGGAGUGUUUACUUGAAGUUCUCAGAAGAUGUAAGAAAGCAAUAGGAUGGCAAAUAUCUGACUUGAAAGGUAUUAGCCCUUUAGCCUAUACACAUCAUAUAUACAUGGAAGAAGAAGCUAAGCCAGUUCGUCAACCUCAAAGAAGAUUGAAUCCUCAUAUGCAAGAGGUGGUGCGAGCUGAGGUUCUUAAGCUACUUCAAGCCGGUAUUAUCUAACCCAUAUCAGAUAGCCCAUGAGUAAGUCCUACUCAAGUAGUGCCAAAGAAAUCAGGGAUCACAGUGGUGCAAAAUGAUAAGGGAAAAGAAGUUGGUACAUGUCUCACUUCAGGUUGGAGGGUGUGUAUUGAUUAUAGAAAACUGAAUGUUGUGACAAGGAAGGAUCAUUUUCCAUUGUCAUUUAUUGAUCAAGUGUUGGAGAGAGUCUCAGGCCAUCCUUUCUAUUGUUUCUUGGACGGCUACUCCAGGUAUUUUCAAAUAGAAAUUGAUGUUGAAGACCAGGAGAAGACCACUUUCACAUGUCCAUUUGGAACAUAUGCCUACAGAAGAAUGCCUUUUGGUUUAUGCAAUGCACCUACAACAUUCCAAUGAUGUAUGUUAAGUAUUUUCAGUGAUAUGGUGGAGCGUAUUAUGGAAGUUUUUAUGGAUGAUAUUACCAUAUAUGGAAGCACAUUUGAGGAAUGCUUAGUCAACUUGGAAGCUGUUCUGAACCGAUGCAUUGAAAAGAACUUAGUGCUUAACUGGGAGAAAUGUCAUUUUAUGGUACAUCAAGGAAUUGUCCUUGGCCACAUCAUCUCCAAGAAAGGCAUUGAAAUUGAUAAAACAAAGGUGGAACUUAUUGUCAAAUUGUCAUCCCUAACAACUAUAAAAGGAGUAAGGCAAUUCCUUAGCCAUGUUGGGUUCUAUAGAAGGUUUAUUAAAGAUUUCUCUAAACUUUCAAAGCCUCUUUGUGAACUAUUGGUGAAGGAUGUUAAAUUCGUAUGGGAUGAGAGAUGUCAAAAGAGUUUUGAGCAACUAAAAUAGUUCUUGACAACCGCUCCAAUAGUGAGGGCUCCUAACUGGCAACUACCUUUUGAAGUGAUGUGUGAUGCCAGUGACUUUGCUAUAGGAGUUGUUCUGGGUCAAAGAGAGGAUGGAAAGCCCUAUGUGAUCUACUAUGCAAGCAAAACAUUGAACGAAGCGCAAAGAAACUACACAACCACAAAGAAAAAAUUGUUGGCUAUAGUUUUUACCUUGGACAAAUUUCAUGCUUAUCUGGUAGGGUUUUUCAUUGUGGUUUUCAUUGACCACUCAGCUUUGAAGUACUUAUUGACAAAGUAAGAUGCAAAAGCAAGGCUGAUUAGAUGGAUUCUCUUACUACAAGAGUUCAAUCUCCAAAUUAAAGACAAGAAAGAAGUGGAGAAUGUGGUAGCUGACCACCUUUCAAGGCUGGCUAUAGCGCAUAAUUCCCAUGGUUUGCCUAUUAAUGAUGAUUUUUCGAGGGAGUCACUCAUGUUGUUAGAAGAUGCUCCUUGGUAUACUCAUAUUUCUAACUAUCUAGUUACUAGUGAAGUUCCAAGUGGGUGGAAAGCACAAUAUAGGAAGAACUUUUUCUUUUCAAGUAUUGUGCAGAUCAAAUAAUAAGGAAGUGUGUCCCUAAACAAAAGCAAUAGGGGAUCCUCAGUCAUUGCCACAAAAGCGCAUGUGGAGGCCACUUUGCCUCUUAGAAAACAACCAUGAAGGUGUUGCAAUCAGGUUUUAGUUGGCCAUCACUUUUCAAAUAUGCUCACACCAUGUGCAGGAGCUAUGAUAGAUGCCAAAGGCUUGGGAAGUUAACACGUAGGAACCAAAUGCCUAUGAACCCCAUUUUAAUAGUUGAUCUUUUCGAUGUUUGGGGCAUUGACUUCAUAGGACCUUUCCCUAUGUCUUUUGGUAACUCUUACAUUUUGGUGAGGGUAGACUAUGUUUCUAAAUGGGUUGAGGCAAUCCCAUGUAAACACAAUGACCACAAAGUUGUUCUCAAGUUUCUCAAAGAGAACAUCUUCUCAAGAUUUGGGGUGCCCAAGGCCAUAAUCAGUGAUGGAGAUACUCAUUUUUGCAACAAGCCUUUUAAAACUCUCUUAGCCAAGUAUGGGGUGAAGCACAAGGUAGCUACACCUUACCACCCUCAAAAUUCUGGGCAAGUUGAGUUAGCAAACAGGGAAAUCAAGAAUAUAUUGAUGAAGGUAGUGAACACGAGUAGAAGAAAUUGGUCUGUUAAGCUCCAUGAUUCACUAUGGGCAUACAGAACAGCUUACAAGACUAUUCUUGGCAUGUCUUCUUAUCGCCUAGUCUAUGGCAAAUCAUGCCAUCUCCCUAUGAAAGUUGAAUACAAGGCUUGGUGGGUAAUUAAGAAGGUAAACAUGGACUUGAACAAAGUCGGGAUGAAGAGAUGCUUAGAUCUUAAUGAGAUGGAGGAAUUGAGAAAUGAUGCCUACAUCAAUUCCAAAAUUGCAAAACAGGGGAUGAAGAGGUGGCAUGAUCAGUUAAUAUCUAACAAAGAAUUUCAAAAGGGACAAAGAGUCUUACUCUAUGACUAUAGGCUCCACAUCUUUCCAAGAAAGCUCAAAUCAAGGUGGAUAGGCCCUUUCAUUAUUCACCAAGUGCAUUCCAAUGGAAUAGUGGAACUACUCAAUUCCAACAGCACAAACACUUUCAAAGUCAAUAGUCACCGUCUCAAGCCAUUCAUGGAGCCUUUCAAUCAAGACAAUGAGGAAGUCAGUCUCCUUGAGCCACAACAAUCUUAACCAAAAAGGGGUAGAUGGACUUAGUAUUUCUAAAGACUAACCAAAGUCCAUGUUUUUUGUUUCAAUUUUGUUGAUUUAAAAGCUUUAUUAUUUGUUUUAAUUUUAAUUCUAGCUUUAAUUUAUUUUAUUUUGAUCUAACUUAGACUUUUUGGAUGAUCAAAAUUAGAAGGAACUUCAAAGGAAUUGAAGGAAAGCCUUAAAGAACCAAAGAAGGAGAAAAAGCCUGAAAAACAAAGCAAUAUUUCAACUUGCAAAAAUUUCGUAAGUUGAAAUUCCAACUUGCGAAAAUGGGGGCCAACUUGCGAAAUCCUCAAAGCUCAAAUUCGCAAGUCCACCAUUCAACUUGCAAAAAUUUUCGCAGCCUGCGAAAGCACCUCCAAGCACACAUGUGCCAUUUCGCAAGUUCGUUUUCCAUUUUCACAGCCUAUGAAUCAACUUACGAAUCAAGUUGCGAAAUGGGGCAACUUGCGAAUUCCAGGGAACUUGCAAAAAUGCCAACCGUCAUUAAAUCCAUAUUUAAACCCCUAAUUCUUCCAUUUUCAUUUUGCACAGCCAUUCCAAGUUGCGAAAAAGCCCUAUCAAGUUGUAAAGCCCCAAAUUCCAGAGCAUCUCCUCCAUUGUAAGCCCUAAGGUCGUGCAUCUGAAGAGGAAACGCCUCCGCGUACCCAACAUGCACCCUGUGGAACACAAGCCGAGAAAUUCCUCUCCAUUUCAGCCAUGGCCAAGACAAGAGGAGCCCAUGUCGUGUUUCCAUCAACUCGCAAUCCAAGGCCAAGAGCUUUACCUGCACGGGAUUCCACAUCUGAGGCCCCAUAGGCCCCUACCAUUCCACCUUUUGAGGGUAGAGUGCGAUCUAACCCUCCUCAGCAUAGGUAUGAAACGAGGAGACCACCCACUACACUUGGGGCAAGCACUUUGCGCCCCAAGAGAUCAGUUCGUCACCCUCCUGCAAAGAAAGCUAAAGUUUCAGGCCCAGGAGAGUCAUCUGCACCUCCACACCCUCAGCCGCCUGCUAUAGAGUCUCAGAUUCCUUCUAGGAUGACUCCAGAAGCAAUUAUCAAGCGACCUAUGGUUACACAACCACCUAUUGAGGGAAAUUUGGAUUACAGAGCUAGGCUAUUCCACUCCAAGCUAUGUUUUGAUAUGUAGACUUUCAAACAGAAGCCGAAGCUUAGAGAUUCAUUCCGCCUACUACAGAGAUACCAUUUGGAGCACCUGAUGACUCCUAGAGACUUCUUCUAUCCUAGAGUAGCACUAGACUUCUAUCAGUCUAUGACUACUCAUCACGUCCAGAAUCCUAAUGUCACACUUCACUAUUGAUGGACGCCAUGGUAUCCUUGGAGCUAGACAGAUUGCAGAGGCCCCGCAUAUUCCAUAUGAGCCUGUGAGUCCAGCAGAUUUCAGAGAGUGGUCCCAUUUUUCUCAGAGAGACAUGGUCCGUAUAUUGUCCAGGGGGACCUCUACACGCUCAUUUCUUCUAAGGAAAGAGCUUCCACCUGGGAUGCUCCUUGUAGAUGUGGUGUUGCGCUCCAACAUCUUUCCACUUCAGCAUAUGGUGCAAAGUAGAGGAGCUAUAUUGGAGUUUUAUUCCGAAUAUCAGAGGGUUUCUGCUUUGGCCCUCAUCAUUUGAUUAUGACCUCUCUUCUCCACUUUGAAGAGAAGGUCCACAGGAAGAAGCUCCAAAGAGCAUAUGCCAUUCCAUUACUUUUUCCCAGGCUACUCUGUCAGAUAUUAGAGCAUUUGGGUUAUCCUUCUGAGCCUCAGCUUGAGCGUCACCGCAUUUUUCGAGAGCUAUUCACUCUUAACAAAUGAAAUCAUUUAACGGCCUAUGUUGCACCUCCAAGAGCCCCAGAUAUGCCAGCACCUCUAAAGCCACCACAGGAUGAGCAGCCACCACAGACACAACAAGCACAGUAGGCUGAGAUACCUACAGAGAUCAUACCACCUGCCCCUGCAGCACCUUCUACAGUGCCCACACCUGAGGCUACAUCUUUUGCUCCUCCUACCACUCCUAAAGCUCCACCAGUUGUACCAGUUACAUCAUCACCUCCUCCAUCUAAGUCCUCUAUCACCAUAUCCACUUCAGAGUUUAGAGGCCUAUGUGAUACAUUGCAAACAUUGAGCACCACUCAAGGUGCUCUCUUCCAGCAGAUGGCAGUCAUACGUGCACAUCAGGAUCAGCUUAUUACCAUGCAAACCCAGCAUACUACCAUCAUUAGUCAGAUACAGCAGCAUUUGGGUAUUCUGCCACCACCUGAGCAUGAUAUGCCUAGCCCAUCAGAGCCUACAGCUCCAUUUAAGGAAGCUACUCCAGCAGAGCAGACUAUGCCUCAUGAGGAGACUACUACAGCAGAGGUCGAGACUCCUAUCCAGAGCACUCAGGAGACCACAGUAAAGUCAUUGUCUCCACAUGAUCCUCCCACCACUACCUGAUCAUCUAUAUACUUUUUGUAUUUACUUAUUAUAGCAGAACUGUUAAUCUCAUGUUUUUUAUGUUUUCUAUAUUGGGAUUGGAUGUAGUACUUGCGCAUACUUUCUUAAAGUAAUACAUAUCCAUCAUUUUUUAGUAUACUUGGCAUAUUUUUAUUUAUUUCCUCUACUCAUUAUUUUUUUUUUAGUUUUUUGAAUCAUGUGGUUUCUCCUAUACAAUUCAGACUCUAUUCCACUCAGGAGGUACCACUUCCUCCCUUUAUUUUCAAUUACUCUUCACACAUUGAGGGCAAUGUUUAGCAUGGUUAGGGGGAGUUGAGAAAGGAAGUAUUUUUUAUAAUGCUAGGUUAUAAAUGGUAAUUUAGUUACUUUUUGUUUAAAUUUUUUUAAAAAUAAAAUUAAAUACUCUUCAUGGUUAUCAAGGAAAAAUUCUCAAAAUGAAAUGGGAGAAAUUGAAUUUUUGUCUUUUUACUUGACUUAGAGUUUGUAUUAUGCUUAUUAAAGUUGAUGAACUGUUGAAAAUUCUAUUGAAUUCAACCUUAUUUCUUCCACUUUAAGCUUACCACACACUGUGCACACUAGGUUCCGAUUAUAAGAUGAAAAACUAUUUCACCCAUUGACUUAGGAAAUUUUAAACUUGGUACCUUUGACCUCAUUUUAAUAAUUUUGGGACACCUUAGAAAAGGCCGAUGAGCCUUUGAAAAGAGAAUAAAGAAAAAAAAAUGUUUUACUUGCCUUGAAACCCGAGCAAGGUCUGAGGAGUAUAUGGUAAAAAUCUUUAAAACCUGAUGCCCUAAACCUUCAUUGGUUGGGAGUCACCAACCUCAAUGCUCGUUACAAGGGUGAAUAGGUGGAGUUUAACAUACUGUAGGUGCUUGGGUAUUGAAUUCCAAUCUCAAAAGUCCGGGGUAAAAUCCGAGGAGUUAGUAGUCGAAAGAUCCUUAAGCUUGAUGCCCUAAACCUUAAUUAGUUGGGAGUCAUCGAUGGACCCCCGUUACAUGGACAAUUUAGAAAAGAAUACCUUUAAGCUUUGUACUCCUACAAGAAAAAAAAAGUGUGAAAUAAAUGAGAUGUGUUCUUAGCCUAUUGGAGGUUGUCAGUUUGCUAAGAUUUGAAAAAGAGCUAAGUUGGGGGGAGAGAUUAGUUCAGCAUACUAUAUUCAGAAACUAAUAAGUAACACUUAGAUUUUUGUGGAAGAGUAAGGAUUGACCCUUUGGGAGUGGAAAUUCUUUUAAAGCUUAAAUUUGCAUAAUGUCUUCUCUUUAUGAAUUGUGAUUAGGCAAUUUAUUUGAUAACUCUUGUUGAAGUUUGAGUUUUAUAUCUUUAAUGUUCCAUGUGAGAGUAUGAUCAUCAUGCCACUUGAAAUUUUUUAGAAUGAUCAGCAUGAUGUUGCAAAUUAUAGUACUAUUUAUUUUUAUUUUUCUCUCUUUCAUUACUAAGGGACUAGUAAUAUGUCGGUUGGAUGGAGUGAUUACUACUCAAAAAGUGUUAUUUUAUAGCUUGUAAUUAACUCUUUUAAAUACUUUUAAGUAGUAGUUAUUACUUUUUAACUCAAUUGGCAUGUUAAGGACCCUUGCAAUCGUUUCUAAUCAAAUUGUGUUAAGUUUUGGUGUUUUUCAUAGCUUUUUUAUCACCAAAGCAAUCCAAGAAUGAGGGAGAUCUUUGUAUAGUUCAUGGCAAAGCAGGUUGAAGCUCAAAUUCAUGAAGAAACUAAGCUUUGGAGCUUCAUAAGCCUUUGCCAAAGCCAAACGAGGAUGCAAGGAAGAAAAUCACAGAAGAAAUCAACCAUCCAGCAAUUUUGCAAGUUGUGGAAUCUAACUUGCGAAAUUUUCGCAACUUGCGAAAUAGGAAGAGCAAAGGAAUCGCUGCAAGACAGAGAGCUGAUUAGUUGCAAGACAAUUUCGUAGCUUGCGAAACCACAAUUUCAACUUGCGAAAUUUUCGUAAGUUGCGUUUGAACUUGCUAACUCCACCUGUAAUCUGAGAUAUUUACGCACCGACUCCGUUUGAUGUUUAUCUUCAGAUAUUUGAGUGUAAAUCCCUAUUUUCUCCUUGUAACCCACCAAUGACAAGUUUUCUUGGUUGGGAAGUUAGCAGGAGGGGUGAAUAGUCUCUCUAUAUAAUAUCUAUUGUAAUUUUCUUUUAAAAAGAUCUCUGAGGAGUUUUUCUCGGAGACAAACUUUGUAUAGUUUUUCAAAAAGUAAUACACAGAGUUCUGCUCUACCUUACCUUCUCAUUUUGUUUUCUAUUUUAUUUUUAUUUCUAGCAAAUCAAACUCUAAGGAUGUUUUCCCAGAGGAUGAGUGGCUAGGCAUUUUGUUUCUUGGAGUGAAGGAAGCUAGGUAAGGUUCCGAAUACAAAAGUGGAAGUUUCGUUGUUUUAGUUUUCAAUGAAGAGAAACUGUGACCCGUUAAUGGUUUUUAUCUUUUUAGUUAACUUAAAAUCCCUUAAAAUCACCUGGGCCAACACUUAGUAAGGCAAGUGGACUCCAUCCAUUGAGAUCUACUAGUUUAUCUCUUGCAAGCCUCUAGAGGUGGUUUAAAGGUAGGAUUAUCUAGAAUAGCCAACACUUGGUAAGCUUUUGGACUCCUAGGAAACAUCCAUUAGUUAUCUCUUGCGAGCUUUUGACGGGUAAUCCAAGGUUAAGGAUCACCUUGAAUGGCCAAUACCAGGUGAAAGGUAUGAACCAUUGCAAGAUGAUUCAGUGACAGGGAUUUAGUGUUUAAAACCAUUAAGGGGAAGCAUCUGUACCACACCAGUUCAGGAAAUAACUAUAUGUUAAAUCCCCAAUGCGUGGAAAAGGUCCAAGUGACCGGAAUCUCCCUUUUUGUAUAAAGAACCUGAGCCUAGUGAUCUAAAACUCCAAGAAGUACUUUUCUUUGUAAGUAAUUUCAGUUACUUUAUUUUUUGUUUCACUUAAAACCAACCUUUUUACACAUACUUAUGUUUUCUUUUAAAGCUAACCUUGAAAAGAAAAGACACCAAUUCAAUUUUUGGAACUAAUAUCAGUUGUAAUUUGAAAACCCAUCCCUGUGUACAAUCCUAUAGCCACUAUGCUAUGCUAGCUAAUGCUACCCUAGUAUAUGGUGAAAUAAGUUUAUAAAUUUUGUUGAUUACUCCCGUCUGAGAACUGAAAUCAAAGCACACCAAUUGAUUGAACACCAAUCAACAGGGCAUACACCAGUUGGGCAUGAAUCAUAUGGUAUGGUGGUAUUCUCAAACAAAAUUUUCAAAAUCAAAUGUCCAUUGCCUAUUUUUAUUCAAGAAUAUGGAGUGGACCCCAAGAAAACUAUUUAACUAUUAAAAAAGAAAUUUUGGCAAUUUUUUUAUACAUUCAAAUAUUUCAAGAAGAUGUUUUUAAUAAAAAAAAAAAUUCUUCUUUGAGUUGAUUGCAAAAGUGCCAAAGAAAUUAUUCAUAAGGAUGUUCAAAAUAUUAUUUAAAAAUAGAUUUUUGCUUGAUGGCAAGCACUUUUAUCUUCUUUUUUUUUUUUGAAAUUGAAUUUGUAAAAAAAGAUUCAAACUCUCUCCCUGAUUUUCUCUCUCAGGAAUUUCUACAGGGAAAAUGAGCAACUCAAAAUCCAACAAACACAUGCCCAAUUCAAAAGCAUCUUAUGUUAUACUUAUUGAAAAACCUAAAGUUUCGAAGACCCAAUCUCAAACCCCUAUUUCAAACCAAUUCCAAGUCUUAGGAAAUAUUCCUAAGCCUUCUCAAACCUUUGCCUAUGCAACCCAAACCUCAAAAUAGGCGUCUUGCAAUUAUGUUACAAAAGGCCAUUUGAUGAAGGUGUGGAUUCUUGAAUCUCACCACUUUUCAAAGUCUGGUUCGUUGGACAUUACAAAAAUAUUUUCAAAAGGAAUUUUUUUUUUUCAAAAUGAUUUAGUCAAAAUAAGAAAAUUUUAUGAGUUUAUCCUAGUUGAUAUUGACUCUGUGGAAAUCACUCAUAUACAAAACAAGGAUUCCACAUACAUUUGCUAUUCAAAAUGUAAAAUUUUCAAAAUUAUUUUCAGAAACCCAAUGGGGACAGUCUCCUGAUACCUAUAACAUGUUUCUCAAAACUUCAAACCAGCAUCAUACGAUUAUCAUGAUUAUGUAGAUGCUUGGUUUUACACAUUUUUCUUCAAUUUUUUUUUAUUUAUCAUUCUUGGUUCUUCCAAUGGAAUGAUAAAAUUAAAAAUGACUUUUCAAAUUCGUUUCAAGAAUGGUGGCUAUGUUUUGGCACCAUCCCUGAAAUCUUUUGUCCUCAAAUCAAAUCUACCUAUGAUUAUUUCAAAGAGCAUGUUAGGAGAUUGAUCCCUACUCCUUGUUUUCAAGCCCUUUUCUUCACUUCUAGAUUCCAAAUCCCAUGGAUUCUAUGUUGGGACUUUGUCAAAACACAAAUGAUCAAAAGUUCAUUUCCCACGCAUUUGGCAAAGGAAUUUAAAGUCAAAUGGUGGUCAAACUUUGUACCUGCCACUUCCUAGUAACUUCCUCAUAUAAAAAAUUGGAAUGCAACACAUGCUCUUUCCAAUAUUGAAACACUUUUUCAAAUACCUUCUCUUCUUUCAAAUAACUUUAUCCCCUCUCAAAAAGUCUCUCUUGCAAUACUUUCUUCAAACAAGUAGUUUCAGGCUCAUCUCAAGUUUUUAUAGCAAUAAGCCACUAAAACCUUGUCAUAGCUUGGUUCUGCUUAUGAUGACGACACUACUUCCCCAAGCUUUAAAGAGCCUUAAAAUGAAGACAUGUGCUAUAAAAUGCCAUACAUGGCCUUGGAGUGAUGCUUCAAAAGCCUCUUCAAAAACAAUAUUCAAAUCUCUUCAAAAGUCGGAAUUGGGAGGUCAUGUCAACCGACAGUUGGUAGUUCUCUCCUUGGAUUAUACCUUCUAAAGAGAUUUUGGACAUCGUGGCAAGCUUUUAAAACUUUUCAAGACAAUCAAAUUUUCAACAACUAGAUGAAACUUUCAUCCUGUUGUGGACUUCAAAAUUUUCAAAUCCUGGUGGACACCUCAACAAAACUGCCUACAAAACAGUGGACUCAAACUUGUGGAUUUCAAAACCAUUGACAACUGGCAUAUGAUGACAAGUUACUUUCGAUGGAUCCAAAGUCUUUCAAAUUCGUGGAUUUUAAAGCUUUUCAAAUAUGUCACUAGAGCUCUAUAUAAGGGGUCUCUUCCUUCAUUGUGGGACAUUAGCCAAAAUUUGUGAGAGUUGAGAGAAACUAGUUGUGAGAAAAUCCAAAGCCUUGUAAUGAAGAGUUCUGCUUAAAGAAGCUCUACUCAAAGUUUGUAAUUUUCAAAAGUUUGCGUGUUCUCCUAUUUUAAUAACAUUUUAAAUUCCAAAUUCAAUUUUUGUCUUUCUUAUUUUAAAUAUCUUGUUUGAGGAUGAUGAACUCUAUUGAAUCUUUGUCUAGUAGACUGGGUUUUAAGUGAGACUGCUUGUGACUCCUCCAGUCUUUACUGAGAGAAUUCAUCAAAGUUCAUAUUGAUUUUGAAAUUUGAAGUCUUUCAUCUUUCUCUUUUGAUUUCAAUUUCAAUCCUACUAAAAGUUGGUAUAAGAGCCAUGUCUUGUUCAUUUCAUUAUUUAAAUUUGCAUUUUAAUUUAUGAUUAUUUGUUUUAUGAUUCAAACAGUUAGUGUUGGUCAGUCCUCAGUUAGCGUUGUCAUUUGUUCCUUGAUUAUUGAUAAAUGAUUAGUCUAAAGACUUUUUUAGAGGAGAUAGAAACACUGUGAAACUCUCACUAUUACUCCACUCAAGAUCAUCCUUCAUUUAUAAAAAAAAACAUCUUAUAUUUGUUUCUAAAUCUUUAAUUUAAUAAAUAAGAUUAAAUGUAUUGUGUUUAAUUCUUUAUAAUUUAAAAAUAAAAAAUAAAAUUAUAAAAAUGGAUUUAAUUUCACUUAAAUUUUUUAUUUUCAUUUAUGUUAUAAAAUGGCAAUAUAUAUAUAUAUAUAUAUAAACCCAAGUGAUACUUCCUUGGAUUUAAAAUAAAAAAAUUAAUAAAUAUAUAAAUUGAAUGGAUAGAUUAUAACACAACCUCGAAAAUCAUAAAGCAUGUGCCUUAAAAGUAUCAAAAGUAUGGCAUUAUUCAAAAAGAGUAGGUAAUAGCAGCAGAUAUACCUAGUGCCUAAAAUUAAAAAUAUGUCUAGCCUUAUUCAAAAGUAGCCACUAGAAAGUGCCUUAAAAAAAAAAAAAGAGUGUUUAGCUAGGUUGGCAAUUCCAGACAAAGUUCCUAAGUGUCUCCUAACUCAAUUUUUCCAAUCCUUCUAUGGACUACUAACGAAGAUCAAGUUGUUGAAUUUGUCAAGAGACUAAGGUAUAUAGUUGAAGUUGGAGUUGGAUGGAAUUGAAUCAACCAUAUUAUUUAAAUGUUGUUUUACUUAAAUAUUUUUUAAGGAGUUAGGAAGGUUUAGGAAGUUGUUUUUUUUUUACUAAAUGUUCAAAAUGCACUGUUCCAGGAUCGGUCCAGCUUUAGGUUGGAUCGAUCCAACUUACAUUUUUUUGAUGAAAUUUCAUCCGUUGGAUCAAGGGCUUCCUUCAAUUUAAAAACCCAAAACUUGCUUCUUGUGUUGUAUGUAGUAAGAGACAUAGCAACAACCAUCCCCUUUGGUUCUCUUCUUCUUUCCUAUUUUGGAGUGUUUGGUUGUCAAGAAAAUCCAACUUUCCUAUUGUUUUCAAUGGAUUUUCUUGAGGAAAAAAAUAGGUUGAUUCAUUCUUUCAUUCAUCUUUCAAUUUCUAAUCUAUUUAGGUUUGGCUAAAAACCCAUUUUUUUCUUGUGUGGAUUCAAUAAGAGAUCGAGAUCAAGCUUGGUGUGGACUCUAAGUGUGCUCCAAAAGAAGAAUGUGGGAAGUUGAAAGUGAAAGGUACUAGUGAAGUGGUCUAUGAAUGAUUGGUAAGCUUGAGUUAGGUAAAACUUUGUAUUCAACUUUUGCUUUUCAUAGUGGACGUUUUUUUAUCAAUUGUAGGCCUGUCGUUUUUUUUUUUUUUUUUAAUCUUUUCGGAAGUUUUCCACGUUAAAAUUUAGUGUCAUUGUCUCAUUGUCUCAUUCUACUCUUUGAUUUAUUUUCAGUUUUUGAUAUCAUUGGUUACUUGGGCAUAUAUGUUGAAUGGAAGAAAAAUGAGUUGAAAUAGGAGUGAUUAUCCAUUGGAUAUCUUGAAUAAUUUUUCUAUUCAUUUUGGUAAUGAUAUCUUGUAGUAAUUGGAAAUGAGUUAAGAAGAGAAUUGUUCUUAUGAAUUAAUUUUGAGAGUGUUGAAGCAUUUGCAUAUAAAUUACAUUUAUAAAUUGUUGGAAAAGUGUUGUUGCAUUCAUACUUGCUUGUGAAUUUUAUUCUUUGUUGAAAAGAAGUUCAUAGACAUUGAGAAAUUUUAAGGUUAGGUAAUUUUUGUUGGGAGAUUUUUUUAAGUUUGUUCAACAACACCUAUUCAAUCCCCUCUCCCCUCUAGGUGUAAUCCAUUAUUGAGAUUCACCUUUAAAAAAGUAUAGUACUAGUAAAAAAAAAAAAGAAAAUAAAGGAUAGUAGCAUGAACAUUUAAUCCUAAAGUGUCAAUAGAUGUAGAUAUAUUUUUAAAAUAAAAAUAAUAAUACCUUUAUAUAAGAUAUAAUAAUUUUUAGAGAUUUAUAUUAAAAAAAUAGUGAUUGUAAAAACUAUUUUAAAAAUUUUAAGGUAUAAAAAAUAUAAAUUAAAUUUAUUAUUUUUGUAUAAGACUCUGCUUUUAUAUAAAAUAUUUUUAUUUUAAAAAUAAAAAAUAAAAAAUGUAUUAGACAUUUAAUAAUUUUUUUAACCCUCUAAAUUAUAUGGGUUGUCUUUCCUCCUACUAUGUCUAAAAUAGAUACUCUAGUGUACUCUUUUGACUUUUUGACUCAAGAAUUUUGAAACUAAAGUUUCUAAAAUUAAGAUUCCAAGGAUUUGCUAAUAGUUGGCAAGGUAAUUGAUUUUGGGUUGAAAGGGUUUAGGGAUGAUGUUUGAAUUAAUGAGUCAAAGGUGUAAGUAUUAAUAAGAAUGUGUAUAAGUUCAAAAGUGUAGGUAGCAGUAGGGCCUGGGUAGAACAGAUUGGUGUUGAGAGUGAAAAGAAGUAGGCACUAAAAUGCACGGGAGCGCACACACUUGCUGAUGGCUGAUUUGGUUUUUUCUUUUUUUUCUAAUUUUUUAUUAUUUUGUUUAAUUGGAAGGAAGAAUGUGCAUGCACCAUCCACACAUGCCUCCAUUGUUUGGUUAAUUGUUUUGUUUUGUUCCUUCUCUUUUUUUUUUCUUUAUUUAAUUUAUCCUCUACUUUCUUUCUUGCCUUUGUCCUUUUUUUUUAACUCACUUUCUUAUGCAACCCAACAAAUUAAUUAGGCCGCACCUAUGCUAAGCUUUCAUCCCUUGGGUUGGCAUUCAUCCUAAGCUCAAGUUCAUUUGUUCAACCCUUAUCCCAUAUUCAAUCCAAACUGUAAUAUUCAAGCCUAUUUUUGAAUCUCUAGUUUGACCAAUGUUGGAAUCAUGUAAGCAAGGUAUCAUACAUGUUAAGAUGUGGGGAAAAAUGGUUAAAACUAUUUCUAACCUUUGUCGCUUUUUUUUUUCUAUCGUUUUUAACAUGUGUUUCCACGAAAUCGUACAAGCAGUAAAUAUUUUUGUUAAUUAAUUUCUUUCCUAUUAACUAACUAAUGUUUGUCAAAGACAUUAAUAACAUCAACUACUAACUAGGUCUAUGAGAUUGUUGUUUGGUAUUGAAAACAUACAUAUAAAUAUUUAAAAUUAUUAAGGGUAUUUAUAUCAAAAAAGAUUACUCUUUCAACAAAAACAUGAGGCGCAUUAAAUUCAUAAAUAUUUGGAUUAUUUUAUUUUUUAAUCAAUUAAUUUUAUUAUUAAUGUCAAUAAAAUAUGAAAUUUAGACCAUUAAACACCAAUAGUCUGUCUGCCCAUUGAUUCGACUCAUGGUAGCUUAGCUUUAAAGGCGUAUCAACAAAAUUUAUACCUUGAAUACUAUUACUAAAGUAGCCAAGCUACUAUAGCAUAGUGGUUCUAGGAUCGUUCACUAGGAAGGGUUUUCGCAAACACAAGUGAUAUUCAAAUUAGGAAAAUAGGUGAUUUUCUUAUGGAUGUUAGCUUUAAAAGAAGAUGUAAAUGUUUUAGAAAGAUUUAAACUAAUCUAAGCUAACAUUAAACACUAAAAUGAAAGGGUGUAAAAACAAGUUUCUCAAAGAUAGGAUAGCUAUGCUCUGGCUCUUAUGCAAAUUGGAAAUCUUAGGAUAGGCUCCUCGCGUUGGGGUUGCAACUAUGGUGAUGCUUGCUUCCCGAACCGGUAUGGAUUUAGCAAAUCAAGUUUUAAUCCUUGAAAAUGGCAAAACAGAUGGUAGUGAAUUUCAUCAAUGGUUAUUCACCUUAGACUUCCUUUGAAUGGCUCGUAAGAGAUAACUAAUGGUCUAAAGCCAAAAGCUUACCAAAUAUUGGCAACUCAAAGUCAUUCCAGGUGAUAAACUCACCUUUCAAUGGCCAUUGAAAUUGGUUCUAAUGGAUUAAUGCAAAACUCGGAAUUGAAAACCUCGCCUUCCAAUAGCUCGUAGGAGAUAACUAAUGGAUAGAAAUCCAAAAGCUUAUCAAGUAUUGGCCGUUGGAAGUUGUCAAAAGGAAAUAAAAACCAAACUUUGCAUUAAUGAACCAUUAAUGAAAAACGACUACCUUACCUUCCGGGUGCGAGAAAUUUCCAUGGGAUUGCAUCCAAGCCAUCACAUAACAUCCAUACUUUGAGAAACUAAAAGUUUUAGCCAAUCAUCCUUUGAGGAAAAACCCUCAGAGGCUGUUUGGCUACUAAGAAAAUAGAAACGGGAGAGCUCUGUAAAAAUUCUAUAUAUUGAUCGAUAUUCAAUUACAACGGAUGCAAGGGAAUAUAUAUAGAGAAGUUUUUCCAAUCCUUCCUAGCUAAGAAAUCUUAUGAUUGGUGUAUUACAAGGAGAAGAAUGGAAAUUUAUACAAAAAUAUCUAAAAGAAAAGAUCUUGUGUGGAGUCGGCAGAAACAGGGGAAAAUUCGCACGUUGGAGUUCCAAUUUCGCACCUUGGUUUGAGGUGUGCGAAAUUCCCACACUUUGGACUGAGGAAUUUCGCACCUUGCACAGUGGUGUGCGAAAUUGUCCCUCAGCUUGAUGCAGUUGUCUUCCGAAGGCCAUAUCUUCCUCAUUUCAGCUCCAAAUCAUACACGGUUUGAAGCGUUGAAUUCUUGACUUCCUGAGCUUUGAAAUGGUAUAUAGCAUGUAGAAAAUGGACUUCAGGAAGUGCUCCAAAAGUGUCAAAGAAGACUGCAGCUGCUGUCCUCUAUUUUCCUCUUUGCUUCUUUUUGCUUCUCUUUGCUUUUCUCCUUGCAUACUUUGAACGACUUUGGCAAAGGGCUAUGGAGCUCCAAAGCUUGGUUCUUCAUGAAUUUGAGCUUCCAAAAGCUUUGCCAUAACUUGUCCAAGUAGCUCCUCCAUCAUUUGGCAUGCUUGAAUUGAUUCAUAAGCUGAUAAAAACAUGUAAACUUGCCACAAAAUGGUUAAAACCAAUUACUAAGGACCUUAAUGAAUUAAUUGGGUUAAAUGAAUAUGAUUACUACUCAAAGGUGCUUAAAACCAUUAUAAUUAGGUCUACAAAAUAGCACUUUUUGGUAGUAAUCACACCCCCCAACCGACUCAUUGCUAGUCCCUUAGCAAUGGAGGAGAUAAAAACUAAGUAAACUAUAAUAAUUACAUAAAAGGGAUCAUGCAAGUCACUCCAAAAAAUGAUAUGAGUGGCAUGAUUGGAUCAAACUCUCACAUGGCAAGUCAAGGAUAUAAAACUCAAUCAUCAAUAAGAGUCAUCAAAUAACUUACCUAUCACAACAUGCAAAGAGCGGGCAUUAUGCAAAUUUGAGUAUCAAAAUAAUUUCCACUCCCAAAGGACCAACACUUAAUCUUCCACAAAAAUCUAUGUGUUAUUUAUUAGUUUCCGAAUAUAGUAUGUCAAACUAAUCUCUCCCCUCAACCUAGUUCUUUUCAAAGCUUAGCAAACUAAUCAACCUCCAAUAGGCUAAGAACGCACCUCUUUUCUUUCAUAAUUUUUUUCUUGUAGGAGUGCAAAGCUUAAAGGCAUUCUUUUCUAAAUUGUCCAUGUAACGGGGGUCCAUCGAUGACUCCCAACCAAUCAAGGUUUAGGGCAUCAAGCUUUAAGGAUUUUUCAACCACUAACUCCUCGGAUUUCACCCCGGACUUUUGAGAAUGAAUUUUAAUACCCAAGCACCUACAGUAUGUUAAACUCCACCUAUUCACCCAUGUAACGAGCAUUGAGGUCGGUGACUCCCAACCAAUUAAGGCUUAGGGCACCAGGUUUUAAAGAUUUUCACCAUAUACCCCUUAGACCUUGCUCGGGUUUCAAGGCAAGCAAACAUUUUUCUUUUUCUUUCUUUUUCCAAAGGCUCAUUGGCCUUUUUCAAGGUGUCCCAACACUAUUAAAAUGAGGUGAAAGGUACCAAGUCUAAAAUUUUCCUAAGUCAAGAGGGAAAUAGUUUUUCAUCUUAUAAUCGGAACCUAGUGUGCACGGUGUGUGAUAAGCUUAAAGUGGAAGAACUAAGCUUGAAUUCAAUAGAAGUUUCAACAAUUCAUCAACUUUAGUAAGCAUAAUACAAACUCUAAGACUAUGGCAAUAAGAUAAGAAUUUAAUUUUUCCCAUUUACUUUUGAGAAUUUUUCCUUAAUAACCAUGGAGAGUAGAAUAAAAACUUAAAAAAUUUUAAAAUUAAGCAAAAAGCAACUAAAUUAAAAUAACUUAGCAUUAAUAACAAAACUUCCUUCCUCAACUCUCCCCCCAACCAAGCUGAACAUUGUCCUCAAUGUUUCAAAAGUGAUUAAAAAAAUAGAGGGAGGAAGUGGUACCUCCUGAGUGGCAUGGAGUCUAAGUUAUGUAGGAGAAACCACAUGUUUCAAAGAAAACAUAAGAGUUAGUGAGUAGAGGAAAUAGAAAAAUGCCAAGUUUAAACAAAAAUGAUGUCUAUAUAUGAUGUAUCAUCAGUAAUACAUCCAAUCCCAGAAUAUAAGACAUCAAAACAUGGAUUUAUGUAUACUAAUAUAAUAAGUAAAUACAAAAAAUAAAGAGAUGAUCAAGUAAUAGAAGGGUCCUGUGGAGCUGAUGCAUUUGUGGUGGCCUUCUGAGUGGGUUGGAUCAGGACUUUGGCCUCUAUUCUGGUAUUCUCCUUGGAUGGCAUAGUCUCCUCUGUUGGGGCUCUCAGUUGGAGCUAUGGGCUUUGAUGGUUUUAGGAGGUAAGAAAUGGAAUGAGAGGCUUGGUGUGUGAUCCCAAGGUGCACGGGGCUGUUCUCUCCUCUAAUGCAUGUUCCUGAGGCUUGGAAAGGAUUUUUCGUGCGAAAUUCCCGCUUAGCUUUGUGUAGUCUGUCUUCAAACGGCUAUAACUUCUUCGUUUCAAAUCCAAAUCAUGUACCGUUUGAAGCACUGGAUUCCUGACUUCCCAAGCUUCAAAAUGAUAUAUGGUAUGAAUAAUUUGAGCUCCAGAAAGCACUCCAAAAACGUGUCCAACAGUAGCGAAAUGGGGUGCGGCUGCAACAUUUCCAUUCAGCUUUGCACAGUCGUCUUCAAACGGCCAUAACUUCUUCAUUUCAAAUCCAAAUCACUCACCGUUUGAAGCAUUGGAUUCCUGACUUCCCAAGCUUUAAAAUGAUAUAUGACAUGAAUAAUUUGAGCUCCAGGAAGUGCUUCAAAAACGUGUAUAACAGUAGCGAAAUUUGGUGCGGCUGCAGCAUUUCCGUUCAGCUUUGCAUAGUUGUCUUCAAAUGGCCAUAACUUCUUCGUUUCAAAUCCAAAUCAUGCACCGUUUGAAGCGCUGGAUUUCUGACUUCCCAAGCUUUAAAAUGACAUAUCAUAUGCAUAAUUUGAGCUCCAGGAAGUGCUUCAAAAAUGUAUCCAACAGGAGCAAAAUUUUCGCACCUUGGACUGGAAAUUUCGCACCUUGGAUUGAGGUGUGCGAAAAUGGCACCCUUUGGACUGAGGAAUUCGCACCUUGUUUCGCACGGUGCGAAAAUGGGCUUGAGGUGUGCGAAAUGGCACUCGUGUGCCAGGAGGUGGUUUCGCACGGUGCGAAAAUUUUCGCACCUUGAAUUGAGGUGUGCGAAAUUCCCGCUUAGCUCGGUCCAGUUUUCUUACAAUGACUAUAACUUUUUCAUUUCAACUCCGAUUUGGACACCGUUUGAAGCGUUGGACUCCUGACUUCCCGAGCUUCGAAACGGUAUAUAGUAUGUAUAAAAUAGACUCGAGGAAGUGCUCCAAAAUAUUUCCCGAAAGUGGCAAUAGAACCAAUGGCCAGAAUUCUCUCUUCUCUUCCUUUCCUUUCAUCAUUUUUGCAAUUCCUCCUACAAUGAUCAUCCAAAAACAUAUGUUAAAAAGAAAGCAUAGAAUUUAAAUGAAGCUGAUAGCAUGUACCCCAAAAAGAAGAUGAACUAUUUAGCUCAUCCUCACUCACACACCCACUUCAGGCUGAAUUCCCCCUGGAUCCCAAACAAAAUUGGCAUCCUUCCCAUUUGGUCCAAGGGAAUUCGUUUCUCUUCUCUUCCCUAGAGAAGUGGAUGCUUUAAAGGGUUCAAGUAACCCUUUAUCAUCUUGAACCUUAUGAUUUUCAAUGGAAGGUUGGUCCAUAGAGUUGUCAUAGCAAUCCCCCACCAAAGUGUCGAUCUUCAACACUUUCCUUGAUCUUUUUGCAUUGGUUCCUUGAAGGUUAUGGUGGGGUUGAGGAGGAAGCUUCCUUUUCCCCCUUGCUAUGUCGAGAUUGGUGAGCUUCUCAAUGGAGUCUUGAACUUUUUCUAUCCUUAGUGAUAGAUCAUUAUAAACCCCCUCCAUUCUUACAUUUAUUGAACUCUCCAUAUUAUUAAUCUUUUCAUUAAGCUGAGAGUUGAUCUUUUGUUGCUCACCUACAAAGUCCUCCAUGACUUUGCUUAUCUUCAAAAUGGCUUGCUCCAAUGAAGAUGUACUCAUUGAUGGUUGAGGUUGAGGUUGGGUUGCAAGGUUGGGAUGGUUUAUAUACUCAAAUGAAGUUGGCAUGGCUUGUGGUUGUGCUUCAGUAUGCACAUUCCUCAAUUCAAACUCUUCUAUCCUUCUAGCCAUAGAUGCUAGCUUUGCCUUCAUGCUCAUGUCUUCAUUCAAAGCAUACUUACUACCCCAUUGGCUUUGUUGAGCUUGCCUUUUCCCUAAUUCAAUCCGAUCCCUCAUGGAUAAGUAUGCAAAUUUGUCCUUCUCAUGAUCAUAAUGAGAGCUUUGAUCUUCAUGUGGAAUGUCCAUUUAUAAAAAAAAAAUGAUAUUCAACUAAGGCUCUUUUCUUCAACUUGUACCAGGGUUCCCUCUUGGUCUCGAAUCCAACAAGGAAUGCACAAAUUGAAAUUAAAACAAAAAUAAAAGAAAAGAAAAUAAAAAAAUUUAACUAAAUAAAAACUAAAAAAAAAAAAAAUUAUAAGAAAACUCACCAAACUUGUGAUGAAGAUCACAAGUUACCCUUAAUGGUUGCUUCACUGUGCUUGUGGCACCUUCCCCGGCAACAGCGCCAUUUGAUUCGACUCAUGAUUCGAUCCCCGGCAACGGCGCCAUUUGAUUCGACUCAUGGUAGCUUAGCUUUAAAGGCGUAUCAACAAAAUUUAUACCUUGAAUACUAUUACUAAAGUAGCCAAGCUACUAUAGCAUAGUGGUUCUAGGAUCGUUCACUAGGAAGGGUUUUCGCAAACACAAGUGAUAUUCAAAUUAGGAAAAUAGGUGAUUUUCUUAUGGAUGUUAGCUUUAAAAGAAGAUGUAAAUGUUUUAGAAAGAUUUAAACUAAUCUAAGCUAACAUUAAACACUAAAAUGAAAGGGUGUAAAAACAAGUUUCUCAAAGAUAGGAUAGCUAUGCUCUGGCUCUUAUGCAAAUUGGAAAUCUUAGGAUAGGCUCCUCGCGUUGGGAUUGCAACUAUGGUGAUGCUUGCUUCCCGAACCGGUAUGGAUUUAGCAAAUCAAGUUUUAAUCCUUGAAAAUGGCAAAACAGAUGGUAGUGAAUUUCAUCAAUGGUUAUUCACCUUAGACUUCCUUUGAAUGGCUCGUAAGAGAUAACUAAUGGUCUAAAGCCAAAAGCUUACCAAAUAUUGGCAACUCAAAGUCAUUCCAGGUGAUAAACUCACCUUUCAAUGGCCAUUGAAAUUGGUUCUAAUGGAUUAAUGCAAAACUCGGAAUUGAAAACCUCGCCUUCCAAUAGCUCGUAGGAGAUAACUAAUGGAUAGAAAUCCAAAAGCUUAUCAAGUAUUGGCCGUUGGAAGUUGUCAAAAGGAAAUAAAAACCAAACUUUGCAUUAAUGAACCAUUAAUGAAAAACGACUACCUUACCUUCCGGGUGCGAGAAAUUUCCAUGGGAUUGCAUCCAAGCCAUCACAUAACAUCCAUACUUUGAGAAACUAAAAGUUUUAGCCAAUCAUCCUUUGAGGAAAAACCCUCAGAGGCUGUUUGGCUACUAAGAAAAUAGAAACGGGAGAGCUCUGUAAAAAUUCUAUAUAUUGAUCGNNNNNNNNNNNNNNNNNNNNNNNNNNNNNNNNNNNNNNNNNNNNNNNNNNNNNNNNNNNNNNNNNNNNNNNNNNNNNNNNNNNNNNNNNNNNNNNNNNNNUAUGGAUUUAGCAAAUCAAGUUUAUCCUUGAAAAUGGCAAAACAGAUGGUAGUGAAUUCAUCAAUGGUUAUUCACUUUAGACUUCCUUGAAUGGCUCGUAAGAGAUAACUAAUGGUCUAAAGCCAAAAGCUUACCAAAUAUUGGCAACUCAAAGUCAUUCCAGGUGAUAAACUCACCUUUCAAUGGCCAUUGAAAUUGGUUCUAAUGGAUUAAUGCAAAACUCGGAAUUGAAAACCUCGCCUUCCAAUAGCUCGUAGGAGAUAACUAAUGGAUAGAAAUCCAAAAGCUUAUCAAGUAUUGGCCGUUGGAAGUUGUCAAAAGGAAAUAAAAACCAAACUUUGCAUUAAUGAACCAUUAAUGAAAAACGACUACCUUACCUUCCGGGUGCGAGAAAUUUCCAUGGGAUUGCAUCCAAGCCAUCACAUAACAUCCAUACUUUGAGAAACUAAAAGUUUUAGCCAAUCAUCCUUUGAGGAAAAACCCUCAGAGGCUGUUUGGCUACUAAGAAAAUAGAAACGGGAGAGCUCUGUAAAAAUUCUAUAUAUUGAUCGAUAUUCAAUUACAACGGAUGCAAGGGAAUAUAUAUAGAGAAGUUUUUCCAAUCCUUCCUAGCUAAGAAAUCUUAUGAUUGGUGUAUUACAAGGAGAAGAAUGGAAAUUUAUACAAAAAUAUCUAAAAGAAAAGAUCUUGUGUGGAGUCGGCAGAAACAGGGGAAAAUUCGCACGUUGGAGUUCCAAUUUCGCACCUUGGUUUGAGGUGUGCGAAAUUCCCACACUUUGGACUGAGGAAUUUCGCACCUUGCACAGUGGUGUGCGAAAUUGUCCCUCAGCUUGAUGCAGUUGUCUUCCGAAGGCCAUAUCUUCCUCAUUUCAGCUCCAAAUCAUACACGGUUUGAAGCGUUGAAUUCUUGACUUCCUGAGCUUUGAAAUGGUAUAUAGCAUGUAGAAAAUGGACUUCGGGAAGUGCUCCAAAAGUGUCAAAGAAGACUGCAGCUGCUGUCCUCUAUUUUCCUCUUUGCUUCUUUUUGCUUCUCUUUGCUUUUCUCCUUGCAUACUUUGAACGACUUUGGCAAAGGGCUAUGGAGCUCCAAAGCUUGGUUCUUCAUGAAUUUGAGCUUCCAAAAGCUUUGCCAUAACUUGUCCAAGUAGCUCCUCCAUCAUUUGGCAUGCUUGAAUUGAUUCAUAAGCUGAUAAAAACAUGUAAACUUGCCAUAAAAUGGUUAAAACCAAUUACUAAGGACCUUAAUGAAUUAAUUGGGUUAAAUGAAUAUGAUUACUACUCAAAGGUGCUUAAAACCAUUAUAAUUAGGUCUACAAAAUAGCACUUUUUGGUAGUAAUCACCCAUUAAACACCAAUCCAUCUUUUUAGUCAAUUGACUUGGCCCAUUCUAUAGUUGUGAUGUCCAUGUCCACCGUCUAACUCAUCUCCUAAAUUUUAUUGAAGUGAUGUUUGUGUCAAUAGUUAAAAUCACUCACCCACACCCCACUUGCAAGUUGCAAGGGAUUGACCCAUCACUACUCUUAUUUAUCCUUACUAAUAAAUGUUUUUUUUCCUUUGUUUUCCUUAUUCAUCCACCUCAAAAUCUCUUUCUAGAAGGUCUAAAAUAAAAACAAUGGAAACCAUUCUUCGAUAUAUAACUUAUAAAUGUUUUAUUUCAAUUAUUUUUCGUAUUUAUAUAAUUAUUUUUAUUUUUUUAAAUAACCCUUAAAAAAAUAAGUGAUAACAAGGCAACUAAAAUAGAUUUUUCAAAAACAUCAUAUUUUUGGAAUAAGUUUUUUAAAAAUUAUUUUCUAUUGGAAAAUUAGUAAUGAUGGUGUAAAAACUUGGUAAAUAAUUUUUUUGUUUUAAUAAUAAAAAAAAAAUUUAAAUAGUUUUCAAACAUAAUCCAACCAUUUAUGUUAUUUUUACCUUCUUUUUUUCAGGUUCAAAAUUUCGAGUUUUCUGUGGACAUAACAUAAAAAAUAAUUAUUUUUCAAACUACGACCCUUUUAAGUUUCAAAUAAAACCCGUCUUUUUUAAAAUAAGUUUACAAUAGGAAAUGAAUUUGUCUUUUAAAAUACAAAAUUUAAAACAAAAAAAAAAUAAUGAUGAAAAGUAUCAUAUUUUCAUAUUUAUUUUUUGAACAACGUCAUCUUAACAAUAUUAAAAAAAAAAAAAAAUCCUUAAAAUUUCCCCCUAAUGGCCCACGAUGUACUUCAUAGCUUCAAUUCCAAUAUCUCAAAUCAAUCUCAAUUGACUAUUGCCAUUAAAUCCUUAUUAAUUAUCUAUUAGAAUGCCCGGCCUUCCCUCAUUCAUUUUUUCACAAAGUUGGUCAACGUUCAUUUAUUUUUUUUUCAAAUAAAUCAUUUAUUUCUCUCAUAGCAAGGAAUAAUUUAAAUUAUUUAAGUCUUUAUGUAAUCGUGUAACAUUGCUAAAAAUUAGGAAAUAGACUAUUCAUGCACAUGAUCUCAAUAUCCCAUGUUCACCCUAAAUCGAUUAAAAAAAACCGUUUAAGUCAAGUCCUAUGUUGAUAUUCGUAAAUGAAAAAGAAUCUAAUAUAAUAUUAAACUUCAUAAAAAUUGGGAUAAAAUAUUUAACAAAUUUUGAUAUAAUAUUAAAUUAUCAAUAACAUUAAAAUUUAAAUGUUACGUGAUACAUCAUCACAUCCAUAUAAUAAAUCAAUUUAAGCUAAUGUUUUAUUUAAUUCUUAAUUUAUUGUUUUAUUUAGUGUCUCAAUAUGUUAAAUAAAUAAAUAAAUUGUGCCCUAAUAAUAAUAGAAUUUUUUUUAUUAAAUUUUUGGUUAAGAACUAAUAUUUUAUAUAAAUUUUAUUUAAAAAAAUCAAUAAAUCACAAGUGAGUUGUGAAACUUGUGAAUCGUAGACAACCAUUUUCGUGAUAUUAAAAAAUUAAAAAUAAAUAAAUAAAUAAAUAAACAAAGCCCCACUUGCAGUAGUGCCCGAAUGAAACAUGCGGGGUUGUAGGUACGAUACCAUGGAGGUCACAUGUAUGGGAACAUUCCACAAGUCUUCUAAAUUGUCAGGGAAAGGCGUCCCUCAUGGUGGUCUCCACAUCGGACGACCCAGAUAGACCGGUGCCUAAACUGAAGGCUGUCACACGUUUACGUGUUUGACCAAGUCUCGCGAGUCUACGCGCCAAUCACCAACCUUAAUUUUAAAGGUUCCUCCGCCCAAUCCUAUGAUGGUACCAUGCGGUCACCUUCACCUUUCCCUAUCCCACUCUCCAUUACACAGCGCGUGGUCACACUCUCCCAAAAAAGGUUCCCAUCCGAAAAAUUCAAACAAAUUUAAAGUACUAAAAAUGGGAAAAUAUUUAAAAUAUUUUUUAAAUAUUUAUUUUUUAUAUAAAAUAAUUAAAUAAAUGAAAUGAUUUUCUUUUUAAUCGUUUUAAAACAGUUUUAAAAAAUAAAAGUGAAAAUAAUUGAAAAAAAAUAUACAAUAAAUUUUGAAAAUAGAAUUACGUUGACAAUAUUCAAAAUGCAACUCACUAUAGGGCGCGUGAGCACAGGACUUGUAGAACACGUUUUAAGCAUUAUAAUAUUAUUUUUUAUUUUCCAUGGAAAAACACGUUCAAAUCCAAACAAUCGGAAUUGGAAUGCCAUGAAUUUCCACAAACCGUGUACUUGCAAGUUGGAAGAAGAUUCAUUUACAACCAAUUACAAUUUUAUUAUUAAUGGGCAGACAGACUUAAAAGUAGCCAUUGGAAAGUGCCUUAAAAGAAAUUAUAAUAUUAAUAAAAAAAAAGAAAAUAAAAGAUUUUAACGUGAACAUUUAAUCCUAAGUAUCAAUAGAUGUAGGUUCAAACAUAUUUUCUAUUUUUUAUUUUUAAAAUAAAAAUGAUAAUAACUUUUAUAUAAGAUAUAAUUUUUUUAAAUAAAUUAUAUUAAAAAAAUAGUGAUUUUAAAAACUAUUUAAAAAAAUUUAAGUAUAAAAAAUAUAAAAUAAUUUUUUUUUAAAUAGAUUAUGCUUGAAUGAGUCAAAUGUGUAAAGAUGAAUAAGAAUGUGGAUAAGUUCAAAAGAGCGGGUAGCUCUGAUCCAGCCGACCCGAAUGGGAAAUUGAGAAAAGAAAAACAUUCUUGGAAAGUGGUUCAGUUCCUUGGAAGUGGGUAUUUUGAGAACCCAACAAGUGUUCAUGUACUUUGAAUUUAUGUUCAAAUCACUUGCUUUGAGAUGGGGUUUUGAAUCGGAAAUGUCAAUGUUUCCGGUGUGAACAUGCAUACAGAAAUUAGUAUUACGUACAAAACAGGUUGAGGUAAAAAAAAAAUCAAAAUCAUGGAAAAUUCAAAGUCUGUUUAACCGGAUGUUUUAAAAAUAGUUUUUUAUUUUUUAAAAUAGAGAAUAAUUCUUACAUUAUCUAAAAAUGAUUUUUAAAAAUAAGGUAGAAUGAAGAACAAUUUUUAAAGAACACGUAAAAGUGUUUUCAUCCCUGGUAAAAAUCAAAAGAAAAAUAUAAAAAAUUUAAAAAAAAAUCUUGAAAAUAAAUAAAAUUGAAUAUAGUAUUAUUUUCUUUCUCUUUUUAAUAUUAAAAAAAAAUCUUAAAAUAUGAUUUUUUCUUUAAAUUACACAUACUUUUUAAAAUUUCAUUUUAACUUCUUUAAAAUUUUUCUUUGAGUAAAUUUUAAAUCAAAUUGUAUUAUUUAUUAUUAAACUUAAUUUCAAUGGUAAAAGAAACAAAUUCUUAGGAAUAAAAUUUAAUAUUAUAUUGAAUUAUUUAAGAGGAAUAUAUAGCGUAAGUCAUAUUAUAUUUUAACUUAAUUUUAAUUAUUAUUUGCCUACCGUGUUGCUUAUUUACAAUUAUAUUUAAUUUUUAUUUAUUUGUUUAGAAUAUUUAUUUGUUUUUCUAAAGCUUAUUUAAUGAUAGAAGAGUAUUCAUAUAUAUAUAAUUUUUGACAAAAAAAUUUAUUAUAAAAAUGGUUGAAAAACAAUUAUGAAGAAUUUAUAAAUUAUUUAGGAGUGAGAAAUCUUGAAAAAGUGCAAUAGAAAAAAAGAAAAUUCAUUUUGUGAUGUGGAAGUCUAAACAAUGAGAAGAUGUAUGAAAUUGGAAGAUUGGACAUAAUAAGUCAAUUGAUUAGUAGAACAAGAGAGAGUUUCAGACACCUAUAAUAGUGUCUAAAUGUAUAGUUUUAAACACUUUAAGUAUGCUCAGAAGUAUAGGCCGGACAUUUAUAAAACAUCCCCUCAUGCAACACAAACAAUAUUCAUAGUACCUCUUUCUUCCAACUCUAAAAGUACAAAAAGAAAUAUAAAAGAUAUCACAAAAUGCAUACCUUUGCACUUGUACCAUUAUUAGAGAUGAUUAUUUGUUUGUCCAAAGAAACAAAACUUUAUUGAUAAAUUCUAUUAGGAUUAUAGAGAGAUUAGAAGAAGAGAAGUGAAGAAAGAAGAUGGUGGUUUGAGAAUUUCAUCAAAGGGUGUUUUUAUCCUAAAAUAUGUAUUAUUUCGAUGGAUUUAAAGAUCAAUUUGGUGGAUGCAAAUAUAAGUUAUGGAAUUUUUUUACAAAAAAAAUAUCCAUCAAUAAAAAGAUUGAAAUACCCUUGCAAAUCAAUAUGCACCCACAUUCUUCCUUUCCUUUAUCAAAUUCUUUUCUUCCAAUCUCUCCACAACCUUAAUAAAUUAAAAUAAUUUUUUUAAAAAUAAAUGGUUUAAAUUUUUAAAUUUUGAAAAUUUAAAAUUUUAAAAAUACAUAAUUGUUGGCAGAUCGGAGGGUUGGCUUCAUCCAUCAACUCCUCUUGUGUUCGUCGUGGACAUUUGGGUUAAUGCACUAUAAGAUUAGGGUAUGCGUCUUUUUUAACAGCACUUGCUUUUAGGAAAGUUGAUAGCGUCUGAGGUUCUACAAUAAUUUUAUUCAAAUCCAAAACUUGUAAUAAAUUAAAAAUAAAAAUAAACCUUUUAAAAAACAAAUUUAAGCUUUUAAAUUAACUUUUGGUUUGACCUUUCAAGGUCAACACUCCCACAUCAUUCUUUUCUUUAGACUUUUUUUUCCCACUUUUUCAUAUGUUUCUCAUGUCUAAUUAUGUCUAAAUUAAUUCUAAAUACUUUCUAAUUAUUUUACAAAAAAAAAUUAUAAAAAAAUAUAUAAGUAAUAAAAUCUAAAAAUUUUCAUGUAGAACAAACUUAAUAUUAUUGUAUGGAUUUUAUAAAAAUAUAUUGAAAUUAACUUUCAACUUAUAGCAAACAACUUUUUAUGAUAAAGAAGCUUAGGUUUGGAGAGGAUAAAAAAAAGGGAAAAGGAUAAUUCAAAAAUAAUUAAAUGGAUUAAUAGGAUUUAUAUUUUGAGGUGGAUAGGUAAGUAUAGUGGAUAUGCAGAUAGUUUUAUUAGAUGUUUGGUGCCCCUGUUUUUAAGUAUUUUGGCCUACAACCCUAAAACCCAAAGUAAUUCUCACCAAAAAAAAAAAAAAAAAAAUUUUUUUUUUUUUUAAUCUUCAACUCUACAAACUCUCAUUUUGAACAUGCACUUUUUAAUUAAUUAAUUUUUUCUACUUUAGAACUCACUCAUCUUCCUAAAUACAAAAACUAAUUAUAAAAUAAAAACUAAUUCAACAAUUUAACUUCAACAUCUUUUUUUUUAAUAAUUCCUUUUCAUAUAAUAUUCCUUACUAACAAAAACUAAUUAUAAUUAAAUGACUUUAAUUUGAUAUAUAUAUAUAUAUAUAUAUAUAUAUAUAUAUAUCAAUAUUAAGAUGUAAAAUCCUAUAAACUUACACUUUAACCACUUGAGCCCAACAAGUGUUUGAUUUAAAAAUUUAUAGUUAUUAAAGAUGUUAAACUCCUUUAAAAAGUAUCAAAUGGUAAUAAAUAAAAAUUAGAGAAAAACCAUUCAAAUGAAGAGAUUUCAUCUAUAAUACGAAGUAAAAUCUAAAAAAGAAAUGUGAAGAAAAAAAUUAUCAUUGACUCUUAACUCUUGCUAAACCAAUCCCACUACCAUCCAAUACUAAAUUGUCUAACAAAUGAGAAUUGAAAGCAUAAAAGAGAAUCAUUGACUAUUGACUCUACCAUCCAAUGUUGAAUUGUCUAACAAAUGAGACAAAUGAGAAUUGAAAGCAUAAAAGAGAAUCAUUGACUAUUGACUCUACCAUCCAAUGUUGAAUUGUCUAACAAAUGAGAAUUGAAAGCAUAAAAGAGAAUCAUUGACUAUUGACUCUACCAUCCAAUGCUGAAUCGUCUAACAAAUGGAAAUUGAAAGCAUAGCAGAGAAUCAUUGACUCUACUUACCCCAUUUUCCUAGAAGUGUUGCCCCUCCCUUCAUUUCAUGAAGUUUCUUAGAAGUUUCAAACUUCUUUACCAUAUAAAGUAUAAAAAAAAUCAUUCUUAUAGCCAUUCACAUGUGUUUCAAGAAAAAUGAAGUUAUUUUGCCCCCAAGAACUACAGAAAUAAAAUCAUGUUAAGAAUUUUAAAUUAUAAUAUUUAUCUAUAAUAAGAUUUAUUUAUAAUUUUUUUUUAAAAAAAUCAUCAUCUAGUUGUUUAACUUAUUUUUUAUUCUUACUUUUUUGUAUUUAUAUUUUAAUUUUAGUUUUAUGUUUAUUUUUAAUAUCUAUUUUUCACUUCUCGGUCAAUUUUUUUUUAUUUGCUUUAAUUUUUUAUUAUUAUUUCUUGUUGAUAUCCUCUUAUAUAUAUAUUAGAAAAAUAUAUAUAAAAGAUAAUAAUAAAAUGAGACACCAUGAAUAAAGUGAAGGAAAAAAAUAAAAAAUAAAAUAAAAUCAAAAUAUUCGUGGAGAAGUAAGGUGCUCUUAGCCUAAUGUGUAAUGAUGAUGAUGGAUGACCCACCAAACCAGAAGAAAAGCAAAAGGUGAGAAAAGAAUCAAUAAAGAGAAACAACUACCCUUAACUUUUUUCAUCACUUUCCCGAAGGUUACUGGAAGUCGCCUUCCUUCCUUCCCAAUUCACAGAGCCCCUAAGUUCCUAACUUUUCUCGUCACUUUCCGGAAGGUCACAACAAGCCACUGCCACUUGCCUUCCCAACUCUUUAUAUACAGAUAAAUGAUAAUAUUUAUCAAUAAUAAGAUUUAUCUAUAAAAUGUUAGAAAAUAAAUAUAUCAAUCCAGUGAAUUUUAUUUUUACUUUUUUUUUAUAUUAUAUAUUUAUCCUUUUAUUUUUUAUUUUUAGUCUUUAUAUUUAUUUUUCACUUCUCGGUCAAAAUUUUUAUUUUCUAUUUAUUUUAAAUUUUAUUUUUAUUUCUUUUUUAAGUACUUAUAUAUAAUAAUAAAUAAAUAAAUAAAUAAAUAAAUAAAAUAGGAGACCAUGAAUAAAGUGAAGAAAAAAUAAAAUUAAAAACUUGGUGGAGAAGUAAAGUGCACGGGUUUGAAGGAUGAAUGUGAAUAGGAGAAAAAGAGAACAAGAGAAAAGCAAAAGGUAAAAGUGUGAGAAAAGAAUCCAUAUUCUGAAAAUGAAAGGAUGAGAUAAAAAUAAAAUAUAUAAAAGAUAAUAGUGAAAUACGAGAGCAUGAUUAUGGCGAAGAAGAAAAAAAUGUUAAAUAAAAUAAAAAAUUUGGUGGUAUCCCAUUUGAAAAUAGAAGGAAACGAAGGUGAUAAGAAAAAAAGAAAAGUGAGAAAAAAAUCUCUAAGUCAAUAGAGAGAGAAAGUUGUCCCUAAUUUUCCUCAUCACUUUUCGGAAUGUCACGGGAAGCUACCGUCUACCUAGCUUUUUAUAUUGUAAUAUUUUUAUUUAUAUUAUAACCACUGUUUUCUUAUACUUAUAGGAUGUCUUAUAAAGUUUUUUUUUUAAAUUUAUUUAUUUUAUUUAUUGGAUUGAUUUUCGUGUGAAAAUUUAUUUUAUUUAAUAAUAAUAAUAAUUUUACUGAUUUUUUUUAAAAAUAUUUGAUAUCUCUUAAAUCAUUCAUAAAAUGAAUUAAUUUUUUAAUAAAAGUAAUUUUAAUUUAGAUUUAAAUUAUUUCUCAAUUAUAUUUAGAUAUAUGCAUAUAAAAAAUAUUAUUUUCUAAUAUUUAAUAUUUAAAAUUUUAUUUUAAUAAUAAUCUCUUUAAAAUAUUAUCACGAUUUAUAUUAGAAUUAAUGGUUUACAUUUUUAUUCUUCUUCCAAAAAUAAAAUUAUAAUGGACUACUUCACGUUAAUAAAAUCAUUUUUUUAUUCUAAUUUAUUAUAAAUUAUAAUAUUAUCAAUAAUAAGAUUUAUCUAUAAAAUAAAUAUAUCAAUCCACUCGUCUUUCUUUUAAUAAAUUUUCAUUUCAUAUUGUGGGUCGACACGUAUCAUUUCUGUUUACUUUAAUUUUUUAUUAAUAUUUUUUAUGUGCUUAAAGAAAAAAUAAAAUAUUAAAUAAAAUAAAAAACUUGGUGGGGAAGUAAAGUAAAGGAGCGUAAUGAUGACGAUUGUAUGGCCCGAGAGAGAGAGAGAGUGGGCCGGCUGAAAAAAUAAAAUAUUAAAUAAAAUAAAAAACUUGGUGGGGAAGUAAAGUAGAGGAGCGUAAUGAUGACGAUUGUAUGGCCCGAGAGAGAGAGAGUGGGCCAGCUGAAAAAAUAAAAUAUUAAAUAAAAUAAAAAACUUGGUGGGGAAGUAAAGUAGAGGAGCGUAAUGAUGACGAUUGUAUGGCCCAAGAGAGAGAGUGGGCCAGCUGAAAAAAUAAAAUAUUAAAUAAAAUAAAAAGCUUGGUGGGGAAGUAAAGUAGAGGAGCGUAAUGCUGACGAUUGUAUGGCCCGAGAGAGAUAGUGGGCCAGCUGAAAAAAUAAAAUAUUAAAUAAAAUAAAAAACUUGGUGGGGAAGUAAAGUAGAGGAGCGUAAUGAUGACGAUUGUAUGGCCCGAGAGAGAGAGUGGGCCAGCUGAAAAAAUAAAAUAUUAAAUAAAAUAAAAAACUUGGUGGGGAAGUAAAGUAGAGGAGCGUAAUGCUGACGAUUGUAUGGCCCGAGAGAGAGAGAGAGAGAGAGUGGGUCAGCUGAAAAAAUAAAAUAUUAAAUAAAAUAAAAAACUUGGUGGGGAAGUAAAGUAGAGGAGCGUAAUGAUGACGAUUGAAUCGGCCGAGAGAGAGAGAGUGGGUCAGCUGCUUUAAUUCAAGAUUGAAUGACCCGAGAGACACAGAGCUGUCCCUAACUUUCCUCUUCACUUCCUGGAAGGCGCCUUGCCUUCCCAACUUCUUAGUUGCACAAUCUCCUCAUUUACUCACUAUCCUGAAGAGAAAUCAACCCCUCUAAACUGUCUUUGUACUUUUGAGAUAGAAACCCACAAUGGCUUCCACAAGCUCCUUCAGAGCCUCUUCUUCUUCUUCUACUCCUUCCAUCCCUCGAACAAGUACUUAUGAUGUUUUCUUGAGUUUUAGAGGCGCAGACACCCGCUCUAAUUUCACUGAUCACCUCUACAGUGCUUUGGGUAGGAGAGGGAUUCGCACCUUCAGAGACGAUAAACUCAGGGAAGGAGAAGCGAUUGGUCCAGAACUCUUGACAGCCAUCGAAGAAUCAAGGUCUUCCGUAAUUGUUUUCUCUGAAAACUAUGCUCAUUCGACAUGGUGUUUGGAUGAGUUGGUAAAGAUCAUGGAGCGCCACAAAGAUCGGGGACAUGCUGUUUUCCCAAUUUUCUAUCACGUGGAUCCAUCCCAUGUACGAAGGAAAACAGAAAGUUUUGGAAAGGCCUUUGCCGGUUAUGAAGGAAACUGGAAGGACAAGAUACCACGGUGGAAGACGGCCUUGACGGAAGCAGCCAAUCUUUCUGGAUGGCAUCAACGGGAUGGGUAACUAUAAUUUCCUUUCAACUAUUUAAAUGAGUAGUUUUGCAUUUAUAGAGUGAUGAUGUGGAUUGAAACAUUUAUAAAAAUACAAAAGCUCAAAUUUUUUAUUUGGAGGUCUACUCCUUAAGCACAAACUUAUCCUCAAAAUGCUUUUAGAUUAAGGUGGUGCAUGUUUUUUUGGCUGAAUAGAAAAAGUCAAAUAUUUUGACUUUUUCUAUUCAGCUAAAAAGUAAUCUAUUAACAUCAUCCAAUAUAAUUAAAUUAAACUAAUGGAUAACAAGUUCAUUUUAGUAAACAUGUUACUUUUAGCUUAAUAGAAAAAAUAAAAAUAUUUAGCUUUUUCUAUUCAGCAAAAAAAAACAAAACAAACAGCACUUCGAGUCUUUUAUGUGUAAAUGUGUUUGAUAUUCUUUUAUACGGAAUGUUCUUAGAACAAGUGUUUUUUAGAAAAUCAGCUAUCUUUUCCACGAAUUUAUUUUUUCUUCAAAAACACUUUUAGAUUAUAAGUACUUUUUAAAAGUAUUUUUAGAGUGCUUUGAGCAGGCAAUUCUAUUUAAAUGCUUUUAGUGAAAGUUUUUUUAAUAAAUAUUUUUGGGAGUAUAUCUCAAAGAAUUAUUAGAAGUGAUUUUUUUUUUACUUUUAAUAAGUAAUUCUAAAUUUUUUAUCAAACGUCUUAAUAUUUUUUCAUAAAGACACUUUUUAUACUUCCCAAACAAACUGUAACUUGAGGUUGUUAACAAGGGGCAUAUAUUUGUGUGCUCAAAAUUUAAAAAUAAAAUAAAAUAAAAUAUUGCUUUUUAGGGCUUUAUUUAUAAGUUGGGUUUAUUCAAGUGUAUCAUUUGGGCAGCCGACUAUGUGUCAUGAAUAAGGAGAAAAUAGGAAAUUGGAGUAUUGAUUUGACCAUUGAAGCAGCCAAUUUAUAUGGAUGACAUCGAUAUUAAUUUAAUGAGCAUGCAAUUUAAGUUUCUUUCACUUUUCAUUCAUUAGUGGGUUUUGUUUAGGAAUUAAAUUAUUAUUAUUAUUGUUAUUUAUUACUAAUAUUAGUGUUUUUUGUUGUUGUUAAUAGUAGUUGCAAUGACAGUAGUAUAAAAAGAAUAGUAGAAUAACAAUUAUAUUGAGUUAGGAUUCAUGAUUAAUGGUAGAAUGAACUUAUUAAAACCCAAUUAAUGAGUUUUACUAUUUUAGAUCAAUUUAUGAGAAUCUAUAUCUAAAAUAAUUUAAUCAAAAUUUAUUACUAUUUUUUCAAUUUUCAAGAUUCAAUUCGCAUUAAUGUUACAAAAAUUAAUCAAUUUAUUUGAAAUUUUGUGUGAAUAAUUAUAUAACAAGUAACAAUAAAAUUAAUGACUAUUACUAUCUAUUAACGAGCUUCAAAAAUUUCAAUUAACCAACCUCUUGUGUAUCAAUAGAACAACUUAAUCAAAUUCUAAAAAUAAUUUGAUUAAUUAUGUAACAAGUAAGAAGUAACAAUAACAAAAUUAUUUAACCAAUUUUAUUUGAGGACAAGUUGAUCAAGUAGUUUGAUUAAUUAUGUACCAACUACCAAUAACAAAAUUAUGUGACGUAAAUUGUUUAGUAGGAAUUCAACUUCCCAGAGAGUUUGUGUGUGUAUAUAUAUAGACAAUAAAGAACAUAGGUUAGGAAGUUAAUUCUUUAUAGAUGAUGCGAAAGGAAAUCAACUCAAAAUAAAAUACAAAUGAAUAACUUGUUUACAAGCCUUUAAUUUUUAAUUUUUAUCAUACAAAUGAAUAAUAAGGAGAUGAUGUUGUGGGAUAAAUAAGUUUUGAAGCUUGAGGAAUUGAACAUGGGGUUUUUAAACUAAAACUUCUUAUAUUAAGGGGUUGAGGCUUCAUGCAUUACAAGAUAUAAAACGAAUGUCAAAGAAUAAAAUAUUUGCUCCUACAAGGUUUCUAAUUGCCAUGGGUUGUUAAAGAGUUUUUGAAAAGUGCAUGAAUGAUAAAGUAAUGUUUCGAUUCAUAAUCAUUGUCCUCUAUCAUGGCACAAAAUUUCCAUUUGAAUCUAAUGCCACACAAGCAGCACAACUAACAAAAUUCAAAAUCCAUGUUUUAGUUUUGUUCUCAUGCAUACUUGAUACAAUGAAAAAGGUCCUAAAAAUGUAAAUGAACUAAUAUCUUUGAUAUAUUCUAUUCUACUUUAAUUUAUUUUUCGUAAAGAUGUCAAAUUUAAUGUGUUUUAUUUACAAUUGUGGCUCAUUGCUUAACAUGUUAUUCUUUUAUAAUUGGCAGGUCUGAGUCCAAUAAAAUUAAAGAAAUAACUGAUAUCAUAUUCCAUCGAUUGAAAUGUAAGAGGCUUGAUGUUGGUGCCAAUUUAGUUGGUAUAGAUUCCCAUGUAAAAGAGAUGAUUUUGCGGUUGCAUAUGGAAUCAAGUGAUGUUCGUAUUGUUGGGAUAUACGGAGUUGGGGGGAUGGGUAAGACUACCAUCGCAAAAGUUAUAUAUAAUGAACUUUCUUGUGAAUUUGAAUGUAUGAGCUUUCUUGAAAAUAUUAGGGAGGUUUCCAAUCCCCAAGUUUUAUAUCACUUACAAAAUCAACUUCUUGGUGAUAUCCUAGAGGGAGAGGGGAGUCAAAAUAUAAAUAGUGUUGCCCACAAAGCAAGUAUGAUAAAGGACAUUCUCUCAUCUAAAAAAGUUUUUAUGGUUCUUGAUGAUGUUGAUGAUCCAAGUCAAUUAGAAAAUUUACUUGGACAUCGUGAAUGGCUUGGAGAAGGAAGUAAAGUCAUCAUAACAACUAGAGAUAAACAUGUGUUAGCUGUACAAGAAGUGGAUGUCUUAUAUGAGGUUAAGGGAUUGAAUUUUAAAGAAGCUCAUGAACUUUUCAGUUUGUAUGCCUUUAAACAAAAUCUUCCCCAAUCAAACUAUAGAGACCUCUCACAUCGUGUUGUAGGCUAUUGUCAAGGGCUUCCAUUAGCUCUAAAAGUUCUAGGUUCUCUCUUAUUCAAGAAGACAAUACCUCAAUGGGAAAGUGAAUUGGAUAAAUUGGACAAAGAACCUGAGAUGAAAAUUCACAAUGUGCUUAAACGAAGCUAUGAUGGAUUAGAUCGUACAGAAAAAAAAAUAUUUCUUGAUGUUGCAUGUUUUUUUAAAGGUGAAGAAGAUAGGGAUUUUGUGUCAAGAAUAUUGGAUGGUUGUCAUUUCCAUGCGGAAAGAGGAAUAAGAAAUCUAAAUGAUCGGUGUCUUAUAACUCUUCCAUACAACCAAAUACAUAUGCAUGAUUUGAUACGACAGACGGGUUGGGAAAUUGUUCGUGAAAAAUUUCCUAAUGAGCCAAACAAAUGGAGCAGAUUGUGGGAUACCCAGGAUAUUCAACGGGCACUUAGAACAUAUGAGGUAAGAGCCAGGUGCAUAAAUUCACUUAAAGCUCUAGUUGAAGAUAUAAACUUCAAUAAUAAUACCAUUCUUGUAUAAGCACUUACAUAUCCAUAUAAGUUUAGUUAAUUUGUAUUUAUGUUUGCCUUAUCCUUGUUAUUUUUCAGGGAAUAGAAGGAGUUGAAACAAUAGACUUGAACUUGUCUGAUUUUGAAAGAGUAUGCUUCAAUUCAAAUGUUUUCUCAAAGAUGACUAAUCUUCGAUUGCUCAGAGUUCAUUCAGAUGACUAUUUCGAUCCUUAUUCUCAUGAUGAUAUGGAGGAGGAGGAGGACGAGGAGGACGAGGAGGAGGAGGAGGAGAAGGAGAAGGUAGAUCGUUAUUGUGAAGAAAUGAUUGAUUCUGUAAUGAAAACUGCUUCUAAAAUGCACCUUGACCCGGAUUUUGAAAUCCCUUCUUUUGAGUUAAGUUAUCUUUGUUGGGAUGGGUAUCCUUUAGGUUUUUUAUCAUCAAAUUUUAAUGGAAAGAACCUUGUUGAACUUCACUUGAAGUGUAGCAACAUAAAACAACUAUGGCAAGGGAAGAAGGUAUUAUUAUCAUUUAAUAAUGACUUUUUUUCCUUUAUAUUGAUUUUAAAAUUUCUAAUAGUUAUUUCUUUUAUUGAAAUUAUUUUCUUUUGGUACAGGAUCUUCAAAGUUUAAAGGUCAUUGAUCUAAGUCACUCAAACAAGCUCGUUCAAAUGCCAGAAUUCUCAAGCAUGCCAAAUUUGGAAGAACUAAUUCUUAAAGGUUGUGUAAGCUUGAUCAAUAUUGACCCAUCUGUUGGAGAUCUCAAGAAGCUUACUACCUUAGAUUUAAGGGGGUGUGUUAAGCUUAAGGGUUUACCAAGUAGCAUUAGCAACUUGGAAGCUCUUGAAUGUCUUGAUCUUACUAGGUGCUCAAGCUUUGACAAGUUUGCAGAAAUUCAAGGAAUUCAAGGAAAUAUGAGUAGUUUAACGCAUCUAUAUUUGCGCAAGACUGCUAUUAGAGAACUUCCAAGUAGCAUUGACUUAGAAUCUGUUGAGAUUCUUGAUCUCUCUGAUUGUUCUAAGUUUGAGAAAUUUCCAGAGAACGGAGCAAACAUGAAAAGUUUAAAUGAUCUUCGUUUAGAGAAUACUGCUAUUAAAGAACUCCCAACAGGUAUUGCCAACUGGGAAUCUCUUGAGAUUCUUGAUCUCUCUUAUUGCUCAAAGUUUGAGAAAUUUCCAGAGAAGGGAGGGAACAUGAAAAGUUUAAAGAAGCUUCGUUUUAAUGGUACUUCUAUUAAGGAUCUGCCUGAUAGCAUUGGAGACUUGGAAUCUCUUGAGAUUCUUGAUCUCUCUUAUUGCUCAAAGUUUGAGAAAUUUCCAGAGAAGGGAGGGAACAUGAAAAGUUUAAAGAAGCUUCGUUUUAAUGGUACUUCUAUUAAGGAUCUGCCUGAUAGCAUUGGAGACUUGGAAUCUCUUGAGAUUCUUGAUCUCUCUUAUUGCUCAAAGUUUGAGAAAUUUCCGGAGAAGGGAGGGAACAUGAAAAGUUUAAAGAAGCUUCAUUUAAAAAAUACUGCUAUUAAGGAUCUGCCGGAUAGCAUUGGAGACUUGGAAUCUCUUGAGAUUCUUGAUCUCUCUAAGUGCUUAAAGUUUGAGAAAUUUCCGGAGAAGGGAGGGAACAUGAAAAGUUUAAAGAAGCUUUCUUUAAUAAAUACUGCUAUUAAGGAUCUGCCGGAUAGCGUUGGAGACUUAGAAUCUCUUGAGAUUCUUCAUCUCUCUGAGUGCUCAAAGUUUGAGAAAUUUCCGGAGAAGGGAGGGAACAUGAAAAGUUUAAAGGAGCUUUAUUUAAGAAAUACUGCUAUUAAGGAUCUGCCUGAUAGCAUUGGAGACUUGGAAUCUCUUGAGUCUCUUGAUCUCUCUGAUUGCUCAAAGUUUGAGAAAUUUCCGGAGAAGGGAGGGAACAUGAAAAAAUUAAAGCAGUUUCUUUAAUAAAUACUGCUAUUAAGGAUCUGCCAGAUAGCAUUGGAGACUUGGAAUCUCUUGAGUCUCUUGAUCUCUCUGAGUGCUCAAAGUUUGAGAAGUUUCCGGAGAAGGGAGGGAACAUGAAAAGUUUAAAGGAGCUUUAUUUAAUAAAUACUGCUAUUAAGGAUCUGCCGGAUAGCAUUGGAGGCUUGGAAUCUCUUAAGAUUCUUAAUUUAAAAAAUACUGCUAUUAAGGAUCUUCCCAACAUUUCUAGGUUGAAAUUUCUUAAAAGACUCAUCCUCUGUGACCGCUCAGACAUGUGGGAAGGAUUAAUAAGCAAUCAGCUUUGCAAUCUGCAAAAACCUAAUAUCAGUCAAUGCGAAAUGGCUCGACAGAUUCCGGUGCUUCCUUCAAGUCUAGAAGAAAUAGACGCACACCAUUGCACAAGCAAGGAAGAUUUAUCAGGUCUGCUCUGGCUUUGCCACCGCAACUGGUUGAAAUCUACAGCAGAGGUAAUGUAAUAAUUUUUUUUAUUUAAUUAUGCCACUUAAACCUUUUUUAUAUAAAGCCAAUAUUUACAUAAUAAUUUGUGCAGGAGUUGAAAAGUUGGAAACUCAGUGCUCGUAUUCCAGAAAGUAGUGGAAUUCAAGAGUGGAGGAUAAGGUAUCAAAACUUGGGAAGUGAAGUAACAGCAAAGCUUCCAAUGAAUUGGUAUGAAGAUCCUGACUUCCUAGGAUUUUUUGUAUCAUGUGUUUAUCAGCCUAGUCAUAAAUCUACUCUCAAGUGUGAAUUGAAUUUACAUGGCAAUGGAUUUGAAUUCAAGGACAGAACCUGGUGUGACUGCUGGUGUGGGUCCCAUGGUAAUUUUAAAGAAUUGAUAGAUCAAGUAUGGGUUUGGUGGUAUCCUAAGAUUGCUAUUCCGAAAGAGCUCCGUAAAUCCACACAUAUUAAUGCUUCAUUUAAGAAUCCUGGGAUAAACAUAAAAAAAUGCGGCAUCAAUCUUAUAUUUGCGGGAGAUCAACGAAAUCAUAUGCCCAUGUUGGAGCAUCCUCAGAAUUCUGGUGACAAUGGAUCAGCAUCACAAGAUACCGAUGGUAAUGUUCAUGGGGCUAAUCAAGAUGAUGAACACUACCAUAUUCCAGCGAUGUUAGAUCUUCUCAGGAAUUUUGGUGACAAUGGAUCAGUAGUACUUGAAGACAAUGAUGGAAACCGUAAGAGAAGACGUGAUGAUUCGUUACCCGAUGUAGUGGAGGAGCCACAUUAUAAAAGAUUGGGAGCACCCAACAUCGAUCUCUCGCUUUGAACUCCAUCACUAGGUGCAUUAUCAACCCUUCUUCAAUAUUCUAACUUCUCUCCUUUUUAAAUUAUUUUUGAAGUCAAUAAACUAUUUUUAUAUGUAUCUUCAAACUUAUUUCAUUAAUUUUCCUCCAUUAUAUAAAAAUUAAAUAAUUUAAAAAUAUAUAAAUCUCUAAUCAAUUUUAAUUAUAUUUUAUUUUCUUUCAUAUUUUCUAUAGAAAAACCAAGUAUAACAAAUAAUUUUUUUUAGUGUUUUUUUUUAUUUCCUAAGUACUCUCUAAGAUUCAAACAUAUUUAUAGUGAUUGAUAUCAUGACUAUGCAUGUACUACAUUUCAUAGAAUUUCUUCAUUUUCAAAAAAUAUGAAAAAUAACUUUAACUAACUUUAAAAGUCAUCAUUAGUUUAAAAACAUGUAUAGUUUUUUUUAUUUUUUAACAUAUAGCAUAUAUAUGGUAGUGAAUUGCUUCUUUUUUUUUUCCAUUAUUUAUUUAUUUAAUUAGUUAAAUAAAAACCUCUACAAAGUGAUUAUGAAGCUCUAGGGAUUCUUCAUUACCUUAUUAGACAUUAAUUAAUUAAUUAAUUAAUUUUUUCAACUUGCUUUAAGAUAAAAUUUGAAUAAGUUAUCAAAGUUAGUUAGAGAAGAUCAUGUACACAAAUUAGAAGUCAAAUUUGAAUGUAUUAUGUGGUAGAUAUAUGGAGAAACAUACUUGAUGGAAGUAAAUAAUAAAACUCCCAUAUAUUGAUUUUAAUAGUUUUAAGAGUCAAAUUGUUUAUGGUUUUUGUAUUUAAGAAUUAAAUUUCUUUAAGCAUGCUAAAACAUGUUUAAACAUGCAUACUUAGUCAUUUCCUGAGAUGGAAGUUUUGGAUUAAUCUUAUAUUUACUUAUGAUUUUGAUAUGCUCACGAAGUUUACCUAACUAUUAAUUAUACUAAUCUUAAGUGAAAUUUGUGAUAGUAUCGAUCAAAACGAAAUCACAUGUGGUAGCUGCAAGUGGAGUUUAUCUUUUUUCCUAUCAACUUAUUGGUAAGUCAUUUUAUUCAUUUAUCCUUUUAGUAUGUGUAGAAAAUUGAUUAUAGUUCUUCAAUUUCUUUACUAUUUUCUCUUUCCCUUGAUCCCUAUUUUGUUCUAUUAUGUUUGGUUUUUGAAAAACUUGAGGGUAAAUAUAAAGAAAAGAAAAUUGAGAAAAAAAAAAAGGAAAUACAAAGUGAAAAAGAAUAAAAACUAGAUUUAAAGUUAAUCAAUUAUUUUCAUAUGUUUGUUCAAUCUUAUUUCAUUUAUUAUGCUUCAUUAUAUAAAAAUUAAAUAAUUUUAAAAUGUAUAUAACUCUAACUAAUUUUAAUUAUAUUUAAUUUUUUUUCCAUAUUUUUCACAAUGAAACCAAACAUUUAUCAUUUUCCUUGACAAUUUUUAUUGUUUCCUUGGUGCUCGAUGGGAUCCAAACAUAAGUUGAAAACCAUCAGGGUAGCCUAGUUGGUCAAGGCGAAUAUUGAGAAGUGUGGUCCUAGUAAGUGGUACAUGGUUAUGGGUUUGAAUCCUGUCACCACUGAUACCUUGAAUUUGCCUAGUGCUAGUUGUUGCGGGUGAUUAACACUUUGAGGUUUGGGUCCCCAUAGAGAGUUCGAAGGGUUUGGUCAUGGAAGGUUCCUUGAUUAUUGAGAAAAAAAAAAACAUAAGUUUUAUGUUUCAGGAGAUUUAAAAAAAAAAAAAAGGUUGUAGCACAAUCCAUAAUUAACUAGGAUAUAUAUUUGUUCUCAUGUGCUUGGUAUAAGGCACUAAGUAUCAUUAUAUUAAAUUAAAUCCUCGAUCUACUUCAUAAGAGUUAGUUAUAAAUUCCUUGCUAUUGAUAUAGGUAAACAAGAAUUUAUAUAUGUUUGAAUUAAUUCUUAAGUUAAUGGUUAAUACCCAUUAAAUAUGUUUUUAGUUCCUUUGAUGAUUAUGUUAUAAUUUGAACAUGUUAGGGGUAUGAUUCUAGCUUCAUUAGCAUGAAGUGUAUCCAAUGAUAUGUGAUUCCCUAUCACUAUGUUUGGAUCCAAGAAAGUGUAUGGGAUGAAAAAUCCUCAUGAAAAUGAUUUUCUCAUAAAAAAAAUCCAAGAAAGUAUGAAGGAACAUGAAAAUGAUUCUCGGAAAUCAAACGCAACCAUGUGAAAUAUACUUGUGUUAAUAAUUAUAAUGUGUGUUUGUUGUACUAUGUUUAUGAAAUUGAAAUGAUGUAUUUUAUAAUUUAUGUAGGUGGAAACCCUAAGGACAAUGAGGAGAAGUUAAUCUCAAGAUACAAGUGAGAUUCCAAAUGUUGCUAAGGUGGUCUACUCUUACCAUCAUGACCAUCAAGAAAGAUGCUACAAUUUGUGUAUUGAAAGUGUGAAUUAGGAAUGUUAAAAAAUGAAAACUUGAAUUGAUAUAUGUUUUUGCCUAUAAGAUGUGUGGUUAUAGGCAAUUCUUAUGGGUAUGUAAUUGACCUUGAUGUUGCAUAUGAAGCAUAUCACCCUCUCUAUAUCUUCAAGCUAAUGGUUGGAGUUUGGAUAGUGAAAGACAAGUGUCAUAGAUUUAAGUAUUUUCAAAGGGCUCAUGUGGCACAUAGACAAUUCAAGUCUCUUGAAGUUGUUAAUUCUUUCACGUUGUAACAAAGGUCUCUAUCACAUUUCACACAUUAUAACCAUCACAUUUUAACUCUGAGUGUUUAGUUUGAAAUACUUUUGCAUUAAACUCUUUUUCAAAAGUAUUAAAUUAAUAUCUUUCUCUAGUCUUACUCGUUUUGGUUUGUCAACUUAAGUGGUUUAUUACUCUCUAGAGCCAACUUUCAACUUAGUCAUUCCCACAUAAUUGUUAUUGAUUCAUGGUCAAUUAACAAAUUCUCUGAUGUUAUGAUUGGUUUUUGAAAAUUUUGAGGAAAAUUAAAUAAAGAGAAAAAGUAUAAGGAAAUAAAUUUGAAGAAGCAUAAAAAAAAAAAAAAAUUAAAAUUAAUAAAUUAUUUUUAUUUGUUAUUUUAAACUCGUUUUACACCUAAUUUUAAUAAUAUUUAUUUACUUUCCCUAUUUUCCAUGAGUUGUCAAAUAUAAAAAAAUUAUUAUUUUUAAUACUUUUUGAUAACUAAACAUAACCUAAUACUUGUCUUUGUAAUUUCAAGGUACCAAUGAUAGAAUCAUACCUAUUAAUGUGGCCGUAUACAUGUGUGGAAUAUUCAUGAUUCAAUACUAUCACUACAUUACAAUUGUGGGAUGGAUCCUAGUAUAUAGUUAACGCAAAGAAGGAUUUUAUUCUAAAAUUAAUAUAAACAAAUAUAAUUUGAUAAUGUAUUUUAAACAUCUUGUAGAUAGUGUUUGGUGAACCAAUUUAAUAAUUUAAUAUAACUUAAUAGUUUAAUUUAUUAUUAAGUAGAUUAACUAUAUUUGGUAGAAUAAGUUAAUAUUACAAUGUAAAUUUAGUGUUAAGUCAAAAUAGUUAAUUUAAGGGUGUUUGGUAAAUCAACUUAAUGACUUAAUAUGAUUUAAUAAUUUAAUUUAAGUCAUUAAAGAGAUUAAAUAUAUUUGAUAAAAUAAUUUAAUACUACAACUUAAAGUUAUUUUUAACUUUAAGUAAUAAGUCAAAAGGAUCAAUUUCAUUGAGACCCCCUGAGGUUUGGUAUAAAUAUACUCGACUAUCAUUGAUUUCAAAUUUCAUCAAUUAGCACCCUUAUAAAUUUUUUUCGUUUUAAAAAAUUAUUUUUUUAAGAGAUUUCAAGUAAAAAUAUUUUAUAUAGGAGUGUUUAACAAUUUACUAAAAACUAAAUUUUAUUCUUUAAAAACUAAAAUUUAUAUAUAUAAUACAUUUAUAGAGGUACCAAUUGAUAAAAUUUGAAACUUACAAUGGCUUAAUGUACUUACUCUAAACCUGAAGGAUCUCAAUAAAAUUAACUCUAAGUCAAAAUAGUUAACUUAUUCUUAAUUUCAAAUCAUUUUUACCUUAUUUACCUACAUUUAUGACUCACUUUUUAUGAUAAAUAUUUUAUGAUUGUAUUUGUAUCUACGAUGCUUUAAAUAUGAAUAUUUAACAAAUAAAUCUAUUGUUUAAGAUUAGUGAAAAUAUAAUGAUUAGUUAAAAUUAAUAAGAAUAAAUAUAUCAAUUUGAAAAUUUAGAAUAAAUCUUAAAUUAACUUUACUAAAUAAUCUUAAUACUUAAAGUAAAAAAUAAUUAAUAAGUUUUAAGUUUACAACUUAAGAAUCAUUUAACUUAAAACCAACUUAAAUCAUUAAAUAAUAAGUAAUAAGUUUUACCAAACACCUACUUAAACAUAGCUUUUAAAGAAAUUAUUUAAUCAAAAGACAAAUAUUAAAAUAUAAAAUAUAAAAAAUAUAAUAAAGGAACAUGCACAAUGCAAAUUGACAUUAUAAAGUCUUUCACACUAUUUUAUUCCUUUUUUUUGUUCACCUUUUUAGAAAACGAUUUUAAUAUUUCCUAGGAAAAUUAUGAUAACACGUAAUUGGUGUUUCCAUAUUUUCUAAUUUUAAAACUCUAUUUUCUGAAAUAUUGAUUUAUGUUUUCUUUACAAAUGAAAACAAUUUAAACAAAAAGGUGCUUUAUAGUUUCCAUUUUUAAAAAUGAUUUUCACUUAUUUUGACUUAAGGCAUUUUCAAGAUAAGAAAAAAAACAAGAAUAAAAGCUAUUUUUAGAGAAUAAAAAUAAAUGAAAAAUGAAAAACAUUUUCCAACCGAAACCCAUUGUUAAUGUUUUCAUCUCAUUGCACCUUUUUCUAAUCACCAUCCCCCUCUUUGAUGGACUAACUCGGAAAAAUUAUCUUGGCACGUGCUUUAAUUUACAUUUGUUAAAUUGGUUUUGACAUACAUUUUCCAUAAUAAAAGCAAAACAAUAGCCCGAGUUACAAACAUGAUUUCCAUGGUUUUUAGGUCUUUAAUCACAAAGUAUUGAUUCCCAAAUUAUAGAUGCUCUAAAUUUAGUGCAUAGGGCAUUCAGACUCUCAGUUCCAUCAACAUCCAUUUUCAUUUUCUCACCUGCCAAAACCCUAUUGUACAAAUUUCCAUUGAACCUGCAGAUCCAUCCAAAGUGAUACCAAACUGUGCUGACAAGGAGCCUUUGUAAGAAUCUGAUACAGCUCCUGCUGUUUCUGAAAGGUUGCUCUUCAUCUCUGAAAUUUUUGAUGCCAUGUGCUCUUUGUAUUUCGAAACUAAAUCAACCAAAGCAUAGAGUUCCCAAGCACAUAUCUGAAUUUCUUCCUCAUUUUGCUUGAUUGCUUCCUGCAACUUCAAUUUGGACGUCUUCAUGACAACAUCAAAGUCUAGUCAGAAUCCCUUGAAUUUUUCAAUAUUAUUCACAUUAAUCAAGAACAAUUAUAGAGCCAGGUAGGAAUUUUUCUUAAGUGUUAUAUAGGCCAUCAAAACUACUUUGUAGGGACUAAUUAUCAUCCAAGAACAAUUAUUCACAUUAGUCAGAACAAGAACAAUUAUUCACAUUUACUUGGAAAAAGAAUCAAAUGUAGUCAAUCCUUUGUAGGGACUAAUUAUCAUCCAAAAAGAAUUUUUCUUAAGUGUUAUAUAGGUCAUCAAAGCUACUUUGGAAAUUUGGGGCCUGACAACCUAUGUGCAAUAACAAUUGACAUCUCCAGCAGAUUUUAUUUUAUUUUUUUAUCCAAAAAAAAUCAUUCAUUGAUAUGAAUUUAGUUACAAACCAAGGUUAAGAAACCCUUUCAAAAUAUAAAGGAUGAUUAAAAGUUGACGAAAAACCUAACAAGAGUAGCAAGAUAACUAUAUUAAUCAAGGAUGAUACAAGAACUUGUACAAAAUAUAGCGACAAUGUACAAGAACUUGUACAAGCAAGCACUAUAACUUGGGAGUGGUGGCGCCUUGAGCCUAGUGUCACGGACUUAGUCGUUCACUAAGCUCGUGCGGCACUUAGACAAGCCAAGACGCUUGAUCUUGCUAAGUCAGCCUUGCUCCCCAAUGCUUAGCUUGCUCGGCUAAGACACUCGCGACUCAAAAGCUUAAGAAGCUUGGUAGGCAACUCUUGAAAGAAUGGAAGCUUUCACUAACUCAAGGAAACCUUUACAAGUGCUUGGAUGCUCACUUGCUUGGUGCCUUGGCCAAAUGAGGCCCUCACCUAUUUAUAGGCACUAAUGGAACUCUCUAGAACCUUGGAGGGUUCCUUACAAUUCAUGAAUAUUCUAGAAUGUCCUACACUAUUCUAGAAUAUUCAAGAGACUUCUAGAUUUCUCUAGAAAGCUUUGGACCCUUCUCAUGCCUUCUACCAUAGUGUAGAGUUGUGUAGACUUCUCUAGGCAUUUCUAGAACCUUCCACACUCUUCCCACUAGUGGCUAAGUGUGGAUGUCUCCAAGGGUCUCUAGAAGCUUCUCACCUCCUAUAUAAGCCAUGGGGAGGGUCAUUUGAAGCAUCUUGUGACACUCUCCCCCACCUAAGCCGCAGACGUCCUCGUCGUGUCUUCUGCCCGGAACCGCUCAAUCUGUUCCUGGAACUGCCAUAGUGCAUUUGCUGGCUCCCAACUAGCCUCGCUUUCUGGUAGUCCCUUCCAUUUCACUAAGUACUCCGUAGCAGGAGGCACACCACGCCUUCUGAUGAUUCGGUCUGCAAUGAUGUGUUCCACCUCCUUGUCAUAGGAGAUCACAACCGCUGUAAGUGCCCUCUUAGAAAGCCCUCGGCUUGGAUCAUCCUUGUCUUCGUGAUAUGGUUUCAAGUAACUCACGUGGAAGACAGGGUGAAUCUUUAACCUUGGCGGUAACUCCACUUUGUAGGACACCUUGCCGACCUUUCCAAGUAUAGGGAAGGGUCCUUCAUACCUCCUCACAAGGCCCUUAUGCACUGGCCUUAGGGAUUUGAAUUGUUGAGGAAGGAGCUUGACAAGCACCAUGUCUCCGACCUUGUACUCCGUGUGACGUCGCUUCUUGUCAGCCCACUUCUUCAUUUUCUUAGCGGCCUUGUCCAAGUACGAGCGUGCUAUGUCAGCUUGCUCAUGCCACCCCUUAGCGAACUUGAAAGCCGCUGGACUUCUCCCUGUGUAGCCUAUCGUUAGCGUGUGAGGAGUUAAGGGUUGCUGCCCUGUGGCUAGCUCGAACGGGCUCUUGUUGGUCGCCUCACUCCUUUGCAAGUUGUAUGAGAAAUGGGCUAUAUCUAGCAACUUAGCUCAAUCCCUCUAGUUGGCACUCACAAAGUGCCUCAAGUAUAGCUCCAGCAAGGCGUUCACCCUCUCAGUCUGCCCAUCUGUCUGUGGGUGAAAGCUGGUGGAGAAGUGAAGCUCCGAACCCAUAAGCUUGAAGAGCUCCGUCCAAAACUUCCCAGUGAAGCGUGGGUCGCGAUCACUGAUGAUGAACUUAGGCAACCCCCAAUACUUGACUACGUGCUUUAGGAAUAGCCUCGCCGUCUCUUCCGCGGUGCAGUCAGUCGGGGCUGCUAUGAAGGUUGCAUACUUAGAGAAUCUAUCCACCACCACUAUGAUAGAGCCGUUGUCCUCUGACUUAGGUAGCCCGAUGAUGAAGUCCAUGGUGACGCUGUCCCAUGGGCGUUCUGCUACAGGUAGUGGCUCUAACAGGCCUCUAGGUUGUCGUUGUUCCACCUUGUCUUGUUGGCACACAAGACAAGUCCUCACAUAGGCCUCAACCUCGUCCCGUAUCUGAGGCCAAUAGUAAGCCGACUCGAGUAGUGCCCUAGUGCGUCGUUGCCUAGGGUGCCCUGCCCACUUGGUGUCAUGGCACUCCUUAAUCAGGUUCCGCCUUAUGUUCCCCCACUUAGGCACGUAGAGUCGUCUCCCUUUGGUGUAGAGUAAGCCAUCCUCCACCCAAAACCGCUUGGUCUUCCCUUCAUGAGCCAGGGCGAUGAGGCUCUUAGCCACUGGAUUAUGUUGCAGUCCCUCCCUUAGAAGAUCCAUUAUGUCUCCUUGGGGCUGACUCGUUAUGGACGCUAGCUCGGCUUUGCGACUUAGGGCGUCGGCCACAUGAUUAGCACUUCCUGGCUUAUACUCCAGCGUAUAGUCGAACUCGGCCAAGAAGUCUUGCCACCUAGCUUGUUUAGGACUCAGCUUCUUCUGUGUCUGGAAGUAGCUAGUGGCCACAUUGUCGGUCUUCACUAUGAAGUGAGACCCUAGCAAAUAGUGCCUCCAGGUGCGCAAGCAGUGAACGAUAGCGGUCAUCUCCUUUUCUUGCACCGUGUAACGCCUCUCCGCGUCGUUUAGCUUGCGACUCUCAAAUGCAAUUGGGUGUCUUUCUUGCAUAAGGACUCCCCCAAUAGCGAAGUCUGAGGCAUCUGUGUGUACCUCAAAGACCUUGGUGUGGUCGGGUAGUGCCAACACUGGCUCCUCAGUCACAGCCUUCUUCAGGUCCUCAAAGGCUUGUUGGCACCUUUCAUCCCAUUCCCAUGCCUUAUUCUUCUUCAGAAGAUCAGUGAGUGGAGCGGCCCUUGCCGAAUAACCCUUUAUGAACCGCCGAUAGUAAUUAACUAAACCAAGGAAAGAUCUGAGUUGAGGUACCUUGGUUGGUGGAUCCCAUUCUUGGAUGGCCUUCACCUUGCUAUCAUCCAUCAUCAGCUUGCCAUCUCUGAUGCGAUGCCCAAGGAAGCUCACUUCCUCCUUAGCAAACGAACACUUCUCCUUCUUCACGUAUAGCUCGUUCUGCCUCAAGAUCUUAAAGACCUUCCUCAAGUGCUCCACGUGCUCCUUUAGAGUGUUACUAUAGAUGACUAUGUCAUCCAAGUACACCACCACGAACUUGUCCAAGUAUGGGUGGAAGAUCUUGUUCAUGAGGGUGCAAAACGUUGCUGGGGCAUUGGUGAGUCCGAAAGGCAUUACUACGAACUCAUAUGAGCCAUACCUGGUCACACAUGUAGUCUUCGGCUCAUCUCCCUCCGCAAUCCUGACUUGGUAGUAGCCUGACCUUAAGUCCAGCUUCGUGAAGUACCUUGCCCUUCCAAGUUGAUCGAACAAGUCAGCAAUGAGCGGGAUGGGAUACUUGUUCUUCAUCGUCACCUUGUUGAGUGCCCGGUAAUCUAUGCACAUUCGUAGGGACCCAUCAUGCUUUUUCUGAAAUAGAACCGGCGCGCCAUAAGGAGCCUUGGAUGGUUGGAUGAACCCCGCAUCUAGCAACUCCUUGAGUUGUCUCCUUAGCUCCUCCAACUCGGGUGGUGCCAUCCUAUAUGGCCCCAUAGCAGGGGGCUUGGCUCCCGGCUCCAGCUCAAUCUUGUGAUCUUCCUCUCUCCUAGGAGGAAGUCUCUUGGGCAACUCGGGCGGCAUAACGUCCUUGAGCUCAUCAAGGACCCCCUCGAUUUCUCUAGGCAUGGGUUCUCCCGACCCAUCAUCCUUUUCUUCCUUUAGGGUGGCGAGGUAGGUCACCUCUUCCCUCUUUAACCCCUUCUUUACUUGCAUAGCGGAUAACAUAGGGGUCUUGAGCGUACCUUCAUUGACCGUAGGGACCAUGCACGACUUCUCCUCCUCUAGGAUAGCCAUUGAGCGUAGGAAAGGUAGUGGCACGGCCUUGACCUUCUGUAGGAAGUCCAUUCCUAGCACCAUCUUGAAGUCAUCCAUGGGUGCCACUGUGAAGUCGACCCUUCCUUCCCACGAGCCGAUGUGCAUAGUCACCCCGCGAGCUACUCCAUGUGAUGGCUUGGCGGCUGAAUUGACUGCCUUGAGCCAUCCUCCUUCCUUGGAUGCUUGGAGCUCCAACCUUCUUGCCUCAUCCUCCGAGACAAAGUUGUGAGUGGCACCUGUGUCCACCAGGGCCUUGGUGGCCUUCCCAUUCACAAGGGCCUCCACAUACAUCAGCCCUUUGCUUUGAGGCGUCUUAGGCAUCGGCUUGGCCUUAAGGGCAGUUAAGAGCUGCAACGAUCCCAUCUUAGCAUCGCCUUCUUGCUCCUUUUCCUCGAUCAUAGCAUUUAAGGCCUUCCUCUUAGGGCAGUCCCGUGCCCAGUGCGGACCAUCGCACAGGAAGCAAUUGGUCCUGGGCGUGAACUCCUUUCGCUUGUCCUUGCCUUUGCCAUCCUUGCCACUAGGGCCUUUGCUUGAUCCUUCCUUAGAGGUAUGGCCUUGCGACCUCUUGUCUCCCCCACCUUUGGCCUGGUUACCCUUGGAUGGUGGCUUGGGCUUGGAGGAGUCUCCCCUUCUAUAAUCUACUAAGGACUCGGCUACUGCCAUGGCCGUGGCUAGGUCUUGGACACCACGUCUCCUCAACUCUUGCUCGGCCCAGCUUUGCAAGUUGUCCAUGAAGUUGAACAGUAGCUCCUCCUCAGCCAUGUUAGGUAUCUCAAGCAUAAGAGUAGAGAAUUCUUUGACAUACUCACGGAUCGAGCCCGUGUGCUUGAGACGCUUCAAACUCUUCCUUGCUAGGUAAGCCACGUCUUCGGGAUAGAAUUGCCUCUUGAUUUCUCUCUUAAAGGCAUCCCAUGUGUCUAUGGUGCACGUCCCUCUCUCUAUGUCGGCAAAUCGUCGACGCCACCAUAGAGUAGCAUUAUCAGUGAGGUAAAGGGUCGCGGUGCGUACCUUAGUGGCUUCAUCCGUUAAUGCAAUUGCCUCAAAGUAACGCUCCAUGUGCCACAAGAAGUUAUCUAGCUCCUUGGCAUCCCUCUUGCCACUGAACGUGUGUGGCUUGGGCACCUCCACCCUUGGUGCCUCAUGAGUGGCCAUGACUCGUGCUGAUACAGCGGUCUUAUAGAUGGCCAACUCUUGUCGAAUCUCUUGGUCUCGGGCCUCCACUCGUGCAGUCAAGGCCUCCAUCCUUGACUCCACACUAGCGAACAUGCUCAUGACCUUGUCUUGGAAAGACAUGAACUCCUCGUGUGACACCGGUUGAACUUGCGAGACCAGCACCCCCUCGCGAAGGUCUUGGAUCUGCUCCCUUAGAUCCUCUAAGCCCUUCUCCAUGCCUUGCUCGAUCAAGUCCACCCCUUCCCGGGUGUCUGCCAUGGCUAGCUCCACCUUGGCUAACCUUGCCUCCAUGUUGGCAACAACAUCAUGAGAUGUAUCCUUCUUACCUCUGCCCCUGCCCCGUGCAGUAGGCUCGGCCUCCCUCCCAUGGGUUUGUUCGCUAGUCUCCUCCACGUUAGAGCCCGACAUGCUUCCCUUAUGCCCGCUUCGUAGCCACGCUCUGAUACCACUUGUCACGGACUUAGUCGUUCACUAAGCUCGUGCGGCACUUAGACAAGCCAAGACGCUUGAUCUUGCUAAGUUAGCCUUGCUCCCCAAUGCUUAGCUUGCUCGGCUAAGACACUCGCGACUCAAAAGCUUAAGAAGCUUGGUAGGCAACUCUUGAAAGAAUGGAAGCUUUCACUAACUCAAGGAAACCUUUACAAGUGCUUGGAUGCUCACUUGCUUGGUGCCUUGGCCAAAUGAGGCCCUCACCUAUUUAUAGGCACUAAUGGAACUCUCUAGAACCUUGGAGGGUUCCUUACAAUUCAUGAAUAUUCUAGAAUGUCCUACACUAUUCUAGAAUAUUCAAGAGACUUCUAGAUUUCUCUAGAAAGCUUUGGACCCUUCUCAUGCCUUCUACCAUAGUGUAGAGUUGUGUGGACUUCUCUAGGCAUUUCUAGAACCUUCCACACUCUUCCCACUAGUGGCUAAGUGUGGAUGUCUCCAAGGGUCUCUAGAAGCUUCUCACCUCCUAUAUAAGCCAUGGGGAGGGUCAUUUGAAGCAUCUUGUAACACUAGGCACACUUAAAGCACGCCUUUUAAAACUAUGAUCAUCCAUUAGACAGGUGGUUAGACCAGGCAGCUCUUGCUAUCAAAUUUUGAGUGACAACUGCUUGUGUAAUUGACACAUCAUUUGCCCUUUGUACCAAAUUUUAGAUUGACCAUCAAGUGGUACUAUACUACUUUCCAAUUAUUUUCUCUCCCAUAUUUCAUUUGAGUCAUUCUGGAAUUUAGCAGUAUUCUAUCCCAAUGGAAUUUCUAGGAACAACAUUUUUCUGUCAAAAUUUGAAUACAUCUAAAUUAUCACCUUUUUGAAUUCCAAUUGUAGUCCAAUCAAUUUAACCGUAGUAAUUGAUUUUCCAAGAAAUUUUAUUAUUGUGCAUUCAACUACUAACAAUUCAAGAAAGCUUUUUUUUUUCUUUUUGGAUAAGUAAAUCACAAUUCAAAAAACAAAUUAAACGAAGGGGAAAGCAAGAUUAUGAACAAUUUUGUCUUUUAGAUUGCAAAGAAAAUACUCGAGAAGCUUACAGUUACAACUUUAGUUUUCCUAGAGUGGCAUCCAUGCAAUAUAACAACCAUUCAAUUGUAUAUGCUACUGCUGGUACUUAAGAAAUGGUAUUGCUCACAAAGUCAGACCACUAGGUAAAGAAGACCUGCUUUGAUUUCUUAUAUAGAUAGAUGGAUACAGAGAGAGAGAGAGAGAGAGAGAGAGAGAGAGAGAGAGUUUGGCCUUUUCUAAGAGCAGCAAAAAGAGGUUGAGUUAAUUUGUACUUCAGUUAAUUGCAUAUUCAAUAGGGGACCAUUGGCUCCAACUAUGUGCACGCUCCCUCCAUCUGUAUCCUAUGUAUGUGUCUAAGAAUUUUAUGGCUCUGUCAUUCUUUCCAAAAAAUUUGUGCUGCAGAGUUCUUCUUUCUUGUAACAUGAUCAAUCUUGUUAAUCUUAUCUAACAUCACCAAUACUUUUAGCUUUCUUUAAAAUUUUUAGGAAAACAAAGCGAAAAUCUGGCUGCUCCUGUUGACACCCUAAAAUCGUAUAAAAAAGGCAUAGUUUUUUAUUCUUCUUGAGUGGCAUAUAAAUGCAUAGCUGCUGAACAAGAAAAAUGAGUUCUAAUUCACUUACUUCAUCACUACGGGAUUGAAGUGCAGCAAGAUGAUUUCUUUUUGCUUCAAUUUUAACAGCAUUUUCAACUAAUUAUUGUUGAAGAGAAAUCAACUCUUCCAACUUUGACAUAGAGCUUUUAUUUAUGUCAUCAGCAAAGGAGUCAAAUGCAGGCUUAAGCGUUGAUUUGUAAUCAAUUCCCAAACCUCAGCAGGCAAAGACCCUUUGGCAUUCAACACUACUGCAAACCAUUUCCUAACUUUAACCUGGAAACCAUCCAAGAGAAAAUACUUCAAUUACACAAUAGAUUGUAGUUUAAUAGGUUGAAAGAGUUGCAUGAGGUGGUAUGCUAAUUUGUCAAUUCAAAGAUGCUCCUGAAAAUUAAGUAUUUAGUGUUGCCUCUUCAUGACUAUUAGUUUACUUCUAAAAGUUAAAGAGAACAUGGUCCAAAGGGAAACAAUAGGCUCCUAAGGCAGGGCUCAGGAGGCAAAGGGUUGGGUGGGUAUGGGAAGGUUCCAAGUUGAAAUUCAUAUACCGAGAGAGAGAGAGCGAGAGAGAGAGAGAGAGAGAGAGAAGGGGGGGGGGGGAGGAGAGGGGAGACUACCUUAAAAAAGGAGGUUGCCAAGGGCAACUGUAUCACCUAUCUCUGUCUAAAUAAAUGAUUAGAAAACUUGUGAGGAUGAAAGUGUUAAAUGGAGAUUUUUUUUAAAAGCCAAAUUGAGAAUGAACAUUAGCUAACCUUAAAAACCUUUUUAUUUUUCGUACUUUGACAAAGCUCCAGAAUGGUUAGCAGUUUGAGAGUAACACUUAGCUUAAAAGGUUACAGAAGAUGAACAAACAUGAAAUCAUAAACCAAUACAAAAGCUGUAAUGUACCCAAAAGAUAAAUGCAGGUAAGGCAAAUUACAACUCAGAAACUACCCAUUGUUGGUGUUGAAUCACAACCCCAAGUAAACAAAUGAAGCUUAAGUUGGCUACUUGGAAAUAAUGCAUGUGACUCAAGAAGACAUAAGCCAUUGAAUGGUUCAGCAACUACAUUCACCUGGUCUGAAUUUUUGUCUACUGAAAUUUUACAUUUUUGUUAGGUAAUUUUUUUUGUCCCUAUUGGGAUUUGAACCUGAAACUUCCACAAACCCUUCCAACUCUUUACCUCUUGAGCCAGGCCUCAAGGGCAUGUUCACUGGAAUAAUUUAAGCAGAGAACAGCAGCUGGAUCCUUCUUAGGAAUCACUGACUAGUCAUGCUAUAACUACAAAGCCAGAUCCUACGUUCUCACUGAAGUUAUACUAAAAUGUUGUAUAUGUUAAUGUAUUUGCUAAGAACAGGAAAAUAUUUCAUAUCACCCACAAAUGACAGACAAAAAAAAUCUUGUAAUCUAAUUCAUGGAGGUAGAUAACCUAAUGUUGAUAAGAAUCACAGUAGACUUCAAUGGAAUAGAGAAAAUCAAUUCCAAGCAUUACCAAACUUAAGAAAGAACACAAUUCUACCAUGUUCAUUAAUUAUCAGAAAGCAUACUGAAGAUUACUAGAAAGACUUUAGAGUAUGCAACUAAAGGAAUUAAGAAAAUCCUAGUGGAGUGGAUUAUAGAGGUAUGAAAGCCAAACAAAGAGGAUAAGGAAAAGAAAACCUCCUGAGAGCCUGGUUGCAUUCAAUUGAAAGAGUUUCAAGCUCCUUAAACUUGUGCCCAAUUGUCGUGUCAAGAUCCCAAGACUUCUCCUCCCAACCAUUCCUUGCACCCUCGGCCUCCGUGAUAUCUCUCUCAACUGCCUGCAACUCCCUCUUCAUCCUCUCUGCAUCUCUUGCAUUAAACGUCUGCAACUCAACCCUCUUCUUCAGCUCUUAAUUAUCCUCGCAAAUUCUAUUUUCUUCUCAACCUUCACCCCCAACUCCUUCUCCUCCAAAAUCUUCUCCACUGAUGCAAUCCUUCCCGAAAAUUCUGCAAUUAUUGCACGAAAUUUUUUCACAUCCUCCUCCAACACCCCCCUCUCCUUCUCCACAACCUCCUUAGCCGAAGGCCCCGACCUCAAUUCCUCCAACCUCCCCUCCCUCUCUGCCAUCUCCUUCUCCAAUGCCUUCACACCUUCCGCCACUGCGUCCCUCUCCCUUUCCAACUUCCCCAUAGACUCCCUAUCCACCGCCUCCAUCCCAUCAUCAUCCCCGUGAAUAUAAUGCAAGUAACUAUCUAAUGCAUACACAAAAGUAUUGUCAAAACACUGCAAAUUCGACACAAGAUGGUCAUUAUACAAUGCGAUCUGAACCAACCAAUGCAUUACGCCUAAAAGGGAAGGCCAAGCAUGCGGGGUUCCGGGGGCUUUGAGAGCGGACUUGUUGAGCUUGAUCAGGAAAUUGAGGUGCUUGAGGAGGAUAGGAAGAUCGUCUUCAAGUUUGGUUGUGGGGAAAUCGAGUUGGGAGAUGAGGAAUUUUAGGGUUUCGGAAAUGUCUUUGGCGGAGGGGAGAGGGGGUUUAAGGGAGAAAGGAGAGGAAUGGGAGGCGAGAAAGGAGUUGAUGGUGCGGAUGGCGGAGAGUUGGUAGGAUCGGUCGGUGAGGGCAUCACCGGCGGAGGAGCGGUUGAUUCCAAGGGAGGAAGGGCGGCUGCUGGCGAAACUAGCGUCAGAGUCGCGGCUGCAUUGGCGGUGGUGGUCAACGGAGGGAGGUGGUGGUGGUGGCGGUGGGCGGAUAAAGUCCUUCGGACGGCGGCGGCCGGUGGCUUUCAUAUUCGGCUGUGAUGGGCUUCUCCCUCUCUCUUCUGAGUUCUUAUGAAUUCUGAAUCUCUCUUUCCCGCCUAUGGAUACCCCUCAGCUAUUUGUCAAUUACACUUAACCACCCUCAAGUUUUUUAAAUUAACCAUAGUGGAGCAGAACAAUCCAUGGAUGAUGUCGUCGAAUCUUGAAAGAUUUUUAUGGUUGAUUAAUGAUGUCAUAGUUAAAAGAAUUAAAUAAAAUGUCUAAAAUAUUCGUUUUAUUUCAUUUCAUCUUACCAUAUAUUUCUAAUUAAUUUUAAUUAAAAGUUUUUAAUAUAAAAAAUUAAUUUGUUUUUAUUAAAUAGUUUACCAUAUUAUCUAAUUAAUCAAUUAUUUUUACUAUCUUUCUUAUCUAAAUAAUCAUUAAGGUUAUGUUUGAUUCCCAAAAAAUACUAAGUAAAGAAAAAAAAUACUAAUAUGUUUGAUUUCCGAAAAUUAUUAAGGAAAAAAAAUAUUAAUCCACUUUUAACCCUUUAAACACCUAACUUCACAUAACCCAAACUUUUAUAAACUUAACUAUGACUUUCCAAUUGAGCGAACAAUAACCUUGAAUCUUCAAUAAAGAGUAAGUCACCAUCUAAAAAGUUUCUUAAGCCAUAAAAUAAUUGGAAUAAAAUUGCUAACAUACAAUCUAAACUCAUUAUCUUAAUAAUCUCCCUCUUUACAAUUUUAUGACAAAACAUCAUUACAUAAUCCCUUCCAGACUCUCAUAAUGGAGUUUGCAUGACACUCAAAUAUGCUCAUCUAAAAAAUGAUUCAAGGGCAAUGCAUUAAGUUGUAGUACUUACCUCCCAGUCCUAUUAACUGCAUACAUAAAAACAACUAUACCAAAGGUAAAACAAUGUGUGGGAUAAAAUAUAAUCGAGUAAGCAAAACAAGGUAGUGAGAAAAUACGAUCAAUGCACUGAAUGUUAUUAAGGAAGCAAAACAAUAUUGUAAGGAAACCAAUGUGCAAAAUCCAAAAAGAAAUAUAUUUGAUUACAUGUAAAUCAACCAAAUCUAAGCAAAGCUUUGCAAGCAACAAUUGGACAAUAAGGGCACUAAGUGCUUUCACCAACCAAAAUAUAUGUAAUAAGGACCAUGAGAACAAGCUUCUACUAUAGAGAAUGGUUCGAGAGAGUUUGACAUAUCACAAAGAUAUAUAUCAUAGGAAAUAUUUAUGUCAAGUGUCUCAAAUUUUUAAAACAUCUAACCAAUAGGUAAUUUGGUUUCCCUUAAUAUCUCAAAUUUAGUUUUCCCCAACGUCUCAAGUAACUUCUCGUAAUAUUGCAAUAAAUACUCCUAAAAAAUUUUCCCUCUAAAAACUUAAACUCUCCCCAUUUUUUAUCUUUUAUAUAUUAUCUUCCCUUAGAUGAAUCUUCCCCUAUAUAGAAUGUCUCUCCUUAAAACCCAUUUAACAAUUCUCCUUCUAGGUCUCUCUCUAUCUCAAUUCUCCCCCUUUUUGUCAUAAAAUGGGCAAAACAAGGUAAGUAGGAAAGGAGACUAAAAGGCAAUAAGGAAUAUAUAUAUAUAUACAUAGGUUCUGGAUACAAAAAUAUGGAAAUAAAGAGCAUACAUCCAAACCAAAACAAAAACAAAAACAAAUAGGAAAGCAAGCAACUAAGCAUUAGGAGCAAAGGAUGGUAAUGGAGAAGUAGAGCUUGAGGCCUUCUGAGAAUGGAUCUAAGAUAUAAUGUAAGUGAGUUGGCCCUCAAUCCCACAAAAACAUGCAUCAUGAUCGUCCAUCUUCAAAUGUAGACUUGAAAUUGAGUCCAUAACCUCUUGAAGUAAGGGAUUGUUAGAUGAAAAAACAAUGAUAAAAGAUGUAUGAGAAGGCCCCCUAUGUCAUUGGCUAUGUUAGCCACGCAAAGCUAGCUUUGGGAAGUCAUCCUUAGUGACUAAAGGCUCUUACUCCAUGGCUCAAAUCUCAUCAUUCUCAGCUAGGGCCUCCUAAGCAACCUUUUAUGCUAUUGAAGUGGGGAUAACAGGGUCUUAAGGAGUUGUAACUGAUUUGAUCAUUGUUGGUUAAGGUUGAUGGUAAUAAGUAUUCUCAAGAUAGACACUAUAAUAUCUCAUGAGUUUAAGACAAUGAGUCUUCCUCCUAGGUGAUCCUAAGAACAUGUGAUCAUGAAAAUAAUGGUUGUAGUAAUUCCUUUAGUGGAAUUUGACAUAUGCUUUUAAAGAGUUAGAGUAUGUUAGUUGAUAAUAAAAUAAGAGAAUUUAAAACUCAAGGAUUAUAGAGGUAAUCUUAAGAAGUUGAUAUAAUUCACCUUAUUAGAUUACAAACACCAAUUCAUAGAGAGUUUACAUGUAAUAAUUAGUAGUUUCUAGACUUAAGAUUCAUAUCUUAAUUUAAUAUCAUAAAAGUACAAUUGAUUUUUUGUAGUGGAAUGUUGAGUCAACUUUAAAAUUGGAUUAUGCAAGAGCCCAUGUUUUCCUAUAGGUCCUAGUUGUCCUCAUACAAGGUCUUACUCCUUGGUGACAUAUUAUUUCAAGGAUGGUUGUGCUCUUUAUUCAUAUAUAUGUGUGUGUGUGUGUGUGUGUGUGUGUGUGUGUGUGUGUGUGUAAGAAUGUUUUGGUAAAAACACAAGGUUACAUAAGAUUAAGUGACCUUGUGGCUAUUUAAUUAAUUAGGACUUAUGGGUUAGAUUAAGUGGCCCAAGCCUAAAAUGAACUUAAGUCACUUAAACCCACAAGUAAGGCUAUAUAAACCUCUUUAUUUAAGGUUCAUAUCCUUUGUUAUUCAGUCUUCCAAAGAGAGAAAACCUUAACCUCUAUCCAUAGAGAGGAUUCCCACCAUUUUUCACAUGCUAAGGUUGAAGAAAGAGAGUCAUUGGGUAAAAGAUCAUGAGGUAUUUGAGAUCCAUUCCAACCUUUUCAUUGAUUAGAACUAAUCCAAGAAUAUCCAUAUCACAUGUAUUUUCUUUAUACUCUAAGAUCCACAUUUUUUUAUAUGUUAAUACCUUUUUUGUAUGGAUUUAGAGAUGCCUAGGAUAGUUUUGCAUGUACCUUAAUGAUCUAAGGCUUAAAAUGAUUUUUCCUAGACAUUCUUACAAAUCCCAAACUAAAAAUUAUGGAUGAAUGUCGUUAUAGACAUGAUUGGCCAAAAUAGAAAGAAACUAUCCAAAUAGAGCUAAUCUCGUUACACAAAACGAGAAAUAUUUGGACUUAUAGUUCAAAUGCUUGAAGAUGUAAAGUCUCUUGGGUAUAAAAAAGUUUUUGUAUGAAAACACAAUAAGAAAAUGAAUUCAUAAGAUAUAAAACACGAUUUGUAGCUUAAGGUUUCUCAUAAAGACCUAGUAUUGCCAACAAGGAAACAUAUUCUCUUGUCAUAGAUAUAAUCACAUUUUGAUUUUAAUUAAUUAGUCAAUUUCAAAAGAACAAGAUAUGCGUCUCAUGCAUGUUACAAUUAUUGCAAAUGUAUGUUGGUGAUUUGAAUCCUAUGGGAACUCCUGAAGAACUCAUAAAAUUGUUAAUUUUUUGAAGAAAUAAUUUGAAAUAAAAGACUUAGGGAAAUUUUUUUGCCUUGGCUGGCAAAUUAAGAAGUUUUCAAAUGGAAUGUUAAUCCAUCAAUUAACUUAUACAGAAAAGGUCUUAAAUCACUUUCAUAUAAAUUAAUCAUAUCCACUAAAUUCUCCAAUGGGAGUUCGUUCAAUAGAAGUGAAAAGAAGCCAUUUCAUUUUAAAAAAUUUAACGAAGAAAUAAAUGAAUUCAUCGAUUGAUAACUUCACAUGUUUCUUAUUUCUAGAAAAUGAUAGUCUUGAUAAUGUUUCAGUUCCAUUUACUUUUAAACAUAAAGAAACAAAUGAUGAAGACAAAGUCAAAUAAAGAGAAUAUGCUAAUGAUAGUAUGCGAGUUGAGGAUGUUCCAAAAUGAUAGAAAUGAGGUGUUUGAAUUCCUAAUGAUGAAAAUCAUGAUGGUGAUAUUUGGUCAUUUUUUUAGCUAUCAUGACGCAAUUGAAAUAAAACAAAUAAGAUAUGUGGUUGUGGAUGGAAAAUGUUGUAACAUUUCAAACAACCCAAAUUUGAAGGAUUUAGAGAAGCCAGUUGAGUCUUCUUUAAUUCAAUAUCAUUUAGCACCAUCGUCACAAUUUUGAAAAUAUUAAAAAAAUUGGUCAAGAUAUAGUGAUUGAACCUCAUAAGGAAACACUUUUAUGAGAUAUUCAAGUGAAGAGUUCACAAUUCUAUAAAUUUUUAAUCCAAAGCAUAUUUGCAAUGUGCUACAUAAUGUACUCUAUUAAUUCAUACCAAGAGUAUAUUGUUGUGUCAUCGACAAAGAAGUUGUUAAUUUUAAAAUGAUAGUAUCAAUACUUUUUUGAAAUUGUCAAUAUAAUGUAAUGGUAUGACUAGAUACGAAUGACCUUUCCUUCUUUCAUGAUUCCAUAGAAUUUUUUGAUUCAUCAUUUAGAUUCAUGAAUUAGUCAUUCUAAUCGACAUUCUAUAUAUAAAUCUCUUUUUACCUCCGUGAAGGCUUCAUGGAUUGUUGGAAGGGGUUUGGUACCAAUGAUCCUCCCGCGGACCUCAUCAAGGUCCUUGUUGAGGCCCAAUAAGAACUUGAAAAGUCAUUUUUUCUCCACAAUAUUUUGAUACUUGGUAGCAUCUUCAAGGCAAUUCCAAUCAUACUCCUUGUAAACAUCUAAUUGUUGCUAGUGGUGACCAAGAAUAUUGUAGUUAUUGGUGAUGGUUAAAUCCCCUUGAUAGAGAUCAUGAAGAACACUCUCGAUAUCAACCUAUUCUACUAUAUUUUCUUUAGUGGAAUAUGUUACUUUAACCGCAUCCCACAUAUCUUUUGCGGUCUUGUAAAGAAGAAAGUUUUCAUCGAUCUCGUUGGUCAUGGAAUUGAUAAGCUAUGAUUUGACCAUAUUAUUCUGCAUCUUCUAAGUUCAGAAUCUGGGACCAUCACUUUUUGGUUGAAUGAUUUCUCUGGUGAGGUAGUCAUCCUUAUCCUUGCUGUCGAUAAACAUAAGAACAGAUUGAGACCAUUGGAGAUAGUAAUUCUUUUUCAACUUGCGACAUGUGAUGGGAAGAAAAAAGCCAUCAGAUCCUCCAUGGUCAUUGGAAGUGAUAGUCUCCAACCUAGAGUUGACUUCAUAGAUUGAUUGUUGACUAUUGGUAGUUAUUUUGGAAGAUUCGUUUGGAUUAGAUUAAUUUGUGACAGGAUCGAAUCACUUCUGGACUAGAUUGGACUGAUGAACCUAGGACAAAUUGUGACUAAGUUGGAGAAGACCAUUCAUGGUGAGAUAGCAAUAGGGGGUUUAAGUCACCUAUUUCUGAAAAAAAACAAGCACCAGAGAAUAGGUGUCGAUCCUAGUGGGAAAUCGCUCUGAUAUCAUGUAGAAAACUUGGUAUAUUUCUAUAUCUCUCUUCAUAGCAUGUACAACGUCAAAAUUAUAUAUGCUAAGAAUCAAAUCAACCAAAUAAAAAUCUAGCUAUAAUUUAGGAGAUACAUGCCUAAGAAAAGGAAAAAAAAAAUCAAAACAGAAGUGAGAAACAAAUCUUGGUUUGAAUACAAAAUAAAAAUCCCAACAAAUUAGGGAUAUUCACAUGAAAAUCAACAUGUUUGGAGAAGAGCAAGAACAAGUUAGGGAUUCAACAUUUGUCUAUAUUAAAUAAGGCGCUUUUGUGCUAAUGGAGUUGGUGAUAUGACACUAAAAGAGGUGCCUUUUGGACACGAUUGAUUAGUGGAAAAUUUAAAAAGGAAAAGGAUGGGUGGUGUUUUGAUGAAGUUAGAGUUGGGUAUGGAGUCGAGCUUUGGAAAUCCAUUAGGAAGGAAUGAAACACUUCCUUGGGUUAUUUUUUUCUUUUGCAGCAAGUGAUAGGAGGGUGAAGUUUUGGAUUGAUAUACGGGGUAGGGAUGAACCGUUGAGUGUUUCCUUCCCCUCUUUUUAUGCCUUAAUUGUUGCAAAAGAGGCUUGGGUUGUGAAUCUUUAGGUUCAACAUGGGGAGAGAGGUCAUUGAAACCCUUGUUUCUCAUGUUCUUUAAAUGAUUGGGAAGUGGAUGAGUUGAGGAUUUAUUUUUCAAGUUGCAAGGAAAAUAAGUUGGUGUGAAAGAACUUGGACAAUAAUAAGUUUUCCAUGAGUCAUUUAUAUGUUGAUUUGGACUUGGGGGUUGUUGUGUCAUUUCCAAGGUGGGUAGUUUAGAAUUCGUGGGUCCCUUCGAAAAUUGACUUUUUUGCAUGGGAGAUAACUUGGGGAAAUUUUUUUAAUUUAGAUCAACUUAAAAAAGAAUGGUAGUCUUUGGUCAAUAGGUGUUUUCUUUGCAAAGAAGAAGAAGAUGUUGGGAUUUUGUUUCUCCUAGAUCUUUCGUAAUAAAUCGAAAAUGUGAUUUGAAAUGUGGUCUACAUUCAUUCCAUCAAUUUAGGAAUGAGGAUUAAUGUUUGGAACCACAUUCGCAUCACUAUCCCAUGUUCUGUGCACACUCGAAGCAGACUUGAUGAUGGAAAGAGUGUUUAAAAAGGGGCAGAGCAUUAAAGGGUAGGGUUCCCUAAGCCUUCAAUCUCUUUUAGUCUUAAAAAACAUCAUCUAAGUGGAGGUUGAGAAAGGUUUAGAAGCACUUAAAACCUGAAAAAUUGAAGACACCAUUUUAACUUGUACAAAUGGCAAUGGUGUGAGGUAUGUUUUCGAUCUGUUUUGAAUUCCACUUAUGAUCUAAUUGCUAUUUAAGGAUUGUUAUGAGCAUGUUUAGAUUAUUUAUGUCCAUUAGUUGGUAUCAGAGCAAUGUAUGCCUCUGCCUUGUUUGUUUUACAAUAUGCGUUUUUCAAUAAAUAAAAAAAAUACAGUCAGUUUGGUAUUUUGGAGUUUAUGGUUUUUAGAAGUUUUUGAUGAAAAAUAUGGUUAGAAAUCAUUAGGAGAUGAGAUUUCUAACAUUUUAGUGUUUAAAAUCGUCAAUCUACUGUCUGGAAUACACGGAAACUGUCGGGUUUCAUUUCAGGUUGCAAAUGGGUCAAACAUACCCGGUUGAAGGUAGAAGACGACUAGGCUUGUCAUUUUGACUAUAAACAAUUAAGAAAUAAAUAAAAAAUAAAUAAGAAAAGGGGUAUUAGCCCAGUUGGUCUCAACUUUGCUUUUCCUCAACCAUUGUCCAAGUUCGACUCUUUCCAACACCAAUCUUUAGUUUUUUUAUUUAUUUUUUAUUUGGAAAUUCAUAAAAUUUAGUGUUUUAAGAUAUGUUAAUUCAUGGGUUUCUUUAUGGAUAUUUUAUGUGCUAGAUUAUUUAUUUUUGUUAGUUAAAUGUAUAUUUUUAUGAUUUAUUAUGCACACAACAUUAAAUUAAAUAAUUUUGCACAUUAAAUUUAUUAUUAAAGGCUCUUUAUGGAUUUAAUUUUAGAUAUUUAUGUACUUAUAAUAUUUAUUUCAUAAUUUUUUGUGUAUGAUUUGUUGUUUUAUUAUACAUGCAAUAUUGAGUUGAAUAAUAUUAGUACAUUGAUAUUGAGUUUUGUGUACAUAUUGCUUAUGGUUUCAUACAAUUUAUAUAAGCUUUUCUUGUGAAUUAAUUAAAUGUCAAGUGAUCCAUAUAAUUUUAAUUAAUUAAGGAGUAGCCACAGCAUCUUUAAUUAUGCAAAAUUAUAUAUUAAGUGUUUUAGGAUCACAUAUAGGAAAAUGAAAUUACGAGUAAUUAAUUAUAUUUGAUAUAAUAAAAUUUUAUCCCACAAUUUUUUUAUAUUAUAUUUAUAUGAUUAAUUAGGAUGGAAUAUCAAAUUAUAUUUCUUAAUUACCCACAGGAAUUAGGAAAGAGAACAUAAUUUGAUAGUUUUAUCAUAAGGUUUUACAUGGAUCUAAUUGAAUUAGAACUUUAGCCCACAAACAAGUUUUAUGUCACUAGAUUCACAAUUUUGGAACAUGAGUUACAUUGGUAAAACAUGAUUUAUGGUUAUUAGUCUUAAUUUUGAAUUAUAAGCAUGUAUAUUUAAUUUUUGUGUAGUCAUGCAACCUGCGAAUUUCUCUAAUAUAAAAUGUGACAUUCCCAAAUUGAAAGGUGAUAACUAUAAGGUUUGGAAGGAAAGAAUUCUCCUUCAUUUGGGGUGCAUGGACAUUGAUUAUGCUAUUAGAAAGGACAAAUUAACCAUUAUUGACACCAACACUACAACAGAAAAGGCUCUUUAUGAACAAUGGGAGCGAUUAAAUCGCCUUAGUUUGAUGUUCAUAAAGACCAAAAUCUCUGAUGGUAUUCGUGGUUAUGUCGAUCAACAUGACAAUGUCAAGGCAUUACUGAAGACUAUUGAUGAGCAAUUUGUGACUUUAGAUAAGGCAUUUUCCAGCACCCUAAUAAUGAAGUUUUCAUUCUUAAGGCUCACCGAUGUGAGUAGUGUGUGAGAGCACAUAAUGCAGAUGAGGGACAUUAUGGCACAAUUGAAGACACUCUUUCACAAUAAUAUAGACCCUUCAAAAUCUCCUACAACACACACAAGGAUAAGUGGUCAAUUAAUGAGUUUUUGACCAUGUGUGUUUAAAAGGAGGGAAGACUGAAAAUGUAAUUAGGUGAGAGUGCAUUAAUGGAAAUGGAAGGAAAGAAUUAAAAUUAGGCAAAAAAGAAAGGGAAAGGUAAAAUACCAUCCCAAGGUGGAAUCAAGAAGGUCAAUAGGUGUUUCUUCUGCAUGAAGAAGGGGCACAUGAAAAAGGGUUGAAACAAAUUCCAGAAAUGGCUUGAGAAGAAAGGUAAACUAAUCUCAUUUGUUUGUUAUGAAUCUAAUAUGGUUAAUGUUAUUUAUAACACAUGGUGGAUUGAUUCUGGUUCUACAAUUCAUGUUUCGAAUACCUUGCAAGGUAUGUGAAACCUAAGAAAGCCAAUGCCAAGUGAGCAAUGCAUUUAUUUAGGAAACAAGAUGCGUUCACAUGUGGAGGCUGUUGGAACAUGCAGCUUAGUUUUAAGUAGUGAUUUUAUUUUGAAUUUAGAAAAGACACUUUAUGUUCCCAGUUUCUUUAGGAAUUUGAUUUCAGUUUCCAGAGUUAUACCUUUGGGUUAUUCCUUUAGUUUUUAUGAGACAUUUUUUAAUUUGUUUUAUAAAUCUAAUCUUGUUGGAAAUGGUACAUUGUCUAAUGGUCUUUUCUCUUUCAAUUUUCAAAAUGAUACCACUAAUAACACUAUGCAUGUUCAUACUAGCAAGGAUUGAAAUAUCGGUUUUUACGGAUAUAUCGGUACUUCGAUUUUACGGAUAUAUCGGAAAUAUCGGAGAAAUAUAGGUGGAUAUUUUUUCACAAAUAUCGGUGGGAUGAAAAUUAUUUAAAAUUAAUAGGAAUGCUUGAAAAAAACUUUAAAAAAUGAUAAAAUAAGUAAGAAUCCAUAUUUUAAAGUUAUAUUGUAAGUGUAAUUGAUAUAUAUAUAUAUAUAUAUAUAUAUAAUUAAGAAGAAAAAUAUCUUAAACAGAGAUAUAUUGGUAGAUUCGAUAUUUGAAUUUUAAAAAUAAUAUAUAUGAAUUUUGAAAGUGUAUAAAAUUAGAAUUGAGUUAAGAAAUAUUUGAUUUUAUUGAAUAAAAACAAUUUGUACAUAAAUAUAAUACAUAUGAGAUUGCAAUAAUCCUUAUACUAAGGAAGAGAUCGAUGUGAUUUCAUUAUAUUAUUAGAUGAAGGGAGUUCAUCUUAUUGAAGACAGUAUUUAUUUUAAAAUUUUUAAAAUACUUUUAUUAAAACAUAUUUUAUUAUAUUUUAAAUGAAAAAUUAAAUUAAUUUAUAUAAAAUAUCUUAUUUGAGAUUUAAUUUUUAAAAUUUUAUUAAAAAUACAUCGUAACAAUUUUUUCUAUUAAUAUUAAUUAAUUUAAUAAUCAAAAUAAGGUUGAUAAUUAAUAAUUAUUUAUAUAGAGAGUGGAAAAUUGUUCUCAUGAUUUUUUUAUUUUUUAUUUUUUAUUUUUUUAUCUCCACUAAAUCUAAAAAUAAAAAAGGCACGCACUUCUCUCGGCAUCAAGAAUCCUUUUCUGAAGUUGUCCUCCAAUGAGAGAAUCCCUAAAAAAAAGCCCUAUUUUCCUCUGCUACUCCUCUCGGCAUCAAGAAUCCUUUUCUGAAGUUGUCCUCCAACGAGAGAAUCCCUAAAAAAAGCCCUAUUUUCCUCUACUUCUCUCAAAUCUCAAUCCUCGCAGGUACUAAUCUAAUCAUGUUAUUAUCAUUAUUUUUUUUGCAACCCCGUUUGAUUCCCAAGAAAAUCCAUUCCCCAUUCGAUUUCCGGGAAAAUUCAUCCUCGUUUGAUUUCCGAGAAAAUCCAUUCAAAACCCCCAAAGAAAACCAAAAAAAUUGCUUUUCUUUUGCUCCCUAUGUUUUCUGGAUCUGUUUUAGGGGUCUCUUUGCUGUUGUGCCAUUGGAUUUAAAUUUCACGAACCCUAAAUCCACGAUUUUUGAGCCAGGCUAAAAAACAUAACUGUGCGGGCUAGACUAGUAGGAAAUAUCGGGAAAUUUUCCGAAAAAUCGGUAAAAAUACCUCUUGUUGCUCCGCCUGUUAGAUCCACUCGCGAUUUUUCUCCGAUUUAUCGGUGCUUCGCCGAUAUUUCGGCGAUUUUGCCGAUUUUUUAGCGAUAUUUCCGUGGAUCGAUAAUCGGUAGCCAUUAUCGUUUCGGUGACGACCGAUAUCCGAUAUUUCUUCGAAAUAUCGGCGAUAUUUCCCGAUUUUUCAAUCCCUGAAUACUAGUACAAAACAAUGUGUUAUGAAUGAAGAUUCCCCUAUGUUGUGGCACCAAAGAUUGGGAAAUAUCUCCAUACAAAGAAUUAAGAGAUUAGUAAAUGAUGGAGUACUUGGUACUUUAGAUUUUACUGAUUUUCACACUUAUGUGGAUUGCAUUAAGGAAAAGUGGACCAACAAUUCUAAGAAGGGUGCCAAGAGGAGCACAAACAUACUAGAGAUCAUACAUUCAGAUAUUUGUUGUCCAAACAUGAACGCAUAUGGUCCGAAGUACUUCACCUCCUUCAUAGAUGAUUACUCACGAUACAUGUAUAUCUACUUGCUUCAUAACAAGAAUGAAGCAUUGGGUGUCUUUAAAGUUUUUAAGGCUGAAGUAGAAAAAUAAUGCGAAAAGCAAAUAAAGAUCGUGAGAACAUAUAGAAGUGGAGAAUAUUAUGGUAGAUACACCGAGGAUGGACAAGCACCUGGUCCAUUUGCGAAGUUUCUUCAAGAGCAUGGGAUUGAUGCUCAAUACACCAUGUCUAGUUCCCCAGACCAAAAUGGUGUGGCUGAAAGAAGAAACCGAGCAUUAAUGGACAUGGUUAGAAGUACGCGUAGCAAUUCCAAGCUUCCUAAAUCCUUGUGGACUGAAACUCUUAAAAUGAUAGUGUAUUUAUUGAACCGAGUUCCAACAAAGGUUGCUCCCAAGAUGCCAUUUGAAUUAUGGAAAGAUUGGAAAUUGAGUUUACAACAUAUACUCGUUUGGGGAUAUCUAUCUGAAGUAAGGGUUUACAACCCACAAGAGAAGAAACUAGACCCAAGGAUCAUUAGUGCGUAUUUCAUUUGAUAUGCCAAAAGGUCUAAAGGGUAUAGAUUCUAUUGUCCAUCUCACAACACUAGGAUUGUGAAGUCAAGAAAUGCUAAGUUUCUUAAGAAUGACUUGAUUAGUGGGAGCGAUCGAUUACAGGACAUUGUUUCUGAAAAAGAUCAUAUUGAUGCUCAAUCAUCCACUUCAAGUGAUAGAUUGAUUGUCGUUCACAACACCUCUCAAGUUCAAACAGGUGAUAGACAACCAAUCAUUAAAGUUCCAUAAAUUGCUGAUGACAAUCCAGUAGAUCAAGUUGUUUAAGAUUCACCGCAAAAAAUUAUUGAACAAUCUGUUGAGCAACGUGAUCCUUAGGAAAAUGUUGAUACAACAUUAAAGAGAUCUACCAAAGCAAGAAAAACAACAAUACCUAGUGAUUAUGUUGUGUAUAUACAAGAAUCAAACUACGACAUUGGAGCCAAAAAUGAUCCUGAAAUGCUUUCACAAGCCAUAAGUUGCAAAGAGUCAAAUUUUAUGCUAUGAUGCUAUGAAAGAUGAGAUGAAUUCUAUGGCAUCUAACGGAGUCUGAAAUCUUGUUGAGUUGUCUGAUGGUGCAAAAUCUAUUAGAUGUAAAUGGCUCUUCAAGACAAAAAAGGAUUCAUUGGGCAACAUUGAAAGAUAUAAAGCAAGACUCAUUGCUAAAUGAUUCACUCAAAAUGAAGGAAUUGACUACAAGGAGACUUUUUCUCCUGUAUCUAAGAAAGAUUCUCUUCGUAUCAUUAUGACAUUAGUUGCACAUUUUGACUUAAAGUUGUAACAAAUGGAUGUGAAAACAACAUUUCUCAAUGGAAAUCUAGAGGAAGAGGUUUACAUGAAACAACUACAAGGAUUUUCCUCUAGUGGUGGUAAGCAUAUGGUAUGCAAGCUUAAAAAAUCCAUAUAUGGAUUGAAACAAGCAUCCCGUUAGUGGUAUUUGAAGUUUCAUGAUGUUAUCUCUUCAUUUAGUUUUGUAGAGAACAUUAUGGAUCAAUGUAUAUAUCAGAAAGUUAGUGGGUAUAAGAUUUGUUUCCUUGUUCUAUAUGUGGAUGACAUUUUACUUGCAACCAAUGAUAAGGGUUUGCUACAUGAGGUGAAACAAUUUCUCUUUGAAAACUUUGACAUGAAGGAUAUGGGUGAUGCGACUUAUGUCAUUGGCAUUAAGAUACAUAGAGACAAAUUUCGAGGCCUUUUGGGUUUGUCUGAAAAGACCUAUAUCAACAAAGUUUUAUAAAGAUUUCAGAUGAAGGAUUGUUCACUAAGUAUAGCUCCCAUUGUGAAGGGUGAUAGGUUCAAUUUGGACCAGCGCCUGAAGAAUGAUCUUGAUCAGGAACAAAUGAAGAACAUUCCUUAUGCUUUUGCUGUUGAAAGCUUGAUGUAUGCUCAGGUCUGCAUAAGACUUGAUACUGCAUUUGCUAUUGGGAUGUUAGGAAGAUAUCAUAGUAAUCUAGGUAUAGACCAUUGGAAAGCUACAAAGAAGGUGAUGAGGUACCUUCAGGGGACCAAAGACUACAUGUUUAUGGAUAGACAAACUGAUAAUUUAGAACUAAUUGGCUACUUUGAUUCAAACUACACUGGAUGCAUUAAUUCACGAAAAUCAACUUCAGGAUAUGUCUUUAUGCUAGCCGGUGGAGCUAUUUCUUGGAGAAGUGCAAAGCAAACUUUGACUGCAAUUUCCACUAUGGAGGUUGAGUUUAUGUCUUGUUUUGAGGCUACUUCACAUGGUGUAUGGUUAAAGAGUUUCAUUUCUAAGCUUAGAGUUGUGGAUUCAAUUUCUAGGCCAUUGAAGAUAUAUUAUGACAAUUCAACUACAGUAUUUAUGGCUAAGAAUAACAAAAGUAGCAGUUGAAACAAGCACAUCGACAUCAAGUAGCAGUUGAAACAAGAACAUGGGAUAGUUGCUCAAUACACCAUGCCUGGUUCCCCAGACCAAAAUGGUGUGGCUGAAAGAAGAAACCGAACAUUAAUGGACAUGGUUAAGAGUAUGCGUAGCAACUCUAAGCUUCCUCAAUCCUUGUGGACUAAAGCUCUUAAAAUGAUAGUGUAUCUAUUGAACCCAAUUCAAACAAAGGUUGUCCUCAAGACGCCAUUUGAAUUAUGGAAAUAUUGGAAAUCGAGUUAGCGACAUAUACAUGUUUGGGGAUGCCCGUCUAAAGUAAAAGUUUACAACUCACAAGAGAAGAAACUAGACCCAAGGACCAUUAUUGCGUAUUUCAUUGGAUAUAAUGAAAGGUCUAAAGGGUAUAGAUUCUAUUAUCCAUCUCACAACACUAGGAUUGUGGAGUCAAGAAAUGCUAAGUUUCUUGAGAAUAACUUGAUUAGUGGGAGCAAUCAAUUUCAAGACAUUGCUUCUGAAAAAGAUCAUAUUAAUGUUCAACCAUGAACUUCAAGUGAUAGAUUGAUUGUCAUUCACAACGCCCCUUAAGUUCAAACAGGUGAUCGACAACCAAUCAUUGAAGUUCCACAAAUUGCUGAUGACAAUCCAAUAGAUCAAGUUGUUCAAGAUUCGCCAGAAAUUGUUAAACAACUUAUUGAGCAAUGUGAUCCUUAGGAAAAUGUUGAUACAACUUUAAGGAGAUCUACUAGAGCAAGAAAAACAUCAAUACCUAGUGAUUAUGUUGUGUAUCUGUAAGAAUCAGACUACAACAUUAGAACCGAAAAUGAUCCUGAAACGUUUUCACAAGCCAUAAGUUGCAAAGAGUCAAAUUUAUGGUAUGAUGCUAUGAAAAAUGAGAUGAAUUCUAUGGCAUCUAACAGAGUCUGGAAUCUUGUUGAGUUGCCUAAUGAUGCAAAAGCCAUUAGAUGUAAAUUGGUUUUCAAGACGAAGAAGGAUUCAUUGGGCAACAUUGAAAGAUAUAAAGAAAGACUCGUUGCUAAAGGAUUCAUUCAAAAUGAAGGAAUUGAUUACAAGGAGACUUUUUUUCCUGUAUCUAAGAAAGAUUCUCUUCGUAUCAUUAUGAUAUUAGUUGCACAUUUUGACUUAGAGUUGCAAAAAAUGGAUGUAAAAAUGACAUUUCUCAAUGGAAAUCUAGAGGAAGAGGUUUACAUGAAACAACUAGAAGGAUUUUCCUCUAGUAGUGGUGAGCAUCUGGUAUGCAAGCUUAAGAAAUUCAUAUAUGGAUUGAAACAAGCAUCUCGUCAAUGGUAUUUGAAGUUUCAUGAUGUUACCUCUUCAUUUGGUUUCGUGGAGAACAUUAUGGAUCAAUAUAUAUAUAUAUAUAUAUAUAUAUAUAUAUAUAUAUAUAUAUAUAUAUAUAUAUAUAUAUCAGAAAGUCAGUGGGAGUAAGAUUUGUUUCCUUGUUCUGUAUGUGGAUGACAUUUUACUUGCAACCAAUGAUAAGGGUUUGCUACAUGAGGUGAAACAAUUUCUCUUUAAAAACUUUGACAUGAAGGAUAUGGGUGAUGCGAUUUAUGUCAUUGACAUUAAGAUACAUAGAGACAAAUUCCAAGGCCUUUUGGGUUUGUCUCAAGAGACCUAUAUCAACAAAGUUUUAGAGAGAUUUCAGAUGAAGGAUUGUUCACCAAGUAUAGCUCCCAGUGUGAAAGGCGAUAGGUUCAAUUUAGACCAGCGCCCGAAGAAUGAUUAAGAGGAUAAACAAAUGAAUAACAUUCCUUAUGCUUCUACUGUUUGAAGCUUGAUGUAUGCUCAAGUCUACACAAAAUCGGACAUUGUAUUUGUUGUUGGGAUGUUAGGAAGAUAUCAUAGUGAUCCAGGUAUAGACCAUUGGAAAGCUGCAAAAAAGGUGAUGAGGUACCUUUAGGGAACCAAAGACUACAUGCUUAUGUAUAGAUGGACUGAUAAUUUAGAAUUGAUUAGCUACUCUUAUUUGGACUACACUGGUUGCACUAAUUCGCGAAAAUCAACUUCAGGAUAUGUCUUUAUGCUAGCCGAUAGAGCUAUUUCUUGGAGAAGCGCAAAACAAACUUUGACUACAACUUCCACUAUGGAGAUUGAGUUCGUGUCUUGUUUUGAGGCUGCCUCGCAUGGUGUAUGGUUAAAGAGUUUCAUUUCUAGGCUUAGAGUUGUGGAUUCAAUUUCUAGGUCAUUGAAGAUAUAUUGCGACAAUUCAGUUGCAGUUUUUAUGGCUAAGAACAACAAAAGUAGUAGUCGAAACAAGCACAUCGACAUCAAGUAUUUAGCCAUAAGAGAACGUGUUAAAGAGAAAACAGUGGUUAUUGAACACGUUAGCACUGAAUUGAUGAUUGACGAUCCUUUGACUAAAGACAUGCCACCGUUGAAAUUUAAGGAUCAUGUAGACAAAUUGGGACUUGGUUCCUUUGUGUGAUUUUUGUUGUAAGAACGAAUGUUAUUUUCAAUGAAACUCUAUUUGUGAUGUUUUCUCAUAUUUGAUUUUCUUUGUGUACACUUUUAUUCAUUUAUUGAGAAAUAUCAUUAAUGUUUGGACCUAGAAUAAACGCAGGGUUUAUUCAUUAAGUUAUAUGGGCUAGUGUUUAAGAGACAUAAUGCAUUGUGAUACAUGAAAGAUAAUACUCGGUUUUAGAGGCCUUAUCGCCAUUAUUCGUGUGUUUUGUUUCUUGCUAUGGUGAAUGAUGGAAUAUAUGGACCAAGUGGGAGAAUAUUGGGAUUUUGUUUCUCUUGGAUCUUUAGCAAUAAACCAAAGACGUGAUUCGGAAUGUGGUCCACAUUCAUUCCAUCAAUUUAGGAACGAGGAUUAACUUUCGGAACCACGUUCGUAUCACUACCCCAUGUUCUAUGCAAGCUCGAGGCAGACUCGGUGAUGGAGAGAGUCUUUAAAAAGGGGCAAAGCACUAAAUGGUGGGGUUCCCUAAGCCUUCAAUCUCUUUUAGUCUUAAAAAAACACCUUCUAAGUAGAGGUUGAGAAGGUCUAGAAGCACCUGAAACCUGAAAAAUUGAAGACAUUGUUUUAACUGUAAGAAUGGCAAUGGUGGGAGGUAUGUUUUCGGUUUGUUUUCAAUUCCGCUUAUGAUCUAAUUGUUAUUUAAGGAUUGUUAUGAUCAUGUUUAGAUUAUUUAUGUCCAUCAGAAGAAUCCAUAGAUCACAUCCUCCUUUAUUGUUCUCUAGUUAAGAUCCUUUGACAGUUGUUUGAUCUCUUUGGUAUUUAUUGGGUGUAAGUUGCUAUGGUAAAGGAGGCUUUUUUAGGGUGGCACGGUUCUUUUGUGGGCAAAAUGAGGAAAAAAGUUUGGAGAGUGGCUCCUUUAAAUUUAUUUUGGAUGUUUGAAAGGAGAGAAAUCUCAAGUCAAUUGAGAGUAAACAACAUUUUGUUCAUUUUUUAGAAGAUUAUUUUUUUUUAGAAAUUUGUUUUCUUGGGUAAAAUAUUAUAUAGAGAUUGAUUCUGUCUUUACUUGAUUUUAUUGAGUGGCUGGGUUGUAGUUAAGGGAGGGGGUUGUUGAGGGUUUUUUCUUAUUUCUGUGCUAUUAGACACUUUUUUUAUAUGUCCUAUGUAUUGUAGAGUGUCUUUGUGGCGUUUUUAUUUUUUAACACAUUUGGUUUUAUUUAUCGAAAAAGGCAAAAAAAAAGUAUGGUGGCAAUUCGACCCUUGCAUUGUUCAAGUGGUAAAGUUCGAUAGUUCCAUGUAAAAGCGCACCACAAAUUUAAAAAAAAAAAAAAAAAAACACAAAAACAAAAACAAAAUGGCGGCAAUUCAAUAAGCAGCCUAACAUCCUCUUGGCCACAUCCUUUAGAACAACCUAACAAUUUGCAUUACAGAACUACAUACCCUCUAUUUCACUUGAUUAUUGAUUUGGGUGGGCCUGUUAUUGAUACUUGUAUCACCCAUAACAAAGUUACAGCCUGACUAUGGCAUGUUGUGGCUGACUGAUAAGCAUGGUAAUAUAUUUCUGGGAACAAAGUUCAAAUUUUAACUACUUGCAACACUCUUUCAACUUUGUUGUUUCUUUCACUCAUGCAGUAAUGGAUAUUUGCUAGUUUCUUCUAGAAGCAUUUUUAACUAUUUUAAGUGGUUAUUGGAAUCUUGGAUUACAUUUGGUGUUAAGUCCCAAAAUGUGGACCUUGAACUUUUUUGAGCCCCAUAAAGAUGUUAAAACCAUGGAUCUAUGAAUUUUCAAUAACAAUACAGCAUUUUAUUCAAAAAAACAUAUAGCAGUUGGGAUUCAAAACUCAAAUAAGGGCUAUGAGCUUGCAGCUGAUAUAUGGAGCCUUGGAUGCAAUGUGUUAGAGAUAUUGACUCGUUGACCCCCAUAUUCCCACUUGGAAGGCAUAGGUAUGACAUUUCGUAGAUAUACAACAUUAUUUUCUUUAAUAUUUUUUCUUGUUUUGUUCUUCAGUCUAUGCUCUUCAAUUACUUGUUAUUCAAAUUGAUGAUAUGGAAAUUGGUUGUGUUUGGCUCUGACUUUGAAAAUGUUGAUGAUUUUAAAGUAAGGGUGAAGAUCUUGACCCAAAGUCUACCCAUUUUUGAAGGAUUCAACAUAAAAACACUAAAAUAAAAAACAUGUCUGAAAUUAUUUGGUUGAUUGAAUCCAAGAGCUUCUCAAAUCCACGCACCUUAUCAUUUGGUGAUUAUCAGCACAUGGGUUUAAGUGGAAAGAAGGUUCAAUCUGAAUCCAUUUAUCUUUGGAUAAUUUGCAAUUAUGGAUUAUAUUUUUCAUUUUUAUGUAUUGUUAUUUCAUGCAAGACUGUUUAGUUUCUUUCUUUUUCUCUAUAGUUCCUUUUGUAAUUUCUUCAAUCGACUUUGUUUAGAGAAUGCCACUCAAUAUCUGUCUUGUCUUGGCUGUCAUGUAUGAAUACCAUGGAUUUAUCAAUAUUUUCUUUUAUGUUAUCAGACACUCCAAUUUACAAGUGCAGGACUAAAUAGGCUCAAAUCAUUGGCAACAACUUUUCUCAGUUGUCCUAUGACAUUUUGUAGUCACUCCAGAUUUUUCCUUCUUUUAAAUUUCUUCUUUUGUAAUAAUCUGGGUGAAGGAGCCUCACAUUCCUGAUUGUGUGACCUUCCUUGAUGAAGGACAGUGCAGAUGAUGCUAGAACUCAUGGUAGUAGAUUCAAAAUCUUGUUGAAUUGCCAAUUGAUAACGUUUUGAAACACCAGACAUUUUAUCACCGAAUUGGAAGUUGAAUGUUUCUGAAUAAGGUUUUGACUUGAUUAUUGCUUGUGUUAUCUAGGAAGCUCUGAAGGCACCCAAACUGCCUCUGGAACUUUUCUUUCUUGAAACUGUAAGCUGAAUACACGUUCACACGUUCUCACUUCAUGAUAUGGUCCAACACUUUGACCACGUCCUCCACCAUCUCAUCUUCCGCUGCGAUUAAGGAGCACGUUCCACCAACUGCUCAACAUGGUGGCAAGAGGCAACGUGGUUUGAUGGAAGCCACUGUUAUAAAGUUUUUCAGAAAAUGGUCCUGAACUCACUCUGUUAUUAUCUUCAAAAAAACACCAUCUAAAAAAGAGAGAUCAGAGUUUGGAAAUCUGGGUUUUUGAAACCAACUACAAUGGCUGGAGGUAAGUAGACUAUUCUUAGUCUUUUCGGUUUUGAUUCAUAUUGCAAGUACAUUGGAAUCGAAUAUAGCAUAUAAACUUUCUUACAUUUGGUAUCAGAGCCAUAAAUCUUGCCUCUGCUUUGUAUUGUUUCUGAGUGAAAAAUUCUUGUUUUUAUGAUCUCUUGAUAAUUAUUUAAACGAUUGCUGCUGGAGAUCCAUAUAUAGUUGGCAUCAUUCAUUUAUAAAAGGCCAUUACAGGCGUUCAAAAGAUGCCAUUUUCUGGCGCUCCAGUAGCGCUAUUAAGGCGUCAUUUUCAGGCGCACCAGUGACUCCGUUUCAGGUGCCAUUUUAGAUGCGCUUCAGGCCCCAUACCUGGCACUGUUCAGUUGCCAUUUUUGGGGCUGCAACCAGCGCCAUACCAGCGCCAAUUUUCAGGCGCGUUGAAGUGCCAUUUUUUGGGGCUAUAACCAACGCCGUUCAAGCACUGUUACUAGGCGUCGUUCAGGCUCCAUUUAAGGCGCACCUUAGCCACCAUCUCAACGCCGUUCAGGCGCCAUUAGAAACGCCAUUUUUUUGGGCUGCAAGUCGUCGUUCGCACGCCGUGUUGAAGCACUGCAGACGGCUUCAUGGCUUGGACUGCAUCCAGCAAGGGUGCAGUCCACGUGGGUGGCGGCGAGAACGUCGCUGCCGGUGUUGAAGCAGUCCACUGGGUGGCAGAAAAAAUAGGAUCUUGGGUUUCGGUUGCAGGUGAUAUUAAAAUAGUGAGGAAUCUAGAGAGAGAUGGGGCUCCACUAAGGUUAUGGGCCUUUAUAUAACUGGCUAUUGGGCCCAUUAGGUUCAAAAAUGGGCAAUGGCCCAUUUUACAAAAAUAAAAGGCAUUAAAUUGGGGCAUGUAUAAAUGUAAAAAAUUGGGCCAGUUUAUGCUCUUUUUGGCCUGAUUUUUUAUUUAUUUAUUUAUUUUUAUUUUAACUAUAUUGGGUAUGGAAUUGAUUGUGUUUUAUUUGGAUUUAGGCACUCAUUCAUAAUCCAAAACCUUUAAAAUUAUCAUGUAAAUUUUAUACAUGCAAAAUAAAUAAUUAUAUACUGCUUUAUAUGUUUGUAGCCUAAAUUAAAGUUGUAGCUUUUAAUGCAUGCAAUUGUUGCCUAAAAUUUAGUUAGAUAUAUUAAAAUUAUAUCAUAUAGUUUUAAUGUCUAGUGAAACCAUGUGAUUUUUAAAUAAUUAAGGAAUAGCCACAGCAUCCUUAAUUAUAUAAAAAUUAUAUAUUAAAUAAAUAAGGAUCACAUUAUGGACAUUAAUUGUAAUUAAUUAUAUAAAUAUGAUGAUUUUACCCCACAGGGUUUUCAUUAUGUUUAUAUAAUUAAUUAGGAUAAAAUAUUAAAAUUAAUUUUUUCCUAAUUUACCCACAGGAGUUAGGAAGAAUUAAUUUAAUAGGUUUAUCAUAAGGAUUAUAGACAAAAAAAAAAUAUCAAACUAUAUUCAUAAUUCAAUAAAAUAGUUUGAUAAAGUCUAUCAUAAAGAUAAUUAAUCUUAUUGAAUUAAAGAUUUAGCCCACAGACAAUUUUUAAUAAAAUUAGAUUCAAUUUUAAGCAUGUUCUACAUUGGUAAAGCAUGAAUUUAUAUUAAAGCCUAAAAUUUUUAAUAAGCUUGUAAUCCUUUUGUGCAGUUUUAUCUAGCAUAUCUGAUAUUCGUUGUGAGGUUCCCGAACUUAGAGGAGAUAACUUUAAGAUAUGGAAGGAGAGAAUUCUUCUUCAAUUAGGGUGCAUGGACAUAGAUUAUGCUAUAAGGAAAGAUGAACCGCAUAAGAUCACUGAUACCAGCACACCUGAACAAAUUUUAUUGUACGAACGCUGGGAGAAAUCUAAUCGCCUUAGCGUGAUGUACAUUAAGACAAAAAUCAGUGCUGGUAUACGUGGUUCAAUCGAGCAACAUGAGAAUGUCCAUGAAUUGCUAAAGGCUAUUGACGAGCAAUUCGUCACUUCAGAUAAAGCCUUGGCAAGCACCCUAAUUAUGAAGUUCACAUCCCUGAAGCUCACCGGUAUAAGAGGUGUGCGUGAACAUAUCAUGGAGAUGAGGGACAUUGUGGCUCAAUUGAAGAAACUCGAGGUAGAAAUAUCUGAAUCUUUCUUGGUGCACUUUAUCCUUAACACUCUUCCACCUCAGUAUGGACCUUUCAAAAUCUCUUACAACACACAUAAGGAUAAGUGGUCUAUCAAUGAAUUGAUGACCAUGUGUGUUCAAGAGGAAGGAAGGUUAUUGAUGGAACAGGGAGAAAGUGCCAUGCUGGUGACGCAAAGGAAAGGAAAGAAAGGAAAAUCUCAAGCUAGUCAGAAAGGAAAGCAACAAAUUCCUCCUAAAUCUGACAUUAAGAAAGACGAAAAGUGUUUUUUCUGUAAAAAGAAAGGACAUGUGAAGAAGAAAUGUCUGAAAUUUCAGAAUUGGCUUGAGAAGAAAGGUAACCCUACCUCAUUUGUUUGCUAUGAAUCUAAUAUGGUUAAUGUAAACACCAACACAUGGUGGAUUGAUUCUGGAUCUACAAUCCACAUUUCAAAUUCCUUGCAGGGUAUGCAAAACCUAAGGAAGCCAGUGACAAGUGAGCAAUUCAUCUUAUCCGGAAACAAGAUGGGCUCGCAUAUGGAAGCAAUAGGGACAUGUUAUUUAACUUUAAAUAGUGGUUUUGUUUUAGAAUUGCAAAAGACUUUUUAUGUACCAAGUUUCUCACGAAACUUGAUUUCAGUUUCUAGACUUGUACCGUUUGGAUAUUCCUUUCAUUUUUCAGAAACAUCUUUCAAUUUGAUUUAUAAAUCUGAAUGUGUUGGGAAUGGUAUCUUGUCUGAUGGUCUUUAUUGUAUAUUCUUACAAAAUGAUACUGCUCAUAAUUCAUUGCAUGUCCAAACUGGCAUUAAGAGAUGUGUUGUAAAAGAGGAUUCCUCUACAUUGUGGCACCGGAGAUUAGGUCAUAUCUCCAUAGAUAGAAUCAAAAGAUUGGUGAAUGAUGGGGUACUUAGUACUCUAGAUUUUACUGACUUUGAGACUUGUGUGGACUGCAUUAAGGGUAAGCAGACCAAUAAGUCAAAGAGAGGUGCUACUAAGAGUUCCACCAUACUAGAGAUCAUACAUACUGAUAUAUGUAGUCUUGACAUGGACUCUCAUGGUCAGAAAUACUUCAUCUCUUUCAUAGAUGAUUUCUCACGAUACAUGUAUCUCUACAUACUUCAUAAUAAAAAUGAAGCUUUAGAUGCCUUUAAAGUCUUCAAGGCAGAAGUAGAGAAACAAUAUGGUAAACAAAUUAAGAUUGUGAGAUCAGAUAGAGGUGGAGAAUAUUAUGGUAGAUACUUGGAAGAUGGACAAUCACCUGGACCAUUUGCGAAGUUUCUUCAAGAGCAUGGGAUUGUUGCCCAAUACACCAUGCCUGGUUCUCCAGACCAAAAUGGUGUAGCAGAAAGAAGAAACCGAACUUUAUUGGACAUGGCGAGGAGUAUGCUUAGCAGCUCAAAACUUCCUAAAUUCUUAUGGACUGAAACACUUAAGACAGCUGUGUAUAUAUUAAACCGAGUUCCAACCAAGGCUGUCCCAAAGACGCCAUUUGAGUUAUUGAAAGGUUGGAAACCGAGUUUGCGACAUAUGCGCGUUUGGGGAUGCUCGUCUGAAGUGAGAAUUUAUAAUCCACAAGAGAAGAAACUGGACCCAAGGACUAUUAGUGGGUAUUUCAUUGGAUAUGCUGAAAAGUCUAAGGGGUACAGAUUUUACUGUCCAUCUCACAGCACUAGGAUUGUGGAAUCGAGAAAUGCUAAAUUUCUUGAAUAUGACUUGGUCAGUGGGAGCGAUCAAUUUAGAAACAUAGUUUCUGAUAUUGAUCAUACAGAGUCUCAACCUUCCACUUCAAGUGAUAGAUUGUUUAUUGUUCAUAACACCCCUCAAGUACAAUCGGGUGUAGAACGAACAAUCACUGAAGUUCAACCAGUCGUUGAAGUUCCACAAGUUGUUGACAACAUUCCAGUAGAUCAAGUUGAUCAGGAGUUUCCUGAUACUUCUGGACAACAAGUUGAACCUCAUACUUCCUUAGAAGAUAUUGGUGCAACCUUAAGAAGGUCUACUCGAACUAAGAGGUCAGCAAUUCCUAAUGAUUAUGUAGUGUAUCUACAGGAAUGUGACUACAAUAUAGGAGCCGAAAAUGAUCCCGAAUCUUUUUCACAAGCCAUGAGUUGCAAAGAAUCAGAAUUGUGGUACAAUGCCAUGAAGGAUGAGAUGAGUUCCAUGAAGUGCAAUGAUGUUUGGGACCUUGUUGAGUUGCCUAAUGGUGUAAAAACCAUUGGUUGUAAAUGGGUUUUUAAGACAAAGAAAGACUCAUUAGGCAACAUUGAAAGAUACAAGGCCAGACUUGUUGCAAAGGGUUCACUCAGAAAGAAGGAAUCGAUUACACGGAAACCUUUUCUCCUGUAUCUAAGAAAGAUUCCUUGCGCAUUAUAUUGGCAUUAGUAGCCCACUUUGAUUUAGAAUUGCAACAAAUGGAUGUGAAAACAGCAUUUCUUAAUGGAGAGCUAGAGGAUGAGGUUUACAUGAAACAACCUGAAGGAUUCCCCUCUAGUGAUGGUGAGCAAUUGGUUUGUAAGCUUAAGAAAUCCAUAUACGGUUUGAAGCAAGCAUCCCGCCAAUGGUAUUUAAAAUUCCAUAACAUAAUUUCUUCAUUCGGUUUUGUUGAAAAUGUUAUGGAUCAAUGCAUAUACCUUAAGGUCAGUGGGAGUAAAGUUUGUUUUCUUGUUUUAUACGUGGAUGACAUCUUACUUGCAACCAAUGAUAAGGGUUUACUUCAUGAGGUAAAACAAUUCCUCUCUAAAAAUUUCGACAUGAAGGAUAUGGGCGAGGCAUCUUAUGUCAUUGGCAUUAAGAUCCAUAGAGACAGAUUUAAAGGUAUCUUAGGUUUGUCUCAAGAAACCUAUAUCAAUAAAGUUUUGGAGAGAUUUCGAAUGAAGAAUUGUUCACCUAGUGUUUCUCCUAUAGUGAAGGGUGAUAGGUUCAAUCUGGACCAAUGCCCGAAAAACGAUCUUGAGAGGGAACAAAUGAAGAACAUUCCAUAUGCUUCUGCAGUCGGAAGUUUGAUGUAUGCUCAGGUUUGCACAAGGCCUGACAUUACAUUUGCUGUUGGAAUGUUAGGACGAUAUCAGAGUAACCCAGGUAUAGACCACUGGAAAGCUGCAAAGAAAGUGAUGAGAUAUCUUCAAGGAACCAAAGAUUACAAGCUUAUGUACAGACGAACAAGCAAUUUAGAGGUAGUUGGCUACUCAGAUUCAGACUUUGCUGGCUGUGUUGAUUCACGUAAAUCAACAUCUGGAUACAUUUUUAUAUUGGCCGGUGGAGCUAUAUCUUAGAGGAGCGUUAAGCAGACCAUGACUGCUACUUCUACUAUGGAAGCUGAGUUCAUAUCUUGUUUUGAGGCUACUUCACAUGGUGUAUGGCUUAAGAGUUUCAUUUCCGGGCUUAGAGUUAUGGAUUCAAUAUCUAGGCCAUUGAGUAUAUAUUGCGACAAUUCAGCUGCAGUCUUUAUGGCGAAGAACAAUAAAAGUGGAAGUCGAAGCAAACACAUCGACAUUAAGUAUUUAGCCAUAAGAGAACGUGUUAAAGAAAAGAAAGUGGUUAUUGAGCACAUUAGCACUGAAUUGAUGAUCGCUGAUCCUUUGACUAAGGGCAUGCCACCAUUGAAAUUCAAGGAUCAUGUAGUGAACAUGGGACUUAGUUCCCUUAUGUAGUUUCUAUUGUACAAACUCUUAUUAUGAUGUUUUCUCAUAUUAAUGUGCACUUUUUAUUUAAUUUUGAGAAAAUUCAACUUCAUUGGACCAAGAAUGAACAUAGGGUUUAUUCAUUAAGUAAUAUUGCCACAUAAAGUAUAAUGUUAAGAAAUGAGUACAUUGUAAUACAUGGAAGGUAACACUCGUUAAAUAGAGGACUUAUCGCCAUGAUUCAUGUAUUUGUUACUUAAUGGGACAAUUGAUGGACUAAAUUAGGACAUUAGGUUAAAGGGGUGGACCAAGUGGGAGAAUGUAAGCUGAAUACACGUUCACACGUUCUCACUUCAUGAUAUGGUCCAACACUUUGACCACGUCCUCCACCAUCUCAUCUUCCGCUGCGAUUAAGGAGCACGUUCCACCAACUGCUCAACAUGGUGGCAAGAGGCAACGUGGUUUGAUGGAAGCCACUGUUAUAAAGUUUUUCAGAAAAUGGUCCCGAACUCACUCUGUUAUUAUCUUCAGAAAAACACCAUCUAAAAAAGAGAGAUCAGAGUUUGGAAAUCUGGGUUUUUGAAACCAACUACAAUGGCUGGAGGUAAGUAGACUAUUCUUAGUCUUUUCGGUUUUGAUUCAUAUUGCAAGUACAUUGGAAUCGAAUAUAGCAUAUAAACUUUCUUACAGAAACUUGACCAAUGACUCAUCUUUGGGCUAGAAAACAGGUUUUACAAAAGCAUCCUUGGCAUAAGGUUUGAUAUUAAUUUUUCUUCCAGCUAAGUUUGAAAAGCAAGAUUUUAGACUUGUAGAUUUGCGCUCUUCCUUCAAAUCAAGUACUUUGUGUAUGCAAAUAUUGACCAUGCAUCUUGCUUUGUGUUGUCCUGCAUCAUUACUCAACCUUAUAUUCCUUGAAUGCUCUACUCUUGUAUUCAUAAGAUAUGAUAACCAGACUUGUGUUAAUAUGCUUCUUGAUAUUGCUGUAGAUCUUGCCACUUAAGAAAUCAAGUUUUAGUGUUAUCUAUUUCAAGUCCUAUGCAAAGUUAAUUGGAAGGUUUCUGUUUAGAAAUGGGAAUGAAGGGGUGGAUCACAAUAUUCUGUGAAAGAGAGGAAUAAAACCUCCUGACAAAAGUGCGUUUUUGUUUCCAUGAGAAUGGUUUUUUAUUCCUAUUCGUAUUUCUAAUAUAGGUAGACUAAGCACAUUUAUGAAUGAAAAAUGAAAUGGAUUUCGAGCUUCCAUUCCCAUUCCUAUUCCAGAGUACCAAACAUGCCUUUGGUAUCUAAGGGAAAAAAAUUGUGUCACCUGAUAAUCAAUCUUACAACUUGGAAUGCAGCAUGCCUUUGCCAUGUAUGCCUCUAAGACGAGGGGAGGGGGCUUGGAUCCCGACCAGCAGACUCGUCGAAGGGUGGGGGGCAUAGCGGGUAUGUUCCUGAGGGGGUUGAAACCUCAGGGCACUUGGAAUGCAGCAUGCCUUUGCCAUGUAUGCCUCUAAGACGAGGGGAGGGGGCUUGGAUCCCAACCAGCAGACUCGUCGAAGGGUGGGGGGCAUAGCGGGUAUGCUCCUGAGGGGGUUGAAACCUUAGGGCCGGGGUCGGGGAAAGGGGAGAGGGGAGUGUGCUUGGUGUGGGGGAGAGACGAAUCAGGGCAACAUAGGAUUGAAUCUCAGUAGAUCAUGGUAGCAAGGCCACUCUGCCACUUACAAUACCCUAUCGCGUAUUUAAGUCAUUUGCAAAGGAUUCUACCUGCAUCUCUGAUAUUAUAUUUUGAGUUCUAAUAAGGGAAUAUCUCUUUGUGGCUUGGCAGAUGCAAGCGUUAUUUAGGAUUGGCAAGGGUGAACCUCCUCCUGUUUCUAAUUCCUUGUCAUCAGAUGCCCGAGAUUCUAUCCUCAAAUGCUUGCAAGUCAACCCUGGUGAUGGGCCUACUGGUCAGUUACUGGACCAUUCAUUUGUCAGGAGCCCACAACACACUUUCUCUGGCCCUCAAUCUCCUCGUACAAAUGGAAUACGACCUUAAAAGCUUUUGAUCUUGCUACGGAGCAUCAAAUACAUAGAGGUAAAAUAAAACACUUUUACGUCUUUUCCACUUUUUCGUAUAUUUCUCAUGUGUAAUUACGUCUAAAUUCAUUCUAAAUAUUUUCUAAUUAUUUUACAAAAAAAUAAUUAUAAAAAAUUAUAUAAGUAAUAAAAUCUAUUUUUUUUUUUUUCAUGUAGAACUAACUGAUCAAUAUUAUUGUAUGGAUUUUAUAACAAUAUAUUAAAAUUAACUUUCAACUUCAUAUCAAACAACUUUUUAUGAUAAAGAAGCUUAGGUUUGGAGAGGAUAAAAAAAAUGGAAAAGGAUAAUUAAAAAAUAAUUAAAUAGAUUAAUAGGAUUUAUAUUUUAAGGCGGAUAUGUAGAGAGUUUUAUUAGAUGUUUUUAAGUAUGCUGGCCAACCACCCUAAAACCCAAAAUAAUUGUCACCAAGUUCCCAAAAAACAAUGACCCCUAAAAGUUGGCCUGCACCUCUCAUUAUUUUAAUUUUUUUUUCUUUUUUCUUUUUUUCUUUUUUUUCUUUUUUUUGGUAAUCUUUUCAACUCUUCAUACUCUCAUUUUUAUCAUUCACUUUUUAAUUUGUUUAUUUGUUCUACUUUAGAACUCACUCAUAUUCCCAAAUACAAAAAUUCUUUAUAUUUACACAACAAUUUAACUUAACAUCUUUUUUUUUAAGAAUUCUUUUUCAUAUAAUAUUCCUUACUAACAAAAACUAAUUUUAAUGAAACAACUUUAAUUUGAUAUAUAUAAAUAUGAAGAUAUAUACUCCUAAACUUACACUUUAGCCACUUGAGUCCAACAAGGGUUUGAUUUAAAAAAUUUGUAGUUCUUAAAGAUGUUAAACUCCUUUAAAAAGCAUCAAAUGGUAAUAAAUAGGAACUAGAGAAAACCAUUCAAAUAAGCAGAUUUCAUCUAUAAUACGAAGUAAAAUCCAAAAUAGAAAUGUGAAGAAAAAAAUUAUCAUUGACUCUUGACUCUUUGACUCUUGCCAAACCAAUCCCACUACCAUCUAAUGCUAAAUUGUCUAACAAAUGGGAAUUGAAAGCAUAGAACAGAAUCAUUGACUCUUGACUCUUCCCAAACCAAUUCCACUACCAUCCAAUGUUAAAUUGUCUAACAAAUGGAAAUUGAAAGUAUAAAAGAGAAUCAUUGACUCUACUUAGCCCAUUAUCUAAAAGAGGCUACCUCUCUCCUUCUUUCAUGAAGUUUCUUAGAAAUUUCAAGCUUCUUUAUCAUAUAAAGUAUAAAAAAGAAUCACUCUUAACCCAUUACAUUAAAAAUCCUACCCCUUCUCUCCUUUCAUAAAGUUUCCUAGAAAUUUCAAGCUUCUUUGUCAUAUAAAGUAUAAAAGAGAAUCAUUGACUCAUUGUAACCCAUUAUCAAGUGUUGUCUCUCCUUUCUAAAGGUUAAUGCCCUUGUAGCCAUUCACAUGUGUUUCAAGAAAAAUGAAGUUAUUUUGCCCCCAAGAACUAUAGAAAUAAAAUUUUGUUAAGAAAUUUAAAAUAUAAAAAUAAAAAUUUUAAAUAAGAGUAUUUUAUAUAAUUUUUUUCAUAUUUUCUAAAAUUAAAUAUCCAAUUUUUAAUUAUCUCAAAAGCUAGAGAAGCUCCAAAAAAGAAAAAUAAUGUCUUGCAAUUAGAUAACUAAUUCAAAACAAUCCAAAUACUUCUUGAUCCACUUGUGGUUAACAUUCCAUUAAAAUUAUGUCAAAUUUAUUAAAAUCUACUUGCAUUUAUUUAUUUAAAAUUAUUCAAAGCAUUCUCAAUACUUUAUUCUUUUUUUUUUUUUUUGAAAAAAAAAAUUGUAUCACGUUUCUAGAAAAGAAUUAUUAAUAUAUAUUGAUUUUCUUAUAAAUAUUUUUCAUUAAAUUUUAAAACUUGUUUUUACUUUAACUUUAAAUGGGUUUGUAUGCUUGUGUUUUUAUUUUUCCUUUUCAAUCAAAUGAAUUAAUUUAUAAUAUGGGAAUGUCUACUUGAACUCAGUAUUUUAUUUAUUUCCUUUUUUAACUUUAUUUUAGUAAAUGCAUCCUUGAUCAAUAAUUUGAUGAUUGUUUUAAAAUCAAAUAGUGAAGAUAAAAUUUUGAUAAUUAAAAAACAAUUGACUUACUACAUCACUUACAUGAAAUAUUGAUUUGUUGUUUGAAGUUUUUUGGCAUUAUAUUUAAUUCAUCAUAAUAAGACAGUUUUUUACUCAAUAAUUUAUGUAGAAUAAUAAAUAAAUUAAGGAGCGCUUUAUUAAAAAUCAGUUUUAAUAGAAAAAUAUAAGUUGGAUAUUCAUUUUGAUUAAAAAUAAAAUUAUAAUUUGAUUUAAUUAGAAAAUGAAUUUUUUUCUUGUUAAUUUAAUUUUAAUUUGUAAUCCUGUUAAUAGGGAAAAUAAGAUAGUUUUCAUGUCUUUUUAAUUGAAAAAAUGAUGAUUUUGGUUGUAAUUUGUGAAUUUAUUUUAAUUUGUAAAAAGAAAAUAUUAUUCUAUUAGUUAAAUCAAUUUUGAUAAGAAUACUUAAUUUUAUGAAUAUAAUAAUAAUUGUUAAAGUAAUCUUAUAUGUGCAAAAUUUUAAAAUCUUGUAAAAAAUAAACAAAAAGAUAAGAAAAUAUGCAAACAAAAUUUUAUGAACUAGAAAUUUUGUAGGGUACAAUUCUUUGGAAUAAUACUCAUUAAAAAAAUAAUAUUUUCCUUUUAUUUGAUCACUUUCAUCACAACCCAAUGGAUAACAUGUUUUCACUUGCAAUUGUUUUUAUAUUAAGCUUUUAUAUAAGACUUUAUGUCAUGUGCUCAUGUGGACAACUCUUCAAAGGUGUAGAGUCACUUGCCUUGGAGGAUAUAUAGAAGCUCUCAAUGCAUACCUUAUAUGUUCAUCUCCACUACUAAAUAUUAUAUAAUCUAUUCUUGUUGCCAUGGGUUAAAAAACGUGAGUUGAUAUAGUCAAUCAUUUACUCAUCUUUCUACUGCUUGGUAUUUGUGAACUUCAUUAUGCUUAUCGUUGGUUGGGAAAAGUAAUUGUCUUCAUGCUUCAUUUGAUCACAACUGUCAAUAGGUUUAGGCUCAAGAUCCAUGUACCAAUCAAAAGCACACAUUUGGAGGGAACACACAAAUUGUUUGAGUAAGAGGUCACCCUCAUGCUAGCAUUGUUGCAAGUUUGGAUGAAUCAGACAUUGCAUUGCUUUGGAAUUCCUUUUCCAUCAAAUUAUUGAAACUUUAGAGGUUAAUAACUCAUAGGUAUUUGUAGGUUAUCAAUUUUCGUACUGUAAGGUUUAAAGCACACGAGUGUACUUCAUGACGAUCCACCAUACUAUUCUCCGAUGGUGUUACGUAUCAUGUUUUAACUCACUCAUUUAAAUUGGAAAUCUAUUAAUUUUUCAAUGAAAAUAAUUUUAAUUUGGCUUUAAGUUAUUUCUCGGUUAUAUAUAGAUAUAUGAGCAUACACAAGGUUUUUUUUUAAUAUUUAUUAUUUGAAUUUUAUUUUAUUCAUAAUCUCUUUAGAAUAUUAUUUGUUGGAAUUAAUUGCUAUGUUGUUAUUCUUCCAAAAAUAUUUUUUUUUGCUUAAAAAAUGAAUUUCUUCGAACACUAAAUUCGCUACUUUAAGUUAAUAAAAUCAUUUCCUUUUUUUUGGUUUCCUUUUAUUUAUUUAUUUUAAAUUAUAAUAUUUAUCAAUAAUAAGAUUUGUCUAUAAAAUGUUAAAAAAAAAAAUCAUCCUCUCAUUGUUUAACUUAUUUUUUAUUUUUACUUUUUUGUAUUUAUAUUUUAAUUUUAGUUUUAUGUUUAUUUUUAAUAUUUAUUUUUCACUUCUCGGUCAGAAUUUUUCUUUUUUUAUUUAUUUUUUUAAAUUUAUUAUUAUUAUUUCUUGUUGACAUCCUUUUUUUUAUAUAUAUAUAUAUAUAUAUAUAAACGUAAUAAUAAAAUAAAACACCAUGAAUAAAGUGAAGGAAAAAACUAACAUGUGAAAAAAAAUUAAAAAACUUGGUGGAGAAGUGUAGUGCGAGAGCCUAAUGUCUAAUGAUGAUGGAAUAAUCCCACCAAACCCGAAGAAAAGUAAAAGGUGAUAAGAAAAAGAGAAAGUGAGAAAAUAAUAAAUAAGAAGAAAGAGUUGCUUUUAACUUUCUUCAUUACUGUCCUGAAGGUCACCGGAAGUCACCUGCCAUCCCAAUUUAUAGAGAGAUGCCCCUAAUUUUCCUCGUCACUUUUCAGAAGGUCAUAGGAAGCCACCUGCCUUCCCAACUCUUUAUGUAUAGAUAAAUGAUAAUAUUUAUUAAUAAUAAGAUUUAUCUAUAAAAUGUUAGAAAAUGAAUAUAUCAAUCCAGUGAAUUUAAUUUUUACUUUUUUCUUUUUAUAUAUUUAUCAUUUAAUUUUUGCUUUUAUUUUUUUUCUUUUUAGUCUUAUAUUUAUUUUUCACUUCUCGAUCAAAAUUUUUAUUUUCUAUUUACUUCUAUUUUUUAUUUCUUUUUUAAGUACUUAUAUAUAAUAAUAAUUAAUAAAUAAAAUAGGAGACCAUGAAUAAGGUGAAGAAAAAAUAAAAUAAAAAAACUUGCUGGAGAAGUAAAGUGCAGGAGUUUGAAGGAUGAAUGUAAACAAGAGAAAAAAGAGAGCAAGAGAAAAGCAAAAGGUAAUAACAAAAAGAGAAAAGUGAGAAAAUAAUCAAUAUAGAGAGAGAGAGAGAGAGAGGGAGAGAGAGUGGCCCCUAACUUUCCUCAUCACUUUACAAAGUUCACAAGAAGCCAUCUGCCUUCCCGGAACUUUCUAUAUUGUAAACUAGGGUUGCUCACUAUCUUCAAGAGAAAUCAAGCCUCAAACUGUCUCUUGUAGUUUUGAGAAAUCAGGCCAAUUUAGUGAAUGAAAUUCUUACUCAAUUUCUUUGCCAAAGAUAUCGUUCAUUCUGAUAUGUUUUUUUUAUAAAUGUUUUAUUUCUUUUCAGUUUUUGAUCUUGAGGUAUUUUUUCUAAAUAAUUUGUUUUUUUAGAUAGAUCAUUUUAUAUAUCCUUCUUAUUUUAAAUAAAACAAGUUUCCAAUGACAAAUUUUUUAAGAGUUUUUAAUGUGAAAUUUUCUAAAAUUUUAUCUUUUUGUCAUAAUGUUUCCUUUUGUUGAUAUUUUUUUUGCAAAGUCAAAGAGAUAAUGUGAAAUAAUAACUAAUUUAAUAUAAGGUUAGCAAUUUAAACCUCACAACUAUAAAAAUGCAAGUGAAAAUAGAAGUGAAGGUGGAAAUUCUUUGGUUGGUCAGAUGAGAGGACUUGGUAGAGAUAAUUUUUAGAUGUAAGUAAGUAGAAAUGUUUAUAGGAUGGCGAAAGAAUUAGUAAAGAAAUUUGUUGAAUGUAACACAAAAAUUUCUUAGAUGAAUUGGUAAAGAAAUUUGUUGGAUGUAAUGGAGAAAUUUAUUAAUAAUCACAUGAUUAGUAGUAGAGAAUUUUCUGGAUGGCCAUAUAUAAAUGUGAAUAGUGGACAAUUUCUUAGAUGUCACACAAUUAGUAGAAUAGAGAAUUUUCNNNNNNNNNNNNNNNNNNNNNNNNNNNNNNNNNNNNNNNNNNNNNNNNNNNNNNNNNNNNNNNNNNNNNNNNNNNNNNNNNNNNNNNNNNNNNNNNNNNNAAAGAAAUUUGUUGGAUGUAAUGGAGAAAUUUAUUAAAUAAUCACAUGAUUAGUAGGUAGAGAAUUUUCUUGGAUGGCCAUAAUAAUUAAAUGUGAAUAGGUGGACAAAUUUCUUAGAUGGUCACACAAAUUAGUAGAUAGAGAAUUUUCUUCUAUUGUCAUAAUUGAAUAUGAAUAGGUGGACAAUUUCUUAGAUGGUUACAUGAAUUGCUAGGUGAGAAUUUUCUUGGAUGACCACAAUCAUUGAAUGUGAAUAGGAGGAAAAGUUUCUUGGAAGGUGACAAAGAUUGGUGGAAAAAUUUUCAAUCAAGUUGAGAAAUUUCUUCCAUGAUAACAAGAAUUGAUGGGGAAAUUUCUUAAAGGUGGAUAAUUAGGUUGAGAAUUUUUUUGGAUGGCAACAAGAAUUGGUGAAGAAAUAUUUUGGAAGGAUAGAGGAAACUACAAAAAGUUCCAUUUGUUUCAAACAACAUUAAAAGUGUGUUUAGUAAUGUUUUCAUUUGAAGUACUUUUAGUGAAUGUGUUUUUUUUAGAAAUAUUUUUGGAAGAAUCACUUGUAAAGUGUUUUAGGAAACAUUACAAGCGAUUUUUUAACAUUUUAAAUGUGUUUUCUAAAUUUUAUUAAAUACUUGGUUUUUCUUUUAAAAAAAAAUGUUUUUUGGUUUUAUGCUAGAAGUGAAUUUUUAAAUUUUAUCAAAUAUAUGAUUUUUCUUCAAAAACGUUUUUUAUGCUAUAAGUGCUUUAUAAAAGCACUACCAUGACCUUGACCUUUUGCCUCUAAUAAGGCUAAAGUGAUGACUAGUUGGUGAUUGCGUAUCUCUGCUAGUUUUAGCAAGUGAAUGUGCUCGCUUACUUGCUUUGCUAAAAAUGCAAUGAAUGUCUUUGCUUUGCUGUAGUCAUAGGACUCAUAGAGGUGUUGUGUCUUAACUUUGCAUACUAGAAAUUUGUACGCGUAAAAUUUGAAAGUCCUAUAAAAAAUAAGUAAAAAGAUGAGAAAAAUAUAUAAACAAAAUUAUUUGUAUUAGAAAAUUUUGAAGGUACAAUUUUCUAGAAUAAUAUUCUUUACAAAAUAAUAAUUUUUUUCUUAUUUGAUCACAAUCCAUAAAAAUAUAUAAACAAAAUUAUUUGUAUUAAAAAAAUUUUAAGGUAAAGUUUUUGGCUUAUUAUCAAAUUACUUUUGUUGAACUUUGAAUACAUAUUUAGUAUUUUGUAUGCUUCCCCAAAUUUACAAGAAUAUCUUAUGAAACCUCUUUUUAGUUCUCUUUUAAAUUUGAGAUCUCAAAUACUUUAUUGCUCAAAGCCCUAGAGCUUAAGGAAUACCACAGAGAACCGCUAACAUAUAUGCAUUUUGACGCUAAGUAUGGAAAACAAAAAAACAUAUUCUUUUUCUAAAAAAUUUAUAAUAUAAAAUAAAAUAAAAUAAAAUAAUAUUUUAAAAAAUUAUAAAAUUAGUUAAAAUUAAAUAAUUUAAUUUUACUUUAGUUUCAAUAUAUUUACAUUUAAAUACCAUAUAUAUUUCAUUUAAUAAUAUUUAAAAUAUUAUUAUAUUUAUACUUAUGCAUGAUUUAAUUUAAUAAUAUUAAAGAUAAAAAAUAAAUAUUAUUGAUUUUUAAUUUGGUUAUAUAUAUUUUAAAAUUUUUUAUUAUUUUUAAAUUUAAUAAUAUAUAAAUUAUAUAUUUACCAUAUCAUCAAUUCUAGGUGAUUUAACUAUUAGUCUAACUAGUGAACCGUGAACCAAUAAUUUUUUCGAUUUAUUAUCCGAUCUGAUUCCAAAAACAUUGUUUAAUAUUUAAUAUUUCAAUUUUAUGUUAUUAAUGAUCUCAUUAGAAUAUUAUCAAGGUUUUUAUCAGAAUUAAUUGUUAUGUUGUUAUUUUUCCAAAAUAAAUUUUUUUUCUUCUUAAAAACUAAGUUUCUUCCCACACUAAAUUCACUACUUCAAGUUAAUAAAAUCAUUUCCUCUUAUUCCAGGUAGCUUUUAUUUAUUUAUUUUAAGUUACAAUAUUUAUCAAUAAUGAAAUUUGUCUAUAAAAUAUUAAAAAAUAAAUACAUCACUAAUUCUAAAUAUAUCAAUCCAUCCCCUUAUUCUUUAAAUUAUUUUAAUUUUUAAUUUUUAAAAUUUAUAUUUAUAUUUUUUUAUUUUAUUUUUAGUUUUAUAUUUAUUUUUCACUUCUCGAUCAUAAAUUUUCUUUUUUAUUUACUUUAAUUUUUUAUUAUUAUUUCUUGUUGAUGUCCUUAUAUAUAUAUUCGAAAAAAUAUAUAAAACAUAAUAAUAAAAUAGGAGAGCAUGAAUAAAUUAAGUGAAGGAAAAAAAUGUUAAAUAAAAAAUAAAAAAAAUAAAACUUGNGGGAGAAGUAAUUGAAUAANNNNNNNNNNNNNNNNNNNNNNNNNNNNNNNNNNNNNNNNNNNNNNNNNNNNNNNNNNNNNNNNNNNNNNNNNNNNNNNNNNNNNNNNNNNNNNNNNNNNAAAAUAAAAACUUGGUGGAGAAGUAAUUGAAUAAUCGAAAUUCAAUUACUUUCCCGUCACUUUUCAGAAGUUGACAAAAAGCCACCUCCUUCCCAACUUUUUAUAUUAUAAAUUAGGGUUGCUCACUAUCCUCAAUAAAAAUCAAGUCACAAAUUAUGAGGUACAAUUGUUUGAAGUAAUAUUUUUUUAUAAAAAGAAUAUUCUUUUAUUGGAUGAUUUUAAUCACAGUCCAAAGAAUGAUGAUACCAGUUUCUUCUUCAAAUUGACAUCCAAUUCAAGACUUAUUUUUGAAUGACAUUUGUUGAAUUUUGGGAAUGAUGAAGAAGAUAUGUAUAGUAUUUAAAUUAUUCCUCAAUUAUAUAUGUAUAUAUGUAUAUAGAAAAGAUUAUUUUUUAAUAUUUAAUAUUUGAAAUUUAUUUUAGUAAUGAUCUCUUUAGAAUAUUAUCACGAUUUUUAUUGGAAUUAAUUGCUACUUUCUUAUUCUUCCUUCUUCCAAAAAAUAAAACUAUUUUUUUGCUUUAAAAAUAAAGCCCUUCCAAUACUAAAUUGACUACUUCAAAUUAAUAAAAUAAUUUCUUCUUAUUUUAGUUUACUACAAUUGGUCAAUAAUAAGAUUUAUCGAUAGAAUAUUAGAAAAUAAAUAUAUUAUUAAUUCUAAAUAGAUGAACCCAUUCUUCUUUAAUAAAUUUUAUUAUAAUUAUUUAAUAAACAAUUAAUAUCUACCUAUUUUAUGAUUUUAUUUUAAAACAUUUAUAUUUAUUUAAAUAAUUAUAUUAAUUGGUAAAAUCAUAUUUGUUUUCUUAGAGAGAGGAUAAGAUUAAAUUUUAUUAUUUGUUUAAAAAAACAUAACAUUUCAAAUUGUAAUUCAAAGACAUACAAUCUAUAUCAAGUUUUAUAAUAAAUUAAUACAUUAUUUAUUUAUUUCCUAUAUUUAUUUUUAUUAAUAGCUAACUUUGUUUAAAUUUGAAGUUAAGUCUUAUAAUAAUUUAAUAAAUUUAUUAUUUAUUUUUAUAUAUUUGCUCUUAUUAAUUUUUUUCUUCUUCUUUUUUAUCAAUAAAUUAAAAUAUGAAUUCAAAUAUAUAACGAUUGUUUUUAAGAUAUUGAAAUUAGAAGGAUUAUCAUAUGUCUAUACAUAUCUUCUAAUAUUAAUAUUUGGAAUAAAAAGUUUAGAUAAUACAUAAUAAGUAAUUAAUUAUUUCUUAUUAAAUUAAUUAGUCAUAAUGAAUAUAAUUAUAAUUAAUUUAAUUUAUUGUUUACUAUUAAAUAAACAAGCAUAUUAUAUUAUUUGUAGAAUUUUGAAAAGUAAAAUACCUAUUCAAAUAAGAUUUAUAAAUUUUAUAAAAUUAAAUCAAGAAAAAGUAUACUUUAAUCAUAGUUUUCUUCCAAAUAUGGAAGUGGGGACAUUUAUGAAUAUUGACAAAAAGAAUAGACCUUUGUGACACAUCAUAAUUAGAAAAUAAGUAAGUUUUAAAUUAAAAAGAAACUUUAAUUUUAAGUUAGAUAAUUAUUUGAAUUUUAAAAUCAAUGUAUCAUUAUCUACAAUUUUAUAUAAAUAUAGAAAUUAUUUAGAGUGAAAAAGGAAAAGAAAAAAAGAGUUGGAUAGUAUUUUCUAGUUUUGUUGUGAUGAUAAUUAGUCAUCACCAAAUCUAUCAAAAGAACAAUAUCUUCAUUAGGAAAAUGAAGUAAAACAAUUAUUAUUUUUUGUCCUAUAUAUAUAUAUAUAUAUAUAUAUAUAUAUAUAUAUAUAUAUAUAUAUAUUUAUUUAUAUAUAUUUCAUUUCAUAAAUUGAAUUUUUUAAAAAUAAAAAAUAAUAAUUUAGAUUACCAAAAAGUUUAUAUUUUAAUUUUAUAUAUUUAAUAAAUAAUAAUUUUAUCAUCAUUAAUAUUUGUUUGUGAUGAAUAUCUUUUUUAUUUUUCUUUUAAUUAAAAAAUGGAAAUGGAAAAGAGGAUGUGAUUGGAAUUUCUUUUUAAAUUUAUUAUUUUCAUUCAAAUAAGUGUAAUUAUUUUAUACCCUACAAUUUCUUUAUUUUUCACUCUUCAAACGCCAAAAAAAAUUCUAAUUGUAAAGAAAAAAUUGAAUUAUUUAUAUGAAUUCUAUAGCUAUUCAUAAUAGUAAAAAAAAUUAUUAAAAAUCAUUAUCUAAGCAUACUUCUUAUCUAUAAUUCAAUAUAAAUAAAAAAGUUAUUUACAAAAAACAAAAAUAAAUUAAACUCUUUUUAAGGAUUUUACUAAAUACCCUCAUAAAAAAAAUAUCCUCAUGUUUCAAAAGUUCAUUGAAAUACAAUUUUCGCAUAGUAAUUGAAGGAGAUAUUGACAAUUGUGCAAACAAGUUUGAAGCAUUUCUAAAAAGGAAUCGACAAAUUUGAGAAAAGAGUUAGGGAAAGUUGUGUUUUCAUGGACCAAUUUGCUAAAUAUAUGGUUUUUGGAACCCAGAUUUAUGGAAUAUGAAAAAUAUAUUUCAAUGUGGAAACUUAUAUCAGAUUCAUGCACUCUGAGCCUGCUGUAUUUUUUCUACCGAAAUUGCCCCUCCAGGUAUCCACAUCAGCAACCCAUCUCAGCAAGGGUUGAAACUGAACCGGUUGAAAACUCCAAAAUCAAAUGUUAAGCUUCCCACAAAAACACCUAGCCGACGGUUCUUUCUUCCCUCUUUCUCAUUUGAUACCCAUUCCUCUCAGUUGUCUUCACUCCGUCACCAAGGCGAUUUGAGAUUCCCAGAAAAACGGUGUAGCCGACGCUUGAAGACCCUUGCCGACGGUUCUUUCUUCCUUCUCUCUCAUUCCAUACCCAUUCUUCUCAUCUGUCUUCACUUCGUCAGCGAGGCGAUUUGAGCUUCCCAGAAAAACGGUUAGGUCUUUCUUCCCUCUCUCUCAUUCCUUACCUGUUCCUCUCAUCUGUUUUCACUUUGUCACGGAGGCGAAGCAGAGAACCAUGUAGAGUGUUAAAAAAGUUCUGUCAUUUCAGUUGAGAAUGGCUUAAUCCCAUUUGUUUCAUCUCAGAUUUUCUGUCUCGAGGUAACGCAUUCCUUCCUUCUGUCAUUUCAGUUGAGAAGGGCUUAAUCCCAUUUGUUUCAUCUCAGAUUUUCUGUCUCGAGGUAACCCAUUCCUUCCUUGUUUUGCAUUCGCAUUUACAUUCACGUAAAUAUGUUGUUUGUGUGGGUUUUUUAUGAACUAGGUGUGGCUCAAAUGUUGGCAUUUAGGAGUUGGUACUAAAUUUUUAAAUCUAUUCGUAAUAAAUCAUCAUCAAUUUUUUCAAUUCCAUGCAUUUUUUGAGUUUUUACUGUUUUAUUUGGAUUGGCAAAUUCUCGAAAAUCUAUUGUUUUGAUAUAAAAUGAAGGCAAGAAUAUGGGUUGGGAAUUGUUUUUGUUGUGGUUUAGAAUUGGGAAAAACAUAUUUUGAAUUGGUUUGCCAAAAAAGGAAUUUUUUUUUCCCCAAACUGUUUUUGGGUAUUGGGAAACAAUGCAUUUUUAGUGAAACCCAUUUAUUGGAUUGUGUUUUUGGAUUGGGUUAUGCAGUGGAUUACCAAAAUGGAACACUUUUUGGGGAUGAUGUAUUUCUUUUGAGAGCGAAAUAAGUGCUUCUGAAAUGGUGAUUUAUAGAUUCGAAAUUACUCAUGUUUUUGGGUUUUUGUGAUAUUCAUGGUUAGUGGGUGCUAACGUUUUCGUUGUUGUUUUUUUAUUUUUAUUUUGUAUUUGUUUUAUAUGUAUAGUUUAAAUUCACGGCCCAUUUCUUCAAAUAUUUUUGGUUAGUAUAUGUUACUCUUCUUGUUGAUUAGUAAUUGAUAUUGAUUUAGAGAUCUCUUCUCGUUGCUCUCGUUGUCAUAUGUCUGGCCACAAUAGAAAAACCUGCAGGAAACCUUUGCCCUAAAUGCAUAUUUGUCACCUUAUUGCAUUAUGUAGAUCUUGUCUUACUCUAUUUCAAGUAUCUUUAGUGAAUUGGUUGUCACCAAAUCAGCGUUACUAUGUUCAUUGAGUUAAGUUAUAUUGCUUUGAUUAUUAAUUUCUUUCACAAUGUCCGAACUAUGGUUGCACUACAGUUUGUUUUAUUGGUAUUUACUCCAACCGCAUGUAUUGCCUCCCAUUACAUUGCUUAAACCAAUUUAACCAAACUGCAGCAUAUGUUUCCAUGUAUAAAGACUACUGCUUUGUUGUACUAUAUAGUACGCCUACGCAAUAACAUGAAUUGUAUACCAUUGAAUCAAUGUAUUUUGUUAUUCUUAGUUUUUCCCUCAUUUCCCCUUUCUGUCGCCGCCACAGCUUAUCUUCACUUGUUUGUUAGUCUUCUCAUAGUUUUGACAGUUCCGAUUUGUUCAUUAGUGCAUACUGACUUUAAACUAAUUGUACAGGAGCGUGUUGAAAAUUUGGGAAACAUUUUUUUCCAUCAGUGUUCAUAGUUUUCUUCUUCAUGUUUCAGAGCUGUUGAUCUUGUGCUAAACCAAUGACAUUAAUAUAUAUCACAAUAAUCUAUUUGAAGUCAUACGUGUCUCAUUUUUACUCCUUUGUACAACUUUCAUAUCCAUAGGCUUCAAUGUUCAUAAGGCCAUUGAUUACUUUGUAGGUUUCGAAACUCGCCGAUUCAGUAUCGCCAUCCAAACAUACUGAUUAUACACAUGGCAACAGAAAAGAGAAAAAGGAAGGAGCAUGUUCCACCAACAUGCACACAGGUGGGUAAAACAGAUUUCAUUGAACAAUGGCUCCAAUCUUCAAAUUCAGCUUAAUUGGAAAUUUGCAUAUAUUGGAUUUUUUUUGUCACUAACCCAUAUUUCAUUUUAACUGUAGGUUAAGCUUCCUAAGUCCCGAUGUUCUGGGAAGAAAUUCAUAACUGCCAUUGCACGCCUAGCCCCUGAAAAAUAGCAAGCCAUUAGAGAGAUGGGCUUUGGGGGCCUACUGACUUUUGCUUGCCACGAACUAAGAUAUGAGCUAUGCGGGUGGCUCAUAUCUCAAUAUGACUUUACCUACCAUAGACUUAAUAUGGAAACCGGCAAUGCUAUCACUGUCAAUGAAGAACAUGUCAACAAAGUGAUGGGCAUCCCUAACUUCGGGGUAGACGUGGUUAUCCUUAAGAGAACAACCCCGUCCAAUCGCACAUACACUCUCAGGGUACUGGAGCAAAACCUUGAGAACUUGCCCGUGUGUGAUGAAUUUUUAAAAUCAUUUUUAAUUUUUUCAUGUGCCACUCUACUGGCACCUAAUUCAAAGCUUGAAGGAAGCCAUGACCUUUGGGACACCAUAUGGGAUGGUGAUGUUGGUGUCCAAAGGAAUUGGGAAAAGUUUCUGCUGAAACACUUAGAAGAUGGAAUCAAGGAAUAUCGACAAAAGCAGCCUACUUACAUCCGAGGCUGCCUCAUGUUCCUCCAGGUACAGUUUAGGCUCCAACCCCUUUUGCAAUUAGUAUGAACUUAGUUUACAUUUUAAUUUGAAUGUCAUGCUUACUGCAAUUUGCUGUUUUAAUGCUCCUUGUUUCAUAUACUUCCCUUGGACAGCUGUUCUACAUGGCAUACUUCUACAUGCCAUCAGUCAAUGUUGAAGUGACCAGCCCGCUAGCUGCUGCAUGGACUGACGAUGUAAUGAAACGCCGAUUAGCAGCUGAAAUAUCAACAUUCGAUGGUUAUGGAUAUGUGCAUGUAUGCUCUAACUUAACAAAGCUUUCCCUACUAGUUAAAUUACCAUAUUAGCCUCGCACCAGUAAUAACCAAUUUGUUGAUUCCCUCAUUUAAAUAAUGAUGCAAGACACAGGCACAGGAGCGAGCACAAAGCACAACCAAUAUGAAUAUACCAUCAGUAGCCUCAACCUCUACAGCUGAUGACGAGGCUACAGAGGUAGUUCUUCUUCACUAACCACUCAUACAAGUUCUUCUAUACAAUGCAUACAAUACUAUUCUAAAACUAUUCUGUUUUCCACUAUGUAAUAGGUAAUUGAAGCCCGUGUCAUUGACACAUCGGAGAGUAUGGUACGAUUAGCUUCCUCUCUGGCGCGGGAUGUUGCUGCACUAUGUUCCCGCCGAAGUGGACCAGAGGGGAUAUCUUCAAUCCCUUGCCCAAAAGCACAGCACCACGCUGAAUAUCAACCAAUGCGCGAAACACCGGGCAAGCAGACGUCAGCUGAUGAAAUGGAACCACAAGAUAACCUCGCACCAACCCCCCAUUCUCCAAUUGGAAUGGAACCGUCACCAGAAGCCACUCAUUCCGAGCCAAUGGCCCCACAGUCUCAUGCAGAGGCAUCGCUUCCACCACAAGUGACAACAGAAGAAGUGCGAGAAUGUGAUAGGGUAGGUGGGAGUGGUAAUCAAGCCAUUAAACCUUCAUCUAUCAACAGAUUUAAGCGGACUUGUAAGAGGAUAGUGAAGCGUCCUCCCACUUGCAAAAGUCCAUUUGUCACCCAAUGCGUUAAACAAUUCCCUAAAAUCCCCCAUGCUCAUCGGGUAGUAGCAGAUUACGCUUUGGCAGAAAUUGGUGAUCCUAGGUACAUUUCAUUUUUCUAAAAAUAAUUCUUGCAAUCAUUUAAUAUGUGAAUAACUUUACAUCAUUAUGACAUUAUUCAUUUUCAAUCAUUCUAGCGAGAUUUUAUGCGAGAUGUAUGGGAUGUACAUUACCCGAGAAGAAAUUUCUUGUCUAAAUGCAGGGCGGUGGGUUAAUUCAGUAGUAAGUUACUUAUCUUUAUGUUGAAUUAAAUUCAAAAUUAAUAGGUCAUAUAAUGUAUAAAGUGUUGAUGGGGUUGUAAAAUAUGUUCAUUUCUACAACUUUGCCAAAUUGUGGCGAUUGUCUCUCGCAUGAUGAAUGGACAGCAAGCACCACCAGCGCGCACACACUAUUUUGAUCCUUCGUUCUCGGUGAACCCUCUAAUAUCCUAAAUUGACAUAGUCUCAAAAUAGAAUAGCAUUUGUUGAUGUUUGUAUUGAUAACCCCACUCGUGAACAGGUGAUUCUGACCAACUUGAAAACAAAUGCAACCAGCCAAGUGAUCAUGGAUAGAUGUCGCAUGUAUCUGGAUGCUGGUAUAUUGGGCCAUGAUUUGGGGACAUGUGACAUGGUAAAUAACGGUUGUUAAAUUUCAUUUCCAUAGUAAUAUAUGCAAUGGCAUUGGACAUGACUAUUAUCUUAUACCAUAAAAGGUAAUAACUCUUUUAUGAUCAUGCAGAUGUUCAUCCCAGUUUGUGAGAACAAUCACUGGCACAUGCAUGUAGUUAAUUUUGCAGCUGGACGAGUUGAAAUUCUUUCAUCUUUGCCCUUGAGGCGAGGAAACAGUAUUAGUGCUGCAACAAAGCGAUUAUCUAUGGCAAUCAAUAAAGCACUGCAUGCAUAUGCAAUUCAUAUGGACGUGGAUGUCUCGACUUUUGAGCAUGUCCAACCACACCUUGUGCAACAACUGAAUGGGUAAAAUAUUCAUAUAUUCUAACCAAAACGGACAUUUGAGGUGAAUUUUUUUUCUUAGAUUUCUAUGAUAUACAUGACAAGCCUAAAUGUGAUGUGUUAUAGGUUUGACUGUGGUAUCCUUGCCCUAAAAUUCAUGAAAUUUUGGAAUGGGGCCACCUUAACUACUUCAGUGGCAGAGGUUAGAGCUAGUUUACAUCCUAAUUGGUUUUGUUUUUUUUUAAAAAAAAAAACAGUAUAAAAUAAGUUUUUCCCAUUUCUGUAGGACAAGCUCAACAUGUACAGACUCCAGCUUGUUGUGGAACUAGUGCUCAAUGAACGCAACACUGUUAGAGAUAAAAUUAUGGCCUCCUGUCAUUUGUGACUUCAUGGUUGAUGAUAAGUUUUUUCCUAUCUGAAGCUACUUACCAUAUAAAGCAAUACUUGAUUGUAGUUUGUCCACAAAUGACUGAAUUCAUAUCCUGUUAUGUGAUGAUGUGAUUUUGUUCCCAUUCUAAAACCAUUAUUUAUGUUCUAUAUUUAUUGUAUCUUAUUAAGUAUACCACAUCCCAUUGUAAUAGUGACAGUAUGGUGAUGCUGAAUGUCAGAACUUUAUGUACAACAAUGGGCAACGCGUAAGGGAAAGAAAGACUGCAUGGUGAUGCUAUUGCUAUAGCUUACAAGAGGGAGUAAUAUCAGAAUGAGUCAUAUGUUAUCCUCUUUCUUCGGAUUGUAUGAAGCAAACUUGGUUUACCAUAUGAUCAAAAUUAGGUUUAUUUGGUUUGUUGACUAUAUUACAAACAUUUGGCUGAUGUACACAUUCCAAGGACUAUGUUUGUGUUUUGUUUUAUACAGGAAAUCCUAAUAUAGAUAAGGCAUUUGUUACAUAUCCUUUCAAUUUUUUCCCUGUUCCAUCCCAAUGUCCUCUCCAAAUAUAGUUCAAAAAUAAUGAUCCUUUGUUGAAGUAGAAUGUUACAAACCAUGGUGACAAAUUUAGGUGUCAUGGGUGAUGGUGAAGACAUUGGAUGGUAUUCGUAAUGAAUCAUUGAAGACUAUUGGCACUGGUCAUUUUUUUAGAUUGUCAUGUGCUGAGAUAAUUCUUUGUUACAUAUCACGAGUUUUUUUUCUUUUAGUUAAUAAUAUUAAGUGAUGAUCUGGCAUUUCAUCAUGUUCUUAAUAUUUGGCUUAGCUCUUACUCAUGAAGAAUAUUUCUCCUCAUCCUUCGGUCCCUAACUUAACAUCAUUAGGGAAAUGAGAAUUCUAAUGUUGAUCUUGUAGGGCUGGCACUCGCUCUCCCAAAGAAAGAGCAUCCCCAUUUGCAAAAAGUUAUAUAGGGUUCCAAAAUGGUUUUGCAUGUAGCAUGUUUUGCUUCCAACAAUCUAUAGGUUGUGAUAGGCAAAUAAAUAUAUGUUACAAAACCAAAAAAAAAAAUUGGUUCACAUGAUCACAUUCCAUAUCCAACCACAACCCUUCAAAAUCUAGAUGAAUACCAAAAUGGGAAGACAACUGUUUACUUAAAUAAAUAGUCACAACAAAAUAUUGACAAAAGAACAACAUUUCUCGAAUGUCCAUUUAGGUAGUACAUGAGGUACAUUAAGGUAGUACCUAAGGGUCUUAAGGUCGUACCUCAUGUGCAUUAAGGUAGUACCUUCAAUUUCUGAUGAUUACAUAAGCUAUCGAAUGAGUCAGCAAGAGGAACAUAACAAUGGCAUGCUGUAAAUAUUAAUGCAAUGAACUAAUUGUAGCUUAAGUUAUAGAAGAGCAACAUUUCUCCAAGGUGCCUUAAGGUAGUACUUGAGGUACAUUAAGGUAGUACCUAAGGUUAUUAAGGUAGUACCUCAUGUGCAUUAAGGUAGUACCUCCAAUUUUUUAUGAUUACAUAACUGACCGAAUGAGUGAGCAAUAAGAAUAUAAUAAUGGCAUGCUGUAAUAUGUAAUGCAAUGAACUAAUUCUGACUUAAAUCAUAGAAGAGCAUCAUUUCUCUAAGGUGCCUUAAGGUAGUACCUCAGGUACAUUAAGGUAGUACCUCAUGUCAUUAAGGUAGUACCUCAUGUGCAUUAAGGUAGUACCUCAAAUUUUUUAUGAUUACAUAACCUACCGAAUGAGUAAGUUAUAAAAACAUAACAAUGGCAUGCUGUUAUAUGUAAUGCAGCAUGACAUUGUUAUGUUCUCAUAGGUUACUCCAACGGUACCUUAUGUAAUCAUAAGAAAUUUCAGGUACUACCUUAAUGCACAUAAGGUACUACCUUAAUGGUCUUCAGGUACUACCUUAAUGUACAUAAAGUACUACCUUAACGAACCUGCGAGAAAUGUAGCCACUUUGUGGCUUUAGAUUUUUAUUAGUUAAUUUCAUGACCUAUUGCAGCAUGACAUUGUUAUGUUCUCAUAGGUUACUCCAACGGUACCUUAUGUAAUCAUAAGAAAUUUCAGGUACUACCUUAAUGUACAUAAGGUACUACCUUAACGCACCUGCGAGAAAUGUAGCCACUUUGUGGCUUCAGAUUUUUAUUAGUUAAUUUCAUGACCUAUUGCAGCAUGACAUUGUUAUGUUCUCAUAGGUUACUCCAACGGUACCUUAUGUAAUCAUAAGAAAUUUCAGGUACUACCUUAAUGCACAUAAGGUACUACCUUAAUGGUCUUCAGGUACUACCUUAAUGUACAUAAGGUACUACCUUAACGCACCUGCGAGAAAUGUAGCCACUUUGUGGCUUCAGACUUUUAUUAGUUAAUUUCAUUACCUAUUGCAGAAUGACACUACCUUAAACCAUAUUCGAUAAAUUUUACUCUCCCGACAAUUUUUCACUCUCAAUAUUUAUUUAAUCAUACUGUUGUUUUCUCAUUUUUCUGGUUAUGUCAAGUUACGAUGGUUGUGGUUGGAUACGGAAGGUGAUCAUGCGAAGCAAAUAUUUAUUGGUUUUCUACCACAUUUAUUUUUUCUAUAACAACCUGUACAUGGUUUGAAGCAUAAAAUUAGCAAAAUGCACAAUCAUUUAGGAACCCUGAGUAGCCCGUGCCAAUGAGAAUGUGCAAUAGUCCUGAACCCUGGUAGUAAAUCACCAAUAACAUUAACACAAGAUGAUAUGUAAAAGCUUACACAAUAAGUAAAUAUGAAAGGAAAGUCGUCAAACAAUUUACUAAUGUGUGUAUGGAAGGAUAAACUGAAACUGCAUCAGUGUACAAACAAAUAGGUUCCAAUCUAUGUUUGUUGUUCUCUUAUGAAAGUAGUACCAUACCCCAUAAUCAACCUAUCACUGUGGAUCACAUCUUACAAUCACAGUUGUUGUCCAAUCAGUCGCCAAUACAACACUGACCAGCACCCUUAACUAUAAUAAAAGAACAAAUACUGAGUGUUGUCCAUGUUCCUACUCCCUUACUUUACAAUAUUGAAGGAAAAAUGAACAGCCCUAUUACAUUGCUGUGACUGCAUCCCAUAUGCUCCAGCAGCAGGAUUACCAGGUACUCUUCCUUUCCCUUACACGUUGGCCAUUCUUGUACAUAAAGUCCUCAUAUUCAGCAUAAUUCAUUUUAACUGUUACAAUGGGAUGUGGAAUACUUCAUCAGAUACAUCACAUAUAGAACAUAAAUAAUGGUUUUACAAUUGUAACAAAUCACAUCAGCACACAACAUGAUAUGAAUUAAUAAAUUUUGGACAUACUUAAAUCAACCCUUGGUCAUUUUGGUACGUAGCAGCAGAUAGGAAGAAACUUAUCAUGAACUAUGAAGUCACAAAUGACAUGCGGCCAUGAUUGUAUCUCUGACACUGUUGCAUUCAUUGAGGACUAUUUGCAGCUCUAGCUGGAGUCUGUACAUGUUCGUCUUGUCCUACGGAAAUGGGAAAAAAUUAUUCCAUGCGGUUGGGAAAAUAACACUCAAAUCAAAGGACAAAUAUGCACAUAAUUAAAUGAAACAGGCUAGCUGACACUGAUAUUAGCAACCAGCCUCUGAAAAAUGCCACCAAAUGAUGCCACUCAUUCAAAGUAUUUAUUUUCGGAUAAUUAAAUGAUGCCACCAAAUGAUACAUGGGAACACAAACUGCAGUAUGGUUGAAAUGGCUUAAGCAAUGUAAUCUUACCAAAUACAUGGGAUUUGAGUAAAUACCAUUAAAACAAGAUGUGGUGCAAACAUAGUUCGGACUUUGUGAAAGAACUGAAUCAGCAGAGAAAUAUAAUGUAACUCAAUGAACAUUGGAGGUGAAUGGAAAGGCACAAAACAUUCAAAUAGUAACGAUGAUUGGGUGACAACCAGUUAGUUGAAAUAGAGUAAUACAAGAUCAGCAUAAUGCAAUAAGUAGACAGAUAUGCAUUUAGGGCAAAGGAUUUUUGCAGGUUUUUCUAUUGUGGCCGGACAUAUGACAACGAGAGCAAUAAACAGGUCGUUUAUCUUGAAAUUGAGACUCAAUGCGCUUCUUCCUUGGCCUUCCGAGAGGGCGCUUUGUAUGUGGAGGCUUUAGAGAGAAGAACACCUCCCCGGUGAUAGAUCGAACCAAACCAUCAUCGUCCACAGUAGGCAUGUCAUGGGUCUCUAUGCCGGAGAAAGAGCCCCCAUAUAUCAACUCUUGCAUUGGGUAUUUGUAGCAAUCAUCGACGAAAUCAGUAACAUUUUGACCAAUGGAAAUAAUGACGGCUGUGGCAUGCUCACAAGGGAUUCCCAACAUCUGCCAACCCCUACAAGUGCAUGUAUGGUUCAGAAUGUCUACAUUCAACAAGGCUCUCCCGAUACAUACCCCAAAUACUCCAUUCUUGAACGGUGUGACUGGAUACACCGCACCCUUUGCAAUAUUUUCCUGCACCUUAGCUUCAAUUUUUGGCCCUAUACACCCUUUCCAAUUCUUAGACUCUUCUUGAUGCUUCACAAGCAUAGAAGCUAACUUGGACAUGUGCUCCAAUAAAAAGUUACAAAUAGAGUGAUGUCUUUCAAUCCGUAACCAAGCAUUAAAUGACUCGGCAAGGUUCGUAGUCAUUUUAUCCCAUCUUUGUUUUGGGAAUUUUGACAUGGCCCAAUGGUGCGGCGCAUUUUCUUCAACCCAUGUGGCUAAAGCCUCGUUGUAUUUUUUUAGUUCAACCAUGGAAACGUUAUAAUCAUGUUCUAGCCUUCCAUACGCAAUGCUAUCUAGGAAUUGCAAUGCAUUUUCUUUACCCUUGUUCCCUCGUGUGUUAUGCUUGGACAAGAAACUACUAAAAUUCUCCUUUAGGUGACGGUAGCAAUAAGCAUGGUUUUCAAUGCCAAACACCUCAGGAACACUACGAAGCAAAGCAUGAUGUCUAUCUGAGAUAAUAAUAACUUCCUUGUUUCCCACAACUAUCUUCAGUUUUUCCAAGAACCAUAACCAAUCUUCAUAAUUUUCCGAGCUCAUCACUCCAAAGGCUAAGAGGAACAUGGAGUCAUUAGCAUCGUAAGAGGUGGCUGAAAAUAGAGCACCGCCAUAAGGCCCACUCAUAUGGGCCGAAUCAAUUGCAAUGAUUGGUCGACACCCCCUUACAAACCCUUCGAUAGAUAUUGAAUGAGCAACAAAAAGCUUCUCAAAAUGGUCAUCAUUGGAAUAACUCAGCUCAACACUCGAUCCCGGAUUUGUUGCAAGCAUUCUUUCACACAUCCAUGGCAACAAUUUGUAAUAAUUCUUGGGUUGUCCAUAAAUGCGCUCCUUAGCCUUCUCCUUCAUUUGCCAUGCUUGUAGGUAAGUUAACUGGAUGCCAUGUUGCCUUACAAAGUCCUUACAAAUUUGGCGUGGUUGGUAUUCAGGAGUAGAUCGAAUGACAUCAUCAAUGACCAACGAUGCACGAGUGGAUCUCACUAAAGGCUGAGACAAGACAACAUCUUCCAAGCAAUGGUUAUGCACAUUUCGGAAUGUGUGUACUUGAACAAUGUUUGAAUCCCCUAUUGCACGCGCAGUGAUUUUCCAAGGACAAUCUUCAAUUGUGCAUACUACGGUCAUGUGUUUUGGACUAUUCCUUUUGUAAGAAUAUCGAAAUUUUCCAGCCAAAGACAUCAAAUAGAUUGCAUCUCGAAACUCCGACGCAUUUGGGAAGGUAUGUCCACUACCUACAAUUGAAUGUUCGAACCGGCUUGGUUGAAGUUGAACGGUAUUUGUCAUAGCACAUCUUUGGGAAAACCCAACUGACUGAAUUGUGGGCGACUCAUUAGAGAUGUGUAAUGGGGGCUGGCCAAUAGAGGAAACAUGAGCUGAGUUUGAAGCAACAAUGGGGGUUGGGCCACUGCAAAAAACAUAAGGAAAAAAUUUGAUCAUCCAUCAAUCUAAGUGUGAAAAGCGAUUAUACAAAAGGGAACAUUAUUGUGGAAGGACAUUAGGCACCUAGUAGGGCAAAUGAAGUCAUCACCACAUUCAGUACAAUGGGAGAUGUAGACAUGACAAAACAUGUCGUUGAAUUUGAACAUAUUGACUAUGUCGCCAUCAUUAUGCAGUGGCAAUAGACAUGAUGGGUCAAACUUGACUGUGAAUUCCAAUUUAAUGGAAUUGGAAUCCAAGUUCAAUACACCACAUACUUUUGAAACGAAUUCAGAUUGUGAGAUAUUCUUGCUAACAACACUGCAAUUGGUCCGACCUCCCUUAUAUUCGACGGACCCAACAGCAGUCUUAACAAGCUCACCACCUUCAUGAAUGUAACAAAACAUCUCCUCUUCCAUUUUCUUAUUGACAUAAAGAUUUGUUAAAAAUAAUACAACAAUGAAAGAUUGAGGAAUUAUGCAUGUUGAUUCCAUAGACUUUAAGGUUCAAACAUGCUAAUUAGCUGAUGCACACAAUUAAGGUUCAAACAUGCUAAUUGGCCGAUGCACACAAGUAGUGUACAAGUCCAACUACGGUAGUACCUAAGGAUAUCUAACCUAGUACUUAAAGAUUACUAAGGUUAGACCUAAGGUUAAUUAAGAUAGUACCUAUGGUACAGUCUCAAGUAAAGGUACGGGGGAACCAAAUGAGCAGAGUAGUCAAACACAUAAUGUCAUGAUAGCUUGUAUGUGGAAGUGAAUACAAUUUAAUUUAUGCAUGACUUGAAAACAGCCUGUAGGUCCUAUGUUUGACAAACUGAACCCCAUUGGGUUAACAAUAAAGACAACUUUUAUUCACAUAUGAAUUAUUUGAAUAUUAAAAAAUGAAGUUUCCAGUCGUCACACAACUUGUACCCAAUAUUGGUUCAGGUAGUACCUGAUGUUGACUAAUGCAGUACAUACAGUCGAUUAAGGUCGUACAUUCAGGAAUAAUGAGGUAGUACAUAAGCUUAACUUACCAGUACAAUAAGGUUAACCAACUGAUCACCAAAACAAACAAUAUAUAGAUAAAAAUGCAUUUCAUCCAUUCUGACCAGCAUUCCCUAUUUUCUAUUUAUGUUAUGAAGGGAAUUAAACCAAUGCAUGGAUACCAAUAGUUCCUAUAUAGCCUUUCCUAUUACCAUCUUCUAAAACGGAUCUCUGAAUCAAUAUCAAUUACUAAUCAACAAGAACAUUAACAUAUAGUAACCAUACAUAUGUUACUAUAUGUUUGAAGAAAUGGGACGUGAUUUGAAACUAUACAUAUAAAACAAAAACAAAAAAACACAACAAAAACUUUAGCACCCAUCAACCAUCAAUAUCACAAAAACCCAAAAAAUUGAGUAAUUUGGAACAACUUUCCCAUCUAAAAAUCACCAUUUAUUAAGAACUUUUUUCGCUCUCAAAAUGAAAACUUCAUCCAGAAAAAUUGUUCCCUUUUGGUCAUCCACUGCAUAGCUUAAUCCAAAAACACAAUCCAAUAAAUGGGUUUCACUAAAAAUGCAUUGUUUCCCAAUACCCAAAAACACCACUAGGAAAAAAAAAAUUCCUUUUUUGCUAAUCAAUUCAAAAUAUGUUUUUCUCAGUUCUAAGCCAAAACAAAAACAAAUGUCUUUUUCAACGAAACAAUUCCUAACCCAUAUUCUUGUCUUUACUUUAUAUCAAAACAACAGAGUUGCGAUAAUUUGUCAAUCCAAAAAAAACAGUACAAAAUCAGAUUUGCAAAAAGACGAUGAUGAUUCAUUACCAACAUAUUUAAAAUUUCAGUACCAACUCCUAAAUGCCAACAUUUCAACCACGCCUGGUUUAGAAAAAACCCACACAAACAGCAGAUUUUCAUGAAUGAGAAUGCGAAUGCAAAACACGGAACAAAUGGCUUACCUCGAUAGAGAAAAUCUAAGAUGUGACAAAUCGGAUUAAGACCUUCUCAACUGAAAUCUGCUUCGCCUCGGUGACGGAGUGAAGAAAUAUGAGAGGAAUGGGUAUCAAAUCAGAGAGAGGGAAGAAAGAACCCUCGACUACACUAUUUUUAUGGGAUUUUCUGCUUCGCCUUGGUGACCGAGUGAAGACAGAUGAGAGGAAUGGGUGCCAAAAUGAGAGAGAGGGAAGAAAGAACGGUCGAUCGGCUAGGGUUUUCUUGUGGGAACUUCUGCUUCGCCUUGGUGACGGACUGCAGAAAGAUGAGAGGAAUGGGUAUCAAAUGAGAAAGAGGGAAGAAAGAACCAUCGGCUAGGGUGUUUUUGUGGGAAGCUCAACAUUUGAUUUUGGAGUUUUCAACCGGUUCAGUUUCAACCCGUGCUGAGAUGGGUUGCUGAUGUGGAUACCUGGAGGGGCAAUUUCGGUAGAAAAAAUACAGCAGGCUCAGAGUGCAUGAAUCUGAUAUAAGUUUCCACAUUGAAAUAUAUUUUUCAUAUUCCAUAAAUCUGGGUUCCAAAAACCAUAUAUUUAGCAAAUUGGUCCAUGAAAACACAACUUUCCCAAAGAGUUAUUAGGCUCAAGCCCUUGUAUUAAAUGUAGGAUUAUAAAAUAUUUAAAAGAGGAAGCCUCGGGCCCACCAACUGCACCCAAACUUAAGUAGAAAUCAGUUUUACUUUUUACAGGAAGGUGCCUUGAAAUUGGAUGAAAUCACUAAAUUGCCAUCAAUAUUCUAAUCUUCCAAAUGAAAGGAUGGUAGUUUAAAAAAUAUAUGAAGAAAAUAAAAUUAAAUAAUAAUAAUAACAAAAUAUAUUAAAGAUAAUAGUAAGAUAGGAGAGCAUGAAUAUAAUGAAGAAAAAAAAUGUUAAAUAAAAUAAAAAACUUGGUGGUGUCCCACUUGAAAAUAGAAAAAAAAGAAAAAAGAAAAACGAAGGUAAUAAGAAAAAGAAAAAAGUGAGAAAAGAAUAUCUAAGUCAAUAGAGAGAGAGAGCGUUACCCUUAAUUUUCCUCGUCACUUUUCCGAAGGUCAUAGGAAGCUACCUGUCUUCCCAACUUUUUAUAUUGUAAUGUCCUUUUUAUAUUGUACAUGCUUUUCUAUACUCACAGGAUGUCUUAUAAAGUUUUUUCUUUUUUCAAUUUAUUCAUUUUAUUUCUUGGAUUGAUUUUCAUGUGAAAAUUCAUUUUAUUUUAAAAAAAUAAUUAUUUUACUGAUUUUUUUAAAUAUUUGAUAUCUCUUAAAUCAUUCAUAAAAUGAAUUAAUUUUUUAAUAAAAGUAUUUUUAAUUUAGAUUUAAAUUAUUUUUCAAUUAUAUUUAGAUGUAUGCAUAUAAAAAAGAUUAUUUUCUAAUAUUUAAUAUUUAAAAUUUUAUUUUAAUAAUAAUCUCUUUAGAAUAUUAUCACGAUUUUUAUUAGAAUUAAUGGUUACAUUUUUAUUCUUCCUUCUUCCAAAAAUAUUUGUACUUCAAAGAUAAAGCUCUUCCAAUAUAAAUGACCCGAGAGACACAGAGCUGUCCCUAACUUUCCUCUUCACUUCCUGGAAGCCGCCUUGCCUUCCCAAUUUCUUAGAUUAUAAGUUAGGGUUGCACAAUCUCCUCAUUCACUCACUAUCCUGAAGGGAAAUCAACCCCUCUAAACUGUCUUUGUAGUUUUGAGAUAGAAACCCAGAAUGGCUUCCACAAGCUCCUUCAGAGCCUCUUCUUCUUCUUCUACUCCUGCCAUCCCUCGAACAAGUACUUAUGAUGUUUUCUUGAGUUUUAGAGGCGAAGACACCCGCUAUAAUUUCACUGAUCACCUCUACAGUGCUUUGGGUAGGAGAGGGAUUCACACCUUCAGAGACGAUAAACUCAGGAGAGGAGAAGCGAUUGCUCCAGAACUCUUGAAAGCCAUUGAAGAAUCAAGGUCUUCCGUAAUUGUUUUCUCUGAAAACUAUGCUCAUUCGAGAUGGUGUUUGGAUGAGUUGGUAAAGAUCAUGGAG